rnacentral:lncRNA from 1 species
UUUUUGUGUGUGUUUUAAUUUGCAUGUAAUAAAAUUCGAGUUUGCAUCUGUCACUUCAACAAUUGGCAGAUGUAUGUCGAUGAUUAGCUUUUAAGAUUUGGACCAUGGAUUCUUUUAUAUUCGGCGUGUUUGUACCUUCUUCUAUGUUAAUUGUGUUUGUAUUUUCAGGUUUUUUUCUUUGUACUUUCAGAUUGGCUAAUUAAAUAAUACAGAAUCUUAAUUGCUUUCCAUGAGAAGUUCUAUAGCACAGGAAUGUCAAUGUAGCGGUAUCUCACAUCAAUUACGCAUUAUUAUAUGAGGAUACUAAAACACAUUACAAUGCGUGAUUGAUUUGAAAUACCGCAAUAAUAACAUCCAUAACAUAGGUAAGUUUUUCAUCGCCCUUAUCAAUCCUAUUGAGUAACCUGUUAGAAUCUUCUCUCCAAAGCCGGCUCUUCUGCGUCAGUUGACCUCCCCCUCCCCCUCCCCUCUUUUCUCCCCCAACUGUGACAAGGACGAGCUCAAAUUUUUGAUCUUAUCUAUGGAAUGAAAUGUAGUUUUUAUUAUUUUUUAAAUCAAACAAAACUACAUACAUUUAAAACUUGUUUGACAAAGAAAAUAAAAAGACAUUCGUUUUAGGCACUAACCGCUUCCACGUGGAACCGUACGUGGGGGGCUAAUAACGGUUUUAACCGAAACUCCAAGGACUCCAAUUUUUCUCACACAAACACUCUGUUUUCCCUCUGAUCUCUCUGCCUCUCAGAGCCGUGAAUGAAGAAUACGACGUCAUAGUGCUCGGAACUGGCCUCAAAGAAUGCAUUCUCAGCGGCCUCCUCUUUGUGGAUGUUCUCAAGGUAAAGCUUAUGUAAAUGGAUAACAUAUAAAAUUGUAGCUUCCUUAUGGUAAGGUUAUUGUCUAACAAAUCUAACCUACUGCUACACAGUAUGACGUACUUUUUUUCUAUGAUGUUGAUAUGAUCCCCAAAGUAUCAAGAAUUAAUGAUGCAUAUAUUUCUUCCUAUUGUUCUUUGAUUUCUUCUUUGAUUCAUUUUCUCUUUUUGCUUAAGAUUGUAUAUGUUGAUAGGCUGUCAUGUUAAUUUGUUUGUCCGUAAAUAUGUGAUUAGGUUCAGUCACUCAUAUGGGCUAGCAAAGUGAAAAAAAAAAAAGCUCGAGGAAACCAUAUACAAAAGGUUGUGUAAAAUAGAACUAUUAAUAUUAUAUAGAUAUAAUAAUAAAAAAUUCAAAAAUAAAUAUAACAUACAAAAUCCAAAAAAAGAAAGGAAACACAUGCACUAGCACUACAAUUCAAACAUGCAUGAAUACUGUCUGGCUUUCUUGUUUUACUUUCUUUCUUUUUUCCUUCUACAUAUUUCAGCCCCAAUGAGUUUUACUCCUUUUGUGUGUGGUUGAGGCAAUUAUAUACAAUACGCUUUCUGUCUUUGGCUACCUAAAAAGUCAAGAAUGAGCCAUGCCUUUUGGUAUUACUGAAACUGAUACUGUGUUCAGGAUUUCAGAUUCUCCAUUCGAUUGGCUAUUCCUUAUAAUUAUGUACAUGUAUUUUGUUAUUUAGAGAGAGAGAGAGAGAGAGAGAGAGAGAGAGAGAGAGAGAGAGAGGGAGGGAGAGAGGCAAGUGUACAAACUAGAAUAAGUGAUAUCUCUCUAGCAAUCCAAGCCUUGAGUGUUGGUCAUUUGAGCUGCAAAUCUUGGUCUCUGGCUCUGGUCUUUUACAAAAUCCGGCUGUUUCCUUUUUGUGUAACUUCUCAGAAACAGAGAAGAUGAUCUUCUAAGAAUUAAGUAGGACUUUCAAAACCAAUUUUUCAAUUUGAUCUCUGCGCUACAUAAAAUAUAAAAAAUUAAUACCUCUGCUGCGAUGUUUCUUGUAUUUUUACUUGUAUGUGUAUGCAUUAUUCACAUUUGCAUUGUCACAUUAUGGAUUUAGUUUUGAAGUGAGAAUCUUACUUGGAUUUCUCGCAGACCACCUAUGUAAUUCAGCACAACCUACUACCAUCUAGUUUUCUACAAGCACAAGCUCUUGAGAUGAAAUCAAAUUUAUCAUAUGAGUUAUCCCCUAGGGUAAGUUUCAAUGUUACUUACUAUAUAUGAGAUCACUGUAGGUUAGUUGGUUGAGCUUUGAUUUUGUUUACUUCUCAUUUUGUAUCUCAAGGCUAAAAAGUUGGAAGAUUGGUUCAUCCUUUGCGUUAAAAAGACCUAAAGAAACCCAGCUACUUCUAUGUAAGGCAUCUUGGUUCUAAUUAUUUAUUUAUGUUUUUGUGAUUUUUUUGUAGUGUUUGUCAACUUUGUGAGAUUCUUUCGGGGUUAACUGCAAUUUUUGUGAUUCUUUUAACCACAGCAAGCUGCAAAAUUGUGAGUUGGAAUCACAAGGAAAGCUUGUAAAAAUUGAAAUGGUGUUGGAGCUCAUUUUGCUGUUAAGCCAUUUGUCUGUGUUAGAUGUGCGUGGGCUGCUGCAUGUUGGUGCUCUAGGCUAAUUAUUUUGGGACUUUGAUUCCAAGAAAAUAAUGAAGUUUCCCGAGAUCCUUCAUAGAAAAUAUAAGUUGCCUGAUCGCCGAAUCAAAUGAGAAAUUUGUUCUUGAUCAUUGCCAAUUAUAAGGAUGUCAUCGACAUAAAUGAGCAGAACCAAAUAGAUGCCUUGUUAAUUGUAAACAAAGAGUGUGUAGUCACAUUUGGACUCAUGAAAUCCAAGCUGCAAAAGAUAUUCAGAGAAUCAUUGAAACCAAGUUUGUGGAGCUUGUUUCAAUCCAUAUAGACUACGCUUCAAUUUACACACAUGAGAUCGAAAUUGUUGAUCCACAAAGCCAGUAGGUUGUUUCAUAAACACAUCUUCAUAGAGAUUUGCAUGUAGAAACGCAUUUUAUACAUCAAGUUUGUGAACCUGCCAUCUAUUGCUCACGGCCAGGCUAAGGACAAGACGAAUGGUGCUAUGUUUGACCACGAGAUUGCAGGUUUCACUGUAGUCGAUACCUUGUUGCUGAUGGAGACCAUUGGCAACAAGUCUGGCCUUGUAUCUCUCUAUUGAUCCAUCUGCUCUCUUCUUUACUUCGAACACCCACUUAUUUGGAAGCAAAUUCAUAUGAGGCUGAUAAAGAACUAGCUGCCAAGUACCAUUAUGUUGCAAAGCAUUAAAUUCCUGAGCCAUUGCAUGUCUCCAUUCCUCCUGUUUCGUUGACUGACUAAAACAAGUAGGUUCAAUGCAUUAGUAUCCAUAAUAACAUGUAGAGCAUAUCUGGGAUUGGGUUUUGGAACACCCAACUGAGACUUGGUCGCCAAAGGAUGAUGAGAAAUAGCUUGAGAAACCUGCGGGACAAUAUCUUCAUUUAUUGGCUCAUUAGGAGUUGGGAAAGGAGUAAGUGUUGGAGUGGGAGAAGGAGAUUGAUUUAAUUGCACAUCGUCAGGCGUGCAAUGAGGAAGUGGAGGUGAAGUAGGAUUGUUUCUUGUAGGCAACGAAACAUAACCUGAUGGCAAAUUGAAUUAGUUGUUUCUGGAAAAGUAAACAAAAUUGCAGAAUCAAAAUUGGCACCUGUGUGUUCGACGCUUCCCUUGGAAGAUGUGAGUUCCUAAAAUGGAAAAACGUCCUUAUCGAAUAGGACAUGGCGAGACAAAUAAAUGCGUCUUGUGGAUAAAUUCAAACACUUAUACCCUAAUGGUUAAGAGAAUAUCCUAAGAAUACACAAGUUUUUUUUAUUUUGGUUGUAAUGUAUAUUUAUUAUAUGGAGUGAGCUAGGGAAAACACCUACACCCAAAGACUCGAAGCAUGUCAUAUGAAGGAGUUUUAUGAAACAAUUUUUCAAAAGGAGACAUAUGGUUUAGCACACGUGUGGGAAGGCGAUUUAUGAGAUAAGUGGCAGUUUGGCAGGCUUCUAGCCAAUAAGAGGUAGGAAUGUGAGCAUGGUUAAGCAUGACAAUAGCAGUUUCAACGAGAUGAUGAUGUUUCCUUUCUACAAGGCCGUUUUGUUCUGGAUGUUUAGUAAUUCCAUGUUUUGCCAAAAAUUAUUGAAAGGCUAGUUUUGUGUACUGGCCUCCUUCUUCACAUUGAAGAGCUCUUAUUGAGGUGUUGAGCAUUUUUUCUAUUUGUUUUUUAAAUUUGAUAAAAAUAUCAAAUACUUCAUAUUUUUGUUUCAUGAGAAAUAUUCUAGUGUAUCGAGAGAAGUCAUCAACUAAAAGAAAAUAAUAAAGAAAGCCAUGAACUGAAACAAUUAGUGAACUCUAAACAUCGGAGUGUACAAGAGCCAAUGGAGAUAAAAACACAGAAUCUGAAAUUGGAAAUGGUAAUUUAGUGCUUUUACCUAAAGGACAUGAAGAACAAAAAGGUACAUGAGAGGAGCCACUAAUUGGCACUUUAUUAUUUGAAAUCAAAUUCUUUAUUAUUUCACUAGCUGGAUGGCCUUGGAGAGAAUGCCAUUUUUGAAUUGAGACACGAGUUCCUAUGAAAGCAGAAAAAGAUUGAUUGGAAAAUCCCCCGCUAUUUGUGAAUGGAUAUAAUCCAUUCUAACACCUUCCUUGGAAAAACGUCUUCUGUGUCUUGAGGUCCUUCACAAAAAAACAAUCAAGAAAGAUGAGAAUAUAGCAAUUAUUGUCGGAAGUGAAACGAUGAACGAAAAUCAAAUUUGUAGAAGCAAAAUGGCAAAAGCGUUUUUGGUAGAAAAUAAAAACAGAAAAUAGAAACGGGACCUAGAAAACGUUACCAAACGACUCAUAAGUUGUAAUUGACUUACCAAACGACUCAUAAGUUGGAAUAUGUAUGAAUAUUGAGCUGCACGUAAAGUAGAUGAGACACAGCAUUUAACGAGGUUCGGCUAUGCCUACGUCCUCGGAGAGCAGCAGCAGUAACUUUUUCACUAUAUAAAAUAAUAGGGCUACAACUUUAGAGUUUACAAUAUGUGAGGCUCACUGAAUUUUCUCUUUCUUUCUUCUUUUUCUCUUCUUUUCUUUCUUCUUUUCUCUUCUUCUUCUCUCUUCUUUUUCUCUUCUCCCCUUUCUUUCUUUUCUCCGUUGGUCACACUCCCCUUUACAAUUGGUAUGCCUAUUUAUAGGCUAAUGUUUAGGCAAAAUACAGGGAAGGGAAGGUUCCUGGAAGAUGCAAGGAAACUUUCUGAAUUGAUAAAUACAGGGAAGGAAAGUUCCUGGAAGAUGCAAGGAAACUUCCUGAAUUGAUAAAUACAGGGAAGGGAAAGUUCCUGGAAGAUGCAAGGAAACUUCCUCUGUGGGCUCCACCUUCAAACUUUUACAACACUCCCCCUUGGAGACCACAAAUGAUAUGGAAUAUGCCUCGUUAAAAACCUUGCCAGUAAAAACCCAGUGGGACAAAAACUGUUCGAAGGGAAAAAGAGUACAUAAUCACGUGUAACACAAAAUUCUGUGUAUAUUGACGCGCGUGCGACACUGCCUCGUUAAAACCUUGCCAGGAAAAACCCAGUGGGAUAAAAACCUGGACGAAGGAAAAAGAGUACAGUGUGUAAGGGUCUGUAUUGACAGCACGCUCCCCCUGAUGCUUGGCAAAAUAUCUUUAAGCCAUACUGUUGAUCAUCUGUCUGAAUAUCAUAGUUGACACUGCUGCUGUGAGUCAAUAGUGUAUGAAGGUCUUUAUUAAUACCAUGCUCCCCCUGAUGAAUAUCUCCCCCUGAAAACUUCAUGACUAGCUUUUUCCAGUAAGCGACCAUAGAGAUUUCCUGAGUCCGCAUAUCUUAGAACACUUGGGCUAUUUAUAAGUUCACUAAAAAAUAUGCCCGUAUAUGGUGUUAUGCUUAGAUAGCAUCAAAUAUACCUCACAUCAUCCCAAAAUGAUGGUGAUGGAGUUGAGCCCUAUUUGGAAAAUAUGAUGUCCGGUCCAAUAUACUUCCGCAAAAUCAUUAAAGUGUCCAACGGAUAAUCCUCAUAAAAAUACUUCAAUAUUUUCUUAGUAUAAGCAAGAAUCUCGUUGGCAUAAUGCUCGAUCCUUAAGUCGAGACAAAUAUUUCGUGAAUUCUGCAGAAGCUUUAAUGUGUUGCAAUCACAUUAUAAUCAAUGUACUCACUGAGGUAAUUUAUGCAUAUUAAUAUUGAGUACAAAUUUUGUGCUUCAAGCACAUGCCCUUUAGGGACUUGCUUUAUGCAAUGUCAAUCCUCUCAACGGAUUUUGUUUUAAAGGGAUUAAACUUUAUGACACAUUAUAUAGCUUUAACACAGCUAUUUAUACAUCUUUAGGGAAUCGCUUCUGGCGAUAUGCUCCGUGCAUUUAAUAACCCUUAAAGAUAAUAUGUUGGUCUCCGUAAUUGUGUAAUAAGGGGGGCACAAUUGAAUCUGUAAAUAUGGAGAAAACCCAACAUUCCUUGUUUCUGCCAGAAACAGUGUGUCAUACAAAGUAGAUAUAUUUCCUUUUAUUCCGAACAUCCAAGUAUAACUUUCAGUAUUAACAAAUUUUGGGGUUCGUAUUGUGGGUUUGUUCUUUCACGUUCAUUCUCAUUUAUAAUGGAAUUACCUCGUUCCAUUUUGGCCAAUGAUAUUGUCGACAUUUAAUAAUUGAACGUGGUUCCAAUCAACACAGCCCAUUGAUGAUUUGAGUAGCUACUCCAAAAUCAAAAAUUGUCAUUCAUCAAUUCAUGAUCUCACAAUUCUCAUGUGCAUGCGCAUGCAUCAAUUAUAAGCAUUCCUUUGCUUUUGGGUACCCAAGCCACUUCAUGGGGCUUUUAUUAUGUGAGAAUGUGGAUUAUAACCUCCAUUGGAGCGUUAUUUUACAUAGGGCGUGGAAAAUCUCCAUUUAGGGAGUUGGAACAUUUAGAACCCAUAUAUCUGUCAUGCUGCAGGCAUGCCACAGAUUAAUACAUACAUGUCAAUUAAUUUCUGGGACCUUAACCCAUAUUAUGGGACUUUAACCCAUAUAAUUUGCUACGCAUUAGGCGUGCAUAAUAUCAAUAUUGACAUGUCAAAGGAUUGUCCUUUCGGGACUUCAAUCCAUAUCAUUUGCUACGCAAUAGGCGUGCAUCAUAUUGAUCACUGCUAUACCCAUAUUCUGUUCUUAUGGGACUUUAAUCUGUGCAGUGUAUUAUCAAUGUAUCCAACUUGCAAUCUGUAAAAUUUGCGUUAAUAAUUCAUGGAUACAUACAAGUCAUUCUUUUGGAAUGGACUUAUCUCCCCAUUUGGUUACCUUUCAAGAUAAAAUAUCAAAUAGGUAUAUAAGCAUAAAAUAACACAAGUAUUGCUUACAUCCUUAGGUGGGAGAAACUUUUCUCAAGUAUCAUUCAAGCUCAUAUCAGCCCAGUAAAUAUAAUGUAGCGCUUGAUGAUCUAGUUAUAUCCUGCAAGAGCAAAAAUCACAACUCUUUUGCCUCUGUCAAAACAAAUAACCCUCAUAGUUAGGAUUACUUCAUGGAUUCAUUCUUCAGAUGUUCAUUCUAAAGAAAUAAAAUCUCUUAUGAACAGAGAGUUAUAAAAAGAGAAAAAAUGCAAAAAUAAUGUGAUAUUGAUUGCAAGAGAAGGUAAGCAAUCAGGGAAGGAAGCUGGUGGGAGCAGACAAUAAGCUUUCAUAUCUCCUAGUCUAGAAGGACUCCCGGAGAUUAGAGUAUAAGAUCGCCUUCACAGUUUCCUAAUGUAGUGGAAACGUGAUCAGGGAUAGUCUUGCUUCCUGAAUGGAUGAUCAGAGAUAGUCUUGCUUCUCAGGCAUAUUGAGUGCUCACUGAUAAGAAAAAUAAGUAGAUAUCGUAUCACUAAGUAUGGAGUAACCUGGAUGUCUUUUGCAAAGAAAAAUUUCGUUAGUAACACAUUUAUACACAAAUACAAUGAAUAGGUAGAACCGGUAAAUUUCAAAUUAACCAUAAGAAAAUUGCGAGAUUCUCGGGAUACUUUUGAAAAAGUAGCUCCGUGAAAUCCGUAAAGCAAGAUCAGCUUUGAAAAUAAUACUUUGAAAAACGCCGAAAGUGCCGACAGGCAUUAUUAGAGGCCACGUGAAGUUUUGGACUCUGGGAAAGAAAAAGAUAAUAUGGGGAUUCGAGAAGACAUUGGAGUCCUGAAAAGUUGCCACAUUUUCGUCUAUAGAUAUUGCCUUUGCAAACUGCGUUUCAACUCAAUUUCCUUCAUUUUCUGAACCUUUAGUUUUUUCUAAGACUUUCUUCGAAACCUUCUUAAAAAAAUGGCUUCCUCUUCUUCCUGCCCAAAUUAUUUCAAUUUAAAUGAUGCUCCCACAACAACCAGUGACGCCCAAGUUUGGCGUCCAUCCUUUGUAUCCAAAAAUCGUCAUCUCACAGUUAAUGAUUCUGUGAUGAUGAAUGAUGCUACUACUGUCAUAGUAGCUAGGAAUUUCAUUACUCCAAUGGAUGAAAUGUUGUUGACAGGGAGAUCAGAGGAAGAGGCUAUUGAUGACUCAAUGGCUUUUAGCAUUCAGAGUGCUGCUUCUGUUUCUAACAUGGCUGAUCGUUUGCGUGCUAGAGCAAACGAGGUUGAGAAGCUGACAACUGAAAAUUCGUCUCUUCAAAGAAUGCUUCAUGAGUCUCAACAGGAGGUUGAGAAACUUAAAGGAGAGAAUAAUUCCUUGUUGAAACUGGUGAGUUCGUACUCUGUUGAUACACUGAGAAGGCUAGACAUGCUGCAGGUCUCCAAUGAAAGAAUUUUGGGAGACCACGAGAAGCUCAUGGCUAAGCUUAAGAGGCGCCGUCAUCUUCCUGCAGAGGCUUCCAGAACAUAAUGUAAUUUUUUAUAGAUUUCACAGGGCCUGCACCUUUAUUGCAAGUGGAAAAAAUCUAUCUGUUGUAUGUUCCUGUAAUAAUAAUUGCGCACAUUCUUAAACUUGCACCUGUGGUUUUUACGUCUUUUCAAAAUGACGGUUUGGAACCUUGUGCCUUAUAGGUUCAAAUAACCACAUUGUCUCUCCCAAAUUGCAUGGUAGCCCGGAACUUUUGGCAUGGGCACAAACUCAGAAUUUAUUUGCCCUUUUCAAAUGGACAUGAAAUGUGAAUUGAGUAAAAGUCAUGAUAAUAUCGCAAUAUAGUAGUGAAGAGCAUUAACUACUAUAUACCCACAACUUCAAGUUUAGGAUCUCUCAUAUAUUUGGAUCCAUGGGCUUCCGGCUCAGAUAUAACAAAAUAUGUAGGGAGUCUCAAUUCAUUAUUUGAGGUUUAUAUUGAUAUUAUCCAUUUCGCGGUGUAUUCUUAACAACCGGAAUUCACAAAAUAUAUUUCUUCCUUGAGGUGUCGAUUAUAACAAAAUCGAACUUUAAAUUCAUCAUCUUCUUAUGCCAAAGAAAUAUGUGACAUACCACAAUUUGCAAUAAUACCUCAAGGGUUGUCCAUUUAAUUGUUGGAACUUCAGGUUCUCAACACUGUUAAAUUUUGAACUUCAGGCCAAAGCCACAUAUUCUCAUGGUAUGGACAUUUUUACAAUUUUCUGUACAUAUUUCGGGACUUCAAGCCCUUACAUAAUUGUCCAUAUUUUGAGGAACUUCUGGCAUCUCAUUUAAUUGCUCAUCCAUGAGUUUAAGGAAUUGCAGGUUCCCUUUUGUAUAUAAUGACGGUUUACCCAAAAUGGUUAAUAUUUAUGCAUACGUCACUAUUCAUGUGAAUAGUACUAUUCAUCAAGUCAUGAAUACGUAUCUAUUCAUCUGCCAAUACAGUUAUCAUCAAUGUGUACGGUACUAUGAACCAAUACGGUACUGUUACAUCAUUAAGGAACUCUAGGUCCUUAUUUACAUGUCAGGAAUCAAGGACCUUUAAGUCCAAUCACAUGUUUACAAAUACAGUACCGGUGAGACUGCCAGCUCUCAUUUUAAUAUCAUCAUCAAGGAUUUUCAAGUCCUGAUGUAAUUGUAUGAUGAGGAUCAAGGAACUUCUGGUCCUGAUCUGCAUACUGGAAAAACUCAUCAUACAGCACAAUUAAUCCAUAAAAUAAAUUGCUGAUAAAUAAAUUACUGGUAUGGACGAUAAACCCGCACCACACUUUAAAUAAAUGUAAAUGUGCGGUAAAUUAAAUUCAUAAAGUUAAGGUGCUUGUAUGGGCAUUAAUUCUGCUCCAUACAUUUAAAUAAAAGUAAAGGCGUGGACGAUAAACCCGCACCACCCUUUUAAAUAAAUGUAAAUGUGCGGUAAAUUAAAUUCAUAAAUUAAGUUGCUUGCUGUAUGGACGUUAAUCCCGCACCAUACUUUAAAUAAAAUUAAAUGUGCGGUAAAGUAAAUUGUGCUUGUAUGGGCACUAAUUCUGCUCCAUACAUUUAAAUAAAAGCAAAGGCGUGGACGAUAAACCCGCACCACCCUUUUAAAUAAAUACUGUUGUAUGGGUAAUAAACCUACACCAUACAGUAAAUAAAAUAAAUAUGCGGUAAAAUAAAUUUGCGAUAAAGUAAAGGUGCAUGUAUGGGUAAUAAACCUACACCAUACAGUAAAUAAAUGUGGGGUUAAAACCACCACCGAAUAAAAUAAGAAAAAGUUAGUAUUAGUAACGGUCUCCCACUGAUAAUAUGUUUAGUAUUACCAAGGGUCCAUUUUUGUUAGUGGUUAGUAGUAUAGAUAAUAGUGCAGCAAAAAAAUUAUACCUGAGAGCUUCUCGUGCUGAUAACGUGUUAUAAAAAUAACCUGGAAUAUGUAUGAAUAUUGAGCUGCACGUAAAGUAGAUGAGACACAGCAUUUAACGAGGUUCAGCUAUGCCUACGUCCUCGAAGAGCAGCAGCAGUAACUUUUUCACUAUAUAAAAUAAUAGGGCUACAACUUUAGAGUUUACAAUAUGUGAGGCUCACUGAAUUUUCUCUUUCUUUCUUCUUUUUCUCUUCUUUUCUUUCUUCUUUUCUCUUCUUCUUCUCUCUUCUUUUUCUCUUCUCCCCUUUCUUUCUUUUCUCCGUUGGUCACACUCCCCUUUACAAUUGGUAUGCCUAUUUAUAGGCUAAUGUUUAGGCAAAAUACAGGGAAGGGAAGGUUCCUGGAAGAUGCAAGGAAACUUCCUGAAUUGAUAAAUACAGGGAAGGAAAGUUCAUGGAAGAUGCAAGGAAACUUCCUCUGUGGGCUCCACCUUCAAACUUUUACAACACAUUGGAAUUUUUAGUUCUAUUUUGGAAUUCCCCAGGAUUCAUGUUACUUAGAAAAUAUUGUUGUCUUCUUUAGGUAUGAAUCCUACAGAUUUUUUUUUUAAAUUCUGUCAGUAACUACUUUAUUUUUCUCCUAAAUUUAACGAGUGCUGCUAUUUUCACUCACCUGUCUUAUUUUCCCACCUAUUAUAUCUUCAAAAUUUUAAAGACAAAUUUAUCCCUUUAUAAAAUGAUUUUUAAAGACUUAAGAAAAAAAACAUUAAAAUCAAUUUAAAAAAUGAGAAAAAGAUAGUAAAAAAAAUACUAAAAAGAUUAACCCCACCUCACCCCAUCAUCUGUUCCGCGCACCCUUCCUUCUUCUCUAUUUUCCCUCUUUGUUUCUUUAAUAGUCACCGCCCCACCACAAUCAAAAGAUACCAAGCAGAUCCACCCCCAAAUUUUCAGUAUUAAUAAUAUGAAGGGACUUUUAACUGAGAUUUGAAUCAGCCCAGCAAUUCUAGGCUCUCAAAGUCUGCACCUCUCAACUGAGAGAGAGAGAGAGAGAGAGAGAGAGAGAGAGAGAGAGAGAGAGAGAGAGAGAGAGAGAGAGAGAGAGAGAGAGUAGCAUCUGGGUUGAGUUGUGUGGCUAGGGUGCUGGGCUGUAGGAGGUAAGUUUGAUGGGUGGGGUGUGAUGAAAUUGGUGGGGAGGGGAUCGGGUAAAACCAUAGUAUGAAAUAUCGAUAAUAUCGAAGAAAUAUCGAUAAUAUCGAAGAAAUAUCGAGGAUAUUUCGGUUUUUUCGAAUCACGGAUAUUUCGGAACAUAUCUAUGUACAUAUCGUAUAAAUAUCGACAAUAUCGACGAUAAUAUCGAAAAAUAUCGAUGUCGAUAAUUUCGCUCACAUUUCAGCAAUAUUUUGUCAAAAUAUCAGUGUAAUAUAGCUAAAAUAUCGAAAAUAUCGAUGUAAAGGAAAAAAAGAAAAAAAAAAGGGAAAAAUGGGAGAAAAAAGCACAAUGAACCCCUCUCAUUUUACUCCUCCAACACCUUAACCACCAUAUCACUUAUGUUUUUGUGAUAAUAUGCUCAAAUAUUUAUAUUUAUAUGGGUGACAUGUUAACAAUUACAUGCAAAACUAUUUUGGGGAUUUAUCAUUUGAUGACUACUCUUCACAAUACACUUACUCUACACAUAGAGAUGAUGAAGUUAGUGAAAAAUUUGAACCUCAUAGGAACUCUAUGUGGUACUAAGUCACUCAUGUAUCUUACCAUACAAUGUAUAAAGUGUAAAAUAUUGUAGUAAAUCAUUAUAUAUAAAUGAUUAUGGUAUGUUUAAUCUUUUUUCAAUAAUUACUACAUAUUUUUUAUACUCAUAGUGUUUGCCCGCUUGCUGUAUAAUCAACUUAAAUCAGUUAAAUUCAUCAUGCAAUGCAUUUCCUUCUAAUUUUUUGUGAUAAACUAAUAGAUAAUUGACUAAAUAAACAUGCUCCAAAGUUUCAAUAAAAAUUUCCAAGUUUUUCUUACAAUUUCCCUAGUUUUUAUUCAAUUUUUAUCUAUAUCGAUAAUAUCCCGAUAUUUCUAUUGAAAUUUCCAUGUUUUUGGACUACCGAUAUUUCCGAUAUCAUCGAUAUUUUAGACUUUGGGUAAAACAGAGAGAAAUAGUUUUUUUUGGAGUACUUUAUAUUGUUUAUUAAUUAAUUAAUAAUAUAUUAUUAUUUACUUGGUAGGUGGAAAGAUAAUGGGUAUUUUAGGAAUAGUAAUGAGUGAAAAGAUGAGAUUGUGUUUUUUUAAAUUUAUAUGGUAAGUUAAAAAAUAAAAUAUAGGAGUGGAAAUAGCAGCACUCAUUUAAAAAUUUCUGAAUUCGUCACUGGUUACAGUAAUAAUAAAUAAAUGCACCGACCAACCUGUUUUGGACAAUAAACAACUAAUUAACCAUGAUGUCCUUUUUCCUUCUCAAAUGCACCUACCUUUCCAAAGUAUCUACCACCAUUACUUUAUGCCAGCCAUCAUUACGUUCGAUCCCAUUCCAACAUUAUUAUUUAAGAAUUAACAUUAAAUAAUUAUAUUUGACUCCAUCAUAUUUUCUAAUUAUAAUAUAGUAAUUACUCCUUUCGUGAUAGCCACUCUUCUAAGAUAUACGAAUUCCUGUCAGUUUUAUUUGGCUGCUUAUUUGUAAGAGCAUCUCAUGUUCAUAUAUUAAAAGACAAGACCCGUGAUGAUAGGAAAAAUGAGUUGAACUACUACCCCAAGAUAUAAUGACUAUCAUGAGGAUUAGGUAACGUGGUUAGCUAAUAUGAUUUAUCUAAUCGCUUCUAAUAAGGUUUUUCUGUGCAGGGAAGGUUAGAUUUUUUUUUUUUUUUCCAAAGUCAGAAGAUAGAAACGUGAAUUGGAUUGUUAGACGUUGAUUUCUCUUCUUUAGACAAUUGAUAAAUUUAGUCGUAGUGUCCUUCUGAAAUGCUUGUAAAUAGCUUGAUUUACUACAAAAACACCUGCUCCAUCAUUGAUCUUAAAUCAUUACAUAUAGAGUGCGAAUGGAGUUCUUGUGGAGGCUGGGUAGUUUUUUAAAAUAUUUUAUUUUUAUAAAUAAAAUUUUUAAUUAUUUCAUUUGUAAAUAUGUAAUAAAUUUUUAAAUUUAUUUAAAUAGAGUGUAUUGGAAGUAUUUCUGGUAAUCAAAUAUGAUGAAAUAGAACGAGUUGUAAAAAUAACAACACUCUUAUUUAUAUAUAUUUUUCAAAAAACCACCGACUUAUCUUAUUGUAAUUUGUUGUAAAGUUUUUGUGUGGAGCCCACUAACUAUUCAUUUGGAGACUUUUGGUAGAGUUUGUCGGCAACUUCUUCUUACUGCACACUCACGAGAGUUGCACCAAUCUGCCUAUAAAUAGGCAACCUGCAAAGUUAAAAAGAAGAGAAGAUAGAAAAGAAAGGGAGAAACGGAAAGAAAGAAAGAGAAAGGAGGAAAGAGAAGAGGAAAGAGAAAGGAGGAAAGAGAAGAGGAAAGGGAAAGGGGGAAAGGAGGAAAGAGAAGAGGAAAGAGAGUCAGGCAGAGAAGAGGAAGGGAAGGAAGAAAUAGGGUGAGUGAGCAGAGAGAAAAUUCAGUGAGCCUUACAUAUUGUAAACUCUAAAGUUGUAGUUCUAUUAUUUUAUUUAGUGAAAAAGUUACUGCUGCUGCUCUCCGAGGACGUAGGCAUAGCCGAACCUCGUUAAAUGCUGUGUCUCAUCUACUUUACGAGCAGCUCUGAAUUAUCGCACAUAUCCCAGGUUAUUUUUAUAACAUAAUUGACUUAUUGAGAGAGCACUCCCAUUGAUCGUGCUUAGAGCUCCACUCACUUGAAAUCUUAUUGUUUUUUUUUUUUUUUAAUAGUAAAGAUGAACUUUCAUUAAUAAAGACCAAAAAGAGGUCAAAGAAGCACCGAGACUACACAACCAGUCAAACGGCAUUAACAAGAAAAAGAAACCAAAGCGACAAGAAAAGGUAAAACUAAAGAAAAGCUACAAGGGAAAGUAAAAUAAAAGAGGAAAACACAGCACAGCCAACGAACAACAUCACAUAUUUUUUUUACUUGGUAACUGGUUCAGGUUGUGGGCUUCGAGGAAAUUGAUCUUAUAAUAUUCAAGAGUAGGCAAGUGGAUUCCAACAAAAAAAGAGACAAGGCAAGUGGAUUCCAAACAAACAAAAAAAGAGUAGGCAAGUGGAGCAUCUGGAAUUUGAUCUGAAAAAUCCGCGAGCAAUCCUUAUCAAAAAGACUUUUAUGAAAUGAAAGUAGUAUUAUUAAUAAUAUUUUCAGUAUUAUUGGUUAUGAAUAAAAUAAUUAACAAAAUAAUAUUAUCCCCUAUUGCAAGUUGCAAGUGGUCCGAAUGGAAAGUAAUAGUUAAAGAAACGGAUUCCAUUCUACCUCAAAUCAUUGGAAAUUCGUACCUAUUUGAGAUUUAAAAAUAAUUUUUUACUUAUUAAUAUAGCUGUCAACAUUUAAUUAGUUGAAUGGGAUCCAUUAGUGACUGGGAUCAUAGAAGAUUGUCUCACACCCCCAAUUUGGUACUAUUUAUCGCUUCCGCUAGAGCAAAAUAGAUAUACAUCUUUUCUUCCUGGCUUUGGGAUAUAUAGAUAGAGAAAUAAAUUUUUAUUGAUAAGUUGGGUUUAAUUCUCCGAUUUCUAUUUAACACGUUUGUCAUUGAAUAAAAAAGAAAAAUCUUGCAAACAUAUUUCAAAAACCAUGUUGUUACAAACAGUCAUUAAGGGCAAAUGUAAUUGCUACAAAUAUAUUACAUAAACCAUUAUUGGACAAAUACAUUUACUACAAAUGUAUUACAUGAAAGGACCAGCCCCGAAUUUUCUCAAAACUCGAGACGAACCCUUUGGAAUUCCUGACAUCACCCCGAUGCCAGGCCCACUUACUAAAAACCGAGACUUCCUGCCGAAAUUUCGGCAGAGUCUCCCCUAUAAAUUGGACAUUUCCCAAAAAUUUCAACCUGCAUAAAAACGCAUUUAAUAUUCCCAAUUGGCAGCAUGCACAAUAUAAUUUCAUGCAAUUCACACAAAUGGCCUUCGGCCUUCCAAUAAUUCUUAACUAACUACCAAACAAAUCAAAUACCAAUUAUGACUAGCAUUUAGUCUGCGGCUGCACCUAAUAACCUUAGGCUGCCUACGUACCCUCCUUGAGGGAUCAAGCCACACGUAGUUCUUCCCUAAAACUCAGUUCCACACUUGGGCGAUGCCUUAUUUCAUUUCUCGGUAUUUCAUGGAAUCUCCCCAUACGCCGGUACAACCAACGCCACGUAUGGGGCCUGUCAACACGCCGGAUAACCUACGCCACGUGCGACCAUGCCAUACUAUCAUAAUAUCUCCCCAUACGCCGGUACAACCAACGCCACGUAUGGGGUCUGUCUCAACGCCGGAUAACCUACGCCACGCGAGACCUGCACAUCAUAUCACAUAACUCCCCAUACACCGGUACAACCAACGCCACGUAUGGGGCCUGUCCCAACGCCGGAUAACCUACGCCACGCGGGACCUCAAUAUCAUAUCAUAAAGCUCCCCAUACGCCGGUACAACCAACUCCACGUAUGGGGUCUGUCGACACGCCGAAUAACCUACGCCACGUGCAACCUCAACAUAAUAUUACAUAGCUCCCCAUACGCCGGUACAACCAACGCCACGUAUAGGGCCUGUCCCAACGCCGGAUAACCUACGCCACGCGGGACCUAACUUUCACUUGGUGGUACUUGUAGUGGAUCCAACAUCCGAGGAGGUACCUAAAGUAGUGCGUAUAGCACUCCAAACUGACACUUUAGACUCUGUUGUACCCUUGUACAACCAUAUAUAAUUAUAGUUAUAUAAAUUAAUUCUAAUAUUGUGUAACCCUCCACAAUCAUCUAGCACCCGAUAAUCCCCCCUAGAAAGGUGAGAUUACUCCGGGAGACUCACGGUCAACCAAGGAUCAAACUACUCUAACCCUGGUCAACCGGACCUGCAAAACCCACGACCUCCAAUUUCCGAUCCGGAAGUCCCUAUGGGUUCUACCAGGUAUAGGACACUUGUCCUGCAAGUUUGGUUCAGAUCGGACGGUCGGAUUGCUCACGAUCGCACGAUCUGACGGUUAAUAUAAAAUAUAGACUUAAAAUUAUUAUUCGGAACAUCCGGGGCUCCGAUUCACGAUCCGUGAAUUCCUACACGAUCCUAGAAAUACCUAGAUUAACAUAUAUUAAAUUUGGGACCAUCCGACGGUCCCAACCUAUCAAACCCGGAUAACGCAUAAUAUGCGAUUAUCCGUUCGAUAGUCAAACGACGUCCGAAUUGAGAUCCGCGAAAUCCUACGCACUCGUGACAACCUAAGGAUCUCAUCGGAACACAUCGCUACUUUUCUACAGUGCCCACGCGCCGCCGCACGCUCCGGCAACGCGUGGGUGCCCAAAGCGAUAACGCUUCGCCGGAAAAUCUCAACAUCUCGGCUCCAAACUCCUACCCUAGGUAUAACACCCUAUUUGGAGCCACUUUUGUUCUUGGACCUAUCCCAAAAAGUGGCCGGAAAUGGCCGAUCACGGCGGCCGAAGUUUCGGCCGAUUUUCAAUUCGAAAAUUGAGUUGCUUAGCUAAGAAUCGAUCUAAUCCUACCCAACCAUCAGCUAGAGCAGCUCGAGAGGUUCAAAAUCCAUAUCUGGGUCGACGGAUUUGGUGGCCGGAGGAGGAAGAUCGACGGCGUUGAAGUUCCGGCGACAUCCGGGCGAAAAUCGCCAUUUUUCGGCGGCUGGAGCGGCGGCCGAUGGCGGGGAUGGGCUGGGUCGUGACGCCGAGGUCGAGCCGGUUCUUUUGACACCGGCCCCGUCCGCAGCCGCGGCCGGUGGCCGGAGUUACGAAGAGAGAGAGAGAAGAGGCCGACGGGAGAGAGAGAGGAGUCGCGAGAGAGAGAGAGAGAGAGAGAGAGAGAGAGAGAGAGAGAGAGAGAAAACCAGAUUUUUAUAAAAAAUCUCAUUUCGAAAUAUUUACGAUUGUGCCACUGGGCUUCUCUUGACCAUAUCUCUCUCGUUACAACUCCGAUUCGAGCCCACUACGUGUCUAUGAACUCGUCUCAGUACGACCUAUCCAAAAAUAUAAGUCGCGGUCCCAAACUCUCUCCGGUUAAAAAUAUGACUAAAAUACCCUUAAAUAAUUAAAUAAUUAAAUGAGGGUAAAAUUUGGGGAAAUUUGGGGUCGGGGUGUUACAUUACACAAACCAGUAUACUUGUUCUACUGAUAAUGUUUGUGAUACAAACCUGUUGUAUAGGUAUAGUUGGAUAUUCUACCUGUCCUACAGACUUAGGUUGGUUCAUAAUCUUUUUCACUACAACAGCAAGUAAUCUUGAAAAAUAAACCUUAUAAGCCUAAGGUUCAGGUACAUCAACCAAUACUAAUAAACGGGAAGAAAAAACGCAAUCAAAUUUUACCUACAAACGACAAAUAUGAAAAAUAAACCUUUCCUUACAUACCUUCACUGUAGUUAUGUGCCAAGUCAACUAUUUUCCACCCCAUAUUCAACACUCAAACUACCUCCAUGACACAUGAACCUAACGAAAAAAAAAAUAGAUAAGUUGAAUACUUCAUAGCAAACCUAACGGAAAAAAAAAAAAAAAAAAAUCUGACUGUAACACAAGUAAUUCAAUCCUAAUUUGGAAUUUGUGAAAAUCUUCAUUAAGGAAGUCAAAAAUCAGCAGAGACUGGGAUAGAACGACCAUGAUUGUAGGAGACAAGCAGAUUGUUGGGAGGGGUCGGUUUUAUUUGCCUUUUCUAUUUAAUGGCACUAGAAGUAAAUAUCUUAAAAAGGAUGGACAAAGGCAUUGCUUACGUGUCCAUUGGAUUGUUUGGUGGACUGCUAUUGAGGAGCCAAAAUUGACGUACUUCAUCCAUUGUAUCUUAAUGAAAAUGGAUACCCCUAAAGAUUAUUAAUAAAAGUACACUUAUUAAAAAAAAAUGAAAGAAAGAGAGGAGCUCGAUGAGGAGGAAGACGAGAGAGGCUCUAAAUUCUUCAACAAGAAGAGAAGUUUCUUUUAUGAAGUUGAAAGCAUUGCUCAAAAUGUAAUUGAGAGCUUGUGAAUAUGGUAUUUUGUAUAGGAUGUUGAAGGAUUAAGUGUGUAAUUGGUGGAUUUUGGGCUCUAGAUGGCUAUUGUUAAACUCCAUGGAUAUGUUAGUGUACUGCUUUUAAAUUUUUCAUGAAUAAUUUCCAGCAAUUUAUAGAUUUGUUGUAUUGUAGCUAUUAAGUAAUUCGUUUCUUUGGUAAAAUAUGUAGUUUCAUCUCUAAGUUCUUUUGAUUCCUAUUCAAUUAGGUAUAAUUGUAUCUUUGUGGAAUUUGACAACUUUUUUGUGUGUGUCCGAAAUCAAGUUUCAUUGUGAAUAUCCAAUUAAUGAUGAGUGAACAGCGUGCAUAUGUUAGCUGUUAAUUUGUUUUUUCUUUUGUGGCAUUACCUGUUCAACCAAUAUUAUAUGUGGAGUAAUCGAUUCGGGUAACUUAUUAUGUGUUAGAAAGUGGACUUACCCAUCACAGCACAUGGAGUACACAUCCUCACAGCAAUUGUUUAAUCAACGAUUGUCCCAACCAUGGUCAUGCGUAGCAUAGAUUUCUAAUUAUUAAUUGAUAAUGUCUCCCUCUCUCUAGGGCCGAGAACUCGGGGAUUUUUGCCAUCCCUAGGUAAUUCCUUUUAGAACUUUUUUUUUUUUUUUGAUGAUGUAAUUCCUUUGAGAACUUGUGAUCGACAAAAUGAUGAAAAGAGAUGGAAUCUACUUUUUCAGAGCAAUAAUAGAACCAUAGCAAGAUUUCUAAGCAAUAAUUGAUCAUCUCUCUCUUCUAGUACAUCUGAGCUGAGCUCCAACCACCACCACCACAAUCGAAUCUUAUCUUCUCACAUGUAUUUUUGAUUUUUUAAUUUUGUGUUUCAUCUGGUUGAUUGCUCCCCAGAAUUAAUUCUAGAUGUGUUGUUUUGAUUAAGCUAGCAUAUACCAAAAUAAGGCCAUUAUGGCGUCAGUUUCAGCAGACCUCUUCAUUGGCAAAUUUGUAGCAAUUCUCGAGAGUGAAGCAGCCUCCAUAGCGUGUGUUCGUGAUCAAGUUGAUGAGAUUAAGCAGGAGCUGGUAUUCAUGAAAUCCUUCUUAGAGGAUGCUGACGGCGGAGAGCAGGCACAUACACAAGUAGAGAAAGCGUGGGUCGCAAGCGUUCGAGACUUGGCCAAUGAUGUUGAAAACACCAUUGAUGAGUUCAUGUAUCACGUGUACGAGCAGCGAAAUGGCGGUCGAUUUGCCAGGUGGAUCCACAAAACCAUUCACUUUCCAAAGCACCUUUGGUAUAAGCGUCAAAUAGCCAACAAGUUACAGAAAUUCUUGGUGGCGAUUAGAGCUAUUCCAGAGAGAAAUCAGAGAUAUCGUGGUGCUGCAGCUGUAGAAGGAAAAAGCACUUCUGAGGAUAUUCGGAGAUGGGUGCAGAACCAAGCGGAGUCUUCUCUUUAUCAGAAGGAGGAUGAACUUGUCGGGAUUGAAGGCGAUAAGAACACGUUACUGGGAUGGCUGAUGGAUGAAGCGAAGCAGCAAACUGUUGUGUCCGUGGUCGGGAUGGGAGGAUCAGGGAAGACAACUCUAGUUGCAAGGACCUUCAAAGAUGACAUUGUAAAGAGACAUUUCGAAUGCUAUGCGUGGAUUACUGUUUCCCAGUCUUAUGUGAUUGAAGACUUACUUAGAAGAUUGAUCAAAGAAUUCCACAAAGCAAAGAAGGAAGAGGUCCCUGCAGACAUGAAUGCCAUGAGUUAUAACGAAUUGUUGGAGAUUUUGGUGAACUACUUGGAGACUAAAAGGUACCUAAUUGUAUUGGAUGACGUGUGGGAUGUCCACCUUUGGGACAAAAUAAGGUUUUCAUUUCCAGAUAAACAACUUGGAAGUCGAGUCAUGCUUACAACUCGAAGAGAAGACAUAGGAUCCUCUUCUUUUGGAGUUGAAAGCCAUGUUCACAAGAUUCGACCGCUGGAAAUGGGUGAUGCGUGGGAGCUCUUCAGCAUGAAAGCAUUCUCAAGUUAUCAGAACAAAUCUUGUUCACCUGAACUUCUGCCAUUAGCUCGGGAACUUGUGGAAAAGUGUGAAGGCCUACCACUCGCGAUCGUAGCCUUAAGUGGUCUCAUGUCUUCGAAGAAGUCACUUAAUGAUUGGAGCAAAGUCUACAAUAGCUUAAAUUGGCAUCUAACAAACAAUUCUUUGUUAGAACCUAUGAAGAGCAUCUUGUUGCUUAGUUUCAAUGAUUUGCCAUACAGAUUGAAGCAGUGCUUUCUAUAUUGUUCCCUUUUCCCAGAAGAUCAUGUGAUCAGGAAUAAUAGGCUCAUUAGAUUGUGGAUCGCUGAAGGAUUUGUUGAACAUGUCAAAGGGGUCACACCAGAAGAAGUUGCAAAGGGCUAUCUUAUGGAACUCAUUUUUCGUAACAUGCUACAGGAAAGGUUUGUAAUAGCCCACCCAGCAUGUAAGAUGCAUGAUCUUUUGCGAGAUAUUGCUCUGGCUAUAGCAAACAAAGAUAAGUUUUGCGCUGUACAUGAUGGAAGUGAAACAGUAGAAGAAACUGGGGCACUCCGUUUGUCAAUUCAAACAACUAAUGGAGAAAUUGGAUCAUGCACAGGUAUAUCACGGCUCCGUUCAUUUCUCGUCUUUACCACUGGCGUAUCCUCAUUCUCUUUCUCAAAUAAAUUACCUUUUGACCUUAAAUUGUUGAAGGUUCUAGAUUUGGAGGAUAUCCCAAUAGAUAAUCUGCCAGACGGAGUAACGAGCUUAUUCAAUUUAAAAUAUUUAAAUUUGAAUGGAACUCUAAUUAAGGAGCUUCCAGAAUCCAUUGGACAGCUCCGCAACCUUCAGACCUUGAACAUCACGGGGUCAAAAAUAGAGGCACUUCCAAGAGGGAUUUCCAAGUUGCUAAACUUACGCCAUUUACUUGUGGGUGGGUUCAUUUCCAGAAAGGUAAUUGGGGUAAGAAUACCAUCAAGUAUUAGUAAGAUGAAGAAAUUGCAAUCUUUGUUCUAUAUUGAAUCAGAAGGAAACAUUAUUAGACUUAUUGGAAGUAUGACCCAGCUUACUUUCCUUGGCAUUACAAAUGUGAAAGAAAGAGACGAGGAGGACCUAUGUGCCUCAAUUCAAGAGAUGGAGGUCCUUUCCUGCUUGUAUUUAUAUGUAGCUGAUGGAGAGGAAUUUCUUCGAGUUGACGCAUUGUCUUCACCGCCUCCCUACCUUGAUAGACUUAGAUUGGUCGGCAAACUGGAAAAGGUUCCACAUUGGUUUUGUUCGCUCCACUCUCUCACAUACAUGCAUCUGCAAGGGUCCAGACUUGAAGAAGAUAUACUACCUCAUAUUGAAGCAUUGCCCUCUCUACUUUAUCUUUCCCUUAUUAAUGCCUCUGUUAGGGAAGAGUUAUGUUUCAACAGAGGCUUUGCGAAGCUUCGGCAUUUGUGGUUUUAUGAUCUCGCAUUAUUAACUAAGAUAACUAUAGAAAAAGGGGCGAUGCCAAAUCUCGAGUUCUUAAAGAUUCAUAGUUGCUUGACAUUAGAAACAUUGCCACAGGGUAUUGAGCACCUUACUAAACUGCAACGAUACAGAUUUGAUAAUGUUUCAGAGAAGUUUAGAGAGUCCAUAAAAGAAGGAGGUGUGGAUCAUCCAAGGAUGCUACUCGUCGAUGAGAGAUGUAAGAAAUGUACGUAAGUAUCUUUUAUCCUUUCAUUGACUUUCCUAAACUUAAUGAUUUGGAAUAUUGCACUUGUGUUCAAGAAAUUGUUCUCGUUCACAUCUCUGUUAAUGGAUGUAAAGCCAUAUAAAUUGUUUGUUAAUUACAAUAUUGUUUUUGUCUUUUUAUAUAUUUUGCAGAAACAAGUCCUGGGAUUGAAGAUUUUACUCAUGAGUUUGGGGGUGGGAACUUGUUCGUCUUGUUUUGACCCCAAGAGUGAUCUAGAUUGGCUUCUUAUUUGCUCUUUUGAAAAUCAAACAAUACCCAAGUUGAUGUUCAUAAAAUUGCAGUUGAUGUUUUUGUGUGUGUUUUAAUUUGCAUGUAAUUAGCCCGUAUGUGGCGACUACAAUGUUGAUAUGAUUCAUUUUCUCUUUUUGCUUGAGAUUGUAAUACGUUGAUAGGCUGUCAUGUUAAUUGGUUUUUCCGUAAAUAAUGUGAUCUAGCUAGGUUCAGUCACUCAUGGGUUAGCAAAGUUAUAAAUAAAUAAAAAUUAAAAAAAACAAAAACAAAGCUCUAGGAAACCAUAUUUGGAGUAACAUACAAAAGCUCGUGUAAAAUAAACCAUUAAUAUUAUAUAGAUAUAAUUUAAAAAAUUCAAAAAUAAAUAUAACAUACAAAAUCCAAAAAAAUAAAAAUAAAAAGUAAAGGGAACACAUGCACUAGCACUACAAUUCAAACAUGCAUGAAUAUUGUCUGGCUUUCUUGUUUUACUUUCUUUCUUUUUUCCUUCUACAUAUUUCAGCCCCAAUGAGUUUUACUCCUUUUGUGUGUGGUUGAGGCAAUUAUAGACAAUAUGCUUUCUGUCUUUGGCUACCUAAAAAGUCAAGAAUGAGCCAUGCCUUUUGGUAUUACUUAAACUGAUACUGUGUCCAGGAUUUCAGAUUCUCCAUUCGAUUGGCUAUUCCUUACACAUGUAUGUUGUUAUUUAGAGAGAGAGGGAGGGAGAGAAAGGCAAAGUGUACAAACUAGAAUAAUUGAUAUCUCUCUAGCAAUCCAAGCAUUGAGUGUUGGUCAUUUGAGCUGGUUAUAUCUUGCUCUCUGGCUCUGGCCUUUUACUAAAUCAGGCUCUUUUCUUUUUGCGUAACUUCAGAAACAAUUCGUCGCGCAUUUUCCGUCGCGCGAAGAUCGUGAAGAAAGCCUUUGCGCGACGAGGUAUAACAAUUCGUCGCGCAAAACUGUGCGACGGGUAAACCAUCGUUGCACCAACGGUAUGGAGACGAAACAACUGUUCGUCGCAUAAAAUUUGCGCGACGAUCAAUUAUUCGUCGCACAUAUCUUUGCGCGACGACUGGAAUUGCGCGACGAAAACUAAUUCGUCGCGCAAAACGUGUUCAGGAGACGUAGAUGUUCGCCGCAGAACCAUUCGCGCGAUGAGAAAGCUUUCGUCGCUCAUAUAUUUGCGCAACGAAAAUCUCUGUUGUCGCGCCAGAUAAGAUGCGCGACGAAACAAUUCGUCGCGCAAAACGUGUUUGCGAGACGUAUGCAUUCGUCGCGCAAGAAUUAAAAGUAAUAAAAAAGUUGAUUUUUUUAAUUUUUUUUGUUACAUGCGGGUUUGCGCGACGAAAUAUUUGCCGUCGCGCAAACAUAAUAGUACAAUUUUUUUUAUUUUUUUAUAUUUUUUAUUUUUUAUUUUAAAUAAAAUUGGUUUUUUUAUUGAUUAAACAAUGAAAUUGCAAUAAAAAUAAAUUAGAAUAAAAUUUUGUUAUAAAAUAAAAUAAAUGUAUUACAAAUAAAAUAAAUACACUAAUCAAAUAAUGAAUCAAAAUCAACCGAGUCGUCGCCAGUAUGCGGCUCGGAGGUCGGGGCGUUCACCAGGGCAGUGGUCUGGUGGGGAUGCCCGGGAUGGACGGGCUCGGAGGUCGGCGCAUCAAAAUGCAGGACUGGAAUGCCGGACUGUGCGAGGGACUGCAGAAUGACCGACAUCUGGCUCUGAAGAGUUGCCACCUGUGCUGUCAAAGCAGUGACCUGACUGUUUGAUUGCGCCGAUGAACGAGGUCGAGGUUCCCUCCGCCGGGCAUUCCCCAUCCCUCGACAAUAUGUCCCCGGCCUCCUCCCGAGAGUCUGAUCCAACGUCUCUGUCAAGAUCUGAAAUCCAGCAUCCUGUGGAGGAGCCACAGACUCGAUCGGAGUCUCGGGAGGAAGCUGGGAGGCGGACUCCUGAAGAACCAACUGGCUCCUCUCCACCAUUAUCGUCUGUUGAACAUAACAUAAAAUAUAAAUUAAAACAUGCAUAUAAAUUGAAUGCGUAACAUAAGAAUUAAAAUUAAAUAAUACUUACAUGAAGGGACUCGGCCAACUCAUUCCCGGGUCGAACAUAAACGUCACCAAAGACGUCGAUCUCUGGGAACUUGGACCCCUCCUAAAUUGAACAAGAGAAGAAAAAUAUUAGUAUGAAAAAAAUAAAUUAAUAAAAAUGACAUUAAAAAUGAAAUAAAAAUUUUGUGAUUAUUACCCGACGCCGUGCAUCCAUCCUAUACGAAAAGGGUCUGGAGCCGGAAUGGUGGAGAAGGGUCUUCUUCUUCCUAUUACCCUUAUUCACAUGGGCUUUAUUCUGUUAUACAAAAAAUGAAACGUAUUAGUUCAAAUAUAAAAAAUUAAAUAAUAAUGAAAUAAAAAAAUAAAAUAAACAUUAAUAAGUAAUAAGUAAUAAUUAAAAAAAUACCGCAAAUUCGGGCACUUGAAAAUGAGCGCAGAGCCACUCCCAACUAUCCUCCCGCCCCUCAAGCUCCUUCGGGCAACCCUCCUGAAGAGCGACUUGCGGAUCAUCAUAGGCCUGAAAAUGGUGGUGCAAGUCGCUCUUCCACUGCUUGUACCUCUCAGUGAAGAGUCUGUUGACGUACGUCAACGACUCUUCGUCGAGAUCCUCCAAGUUAUAGUUCGUCUGCAAUCAAUUAAUUAGAUACGUUAAGUAAUAGAAAUAUACACAAUUUUAAAGAAAAAUAAUGAAAAUGUAAGGUACAUACCGACAACUGGCCGCGAACCUCCGCCUUGAUCUCGUCAGGCAUGACCCUCCAAGACUUCCAUUGCAUCGGGCAAUGGGUCCGCACGACGUGGCCAAUGUCGUGGGCCAAGGAGCUAUGCAACUCUGCCGUCGGUGUAGCCCGAUGGCGCUCGUCGUAUCCGAUGCUGAUACGACUGUUGGUCACCCGGGUGACCUUCGCCGUCUUCAGCUGACGACACGGUCCUCGGGUGUUCUUCUUCGCUGCAAAGAAAUAAGGUAUUAAUGUUAAAUAAAAAAACAUUGUCAAAUUUCAAUAUAAAAUUAACAAUACAAAAGUGUAGUUAUACCUGGCUGUGAUCCCGAGGCACCAGUACCGUCGGUCGAUGUCGUGUCGAUGGUGUCGGUGGGCCGGUGCCGCCGCCUAGCACUAGCUGGCUGCGCCACGGAUGACGCAGAUGACACAGGCGCCUGGGACGCCCCGGGACCAACCACCACGUGGUCCAGCAAAGCAGGAGCAGUGGCAGCAGAUGCCGACUGAGCCGGGGGAUCUGAACUCGAUGCAGUCGUCAUCGACCUACCACGUCUAAUCAAGUCUGACAUCUGCACAUAUAAUUUCAUUCAGAAUUUAAACUAAUUAAUUAAAAGCAUAGCCUGACCUAGGGUUUGGAAUUUCGGAGUAUCCGGGACUCCGAUCAACGAUCGGUCGAAUCCUAAACGAUCCUAGAAACACAAAGGUACAACUACGUGAGUUUCAGUUCGAUCCAACGGUCCGAACAUAUCAAACUUGGAAAUCGCACAAUAGGCGAAAUCCGAUCAAGACUCAAACGGCAACAAAAUUCAAAUCUGGGCAAACCUACGCGCUCGUGACAAACAGGGGAUUGCUCUGGGACCCAAUGCCCCACUGCCACAGUAUCCCACCCGCCACCACAUGCGCCGGCAGUGCGUGGGUGUCCAAAGCGAUAAAAUUUGCCGGAAAAUUCUAAAAACUAAGGGCCAAGGUUCCUACCCUAGGUUGAAAACAUUAAUUGGAGCCACUUUUGUUCUGGGACCGACCCCGAAAAAUGGCCGAAAGUGGCCGGAUUUGAUAGAGGCUUACAGUNNNNNNNNNNNNNNNNNNNNNNNNNNNNNNNNNNNNNNNNNNNNNNNNNNNNNNNNNNNNNNNNNNNNNNNNNNNNNNNNNNNNNNNNNNNNNNNNNNNNNNNNNNNNNNNNNNNNNNNNNNNNNNNNNNNNNNNNNNNNNNNNNNNNNNNNNNNNNNNNNNNNNNNNNNNNNNNNNNNNNNNNNNNNNNNNNNNNNNNNNNNNNNNNNNNNNNNNNNNNNNNNNNNNNNNNNNNNNNNNNNNNNNNNNNNNNNNNNNNNNNNNNNNNNNNNNNNNNNNNNNNNNNNNNNNNNNNNNNNNNNNNNNNNNNNNNNNNNNNNNNNNNNNNNNNNNNNNNNNNNNNNNNNNNNNNNNNNNNNNNNNNUGAAUGGCAUUAAUGAACCUGCGCGACGGAAACACUGAGUCGUCGCUCAAAACACUUCUGGCCGCCAAAAUUUGGGGUUAGGGUUUGGCUGAAACUGAAGGGUCUUUGCCUUUGCGCGACGAAGUAAGUACGCGUCGCGCAUAUCUGUCGCGCAAAAUGGCAUUAAUGAACCUUGCGCGAUGGAAACACCUGAGUUCGUCGCGCAAAACACUUCUGGCCGCCAAAAUUUUGGGGUUUAGGGUUUGGCUGAAACUGAAGGGUCUUUGCCUUUUGCGCGACGAAGUCAUGUAAUUCGUCGCGCGAGUUCGAGAUUGUGAUUCGGUUGAAGUUUUCGCUAAGUGUUCAGAGGGUCGAGGGAUUGCGAGACGAAUAGACUUGUAUUGCGCGACGUUUUUAUUCUGUUCGUCGCGCUAGUUCAGAAUUUCAUUCGGUUGAAAUUUUCACUAAGUGUUAAAAGGGGAUGGAGGGGUGAACUGUGUGUCCCAGAUUGCGCGACGAAUGAAAACAUAUCCGUCGCGCAAUCUUUAUGACUUUCACUUUGCGCGACGAAAGGAAUGUUAUUCGUCGCGCAAAACCUAAACCCUAAAAUGUAAACCCUAAGCCGUAAGCCCUAAGCCCUAAACCCUAAACCCUAAAAUAGUUUCAAUGAUCCAACCGGCAAACUUAUUUUUUUUAUACUUGGAGAUCAUAUACGCCAAAAAUCAAAACGACCAAACAUUCAGAUAUCAGAAAACGGGACAAAAUAUUUUGACGGUUAUAAAUGAAAAGUCAUGAUUUAACGGUUAUUUUAAUUCCGAUUUUGAUCAUUUUUUGCAGCAACAUUUGUUGACCCUAUAUGAAUACAAUGACUGAAUUUGAUCUUCAAUUUCAGAUUUUUACACUAGGGGAUACCACAUAAACGUUAAGUUACAUUUUGACAAAUGUAUGAACAAAUUUUUGAGUUUUUGGUGAAUAUACGAUUUUGAUAGCACAUGCAGUCUACGAAACUAGUUUCAGCCAUCCAGCCGUCAAACUUGUUUUUUUAUAAUUCGAGAUCAUAGACAGCAAAAUUCGGCCCAAAAAAACAUUCAGAGAUUAAGUAACGGGGUAAAACUUUUCGACGGUUCUAAAUAAAAAGUGAUGAUUGAACGGUUAUUUGAACUCCGAUGUUGAUGAUUUUUUGCACCAAUAGUCCUACACUCCAUAUGAAUACAAUGAACUACUUCGAUCGCCAAUUUGAAAUAUAUAUGUGUGUAUAUAUUAUACUAUAACGUAACCUAAUAUAUAUUUGCGCGACGAAGUUCUUCUUAUCGUCGCGCAAAAAACCCCAUACGCGACGCAUUCAUGUUCGUCGCGAAAACUAUUGCGACGAGGUUUGUUCGUCUCGCAAAAUUUACGCGACGCAUUUUUUUGCGUCGCGUAUGGUAUUUUUGCGCGACGAUAAUGUGUCUUCGUCGCGCAAGGAUUUGGCGCCAUAACUCCUCCUUUAAUUCAAAUUGUGUAUGCUUUGUAUUUUUGGGAAAGGUUUUGUAUUCAUCAUUUUUUAUGCUUUGUAUUUUUUGGAAAGGCUUUGUAUUUCUUCAUCAAAACCAAACUAAAUUGAUAAUUAAGAUUUGAAUCGACCGAAUUUAUCGGUUUGACUAGAUUGAUGCCACUAAUCAUGAACCAAAGUGAAGAAAAAUAAGUGGCACACAGCUAAUAUUGGAGAAAUAACUUAAAUUUUCUGUUUAAACAUGAAGAAAUAACUAUAUCUCAAAAGAAAAAAAUAAUAAUUGAAGAGGCCUUAAGGCAUGAAUAAAUAAAUAAAUAAAUAAAAACCAAUCAACAAGCAUGGGGUCGUAAUAAGUACUGACUAAAGUAUUGACAUUCCAAUGAAGUUUGUGAUGAAAUAUGGAGAAUGAAUACACAACUACAUAUGGACAACUACAUAUAUUCAAAGAUUUGUAUUACAAAAAAUGAAUACACUAACAUAAUAAAUUUACAAAUAAAUUCAUUAUUCAUCAUCUGAACUAUAAUAACUUUCGUUAUCGUCGCUAUCAUCACUCUCGGUCUCCCAAUCUUCUUCCUCCUCCUCCUCUAUAACCGCAUCAUCGGCGUUGCUAGGGCCCACUGCAACAUCGUAUCGAGGAAGAUCACCGAGGUCAAUUGUAAUUGACUGAAUCGGUAUUUCGACUGAAGACACUCCUUCUAUUUGAAACGGUUCUUGUAUAACAUUUGUAUCUCGAAGUGUUUCCGCAUCAUUUUCCAUUGAAGAUUCUAAACGUUGGUCAGCCACAUUGUCGACGUCGUUGUCACUUGGGUCUAGUUCUGGUAUAUCAUACACGUUCCUAUGAUCCAUCUUCUGCACAACUUUCCACCCGUUCCCGGCUUUAGGGUCAUCUAGAUAUACAAUUUGGGACGCCAUGUUUGCCAAAAUGUACGGGUCGUCAUCAUACCAAGUUCUGUUAAUGUUCACAGACAGUACUCCAUGGUCGAUUUUAACACUUGCCGCCCUAUUUGGGUUGGUAUCGAACCAUCGACACUUAAACAUGAUGACUUGGUAUCGAUCUUUGUAAAGCAAUUGCACGACAGUUGUCAGUUUGCCAUAGAAAUCAAUGUCCGUACUUUCGCCUCCACCUGGGACAUGGACACCGCUGUUUUGCGUACACAACUUGUCAUCUCGUGCGGCCCCCAAAAAUUUGACGCCGUUAACAUUACAACCCGAGAACAAUUCAGCGCGAAUUGGGCCGAACGCCAAGUUAUAUAACUCAUCACUGUAAGUGGGGGAAUUCGAUGAUUUCAAUUUAUUCACCUAAUAGUAUACAAAACCAUUUACAUGUUAGUCUGACAAAAUUAAAUACUACAAUUUAUAUUUGUCAAUUACAAAACACUUAUAACUUACAGAAUCCAAAAACCAUUGUGGAAAUAAUUCACGGUGUUUCCGGGCAGCCAAAUGUGAUGGAUGUUCUCGCUUCAUCAUCUGUUCAUGCUCAUCUAAGUAGGCCAUUAUCUCAUCACAAUUGUUCAGUACGAACCAAUGCGCUACCUCCAUGUCAUUUCUAGAAAACGACUCUCCUCGUCCAGGAUCUCCAAAUGGUCGUGCGCUUUGGGAAAAAACAGAAAGUUUUUCAUCUCUCAUACCUCCGUCAUUAUUGCGUUGAGGACGAUUGAAAACCGUCUCCACAUCUUUUAAAUACAUUCCACAGAAAGUAAGCGACUCAUAUUGAACCCAAGCCUCUAUAAUUGAUCCUUCGGGCUUUGCCCUGUUGCGUACACUUUUUUUCAGCUCUCCGAGAAGCCUGCCAAAAUAAAACGAUAUGAUACAAAUUAGCAAACUGUCGAUAAUGAUGCAUACACAAAUGAUAAAGAUUAUAUACCUUUCUAUUGGAUACAUCCAGCGAUAGUUGACAGGAUCAGCAAGCAAUGCCUCUUCUGGCAAGUGAACCAUCACGUGCUUCAUACUUGUAAAGAAAGCGGGCGGAAAUAUCAUCUCAAACUUGCAUAGGACUUGGACAAUGUCAUGGCGCAACUGAAACAUGUCUGUCCUUCGCAAUGUUUUUGCCGUCAGUUGGGAAAAAAAUCUGGAUAACAACAUGAUUGGCUUCACCACAUCUUCCGGCAGUAGGUGUCGAAUACCCACAGGAAGUAGACGUUGCAUAAACACAUGGCAGUCAUGGCUCUUAAGUCCAGUAAAUUUACCCCCAUCGACAUUCACGCAACGUGCGAUAUUAGAAGCAUACCCAUCGGGAAAUUUGACAGACGAUACAAACUUUAGAAACUCUUUUUUGUCAUUCGGUUUCAUAGAAAAGAAUGCAAGAUCCCUUCUAGCUUUAUCACUGUCCCUAUUCAUCCAUAAACCCCUUCGUAUGCCCAUUCUUUCCAAAUCAAGACGAGCUUUGAUCGUGUCCUUCGUCUUCCCCUCGUUAUCUAGAAUCGUGCCCACCAAUGUGUCGAAUACAUUUUUCUCAACACGCAUCACAUCUAGAUUGUGUCUCAAUUUCAGUUUCGACCAAUAUGGGAGCUCAAAAAACAUAGGCUUGUGCGUCCAGUUCAAAUGUGUAGAAGGUCUGGUCCGACUAACUGUUUUCCCGAACGGAGCAAAAUCCAAACGGUUCAGCUGUUCCAAGAUCUCAUCACCGGACCAUUCUCUAGGUCUGAGGCGACGCUCUGUGUUCCCGUCGAACUCUUUAUCUUUUUCCCGCCAUUCGUGGUCCCAUGGCAACCAUCUCCGAUGACCAAGGUAACAAACUUUUCCUGCGUGCCAACCAGAAGUUACAUCUUCCUUGCAUACAGGACAUGCCAUAUAACCCUUUGUGCUCCACCCAGAAAUCAUUGCAUAUGCUGGGAAAUCAUUCACAGUCCACAUAACUGCUGCCCGCAAAGUGAACAUCCUCCCAGUUGAUUUAUCGUACGUGCGAACACCGUUUGUCCAUAAAUCCUUCAGCUCAUCAACCAGAGGCCUUAAGUACACAUCAAUUGACCUGCCAGGAUCCUCAGUUAUCAAAACAGUCAUCAUCAUGUAUUCUUUUUUCAUGCAUUUCCAAGGCGGCAAAUUAUAUGGGAAUGCGAAAAUCGGCCAAGUGCUGUGGUGUUGGUUUAGAACCCCAUACGGAUUGAAUCCGUCAGUGGCAAGUCCCAAUCUAACAUUUCGGGGAUCAGCAGCAAACUCGGGGAACGUUCGAUCGAACUCUUUCCAUGCCUCCCCAUCUGCAGGAUGCCGCAUCACAUCAUCGUCUACCCGUUUUUCCUUAUGUCAUCUCAUGUCUGUGGCAGUAUGCGUCGACAUAUACAAUCUCUGCAACCUAGGUUUAAGGGGCAGAUAACGCAUCCUUUUUUGUGGUAUCUUAGUCGUUCUAUUCUGGGAUGUCAUUUUGAACCUCGACUCAUUGCAUAUAGGGCAUGUAUCCAACGUUUCAUGCUCUUUGUAGAAUAACAUGCAAUUGUUUUUGCAAGCGUGGAUUUUUUCAUAACCCAAUCCAAGACCAUGCAACACCUUCUGUGCAUGUUUAUGGUCUUUCGGCAAACAAUUGCCCGUCGGAAGCAUUCUCUUGAAAACCCCCAAAAAGUAAUCGAAAUACAAGUUCGACAUACGAUACUUUAUUUUUCUGUGCAUUAGCUCCACAAUGGCAGUGAGAACGGAAAAGCUCUCGCACCCCGGGUAUAACUCUUGGUUGGCAUUUUUUAACAGUUUUUCAUACUGUUCAAACUCCGCACUGUCUAUUGGUGUAGGCACGUCAUAUUCCCCUUCCUGAUUGAUGCUGGUCGAUGCGAAUGGAAAAGCAUCCUGUAUAAUACCCAUGACUUGAUCAUUAGGAUCCACAAUAGGUUCAACAUUGUCCACUCUUGGGGCAUUUGAAGACGAAGCAUGGUCUACUUGUUCGCCGUGAAGGUUCCAAAUGCUAUGUGUUUCAAUCAUUCCAUUCCUUACUAAAUGAAAUCCAACAUUUUCAAUUGUCUCAAACAACGUGUUGUUACACCUCCUACAAGGACAACGGAUUCUAGUUGCACCCGGGUUCUGUCUACGUGCAAACUCAAUAAAAUCCUCGAUUCCAUCCAAGUAUUCGUCUGCGCAUCUAUUCGGGUUAUGUAUCCACCUUCUGCUCAUAAUUCCUGAAACCACAAUCACGACACAACAAUCACAACAACUUCAUACGAAGUUAUAAUGUCACCUUAUGCCUCCGGUAAGGGCCCUAUCCCAUUCGGGAAUGCAUAGUCCUGUCACGUAACCUACGGCUACAUGAGAUUAGAUUUCGACGUGGAUUAAUUUCGGCAGCAUCUCGACACAGUUCUUAAAGUGGGCAUAGGUAUAAAUACCUACGUACCACCCGAAGAACGUACCGAGAUGACACCGAAAUCUCCACAAUCGAAACCUAAUCCUGUAGCCGAAGAUUAUGUGACAACACUAUGCAUUACCAAACUGUCCAAGUAAUGGGACAAUUCAAGAAUUAAUUGGACCGCAGUCAUGCCUUACGCAUCCAUGCACGAAAUCCAACUAAUCUCGAACGGGAAACUACGUGUUACUAAACAUAAAAAUAAAAGUACGAAGUUAAUUUCAAUUAACUUCGUACAUCACAACACAUUGUGCUACGUCACGCACAAUUUCACAACAUUAUACACAUAAAACUUGACAAAAAAAUUACAAACUUAACAAACAAACUUUUACAAUGACAUACCUUCUCAAUCGUUCUCCACCAAUCACUAAUCACAAAUAUCCCUAACGAGAACAAAAUUAAUAGCAUUAGUACGAAUUUACAUUAAUACAUUUAAACUAACGACAAAAAAUACAUACCUAAUAAACGUACAUAAUUCACAGCAGAGCAGCAGCAGGGAGGGAGAGUGAGAGAGAGGCAGAAUGCAAUUUUUGCAUUCUGCCUCUGCAAUGGCAGAUACAAAUAUGAAGAAGAAGGACUUUGCGCGACGAACAAGGCAAAUUCGUCGCGCGAAACGCCGUCGCGAAAACCCACUUUUCCGUCGCCCAAAACAACAUUUCCGUCGCGCAAUCACGUGUCGACAACUGAUUUUUUGCGCGACGAACAAAAUUAUUCGUUGCGCAAAAUUCCGUCGCGCGUUUACAAUCCGGCGUCGCGCAAAGUGCAACUUUCGUCGCGCAAAUAAAACUUUUUCGUCGCGCAAGAACGCACCGCGAUUAAACUUUACGCGACGACGGCACUUCCGUCGCGCAAAAACCCACCUGCAUAUUGGCGCCAAAAAUAAGUUUCCCUCGUUUUCUUACGCGACGGUUGAUUUUUUUCGUCGCGCUAAGUUGUCUUCUGAGACGAAAACUCUCGUCGCGCAAAAUUUUUUUACCGCCAUAAUCGGAGCCAAUAUUCUGUCCAUCUUUGCGCGACGAAUACCUGGAAUUAUCGCGCAAUAUAGUCAUGCGCGACGAUCUCUGUCGUCGCGCAAGAGUUUGGCGCAAUAACAUAGACUUUACAACCUUUGCGCGACGACAUUUAUUUACGUCGCGCAUAGACUCUUUCCGCGACGAAAUUAUUUGUCGCGCUAGUUGUCUGUUGUAUGCGCGACGGAAUCUUUUUUUCGACGCAAAAGUGCUCCUUGCGCGACGAAAUUGUCUUCGUCGCGCAAACUUCCAUCGCGCAAAUAGUAAAUCGUAGUAGUGAACAGCUUAAAGUGGCAUCUAACAAACAAUUCUUUGUUAGAACCUAUGAAGAUGCGCAUCUUGUUGUUUAGUUUUAAUGAUUUGCCAUACCGAUUGAAGCAAUGCUUUCUAUAUUGUUCCCUUUUCCCUGAAGAUCAUGUGAUCAUAAAUAUAAGGCUCAUUAGAUUGUGGAUCGCUGAAGGAUUUGUUGAACAUGUCGAAGGGCUCACGCCAGAAGAAGUUGCAAAUAGCUAUCUUACGGAACUCAUUUUUCGUAACAUGCUACAGGAAAGGUUUCUAGGAUCCAUCCCAGCAUGUAAGAUGCAUGAUCUUUUGAGGGAGUUUGCUCUGUCUAUAGCAAAAAAAGAAAAGUUUUGUGCUAUACAUGAUGGGAGUGAAACUGGGGCACUCUGUUUGUCAAUUCAAACAACUAAGGGGGAAAUUGGAUCAUGCACAGGUAUAUCACGGCUCCGUUCGUUUCUUGUCUUUGCCACUGGAGUAUCCUCAUUCUCUUUCUCAAAUAAAUUACCUUUUGACCUUAAAUUGUUGAAGGUUCUAGAUUUGGAGUAUGUCCCCACAACUACAAAAAAGCAAAAAGACGACGGUAAAUCACCGUCGUGUAUUGGGUUUUUCAAUGGUCGUGGAAUCCACCGUCAUCUUUUCCCUCAUAAACCACGACGCUAAAUAACCGUCGUUGUUAAAAUAUACAACGUCAUCAACAAAUACAAAACGACGUCUUUGUACUGCAAAAAGAUCUAAAAAAAGCAAUCGAGGAUGAUAAUAGACGACCAACUCUCUAAAAAAACCGUCGUUAAAAAGGAAAAAUAUGACACAUAUUAACAGAACAAGGCCGCAAGAUAGACAUACAACGACGAAAAUACAAAUACGACGACGUUAAAUAUAAUUUUCACGACAAUAAAAAAUAUGACGUCUUUAAAUACAUUAGAAGACGACGUUAUUGAUACCUACUACGUCGCAUAUAUAAAAACAACCGUCGUAAAAUUAAUUUUCCACUUCGAUUUUUCGAUAAAAGAUGACGUGGAAAUAGUUGUCAGUGUCAUUAUUUACGACGUAUAUGUUAAUAGAGUAGACGUUGAAAAACUAAACAACGUCGGUUACAAAUAUAUGAGAGUCGUAUUACAAAAUUUAUACGUCCUAUUUUCAGAAACAAACAACGACGAUAAAUAUUAGACGUUGUUAAAUAAAACAACGUCGGAAAAAAAUAAAAACAGACGUGUUUAGUCUGCUAAAGUUCUAGAAAAUAGUCGAGGAUGAGAAUAGACGACCAACUCAAAAAAAUCACCGUCGUUAAAAAGGAAAAAUAUGACACAUAUUAAAAGAACAAGGCCGCAAGAUAUACAUACAACGACGACAACUAAAAUACUACGCCGUUAAAUAUAAUUUACCCGACAAGAAAAAAUAUGACGUCUUUAAAUACAUGAGAAGACGACGUUAUUGAAAUCUACUACGUCUCUUAUUUAUAAAAAACCGUCGUGAAAUAAAUUUUCCACUUCGAUUUUUCUAAAAAAGAUGACGUGGAAAUAGUUGUCAGUGUCAUUAUUUACGACGUAUACAUUUAUAUAGUCGACGUUGUAUUUAUAUGUAUUCAUUACUCACGACGCACUUAAUAAUAUAGACGACGUUGAACUUCUAAACAACGUCGGUUCCAAAUAAAUGAGAGCCGUAUUACAGAACAUAUAGACGGCGUAGAUUAUGAUGAGAGCCGUAUUACAAAUAACGUCGUUUAAUUAUUAUUAGACGGCGGUUAUAAUGAAUUUCCGUCGGAAUUCAUUUCGUUCCUCUUCGUUUAUAAAAGAACUUGCGACGUGGAAAAUGUAUGAUGACGUCGUAUUUUUUAACGUUCAGAUUAUAUAUCUCGUUUUUUAGACGUCGUUAUUAUGGGAUUGGAGUCAUGUUAUUUUGAAUUACAUGGCGGUUCUUAAUCCUUCCCCGACGUGAUAUCCUGGAUAAUUGCUUCACAAUAGCGUCGUGGUUCUUCAUUGUUACGUUGCUUUAAGACGUCGGUAAAUAUGUUGAAUAAAUGGUUCACCAUAACGUCGUGUUUUAUUUGAACAGACGUUGUUUUUUAUGCAGAAUAUAAUGAUGUAAUCUGGAUCCAGUAUUUUUUGCACUGAUUGUUUUGUGGCCAAAACCUGUAUAAUGAAAGUGAAGAAAUCACAUUACAAUAUAUUAUAAAAUGAAUGUCAUACACUGCCAAUUACAUAAGCAUCAUUCAAUCCAUAUAUCUUCACACCCACCUCGAAUAUUUUGAGCACCUAACUCACCCACCAGUUCAUCAAAUGUGUCAACAUUUGGCAUCCCUCUAGUAAAUGGCUCACACUCAAUUAUCACAUCACCUAAGACUUCAUCACCAAUAACAUCAUUAUAUUCUCUAUUAGGCAUUGAUAACACUACCGACCAACCACGAUGCAUCGGGUCGUCAACAAAAAAUAUUUGUUUGACUUGAGAAGCCAAAACAAAUUGGUCAUUCCUAUGUCCAAUUUUACUCAAAUCUACAAGGGUAAAUCCAAGUUCGUCGACUACAAGACCAGAACUAUCUAUCCAAUCACACCUAAAGACUGGGAUUGUAAACUUUUGGUAGUCAAGGUCCCAAAUUUCUUGAAUGACACCAUAGAAACCCAUAUUUGAGAGAAUUGGAUUUUUAUCCUUGGCACUAGCAACUUGCAUGGUAUGUGCAAGUAAAUAAACUCCACUAUUUUGAGUUGUCCGCACAUCAUCUUGUGCCUUGAUAUUGAAUUUAAUACCUUUAAUAAGAUAGCUCCUAUAUAAUGGCACUGCCAUGUUUGGACCAGCUGCUAGCCAUCUUAAAUUUUCUGAUACGCCAUUAUUGUCUUCCUCAAGUUCACUUUGAACCUGCAAAUUAAUCAAAUCUUAAUUCAAUCUAACAUAGAAAUAAGAAGAAAAUUAAAAGAGAAAUAUGUUAUUCAACAACAUAUACCUUGAAGCGUAGCCAUUGAAUGAAAGUGCUAUUGUGCUUAUCCUGCAGCCACUUUGUUCUCUUUCUAAAUUUUGGAUAAGCAGUCUUGAUGACUUAUCCAUUCAUAUGCCUUCGAUCUUCUAUCCGAGUGCAUCCAUGACUUAUCCAUCUCCGACACUAUAACCUAUUAUCUAUAAUAAAGUGAAAAUACAGGCAAUGACCAUCACUAUAGCAGAUUAUACAAUGAUCUAAUCGCAAGUAAUACACAACAGAGACGACGGGUUUUAAACAAAAACAGACGUAUUUGGCAUAUAUAGACGACGGAUUUUCAACAGACGUCGUCUAUUAUAAGUAAUACAAACGACGGUUUAUGAAAAAACCGUCGUGUACAAGUAAUACAACGACGGUAGUGUAAAAAAACCGUCGUGUAAUCGUCGUCGUAUGCCUUAAAAUUCGUCGUGUCUCAGUUUAUUUUCAAGAACACAAAACCCAUUAAGAACACAAUAUAUAUAUGAAACCAAGCAAGAAACCAACAUAUACAUGAAACCAAGCAUGAAAACAAUAAAUCCAUUCCCAAUUCAACAUAACAUAGGGUGAUUAAAAGAUACGACAAAAUUAAAUCCAUUCCCAAUUCAACAUAACAGAUAAUGUAAUCCAUGAACCCAUUAAACAGAAAAUCCAUGAACCCAUACCUAUAAGCACAUUAUUAACAGAUCGCAAAGCAUACACAUAAAACCCUUUAACAAAACAACCUAAUAUCAUUCAAUGAAUUUACAAGGGGAAGAUAGGGUUUGUACUUAUAGGUUGGACGAGCUCACAGAUUCGACGGAGCCUGGAGAGUGCAACUUUUAAUUAGAGCAGAAGUGAGAGCGAAAUGUUAUGUCGCGCGAAAUCUGAAAAUUUUAGGUUUCAGGGUUCGAAGUAUAAGAAUAAGAGCCAAAUCUAAAAAAAUUUAGGUCGCGCGAAAAUUUUUAGAGCUCGCGCGUUUUAAAACGUCGAAAGAAAAACCAAGGCGAAAGUUCUACAAGUACCGACGUAAAUUUAAUAUUCCACGACGGAAACUUCAUUUUUCGGAUUAAGAACGUAAGGCCGUUCAUUUUGAAGCUUCAUUUUUCGGAUUAAUUUUAAAUUUAUUUUGAAUUUUUUAUAUAACGACGACUGAAAAACCACGUCGGUGUUAAGAAAUUAAAGACGUUGUAAAUUAUAUAAACUGACUUACAUAUUAAAAUGACGUCGUUUAAAGCGUAAACCAUGUCGUAUGUUUUACUGUACGACGUAAAAUAUGUAUUCCACGACGCAACCACCGUCGUUAAAAAUUAAUACCCUAAACCCAUAAAACUAAAUUAUACAAUUUAAAAAAUUAAGUUUAUAAAAGGUUUAUGGUUUUAAAGCCUAACAUAUACCCUAGACUACCCAAAAAUUAUACUUUAAAAAUAAACCCCAAUAAAUAACAACCCUAAUCUCUAAACCCUAGACUCUAAACCCUAAACCAUAAAACUAGAAGUGAUUUUAUGACUCAUCAAAACAAUUUUGUUUUGGAUGGUCAUUUUAAAUUUUUGUUAUUCAAAAUGAAUUUUUUCAAGGUUUAUGUGGAAGAAAAUAUAUCAAUGACUUCAUAGGAGUUGACUUUUCAAUUUUCUGAUUUAUUUUAAAUUUAUUUUGAAUAUUUUGAUAUAAAAAUAAUAAAAUAUUCUUACCACAACAACAAACCACGUCGGUGUUAAUAAAUUGUAGACGUUGUAAAUUGUAAUAAACUACUAAGUCGUUAAAAUGACGUCGUUAAAAUGAGAAACCAUGGCGGCUAUUUAACUAUACGACGUAAAAUAUAUAUUCCACGACUUAACCGCUGUCGUUACAUAAACGUCGUCGAUGAUACCCUGAACCCUUAAGAAAUUGAAGAUGUUGUAAACCAUAAACGACUCAAUUGUUCAAAGAACGUCGUCUAACUAUAUUUUUACGUCGUAUUUGUUUAAAACACGAAACAACAAAAUACGACGGUUUUUGACUUUAUUAGGUCGUUGGAAAAGUAUUACACGUCGGUUAAGCAAUUUGUAUGUUUGUUUUUUUUUUAAUUUAAGAAAACCUCAACAAAUUUUUACAUUACAUAUUAUAGAGAAAAUUUGUACAUUAUACAUAAAUAUCAAGUGUUCAAUAAUUGCCCUGUUUAAUAAUUUGGAAAACAAACUCUGCCCAUUCAUUCCGGACUUCAUCAAUGGCUUCUUGGGGGUAUGAAGCUUCCUGGUUUCCCUUGGCAUACUGCAUAAACAAUGACUAUUAGGGUUUAUAAAUAAAAAGAAAUUCAAUCACAAACGACGAUAUUUUUCAUAACCGACGUAGUAUAUCCAUUCAACGACGUUAAUUUUACAUGACCGUCGUUGAUAAUACAAAAAACGACGUGAAAUGUAUGAAGGUAAUUUCUUCUUACCUUAUACUCAAACCCCAAGGAAGGAUCCAUGAUGAUGUCCCUCAUGAAGCGCAUCACAUAAUACCCGCAUUCGACAUUGCUGGGUUGCUUUGGUGUGCCUGAGAGAGUUUUCCAAAUUACAUUUUUACGUCCUGCUCGGGCUAUGUGGGUAUUAUAUAUUUUUAAAGCAUUGUUCACGAUGUUUUUCGCCUCUUCGUCGACCACACAAUGACCUGGCAGAGGAUCCAGAAAAUAGACGGUCUCCUUCUUUGCUCUUACAAUCAGCAAGAUCCAAUGACGGCUGCACAAAAUUAAUAUAAAAACGACGGUUAUUUACAAAAACGACGUAUUAUAGUAUUUCACACGACGAAAUAAAGUAGAUAACGACGACAUUAUAUAUUUAUCACGACGAUAAAUAAAUACCGACGUGGUUAGUAGUUUCAAACGACUAAAUAAAAUAAAACACCGACGUGGUUAGUUUAUAAGCUGUCAUUUAUUGAAAAUCAUAAAAACAAAAUCCUAAGGAGACUAACCCUGGAUUGUAAGGCAUCAUGAAAAUCUGUUCACCGUCUGUCUUCUGAAGUCGAGCUGCUACCAGUCGUGAUCUUUCAGUUAUUGUGCCAGAGUUGGCACUAACUGUAGCAGGGUCGAUAAAGCCAACCAUGCUGCACAUAUUGGCUUGUUUCAAAACAUCGUGUAAGUACCUAAAUACAUAAAAUAAUAUAAACAAGUCAGCACAAAAAAACACGACGGUUAUGUAUAAAAAAACGACGUAUUAUAAUAUUUCACACGACGUACUGAAAUAGAUGAGGACGUUAUAAUAUAUUUAUCACGACGGUAGUUAGUUAAGACGACGUGGUUAGUUAGUUAAGACGACUCAAUAUAUAAACCAACGAGGUAUUAUUUUAGAAGUACAAACCUCAUAUAUACAGCCAAUACAGUAGCUCCAAUUUCUUCCGUGCCUGCAAAUUGUGUAAUAUCUUCAGGCAGGAGGAAGGUAUCGCGCUCACCACCAAACACCUCCUUAUCAAUUGUAAAUUGGAGUGUCUUAUCCUCAGGAAGGAGUGUCGUUUCCAAAAAACGACAAAGGGUUUUUAAAGAAGAUGGCGCCUCCAUAGUUGAAUAAUCACCAACUUCAAUAACCUGUUUAAAGAAAUAAAAAAAAUGACGUGGUAAUUCAAUAAAGACGACGGUUUAAGGAAUAAAACGUCGUCUUAAAAGUAUUUAAACGACGGUGAAAAAACUGUCGUGGUAAUUCAAUAAAGACGACGGUUUUAUGAAUAAAGCGUCGUCUGAAACCAUUUAAACGACGGUGCAAAAACCGUCGUUUAAAUAUUUUAUUACGUCUUAAAAAAAUUCCGCCGUCUAAGUUGUAAACAAACGACGGAUUAAAUAAAAAUAUCGACGUCUGAAAUUUUGAAAAACAAAUAAAAAAGGCAAAGUUAUGUGAACAUACCUUGUCGUCAUGCUUUUCUUCAUCUUCUUUCUCCUUUUCUUCUUCCUUCUCUUCAUCUUUUUUUUCUUCUUCCUUCUCUUCAUCUGGCUGAUGUUUCCCCAUUUUGGCAGUAUCAUCCUCCAAAUGUAGGGAUCUCACAUCACCUCCAGAGCAGCUAGCUUUGUCAGACAUUGGAUUUUUGGGGCUUUGGCUAAUUCUUGGUUUAAGCAUGCUUGGAUCAAAAUUGGGAAUUAAUUGGGAAAGCUGACUCAGGAAAUGCUCCCUCUCAGCCUCUACCAAUUGUUUUGUCCUAGCCUCCAUCCUUAAGGCCUCUUCCCUUGCCUUAGCCUCCAUCUUUUUAGUCUCUUCUUGAAGGAGAACUCUUAAACUGUCCUUCAAACGGUCGUCAAAGCUCACCCUCUGUGGUUUGGGCAAAUUGAAAUAUUGCCUUGGGGAAACACCAGCACCAACUCCCCUCACUCUGCCUGGAUGCUCGGGGCCCAAAGCCAUGGUCAGCACAUCAUUGCUGCCAUCUACUCUGACUUUGCCUUCCGAGACUUGUUUCUGCAAUUCAUCCUAAAACAAAGAUAAACAAAAAAAUACACGACGGUUAUUUAUGUACAAACGACGUAUUAUAUAAUUUCACACGACGCAAUAACGUAUAAACCGACGUUAUUAUAACUUAUCACGACGGUAGUUAUACCGACGUGGUUAUUUAUUUAAAACGACGAAAUGAAUAAACAACCGACGUCUUAUGCUAUAAUUAAAGAAAACAGAGUAGUGAUUCCUAUUUAGACCGUUAACGACGUUUUUAAAAAAGUUUCGACGUGGUAAUAUCAUUCACACGACGCGAAAAUGAACCACCGACGUCUUAUGCUAUAAUUACAGAAAACAUAGUAGUGAUUCCUAUUUAGACCUUUAACGACGUUUUUAAAAACUUGUCGACGUGGUAAUAUCAUUCACACGACGAAAAAUAUAACAUACGACGUAAUAAGAAUAUUUCACAGUUUAAUAAAAAUUUAAAACAGAGUGAUAGUAGGCUUACAAUUAAUUUUGCUUUCUCUGCCACCUUUGGAUCAGGGAUGUUACCAUGUUUGUCCUGUCUAGCUCUCUUCCAUAAGGUAGAUCGAUCAAUUUCUACCCCAGGCAUGGUUUCCUCCAAUUGAUCCUCCAAUCCAGCAUAUCCUUUUCGAGACAAUCGAUGAUUGUACUCGAGUUUCUCCCUAAUCUGUGCAUGUUGAGAAUGCACAGACUCAAAAUCUUUGGAUAGCCUCGAAGCUACAAAGGCAUCCCAUUGUGCUUUCUCUAUGAAUUUAUAUGUUUCAGGGGGUUGGCUUAAUUUCUCCCUGUCAUUGGUGUAUGGAAGGAUAUAAUGCCUCGUUAGUGUAGACUUGAAAUCCUUCCCUUUCUUGGCAGCAGAAGCUAAAACAGAGGUCUUACCCCCUUGGCCUACGACAAAAGCCAUGUCAACUGCUUCCCAAAUCUGCUCCUUUAUAUCCUUGGGGAUUUGGGACCAUUUCUUGUCCACAAGUGGGAUCCUGGAGCGUGCCAACACACCAAUAUACGACUGCAUCUCAAUAUGUGCUUGGCCAACACCUUUCCCCCUUUUAUUGUACUCAACAAUUGGCCUCAGUUUCUGAAGCUUUCUCUUCACAACACGAGGCAUUGUGCUCAUACCUCGACCAGUCUUUGAAUCAUCAGAGAUUGUUGUCUGGCUGGUUGGUUCUGUCUCAGCAGAUGAUGAAGCAAACUUCAUCUUCUUCGAAGACUUCAUCUCCUUCGAAGACUUGUCUUGAGGAGCUACCAUUCCAAGCUUCUUGGAGCCAGAAUCCUUAGUUUGUUGUUGAGAAACCAUUUUAACAGACAAAACUGCAAGUGAAAAUAUUUCAGGAAAACAUUAAGAACACAAACGACGGUAUUAAAAAAAUACGACGUAUGAUAUGAUUUUAGACGACGCAAUGAAAUAAUCUCAGACGUAAUAAAUGUUUAAAACCAUUAUUUAUAUAACGUCGUGGUAUAUAUGUUCACACGACGUCAAUAGUAAUACACCGUCGUGGUAAAACUAUUAUUUAUAUAACGUCGUGGUAUUUAUGUUCAUACGACGUCAAUAGUAAUACACCGUCGUGGUAUUAACAUUCACACGACGUAAAACAAUAAGAUAUUUUGUCGUCUACAUUAGAUACCAACCCUAGUUUCUUUUUCUUUAUAUUUUAUCAAAUAAGGGAAAAACAAAAACCAUUGUUCAGAGAAAUCAAACCUGCAAUUAAACAAGCAUAUAAAAAAAGACUAUUAUUUUAAAAACAACUUUGUCAAUUUUCAGACGACGCUAGAACAACUGACGAACCGUCGUGGUCUACCGUCGUCUUAUUUAGUUGAGGUAGUUGUCUUCAAAGUUGGAAACUUUCCCUCUUUGUCUGUAUAUUUUAUCAAACUUGGAAAGAAGUAAAAUGAUUUUGGCCAGAAAAAAGGUAAAAAGAUUUUUCAAACAAAAAACGUAUGAGCAUGCAAAACAGUAACCAAAAUAGUGAAAAUGAAAGCUUACCUUUUGCGUGCAAUGAAAGCAAGAGGAAGAUGAUCGAUGUUUAAGUUCAGAGACGACGAAGAAGACGAGAGGAAGACGAUGAGAAACUCUGACAAUGCUCUGACAAGGAAAAAAGACGAAAAGGUUUCUCUGGGAGAUUGAAAUUUUUAAUCGGGUUUGGAAACAGUGCAUGUGUAAGUCGAAAAGUUGCUUACAUAUAAAACCAUUUCAAAAAAAUAAUACGGCGGUUACAUUUAACUACGUCGUUUUUAACUAACACGACGCAAUAUUUUUCGUUCGACGUGGAAUCAUUUCAUUUAACGUCGUUAGGUUUAAUAUAACCGACGUGGAUUUUAAUUUUUAAAUUAUGAAUAGAAUUUUUUUUCCCGUGACCUUUCAGUUUAUUUUUCAAUUACAGUGCGUUAUAAAUAGAGUUUUUUUUCCUGAGGAAAUUUAAAACGAAGGAAAUUAAUAUUCUGCAAUAUGUAAAGUUUCUUUUUUGGAUGACAGAUUUAAAUAAAAUAAGAAUAUAAAAACAACGAAUGUGUAAGUCAAGUAGACGAAAAGUUGCUUACAUAUAAAACCAUUUCAAAAAAAAUAAUACGGCGGUUACAUAUAACUACGACGUAUAAAGUACAAAAUACGACGGUAAAUUUAACUUCGGACGUGGUAAAUAAAUACGACAGUAGUGUUGUAGGUACCGUCGUAGUAAACUCAAAAAUUAAAGUACAUAAGUAAUAACUCGCGUCAUGGUAGAUUAUUUAAGACGUCGUGAUUAUUAAUGUACCGACGUGGAGUUCUGUAAUAUACGUCAGUAAUACCGAUGUUGAUUUUACAAUUUAAACGGCGGUUUUUUGGUAAGGACCGCCGUUGGUUUUAAAAAUUUAUUCUAUAAAUUUGUCGCUUUCAUUCAUUUUCGCGGUUUACAUUUAGGGUUCCAAGUUCUUCCUCUCUCAGAGACACUGUCUCUCACAUCUCAAAGACAAUAAUUUGGAUGUCUUUCUCAAGAAGAAGCUUGUCAACUAGCCUUCUCACUUCCUUGAUCAAGCCUGAUAGGACACUUAGUGCUUCUGAAUACUCCUUGCUUUCCAUCAAAAGAGAUGCAAGCCUGGCCUCCACUCGCUGUCGAAGGAAAGUUCGCUUCUCAGGGAAAUCUGAAGAUCAGAUGUGCCUGAUCCUCUGCUUGAUUUUCUUGCCUAAGAAGAUUCGUCGGAUUUGUGAUAGCCUCUUCCUUUAUCCGUAGAGCUUCAGAAGAAGAAGAUGGGUUUCAAGAAUGCGAUAAAGAAUAGAAAUGGCUUCAGAUGGCCUCUAAAGCAUGAGCAAUUGAAUCAGUAGUUUCUGGGAGAUAUGAUGAAGACAUUGUCAAUGCUUUGAACUAUACAAGUCCUGCAGAAAGAUAAAGGACCAAACUGUUAAAGAAACUGAAACAACGGCGGUUUUCUGUUCUACCGUCGUCUUUUCUCGUCGUCUAUAUUAAGGUAAGAUGGCGGUAGAUUUAUAAUUACCGACGUAGAUUAUUUUGUUAAACGUCGUUAAGUGUACUACAACCGACGUGGAUUUUAUUUUUAAAUUAUAAAUAGAGUUUUUUUUCCCGUAUUCUUUCAGUUUUAGUUUUCAAUUACAAAGCGUGAUAAAUAGAUUUUUCUUUCCCGAGGAAAUUUAAAAUGAGGGAAAUUAAUGUUCUAGAAUUUGUAAACUAACACGACGCAAUAUUUGCAAAUCUGUGUCAUCUGUUAAGAUUAUGAUGUGGAACAGAGUUCCAUCUGGUAAGAUUUCGUAACCCUUGGGAUCUCAGACAAAUCUGAUUAUGUCGGCGGUGUUCUAUAUAAACCGUCGUGGUUAUUUCAAUUCUUGUCAUUAAGUAGAUCUACCGACGUAGGAUAAGAAAAUCAAAGAAAAAAAUUGUUAACAAAAAUUCUUAUUAAGACGACCGUUAAAAUUAAAGGUACGACGUAUAAAAUGAAUAAAUACGACGUUAAAUUUUAUUGUACGAUUUAAAGAUAACGUCGUAGAACUAUACGAGAAUGACGUCGAUAUAUUUAUAUUUUCCGUCGUUGUAAAUUAAUUUAAUACGGCGAUAUUUUGUAUUUUAAAGCCGUGGAUUUGUUUGUAAUUAUACGGCGUCUUAUACGAAAACCUCGUCGUGUUAUUUUAUGAGGAAAAACGGCAGUUUUUAUUGAAAUCGUCGUCUUUACUUUCUACGUCGGUCGAUUCAUAACUUCUGCCGUUCUUUGUUGGCAUUGAUUUUACACUGCGGAAAUCUGUUUCAAAUAGACGUCGGUUGUUUAAUUAUGUACGUCGUUGUUUUUGAACAACCAUUUGAAUCUCCAUUUUUUAGUUGUCUAAGGUUGUAUUACACGACGGUGUUUUUAGAACCGUCGUCUUUUUAUAAACCACGACGGUUUUCACUUAGACCGUCGUUGUUUUCUGGUCGUCUUUUUCACUUUUUGUAGUUGUGCCCACUUGAUUAUCUGCCAGACAAUCUAACGUCCUUAUUUAAUUUAAAAUAUUUAAAUUUGUUUGGAACUCCAAUUACGGAGCUUCCAGAAUCCAUUGGACAGCUCGGCAACCUUCAGACCUUGAACAUCACGGAGACAAAAAUAGAGGCACUUCCAAGAGUUCCAAGUUGCUAAACUUGCGCCAUUUACUUGUGGGGAGGUUCCAAGAGGGAUUUCCAGGAUAGAUUUCCAGAAAGGUAAUUGGGGUAAGAAUACCAUCAAGUAUUAGGAAGAUGAAGAAAUUGCAAUCUUUGUUACGUAUUGAAUCAGAAGGAAACAUUAUUAGACUUAUUGGAAGUAUGACCCAGCUUAAAUUCCUUGGCAUUACAAAUGUGAAAGAAAGAGACGAGGAGGACCUAUGUGCCUCAAUUCAAGAGAUGAAGGUCCUUUCCCGCUUGUUUUUAUUUGUAUCUCAUGGAGAGGAAUUUCUUCGAGUUGACGCAUUGUCUUCACCGUCUCCCUACCUUGAUAGACUUGAAUUGGUCGGCAAACUGGAAAAGGUUCCACAUUGGUUUUGUUCGCUCCACUCUCUCACAUAUAUGAACCUGCAAGGGUCCAGACUUGAAGAAGAUUUACUACCUCAUAUUGAAGCAUUGCCCUCUCUACUUUCUCUUUCCCUUAAUAAUGCCUCUGUUAGGAAAGAGUUAUGUUUCAACAGAGGCUUUGUGAAGCUUCGGCAUUUGUGGUUAUGGAAUCUCGCAUUAUUAAAUAAGAUAACUAUAGAAAAAGGGGCGAUGCCAAAUCUCGAGUUCUUAAGCAUUCGCCGUUGCUUGACAUUAGAAACAUUGCCACAGGGUAUUGAGCACCUUACUAAACUACAACGAUUCAGAUUUUAUAUUGUUUCAGAGAAGUUUAGAGAGUCCAUAAAAGAAGGAGGUGUGGAUCAUCCAAGGAUGCUACUCGUCGACGAGAGAUGUAAGAAAUAUACGUAAGUAUCUUUUAUCCUUUCAUUGACUUUCCUAAACUUAAUGAUUUGGAAUAUUGCACUUGUGUUCAAGAAAUUGUUCUCGUACACAUCUCUGUUAAUGGAUGUAAAGCCAUAUAAAUUGUCUGUUAAUUACAAUAUUGUUUUUGUCUUAUUAUAUAUUUUGCAGAAACAAGUCCUGGGAUUGAAGAUUUUACUCAUGAGUUUGGGGUUGGGAACUUGUUCGUCUUGUUUCGACCACAAGAGUGAUGUAGAUUGGCUUCUUAUUUGCUCUUUUGAAAAUCAAACAAUACCCAAGUUGAUGUUCAUAAAAUUGCAGUUGAUGUUUUUGUGUGUGUUUAAUUUGCAUGUAAUAAAAUUCGAGUUUGCAUCUUUCACUUCAGCAAUUGGCAGAUGUAUGUCGCUGAUUAGCUUUUAAGAUUUGGACCACAUGGAUUCUUUUAUAUUCGGCAUGUUUGUACUUUCUUCUAUGUUAAUUGUGUUUGUAUUUUCAGGUUUUUUUCUUUGUACUUUCAGAUUGGCUAAUUAAAUAAUACAGAAUCUUAAUUGCUUUCCAUGAGAAGUUCUAUAGCACAGGAAUGUCAAUGUAGCGGUAUCUCACGUCAAUUACGCAUUAUUAUAUGAGGAUACUAAAACACAUUACAAUGCGUGAUUGAUUUGAAAUACCGCAACAAUAACAUCCAUGACAUAGGUAAGUUUUUCAUCGCCCUUAUCAAUCCUAUUGAGUAACUGUUGUGAUAUUUAUUGCAAGCGCACAAUUCGCACAAGUAAUAUAGUGAUGAGUGAAGUGUCGUUCCCACGAAGAGUGAUUUAAUUUACCAAGUACCGAUUGUGAUUAACCCAAGACUUUAUUUGAACAAUUGAUGAUGAGAUUUGAUUGAUUAAUUAACUAAAACAAAGAAUAAAAACAAGCGUAGAAAAAUAAAGUAGUGAGAUUCAAGUUAUGAGAGCACUAGAGCUUCCGAUUUCACCAUAGCCAAUUCUACCCAAUUCCCUUAGCAUGUUAAUCCUAAUUAUUCUCUAUGUUGACAGUUGAUUUUCCCUACUUUAUUCGAUACUCCAUCCCUGGUUAUACCAAAAGUAUUCUUAUUACCAACCCACUCUAUCCCUAGUAAUGGAAUUAAGAUAAUAAGAACCCAUUAAAUUCAUUGGAAAACCUACAAAACAACCACAUAAGUCAUGACAAACAUCCCUGUCUAAUCAUGUAACUCAUGGUAUCUAUUACAAGAAGCAACCCCAAAUUGGAUAUUCCUAUCGUCAAUUUAGCAUCAAAACAAUUAAAUGUUGGCCAAACAUUCAAAGCAUUAAGCAUGGUAAUAGAUACUCAACAUGGAAAAAUACUUGGAAUUAACAUUGACUAAAGUAAUUGAGUAUUCAUGGCUAGGCUACAUCGUAGCCCUAGCAAGAAGAAAUUAGUUCAUGACAACUUUAAUAAAAACCAUGAUAAAUAAUAUCAUAGGAAAGAAGUAACCAAUUGAAGAUUUGAUCUCUGCACGACAGCAACUCUAGCUCCAGGUUGUCUUCUUUGUCUCUCUAAAACUCUCUCUCCUUUGAGUGUUUCGGUGAUGAGUAUGAAUGUGUAUGGAUUUUAGGGUAGAUGAUGGAGGAUGGAUGAUGGGUAAUGGUUUUUUUUCAACAAUGACCUAAACUCCUUAUUUAUAAAACUCCUAGAAAUCCUACCUAAGGAAUAAUUACAAUUGUUAUAAAAAUAGGAUUCCUUCUAAAAUAAGGUCUUUUUUAUUUCUCCUUGUUUGACUUGAUAAGACUUGCACCAUCUUGAACUAGGAAAUUUGACAACAUUCCUUGCAACAAAAGGAAUGACUUGGCUUCUUUUUAAUUGAUCUUCAUCUUCUUGCCUUUUUUAGCACACUUUCUCCUAUUUCACAAUUCCUUCACAAAUCUCACAAAACCAAUUAAAAACAACCAAUUUAAUCCAAGAAAUUAAUAAAUAAAUAAGCAAAGGAGGCAUAAAAUAUAUAUAAAAUAUAGACUUAUCAAAUACCCCCAAACCUAUCUUUUGCUAGUCCUCGAGCAAAACUGAAAAUCAAAAAUAAAUUAAAACAAACAAACUAAAUUAAACCACUUUCGUAGGUAAUCUCGAUGGCACUUAGCAUGUGCCACAAGCCUUUAAACCUCUAGGUGUCCUUAGUAGGAGGAGUUGUGUCUCCUGAGGGUUUACCAGUCACGACACCCACAAACACUUCUUGCAAAACAAAUUCGUUAAAGCAAUACUUCCAACAAACUAAUAAUAACCAUUGAAUGCCAAUCACAAUUCAAAAACUAAAGUUAUGCCACUACAAAUAAAAUGCACCAUAGUGUAAAGUGUAAAGCCAAAACUCCAAGCAUUCAAACAUAAAGAUAACCACAUUCGGCGUGUGUACAAAUUCGUCUCAACUCUAGGCCUCACAGGAUAACUCUCAAUUUUCUCACAGAACCUAGGGUUGCACUCUUACCCCACAUAUGUGAAUGAAGUUAGGUGAAGAAUUCAAAAUAUAAGACACAUAUGCAUCCAAAAAUGAAUAAAAGGAAAUUUCUAAAAAUAGAUCUCAUGGAAAGGAAAUCAAAUACUAAAAACCAUAGAUGAAGUACAUACCUCUACUUCUGAGUAAGAAGUCCCCAAAAAUCCGUUAGGUCUUUACUAUGGUUGUAAUGAAGGGCUAGGUUAUGGGUUAUGAAAGAAAGGGAAGGAAAUACUAGAACUUGAAACAUACCAAGGCAUUUGUCACGUUAUAAGGCUCGGCUCUUCAAAUUUACUUCACAGAGGCGUCCAGGAUUUUUGAUAUGCUUUACAUUUUUUUUUUCUUUAAUAGAUUUCUCUCUUUUUGUUUUUUGUUUUUUUUUCUUUUUAUUUAUUUAUUUAUUUUUAAGCACAUAUUUCCUCGGUACACGCCACCUCUUUUGUUGAUGUAGAGAUUAACCUUCAUCCUUGUCUUCAUGCCAUGGCAUAUCCCAAGUUAUAGGGUAUGGCUAAAAAUGGGGUGAAAAGGGUAAGGAAAUAUUGUGGGUGAUGAAAGAAAAGGCUAAGUGUUUGGCUUCAAAGGGUUGAUGGCACACACAAUGGGUAGGACAUGAGGUUUUAUUUAGUGGCUAGAACAUGCAUAGCCUAACAUCAUCUCUCAAGGUCCAUCCAACUCAAAAGUAAAAGCAUGAGAUGAUUCCAAAAUAGAGAUUAGUUCUUAGUAUUCAAUUCAAAAGCCUAAUUGAGAUCAAUUUAAAUAAGAAAGAAAGAAAAUAGUGAAUAAGACUAAUCCCAAAUACUCUCUCAAUGAAUGACAAUUUGGCUCAAGUAUCUCACAAUGUUAGUCUCCACUAUUUCUCCACAAUCAUCCAAGUAUAGCUAGCUUGUCUAUUAAAGUACUUGAAGCAUGGCCAUGUGAAGUGCUAUACUUAUGAUGCAUAAACUUUCAUGGCAACACUUUAGUUAAAGAAAUAUGAUCAAACAUCACAUAUACAUCACUAUUAGUAAGAGAAAGUAAAAGCUUUAACAAAAUUUUUAUUUUUUUUUAUUUUUAAAAGUUAAAGACAUUUUGUGAUAUUUUUUUUUUUUUUCAAACAAAUGUGAGUGAAUUUAUGGGCCAUAAUUGCUUAGGGAUAAAGAAAUUUCAUCAAAAGGAAGAGGACACACCUGGAAUAGCUCCUAGAAGCCUCUGAUCACAAAUGGAAUGGAUCAUAAUUGAUUUGGAAUGAAAUUAGAAAAUUCUGGAAAAUUGACCUUUAGCGACGAAAAAUCUGAUGAACACCGUCGCUAAAAGCCCUUUAGCAACGAAAAAUCCAAUUAACACCGUCGCUAAAAACCCUUUUGUGACGAAAAAGCUUCAUAUUUCUGGGUAGAUAGCAGCUAGUCUUUUUUGGGUUUUAGGCCACUUUUUUAGCUUCAAAUCUCCCUAAAACGUCAUGUAAAGCACUUGAGACCCCCAAAACAGUUUCAAAUCAUCAUAAUAACCAUUCUAAACAUGUUGGUGGCUUCAAAUUUGCCUGAAAAACAUCAAAAAGGAAAAUAGGCAAAAUUUUUGAUUUUGACCAAAAUAAGAACAUAAUAACCUAUUUUGCUAUUUUCUGGGUUUUAAAGUCAUCUAAUGGCCAAAACAACAUCUGUAACACAUCUGGAACAUGUUUGCAAUCAUCACGGGGCUAGAAAAAAUCGAGAAAUGUUCUUUGAAACACAAAAUCCUUUCUUUGGAACACAAAAUCUGUUUUUUUUAUUUUUUUAUUUUUUUAUUUUUUAUGACUCAAAACUCAAACAAAAAAACAUCUAAACUCCACACCCCCAAACCUAAACUAAGCAUUGUCCUCAAUGUUUAAAGUAAAUGCAUGUAACAAUUAGUAAAGGCAUAGAAGGAUGGAAAAUAAAGGGAAAACAAAACAAAAUAAAAUAAAAAGGAACGAAGGUACCUAGUUGGGUUGCCUCCCAACAAGCGCUUGGUUUAUAGUCCCCAGCCCGACUUGCAAGGUCAUCACUUUGGAUCAUGCAGAGGAAUGGAAGUCCGCUGUUGAUCAAAAUUGACUUCCAAGUAUGGCUUCACUCGUUGGCCGUUUACUUUGAAAAUAGUACCUUGUUCGUCAUGCCUAACCUCAAUAACUCCAGAAGGAAAUACUUGCACUAUUGUAAAUGGUCCAGACCAACGUGAUUUCAGCUUCCCAGGAAAGAGUCGGAGGCGGGAAUUAAAUAGGAGAACUUUCUGACCAGCGAAGAAAUCCUUCCUUAGAAUAUGCUUAUCAUGCCAUUUCUUUGUACGCUCCUUGUAUAUCUUGGAAGUCUCAUAAGCUUCAUUACGAAACUCAUCCAUAUCAUUCAAUUGAAUUGCCCGUUUUUCUCCUGCUACAAUCAUGUCAAAAUUGAGUUUUUGGAGUGCCCAAUGUGCCUUAUGUUCGAGCUCAACCGGUAAGUGACAAGCUUUCCCAAAAACUAGACGAUAAGGAGACAUGCCAAUUGGUGUUUUGAACGCCGUUUGAUAGGCCCAUAAGGCAUCAUCCAAUUUCAGUGACCAAUCCUUUCUUGAAGCACUCACCGUCUUUUCUAAAAUUCGUUUUAAUUCUCUAUUGGAAACUUCAACUUGUCCACUAGUUUGUGGAUGAUAGGGAGUAGUAACCUUGUGGGUAAUACCAUAUUUAGCUAAAAGAGAAUUAAAUUGACGAUUGCAAAAGUGUGUACCUCCGUCACUGAUGAUUCCACGCGGAGUCCCGAAUCUAGUGAAAAUAUUUUUUUCGGACAAAUUUGACAACACCCUUGGAGUCAUUGGUAGGGAGAACGACGGCUUCAACCCAUUUCGACACAUAAUCAACAGCCACCAAUAUGUACUUGUUCUUCCAAGAUUCAGGGAAAGGUCCCAUGAAAUCUAUGCCCCAGACAUCGAACAAUUCAACCUCUAGAAUAUUAUUCAAUGGCAUCUGAUUUCUGCUAGAAAUAUUUCCAGUGCGUUGGCAGCGAUCACAGGCAGCUACAAAUGCAUAGGCAUCCUUGAACAAAGUUGGCCAAAAAAAUCCAGAUUGUAAUACCUUGGCUGCUGUUUUGGAGGCACCAAAAUGCCCCCCACACGCCAAUGUGUGGCAAUGUCGCAAUAUGUCUUCCAUCUCCUCCUCAGGCACACAUCUCCGUAUAACUUGGUCAGGGCAAUGUUUCCACAAAUAUGGGUCGUCCCAAUAAUAAUGUUUAACCAAGGAGAAAAACUUCUUCUUCUGAUGAAACGAUAAAUCAGCUGGAAUGAUAUAAUUCACAAAGUCAGCGUACCAGGGAGCUUCGGAUGAUAGAAUGGCAUACAAUUGUUCAUCCGGGAACAUCUCCAUAAUGGGUGCAGCAUCAUCACUCAUCUUUACCUCACUGACCAGCCGCGAAAGAUGGUCAGCUACCACGUUUUCGGACCCCUUUUUGUCUCGAAUUUCAAGAUCAAAUUCUUGGAGCAGUAGUACCCAUCGAAUUAAUCGUGGUUUUGCAUCCUUCUUCGAAAGUAAAUACUUUAAAGCUGAGUGAUCGGUAUACACUAUCACCUUUGCUCCAAUCAAGUAGGAUCGAAAUUUAUCCAAGGAGAAGAUUACUGCUAACAAUUCUUUCUCCGUGGUGGUAUAAUUCCGCUGGGCGUCAUUCAAAGUACGACUGGCAUAAUAAAUUACAUGAAGUAAUUUAUUUCUUCUUUGACCCAAAACUGCCCCUACCGCAUAGUCACUAGCAUCACACAUAAUCUCAAAAGGCAAGUCCCAAUCCGGUGCGACAAUGACAGGUGCAGAAGCAAGCUUCUCUUUCAAGAUAUUAAAUGCUUCCAAACACCUUGAAUCAAAAUUAAAUUCUACAUCUUUAAGAAGGAGAUUGCAUAAGGUCUUCGUGAUUUUGGAAAAAUCUUGGAUAAACGGACGAUAAAAUCCAGCAUGACCCAGAAAGCUUCGAAUCCUCUUUACUGUAGUGGGCGGUGGCAAUUUUUCUACGGUAUCAAUUUUUGCCUUAUCAACCUCUAUGCCUUUAGCUGAAAUUUUAUGCCCCAGGACUAUCCCUUCUUGCACCAUAAAAUGACAUUUCUCUCAAUUCAAAACCAAAUUGGUUUCUUCACAUCUUUUCAAAACUAAUGCCAAAUUAUGUAAACAAGAAUCAAAUGAUGAGCCAAAAACAGAAAAGUCAUCCAUAAAAACCUCAAUGAAGCGCUCCACCAUGUCCGAAAAGAUGCUCAUCAUGCAACGUUGAAAGGUGGCAGGGGCGUUACACAACCCGAAGGGCAUGCUGCAUGCGCCUGUAUGCAAAAGUGCCGAAUGGGCAUGUGAACGUCGUCUUUUCCUGAUCUUCAGGUGCAAUUGGAAUCUGAUUAUACCCAGAAUAUCCAUCUAAAAAACAAUAAUAUGAAUGCCCAGCAAGUCUUUCCAACAUCUGAUCAAUGAAAGGCAAGGGAAAGUGAUCUUUCCUUGUCGCAGUGUUCAAUUUCCUGUAGUCUAUGCAGACACCCCAUCCUGUAGUUGUUCUUGUCGGGAUCAACUCAUUCUUAUCAUUUUUCACCACUGUAAUACCCCCUUUUUUCGGUACGACUUAAACUGGACUCACCCAACUACUAUCUGAAAUUGGGUAAAUUAUUCCAGCAUCUAAUAACUUUAAUACUUCAGCUCGCACAACUUCUGUCAUAUUCGGAUUUAAUCGGCGCUGAUGCUCAACUGAAGGUUUAAAAUUAUCUUCCAUCAGAAUACGGUGCAUACACAUGGAAGGGCUAAGUCCCUUAAUAUCUGCAAUAGUCCACCCUAUUGCCGUUUUAUGCUCCCUCAAAACUCGUAGUAAUUUCUCUUCUUCUAGUUUACUCAAAUUUGCAGCAAUAAUCACAGGAAGAGUUCCAAAAUUACCCAAGUAUGCAUAUCUUAAGUGGGAAGGUAGGGGCUUCAAUGUGAGGGUUGGUGCAGUAAUGACACUGGGUUGUGGCUUGGAGGUUGUGACUCCAAGCUCCUCAAAUGCGCGCCACCUUCCAGGAGGGCGCGGUUUCAUUGCUUCCAAAAAGUACACCAUCUCAGAAAUUUUAGGAUCCUCAUGCUCAGUAGUAACGGAAUGCACAAGGCAAGCCUCCAAUGGAUUACAUGGAUGUUCUUCUUUAAAUUUUUCAAAGACAACUUUUUCCACUAUAUCCACUCAGAAGCAAGAGUCUGAUUCCACUGGGUACUUUGUUGCUUUAAAGACAUUGAAGGUCACCUGCUCAUCAGCCACUCACAAAAUUAAUAAACCUUUGUCCACAUCAAUUAAUGUCUUCCCGGUUUUUAGAAAGGGGCGGCCUAAGAUAAUAGGGGUUUCGGCAUCUUCUUCCAUAUCUAAAAUCAAAAAAUCUGCUGGAAAAAUGAGCUUAUCAACUUUGACUAACACAUCCUCAAUUAUGCCUUUGGGAUAUGUUAUGGACCUGUCCGCCAUCUGCAAAGAAAUAGUGGUUGGGUUAAUUACCCCCAACCCAAUAUGUUUAGCAACAGAAGAAGGCAUUAGAUUAAUACUGGAUCCUAAAUCACAUAAAGCUUUUUCAAAGUAAGUGGUUCCAAUAGUGCAAGGUAUAGUAAAACUCCCUGGAUCCUUUAGCUUAGGUGGUAGCUUCCUCUGCAAAAUAGCACUGCAUUCUUCGAAUAAUUUCACUAUCUCAUGUUCGCCCAAUUUCCUCUUCUUUGAUAUAAUAUCCUUCAUGAAUUUGGCAUAACUCGGCAUUUGCUCCAAAGCAUCGGCAAAAGGAAUAUUGAUUUGUAAUUUCUUGAAAAUAUCAAGAAAUUUCGAAAAUUGGACAUCCACUUUGUUUUUUCGAAGAUGUUGAGGGAACGGAAUUGGCGGUACAUAUGGCUUUACAAGGGCAGCAGGUUGAGAUAAUUUCUCUACAGUAGCAGGUUUAAUUUCUUGACAAAUUUCAUCAAGUUGUGCAGCAGUGAUAGACGACGACGACGGCACGUUAGUAAUUUCUGAUGUCUCUGCAGUUUGUUGCUGGAUAUUCUUGUCUUCAUCCAAGUCUACUGCUGUUUUUAUUGGCCUCCCAUUCCGAAGAGUUAUCGCCUUCGCAUGUUCUUGGUUUUCCGGAUUAAUCUCUGUUUGGCUUGGCAAAGCUCCAUUUACUCUUCCUGUCAAUAUAUUAGCUAGCUGGCCCAUCUGAACCUCCAAGUUUCGAAUAGAGGCAGCUUGGUUUUGAAGGGUCGUCUCGGUUUUGCUCAUAAAUUGAUUUGUAUUGACAGAGAGGGUGUUGACAUUUCCAGCAAGUUGAGUAAUUAUAUCCUCCAAUCCAUGCUUCUUUUCUUGAGGUGUGAAACCAGGUGGAGGUCCCUGUACAUUUUGGUUAUUACUCCAUGAAAAAUUCGGAUGGGUCUUCCAUCCUGGGUUAUAAGUGUUGGAGUAAGGAUUAUUCCGUUGUUGAUGAAAAUCAGAGACUUGGUUCACUUGUUCAGAUGGUGAUGUGAAUGGACUAGCUCCACACUCAUUGCCAUGAUGAGGUCCUGCACAAAAUUCACAACUUAGAUUAGUAGACUGAAUAGCAUUAACAUUUAAAGUACCAAGUUGUUUAGACAUAGUAGAAAUUUGCGCAGUUAACGUAGAUAUGGCGUCAAUCUCAUGAAUUCUAGCUUUCUUUGGUGUUGAUCUCUCACUAAGCCAUUGAUAGUUAUUUGACGCCAUCUCUUCCAGCAAGUUAUAUGCUUCAGUUUCUGUUUUUCCCAUCAAAGCUCCUCCGGCUGCAGCAUCAAUUGUUGUUUUGCUUGUAUUGUUCAAACCAUUGUAGAACGCUUGAACUUGCAUCCAAGUAGGUAGGGCAUGAUGUGGGCACUUCCUUAGCAUAUCCUUGUAUCUGUCCCAUGCUUCAUAAAAAGGUUCCAUGUCAUUCUGAGCAAAUGACAUGAUGUCAUUCCUGAGUUUCGCAGUCUUUGCAGGAGGAAAGAAUUUAGCUAAAAAUUUCUUGGCCAAGUCAUCCCAUGUAGUAAUCGAAUUAGGUGGUUGAGAAUUCAACCAUGACUUUGCCUUUUCCUUUAAUGAGAAAGGAAAAAGCCUUAAGCGAACAACAUCAUUGGUAGCUCCAUUGCACUUAAAUGUGUCACAUAUCUCCAAGAAAUUAGAGAUAUGGCUAUUAGGGUCUUCUUGAGGUAAACCACAAAAGAUGGAGGAUUGCUGAAUCAUUGAAAUUAUGGCUGGUCUGAUUUCAAAAUUAUUGGCAUCAAUGGUUGGACGACGAAUGCUCGAUGGUGAUGCCACCACAGAUGGGACAUCAUAGUCCCUUACUGGUUUUGCUUCCUCAGCCAUAGGUGAUGGCUUUUCCAAUAUUGCGUCCUUCCUCCUUUUGAGUUUGUUAAGCUUGUGAAGCGUUCGCUCAAUCUCUGGAUCUAAUGGUACAAGCACAAGACUCUGCGAACGUCUCCCAAAACUCAUGCACUAGGUGAAAUACCUAAAAAAACAAAAAAAAAACAAAAAAAAUUCAAAUUAAAAUCCAAAUCAAUCUAUAUCGAUAUUAAUAAAAUUUAAAACACUCCCCGGCAGCGGCGCCAAAAACUUGUUGUGAUAUUUAUUGCAAGCGCACAAUUCGCACAAGUAAUAUAGUGAUGAGUGAAGUGUCGUUCCCACGAAGAGUGAUUUAAUUUACCAAGUACCGAUUGUGAUUAACCCAAGACUUUAUUUGAACAAUUGAUGAUGAGAUUUGAUUGAUUAAUUAACUAAAACAAUGAAUAAAAACAAGCGUAGAAAAAUAAAAUAGUGAGAUUCAAGUUAUGAGAGCACUAGAGCUUCCGAUUUCACCAUAGCCAAUUCUACCCAAUUCCCUUAGCAUGUUAAUCCUAAUUAUUCUCUAUGUUGACAGUUGAUUUUCCCUACUUUAUUCGAUACUCCAUCCCUGGUUAUACCAAAAGUAUUCUUAUUACCAACCCACUCUAUCCCUAGUAAUGGAAUUAAGAUAAUAAGAACCCAUUAAAGUCAUUGGAAAACCUACAAAACAACCACAUAAGUCAUGACAAACAUCCCUGUCUAAUCAUGUAACUCAUGGUAUCUAUUACAAGAAGCAACCCCAAAUUGGAUAUUCCUAUCGUCAAUUUAGCAUCAAAACAAUUAAAUGUUGGCCAAACAUUCAAAGCAUUAAGCAUGGUAAUAGAUACUCAACAUGGAAAAAUACUUGGAAUUAACAUUGACUAAAGUAAUUGAGUAUUCAUGGCUAGGCUACAUCGUAGCCCUAGCAAGAAGAAAUUAGUUCAUGACAACUUUAAUAAAAACCAUGAUAAAUAAUAUCAUAGGAAAGAAGUAACCAAUUGAAGAUUUGAUCUCUGCACAACAGCAACUCUAGCUCCAGAUUGUCUUCUUUUGUCUCUCUAAAACUCUCUCUCUCCUUUGAGUGUUUCGGUGAUGAGUAUGAAUGUGUAUGGAUUUUAGGGUAGAUGAUGGAGGAUGGAUGAUGGGUAAUGGUUUUUUUUUCAACAAUGACCUAAACUCCCUAUUUAUAAAACUCCUAGAAAUCCUACCUAAGGAAUAAUUACAAUUGUUAUAAAAAUAGGAUUCCUUCUAAAAUAAGGUCUUCUUUAUUUCUCCUUGUUUGACUUGAUAAGACUUGCACCAUCUUGAACUAGGAAAUUUGACAACAUUCCUUGCAACAAAAGGAAUGACUUGGCUUCUUUUUAAUUGAUCUUCAUCUCCUUGCCUUUUUUAGCACACUUUCUCCUAUUGCACAAUUCCUUCACAAAUCUCACAAAACCAAUUAAAAACAACCAAUUUAAUCCAAGAAAUUAAUAAAUAAAUAAGCAAAGGAGACAUAAAAUAUAUAUAAAAUAUAGACUUAUCAGUAACCUGUUAGAAUCUUCUCUCCAAAGCCGGCUCCUCUGCGUCAGUUGACCUCCCGCUCCCCCUCCCCUCUUUUCUCCCCCAACUGUGACAAGGACGAGCUCAAAUUUUUGAUCUUAUCUAUGGAAUGAAAUGUAGUUUUUAUUAAAACUUGUUUGACAAAGAAAAUAAAAAGACAUUCGUUUUAGGCACUAACCGCUUCCACGUGGAACCGUACGUGGGGGGCUAAUAACGGUUUUAACCGAAACUCCAAGGACUCCAAUUUUUCUCACACAAACACAAAACAAACACUCUGUUUUCCCUCUGAUCUCUCUGCCUCUCAGAGCCGUGAAUGAAGAAUACGACGUCAUAGUGCUCGGAACCGGGCUCAAAGAAUGCAUUCUCAGCGGCCUCCUCUUAGUGGAUGUUCUCAAGGUAAAGCUUAUCUAAAUGGUUUAUUUUGUUGGUCCUCUCUUAGAAUUUUUUUCUUGAUCGUGGAUAACAUAUAAAAUUGUAGCUUCCUUAUGGUAAGGUUAUUGUCUAACAAAUCUAACCUACUGUUACACAGUAUGACGUACUUUUCUUCUAUUCAUGCUUCUCUUUAAAUACGGCUUCGAUUUAUUUAUCUAUUUUUGGAUUUUAGCUUUGGAAGCGAUUUAGUAGAGACUACAAUGUUGAUAUGAUCCCCAAAGUAUCAAGAAUUAAUGAUGCAUAUAUUUCUUCCUAUUGUUCUUUGAUUUCUUCUUUGAUUCAUUUUCUCUUGUUGCUUAAGAUUGUAUAUGUUGAUAGGCUGUCAUGUUAACUUGUUUGUCCGUAAAUAAUGUGAUCUAGCUAGGUUCAGUCACUCAUAUGGGCUAGCAAAGUGAAAAAAAGAAGCUCGAGGAAACCAUAUUUGGAGUAACAUACAAAAGAUUGUGUAAAAUAGAACCAUUAAUAUUUUAUAGAUAUAAUAAUAAAAAAUUCAAAAAUAAAUAUAACAUACAAAAUCCAAAAAAAGAAAGGAAACACAUGCACUAGCACUACAAUUCAAACAUGCAUGAAUACUGUCUGGCUUUCUUGUUUUACUUUCUUUCUUUUUUCCUUCUACAUAUUUCAGCCCCAAUGAGUUUUACUCCUUUUGUGUGUGGUUGAGGCAAUUAUAUACAAUACGCUUUCUGUCUUUGGCUACCUAAAAAGUCAAGAAUGAGCCAUGCCUUUUGGUAUUACUGAAACUGAUACUGUCACUAUUACGAUUUACUAUUUGCGCGACGAAGAUAAUUUCGUCGCGCAAGGAGCACUUUUGCGACGAAAAAAAGAUUCCGUCGCGCAUACAACAGACAACUAGCGCGACAAAUAAUUUCGUCGCGGAAAGAGUCUAUGCGCGACGUAAAUAAAUGUCGUCGCGCAAAGGUUGUAAAGUCUAUGUUAUUGCGCCAAUCUCUUGCGCGACGACAGAGAUCGUCGCGCAUGACUAUAUUGCGUGACAAUUUCAGGUAUUCGUCGCACAAAGAUGGACAGAAUAUUGGCUCCGAUUAUGGCGGUAAAAAAAUUUUGCGCGACGAGAGUUUUCGUCUCAAAAGACAACUUAGCGCGACGAAAAAAUCAACCGUCGCGUAAGAAAACGAGGGAAACUUAUUUUUGGCGCCAAUAUGCAGGUGGGUUUUUGCGUGACGGAAGUGCCGUCGUCGCGUAAAGUUUAAUCGUGGUGCGUUCUUGCGCGACGAGAAAGUUUUAUUUGCGCGACGAAAGUUGCAUGCGCGACGCCGGAUUGUAAACGCGCGACGGAAUUUUGUGCGACGAAUAAUUUUGUUCGUCGCGCAAAAAAGCAGUUGUCGACACGUGAUUGCGCGACGGAAAUGUUGUUUUGGGCGACGGAAAAGUGGGUUUUCGCGACGGCGUUUCGCACGACGAAUUUGCCUUGUUCGUCGCGCAAAGUCCUUCUUCUUCAUAUUUGUAUCUGCCAUUGCAGAGGCAGAAUGCAAAAAUUGCAUUCUGCCUCUCUCUCACUCUCCCUCCCUGCUGCUGCUCUGCUGUGAAUUCUGUACGUUUAUUAUGUAUGUAUUUUUUGUCGUUAGUUUAAAUGUAUUAGUGUAAAUUCGUACUAAUGCUAUUAAUUUUGUUCUCGUUAGGGAUAUUUAUGAUUAGUGAUUGGUGGAGAACGAUUGAGAAGGUAUGUUAUUGUAAAAGUUUGUUUGUUAUGUUUAUACUUUUUUUGUGAAGUUAUAUGUUUAUAAUGUUGUGAAAUUGUGCGUGACGUAGCACAAUGUGUUGUGAUGUACGAAGUUAAUUGAAAUUAACUUCGUAAUUUUAUUUUUAUGUUUAGUAACACGUAGUUUCCCGUUCGAGAUUAGUUGGAUUUCGUGCAUGGAUGCGUAAGGCAUGACUGCGGUCCAAUUAUUUCUUGAAUUGUCCCAUUACUUGGACAGUUUGGUAAUGCAUAGUGUUGUCACAUAAUCUUCGGCUACAGGAUUAGGUUUCGAUUGUGGAAAUUUCGGUGUCAUCUCGGUAUGUUCUUCGGGUGGUACGUAGGUAUUUAUACCUAUGCCUACUUCAAGAACUGUGUCGAGAUGCUGCCGAAAUUAAUCCACGUCGAAAUCUAAUCUCAUGUAGCCGUAGGUUACGUGACAGGACUAUGCAUUCCAGAAUGGGAUAAGGCCCUUACCGGAGGCAUAAGGUGACAUUAUAACUUCGUAUGAAGUUGUUGUGAUUGUUGUGUCGUGAUUGUGGUUUCAGGAAUUAUGAGCAGAAGGUGGAUACAUAACCCGAAUAGAUGCGCAAACGAAUACUUAGAUGAAAUCGAGGAUUUUAUUGAGUUUGCACGUAGACAGAACCCGGGUGCAACUAGAAUCCGUUGUCCUUGUAGGAGGUGUAACAACACGUUGUUUGAGACAAUUGAAAAUGUUGGAUUUCAUUUAGUAAGGAAUGGAAUGAUUGAAACAUAUAGCAUUUGGAACCUUCACGGCGAACAAGUAGACCAUGCUUCGUCUUCAAAUGCCCCAAGAGUGGACAAUGUUGAACCUAUUGUGGAUCCUAAUGAUCAAGUCAUGGGUAUUAUACAAGAUGCUUUUCCAUUCGCAUCGACCAGCAUCAAUCAGGAAGGGGAAUAUGACGUGCCUACACCAAUAGACAGUGCGGAGUUUGAACAGUAUGAAAAACUGUUAAAAAAUGCCAACCAAGAGUUAUACCCGGGGUACGAGAGCUUUUCCGUUCUCACUGCCAUUGUGGAGCUAAUGCACGGAAAAAUAAAGUAUCGUAUGUCGAACUUGUGUUUCGAUUACUUUUUGGGGGUUUUCAAGAGAAUGCUUCCGACGGGCAAUUGUUUGCCGAAAGACCAUAAACAUGCACAGAAGGUGUUGCAUGGUCUUGGAUUGGGUUAUGAAAAAAUCCACACUUGCAAAAACAAUUGCAUGUUAUUCUACAAAGAGCAUGAAACGCUGGAUACAUGCACUAUAUGCAAUGAGUCGAGGUUCAAAAUGACAUCCCAGAAUAGAACGACUAAGAUACCACAAAAAAUGAUGCGUUAUCUGCCCCUUAAACCUAGGUUGCAGAGAUUGUAUAUGUCGACGCAUACUGCCACAGACAUGAGAUGGCAUAAGGAAAAACGGGUAGACGAUGAUGUGAUGCGGCAUCCUGCAGAUGGGGAGGCAUGGAAAGAGUUCGAUCGAACGUUCCCCGAGUUUGCUGCUGAUCCCCGAAAUGUUAGAUUGGGACUUGCCACUGACGGAUUCAAUCCGUAUGGGGUUCUAAACCAACACCACAGCACUUGGCCGAUUUUCGCAUUCCCAUAUAAUUUGCCACCUUGGAAAUGCAUGAAAAAAGAAUACAUGAUGAUGACUGUUUUGAUAACUGAGGAUCCUGGCAGGUCAAUUGAUGUGUACUUAAGGCCUCUGGUUGAUGAGCUGAAGGAUUUAUGGACAAACGGUGUUCGCACGUACGAUAAAUCAACUGGGAGGAUGUUCACUUUGCGGGCAGCAGUUAUGUGGACUGUGAAUGAUUUCCCAGCAUAUGCAAUGAUUUCUGGGUGGAGCACAAAGGGUUAUAUGGCAUGUCCUGUAUGCAAGGAAGAUGUAACUUCUGGUUGGCACGCAGGAAAAGUUUGUUAACUUGGUCAUCGGAGAUGGUUGCCAUGGGACCACAAAUGGCAUGGUCCGGUGAUGAGAUCUUGGAACAGCUGAACCGUUUGGAUUUUACUCCGUUCGGGAAAACAAUUAGUCGGACCAGACCUUCUACACAUUUGAACUGGACGCACAAGCCUAUGUUUUUUGAGCUCCCAUAUUGGUCGAAACUGAAAUUGAGGCACAAUCUAGAUGUGAUGCGUGUUGAGAAAAAUGUAUUCGACACAUUGGUGGGCACGAUUCUAGAUAUCGAGGGGAAGACGAAGGACACGAUCAAAGCUCGUCUUGAUUUGGAAAGAAUGGGCAUACGAAGGGGUUUAUGGAUGAAUAGGGACAGUGAUAAAGCUAGAAGGGAUCUUGCAUUCUUUUCUAUGAAACCGAAUGACAAAAAAGAGUUUCUAAAGUUUGUAUCGUCUGUCAAAUUUCCCGAUGGGUAUGCUUCUAAUAUCGCACGUUGCGUGAAUGUCGAUGGGGGUAAAUUUACUGGACUUAAGAGCCAUGACUGCCAUGUGUUUAUGCAACGUCUACUUCCUGUGGGUAUUCGACACCUACUGCCGGAAGAUGUGGUGAAGCCAAUCAUGUUGUUAUCCAGAUUAUUUUCCCAACUGACGGCAAAAACAUUGCGAAGGACAGACAUGUUUCAGUUGCGCCAUGACAUUGUCCAAGUCCUAUGCAAGUUUGAGAUGAUAUUUCCGCCCGCUUUCUUUACAAGUAUGAUGCACGUGAUGGUUCACUUGCCAGAAGAGGCAUUGCUUGUUGGUCCUGUCAACUAUCGCUGGAUGUAUCCAAUAGAAAGGUAUAUAAUCUUUAUCAUUUGUGUAUGCAUCAUUAUCGAUAGUUUGCUAAUUUGUAUCAUAUCGUUUUAUUUUGGCAGGCUUCUCGGAGAGCUGAAAAAAAGUGUACGCAACAGGGCAAAGCCCGAAGGAUCAAUUAUAGAGGCUUGGGUUCAAUAUGAGUCGCUUACUUUCUGUGGAAUGUAUUUAAAAGAUGUGGAGACGGUUUUCAAUCGUCCUCAACGCAAUAAUGACGGAGGUAUGAGAGAUGAAAAACUUUCUGUUUUUUCCCAAAGCGCACGACCAUUUGGAGAUCCUGGACGAGGAGAGUCGUUUUCUAGAAAUGACAUGGAGGUAGCGCAUUGGUUCGUACUGAACAAUUGUGAUGAGAUAAUGGCCUACUUAGAUGAGCAUGAACAGAUGAUGAAGCGAGAACAUCCAUCACAUUUGGUUGCCCGGAAACACCGUGAAUUAUUUCCACAAUGGUUUUUGGAUUCUGUAAGUUAUAAGUGUUUUGUAAUUGACAAAUAUAAAUUGUAGUAUUUAAUUUUGUCAGACUAACAUGUAAAUGGUUUUGUAUACUAUUAGGUGAAUAAAUUGAAAUCAUCGAAUUCCCCCACUUACAGUGAUGAGUUAUAUAACUUGGCGUUCGGCCCAAUUCGCGCUGAAUUGUUCUCGGGUUGUAAUGUUAACGGCGUCAAAUUUUUGGGGGCCGCACGAGAUGACAAGUUGUGUACGCAAAACAGCGGUGUCUAUGUCCCAUGUGGAGGCGAAAGUACGGACAUUGAUUUCUAUGGCAAACUGACAACUGUCGUGCAAUUGCUUUACAAAGAUCGAUACCAAGUCAUCAUGUUUAAGUGUCGAUGGUUCGAUACCAACCCAAAUAGGGCGGCAAGUGUUAAAAUCGACCAUAGAGUACUGUCUGUGAACAUUAACAGAACUUUUUAUGAUGACGACCCGUACAUUUUGGCAAACAUGGCGUCCCAAAUUGUGUAUCUAGAUGACCCUAAAGUCGGGAACGGGUGGAAAGUUGUGCAGAAGAUGGAUCAUAGGAACGUGUAUGAUAUACCAGAACUAGACCCAAGUGACAACGACGUCGACAAUGUGGCUGACCAACGUUUAGAAUCUUCAAUGGAAAAUGAUGCGGAAACACUUCGAGAUACAAAUGUUAUACAAGAACCGUUUCAAAUAGAAGGAGUGUCUUCAGUCGAAAUACCGAUUCAGUCAAUUACAAUUGACCUCGGUGAUCUUCCCUGAUACGAUGUUGCAGUGGGCCCUAGCAACGCCGAUGAUGCGAUUAUAGAGGAGGAGGAGGAAGAAGAUUGGGAGACCGAGAGUGAUGAUAGCGACGAUAACGAAAGUUAUUAUAGUUCAGAUGAUGAAUAAUGAAUUUAUUUGUAAAUUUAUUAUGUUAGUGUAUUCAUUUUUUCUAAUACAAAUCUUUGAAUAUAUGUAGUUGUCCAUAUGUAGUUGUGUAUUCAUUCUCCAUAUUUCAUCACAAACUUCAUUGGAAUGUCAAUACUUUAGUCAGUACUUAUUACGACCCCAUGCUUGUUGAUUGGUUUUUAUUUAUUUAUUUAUUUAUUCAUGCCUUAAGGCCUCUUCAAUUAUUAUUUUUUUCUUUUGAGAUAUAGUUAUUUCUUCAUGUUUAAACAGAAAAUUUAAGUUAUUUCUCCAAUAUUAGCUGUGUGCCACUUAUUUUUCUUCACUUUGGUUCAUGAUUAGUGGCAUCAAUCUAGUCAAACCGAUAAAUUUGGUCGAUUCAAAUUUUAAUUAUCAAUUUAGUUUGGUUUUGAUGAAGAAAUACAAAGCCUUUCCAAAAAAUACAAAGCAUAAAAAAUGAUGAAUACAAAACCUUUCCCAAAAAUACAAAGCAUACACAAUUUGAAUUAAAGGAGGAGUUAUGGCGCCAAAUCCUUGCGCGACGAAGACACAUUAUCGUCGCGCAAAAAUACCAUACGCGACGCAAAAAUACCAUACGCGACGCAAAAAAAUGCGUCGCGUAAAUUUUGCGCGACGAACAAACCUCGUCGCAAUAGUUUUCGCGACGAACAUGAAUGCGUCGCGUAUGGGGUUUUUUGCGCGACGAUAAGAAGAACUUCGUCGCGCAAAUAUAUAUUAGGUUACGUUAUAGUAUAAUAUAUACACACAUAUAUAUUUCAAAUUGGCGAUCGAAGUAGUUCAUUGUAUUCAUAUGGAGUGUAGGACUGUUGGUGCAAAAAACCAUCAACAUCGGAGUUCAAAUAACCGUUCAAUCAUCACUUUUUAUUUAGAACCGUCGAAAAGUUUUACCCCGUUACUUAAUCUCUGAAUGUUUUUUUGGGCCGAAUUUUGCUGUCUAUGAUCUCGAAUUAUAAAAAAAACAAGUUUGACGGCUGGAUGGCUGAAACUAGUUUCGUAGACUACGUGUGCUAUCAAAAUCGUAUAUUCACCAAAAACUCAAAAAUUUGUUCAUACAUUUGUCAAAAUGUAACUUAACGUUUAUGUGGUAUCCCCUAGUGUAAAAAUCUGAUAUUGAAGAUCAAAUUCAGUCAUUGUAUUCAUAUAGGGUCAACAAAUGUUGCUGCAAAAAAUGAUCAAAAUCGGAAUUAAAAUAACCGUUAAAUCAUGACUUUUCAUUUAUAACCGUCGAAAUAUUUUGUCCCGUUUUCUGAUAUCUGAAUGUUUGGUCGUUUUGAUUUUUGGCGUAUACGAUCUCCAAGUAUAAAAAAAUAAGUUUGCCGGUUGGAUCAUUGAAACUAUUUUAGGGUUUAGGGUUUAGGGCUUAGGGCUUACGGCUUAGGGUUUACAUUUUAGGGUUUAGGUUUUGCGCGACGAAUAACAUUCCUUUCGUCGCGCAAAGUGAAAGUCAUAAAGAUUGCGCGACGGAUAUGUUUUCAUUCGUCGCGCAUUCUGGUACACACAGUUCACCCCUCUAUCCCCUUUGAACACUUAGUGAAAAUUUCAACCGAAUGAAAUUCUGAACUAGCGCGACGAACAGAAUAAAAACGUCGCGCAAUACAAGUCUAUUCGUCACGCAAUCCCUCGACCCUCUGAACACUUAGCGAAAACUUCAACCGAAUCACAAUCUCGAACUCGCGCGACGAAUUACAUGACUUCGUCGCGCAAAAGGCAAAGACCCUUCAGUUUCAGCCAAACCCUAAACCCCAAAAUUUUGGCGGCCAGAAGUGUUUUGCGCGACGAACUCAGGUGUUUCUGUCGCGCAAGGUUCAUUAAUGCCAUUUUGCGUGACAGAUAUUGCGCGACACGUACUUACUUCGUCGCGCAAAAGGCGCAGACCCUUCAGUUUCAGCCUCCCGCUAAACCCUAAAUCUCAAAAUUUUGGCGGCCAGAAAGUGUUUUGCGCGACGAACAGAGACAUUUGCGUCGCGCAAGGAUAAUAUUGCGCGACUCGUGCUUGCUUCGUCGCGCAAAAGGCACAGACCCUUCAGUUUCAGCCUCCCGCUAAACCCUAAAUCCCAAAAUUUUGGCGGCCAGAAUGUGUUUUGCGCGACAAAGCCAGUUGUUUCCGUCGCGCAAGGUUCAUUAAUACCAUUUUGCGCGACGAUAUUUCCGUCGCGCAAGAUUCAUUAAUGCGCGACGGAUUCAUGGUUCGUCGCGCAAAGUCGAAUAAAUCUGCAGAAACGACCCGAGCCUCCUUCUUCCCCAUUUCUGGUUUUCCUCCUCCGCAAUCCCAUCUCUCUCCGCCGUCGCCUUCGCCCUCUCUCUCCGUUCGUACCUCAGCCACCUCCCUGCCGUCACCUCAGCCGCCUCCCUGCCGUCGCGUUUCGUCAGUUUUUCCCGAAUCUUCGCCGCCGAUUUCUCUCUCCUCCGGCCACCAUUUCCGACGCCUGAGGUAUGAUUUCUCGACUAUUUUUUGUGCUCUAACUGAUGGUUGGUUAGGAUUUACUGAAAUUUUGCUGUAGGAAAUACGAAUUGAAACCUAGGUUUUGGCCAGUUUGAGAAUGUCAAAUCCGGCCACUUUCGGCCAUUUUUCGGGGUCGGUCCGAGAACAAAAGUGGCUCCAAUUAAUGUUUUCAACCUAGGGUAGGAACCUUGGCCCUUAGUUUUUGGAAUUUUCCGGCGAAUUUUAUCGCUUUGGACACCCACGCACUGCCGGCGGGUGUGGUGGCGGGUGGGAUACUGUGGCAGUGGGGCAUUGGGUCCCAGAGCAAUCCCCUGUUUGUCACGAGCGCGUAGGUUUGCUCGGAUUUGAAUUUGGUUGUCGUUUGAGUCUUGAUCGGAUUUCGCCUAUUGUGCGAUUUCCAGGUUUGAUAUAUUCGGACCGUUGGAUCGAACUGAAACUCACGUAGUUGUACCUUUGUGUUUCUAUGAUCGUUUAGGAUUCGACCGAUCGUUGAUCGGAGUCCCGGAUACUCUGAAAUUCCAAACCCUAGGUCAGGCUAUGCUUUUAAUUAAUUAGUUUAAAUUCUGAAUGAAAUUAUAUGUGCAAAUGUCAGACUUGAUUAGACGUGGUAGGUCGAUGACGACUGCACCGAGUUCGGAUCCCCCGGCUCAGUCGGCAUCUGCUGCCACUGCUCCUGCUUUGCUGGACCACGUGGUGGUUGGUCCCGGGGCGUCCCAGGCGCCUGUGUCAUCUGCGUCAUCCGUGGUGCAGCCAGCUAGUGCUAGGCGGCGGCACCGGCCCACCGACACCAUCGACACGACAUCGACCGACGGUACUGGUGCCUCGGGAUCACAGCCAGGUAUAACUACACCUUUGUAUUGUUAAUUUUAUAUUGAAAUUUGACAAUAUUUUUUUAUUUAACAUUAAUACCUUAUUUCUUUGCAGCGAAGAAGAACACCCGAGGACCGUGUCGUCAGCUGAAGACGGUGAAGGUCACCCGAGUGACCAACAGUCGUAUCAGCAUCUGAUACGACGAGCGCCAUCGGGCUGCACCGACGGCAGAGUUGCAUAGCUCCUUGGCCCACGACAUUGGCCACGUCGUGCGGACCCAUUGCCCGAUGCAAUGGAAGUCUUGGAGGGUCAUGCCUGACGAGAUCAAGGUAGAGGUUCGCGGCCAGUUGUCGGUAUGUACCUUACAUUUUCAUUAUUUUUCUUUAAAAUUGUGUAUAUUUCUAUUACUUAACGUAUCUAAUUAAUUGAUUGCAGACGAACUAUAACUUGGAGGAUCUCGACGAAGAGUCGUUGACGUACGUCAACAGACUCUUCGCUGAGAGGUACAAGCAAUGGAAGAGCGACUUGCACCACCAUUUUCAGGCCUAUGAUGAUCCGCAAGUCGCUCUUCAGGAGGGUUGCCCGAAGGAGCUUGAGGGGCGGGAGGAUAGUUGGGAGUGGCUCUGCGCUCAUUUUCAAGCGCCCGAAUUUGCGGUAUUUUUUUAAUUAUAUUUGUUUAAUUAUUACUUAUUACUUAUUAAUGUUUAUUUUAUUUUUUUAUUUCAUUAUUAUUUAAUUUUUUAUAUUUGAACUAAUACGUUUCAUUUUUUGUAUAACAGAAUAAAGCCCAUGUGAAUAAGGGUAAUAGGAAGAAGAAGACCCUUCUCCACCAUUCCGGCUCCAGACCCUUUUCGUAUAGGAUGGAUGCACGGCGUCGGGUAAUAAUCACAAAAUUUUUAUUUCAUUUUUAAUGUCAUUUUUAUUAAUUUAUUUUUUUCAUACUAAUAUUUUUCUUCUCUUGUUCAAUUUAGGAGGGGUCCAAGUUCCCAGAGAUCGACGUCUUUGGUGACGUUUAUGUUCGACCCGGGAAUCACUACUACAUUUUACACUUUGCGCGACGAAGAAAAAAACGUCGCGCAAAGUCUCAUUUAGUCGCCCCAAUUACAGCGCGACAACAAAGUCGUCGCGCACAUUCCGUCGCGCGAAGAUCGUGAAGAAAGCCUUUGCGCGACGAGGUAUAACCCUUCGUCGCGCAAAAGUGUGCGACGGGUAAACCAUCGUUGCACCAACGGUGUGGAGACGAAACAACUUUUCGUCGCAAAAGUAUUUGCGCGACGAUCAAGUAUGCGGCGCCGGUAUAUUUGCGCGACGACGGGAAUUGCGCGACGAAAUAUUAUUCGUCGCGCAAAAUAUGUUCGGGAGACGUAUAUGUUCGUCGCAGAACAAUUCGCGCGAUGAGAAAGUUUUCGUCGCACAUAUAAUUGCGCGACGAAGCGACGAAAUAUUUUCCGUCGCGCAAAAAUAUUAUUACAAUUUUUUUUUUAAAUAUUUUUUAUUUUAAAUAAAAUUAGUUUCUUUUUAUUGAUUAAACAAUGAAAAUAAAAUAAAUUAGAAUAAAAUAAAAUUGCAAUAAAAAUAAAUUAGAAUAAAAUUUUGUUCUAAAAUAAAAUAAAUGUAUUACAAAUAAAAUAAAUACACUAAUCAAAUAAUGAAUCAAAAUCAACCGAGUCGUCGCCAGUAUGCGGCUCGGAGGGCGGGGCGUUCACCGGGGCAGUGGUCUGGUGGGGAUGCCCGGGAUGGACGGGCUCAGAAGUAGGCGCAUCAAAACGCGGGACUGGAAUGCCGGACUGUGCGAGGGACUGCAGAAUGACCGACAUCUGGCUCUGAAGAGUGGCCACCUGUGCUGUCAAAGCAGUGACCUGACUGCUUGACUGCGCCGAUGAACGAGGUCGAGGUUCCCUCCGCCGGGCAUUCCCCAUCCCUCGACAAUAUGUCCCCGGCCUCCUCCCGAGAGUCUGAUCCAACGUCUCCGUCAAGAUCUGAAAUCCAGCAUCCUGUGGAGGAGCCACAGACUCGAUCGGAGUCUCGGGAGGAAGCUGGGAGGCGGACUCCUGAAGAACAAGCUGGCUCCUCUCCACCAUCGUCGUCUGUUGAACAUAACAUAAAAUAUAAAUUAAAACAUGCAUAUAAAUUGAAUGCGUAACAUAAGAAUUAAAAUUAAAUAAUACUUACAUGAAGGGACUCGGCCAACUCAUUCCCGGGUCGAACAUAAACGUCACCAAAGACGUCGAUCUCUGGGAACUUGGACCCCUCUUAAAUUGAACAAGAAAAGAAAAAUAUUAGUAUGGAAAAAAUAACUUAAUAAAAAUGACAUUAAAAAUGAAAUAAAAAUUUUGUGAUUAUUACCCGACGCCGUGCAUCCAUCCUAUACGAAAAGGGUCUGGAGCCGGAAUGGUGGAGAAGGGUCUUCUUCUUCCUAUUACCCUUAUUCACUUGGGCUUUAUUCUGUUAUACAAAAAAUGAAACGUAUUAGUUAAAAUAUAAAAAAUUAAAUAAUAAUGAAAUAAAAAAAUAAAAUAAACAUUAAUAAGUAAUAAGUAAUAAUUAAACAAAUAUAAUUAAAAAAAUACCGCAAAUUCGGGCGCUUGAAAAUGAGCGCAGAGCCACUCCCAACUAUCCUCCCGCCCCUCAAGCUCCUUCGGGCAACCCUCCUGAAGAGCGACUUGCGGAUCAUCAUAGGCCUGAAAAUGGUGGUGCAAGUCGCUCUUCCACUGCUUGUACCUCUCAGCGAAGAGUCUGUUGACGUACGUCAACGACUCUUCGUCGAGAUCCUCCAAGUUAUAGUUCGUCUGCAAUCAAUUAAUUAGAUACGUUAAGUAAUAGAAAUAUACACAAUUUUAAAGAAAAAUAAUGAAAAUGUAAGGUACAUACCGACAACUGGCCGCGAACCUCCGCCUGGAUCUCGUCAGGCAUGACCCUCCAAGACUUCCAUUGCAUCGGGCAAUGGGUCCGCACGACGUGGCCAAUGUCGUGGGCCAAGGAGCUAUGCAACUCCGCCGUCGGUGCAGCUCGAUGGCGCUCGUCGUAUCCGAUGCUGAUACGACUGUUGGUCACUCGGGUGACCUUCGCCGUCUUCAGCUGACGACACGGUCCUCGGGUGUUCCUCUUCGCUGCAAAGAAAAAAGGUAUUAAUGUUAAAUAAAAAAACAUUGUCAAAUUUCAAUAUAAAAUUAACAAUACAAAAGUGUAGUUAUACCUGGCUGUGAUCCCGAGGCACCAGUACCGUCGGUCGAUGUCGUGUCGAAGGUGUCGGUGGGCCGGUGCCGCCGCCUAGCACUAGCUGGCUGCGCCACGGAUGACGCAGAUGACACAGGCGCCUGGGGCGACCCGGGCGCCCCGGGACCAACCACCACGUGGUCCAGCAAAGCAGGAGCAGUGGCAGCAGAUGCCGACUGAGCCGGGGGAUCCGAACUCGGUGCAGUCGUCAUCGACCUACCACGUCUAAUCAAGUCUGACAUCUGCACAUAUAAUUUCAUUCAGAAUUUAAACUAAUUAAAUAAAAGCAUAGCCUGACCUGGGGUUUGGAAUUUCGGAGUAUCCGGGACUCCGAUCAACGAUCGGUCGAAUCCUAAACGAUCCUAGAAACACAAAGGUACAACUACGUGAGUUUCAGUUCGAUCCAACGGUCCGAACAUAUCAAACGUCGAAAUCGCACAAUAGGCGAAAUCCGAUCAAGACUCAAACGGUAACCAAAUUCAAAUCCGAGCAAACCUACGCGCUCGGGACAAACAGGGGAUUGCUCUGGGACACAAUGCCCCACUGCCACAGCAGCCCACGCGCCACCACACGCGCCGGCAGCGCGUGGGUGUCCUAAGCGAUAAAAGUCGCCGGAAAAUUCUAAAAACUAACGGCCAAGGUUCCUACCCUAGGUUGAAAACAUUAAUUGGAGCCACUUUUGUUCUCGGACCUACCCCGAAAAAUGGCCGGAAGUGGCCGGAUUUGAAAUUCCCAAACCGGCCAAAACCUAGGGUUUUAAUUCCUAUUUCCUAUAGCGAAAAUUCAAGAAAUCCUAACCAACCAUCAGUUAGAGCACAAAAAAUAGUCGAGAAAUCAUACCUCAGGCGUCGAAAAUGGUGGCCGGAGGAGAGAGAAAACGGUCGGCGACAAAUCGGGAAAAAUCGCCUAUGUGCGACGGCAGGCUCGACGGCGACGGCAGGGGCGGCUACGGAACGAGCGGAGGUGGCUGAGGUGACGGCGGAGACAGAGGGCUGAGGUGACGGCGGAGAGAGAGGGAGGAACGGAGAAAAACCAGAAAAUGGGGAAGAAGGAGGCAUCGGGCCGUUUCUGCAAAUUUGUACGACUUUGCGCGACGAAGAACAUCUUCCGUCGCGCAAAAUGCAAUUAAUGAAUCUUGCGCGACGAAAUAUCCGUCGCGCAAGUUCUCCCAGCACGACAAAUUUUGCAUUGGGAUUAGGUCUGUCACUUUUGCGCGACGAAAACGACAUAGUUCGUCGCGCAAAAGGCUGUCGUGCCGCCAAAAUUUUUGGGAUUUAGGGUUUAGCGGGAGGCUGGAACUCAAGAGUUUGAGGCUUUUGCGCGACGAACAAAGAUAACGUCGCGCAAUAUGUGCAUUGCGCGACGAAAACGACAUAAUUCGUCGCGCAAAAGGCUGUCGUUCCGCCAAAUUUUUGGGAUUUAGGGUUUAGCGGGAACUCAAGAGUUUGAGGCUUUUGCGCGACGAACAAAGCUAACGUCGCGCAAUAUGUACAUUGCGCGACGAAAACACAUAGUGCGUCGCGCAAAAGGCUGUCGUUCCGCCAAAUUUUUGGGAUUUAGGGUUUAGCGGGAGGCUAGAACUCAAGCGUUUGAGGCUUUUGCGCGACGAAUUGAAAUAAACGUCGCGCAAUGGGAAACAUGGUUCACUUUGCGCGACGCAUUACUCUCCGCCAAAUUUUUGGGAUUUAGGGUUUAGCGGGAGGCUAGAACUCAAGCGUUUGAGGCUUUUGCGCGACGAAUUGAAAUAAACGUCGCGCAAUGGGAAACAUGGUUCACUUUGCGCGACGCAUUACUCUCUUCGUCGCGCAAGUUCAAGAUUGUGAUUGAAAUUUUUACUAAGUGUUCAAAGGGGAUGGAUGUGUGAAGACGGUCGCCCUGAUUGCGCGACGAACAUACUAUGUGUGCGUCGCGCAAUCUAUUUCACUCUUUGCCCGACGGUUAUAUAUGUGCGUCGCGCAAAACCUACACCCUAAACCCUUGUAAACCCUAACCCCUAAACCCUAAACCCUAAAAUAGUUUCAAUGAUCCAACCGGCAAACUUAUUUUUUGAUACUUGGAGAUCAUAUACGCCAAAAAUCAAAAAGACCAAACAUUCAGAUAUCAGGGAACGGGACUAAAUAUUUCGACGGUUAUAAAUGAAAAGUCAUGAUUUAACGGUUAUUUUAACUCCGAUUUUGAUCAUUUUUUACAGCAACAUUUGUUGACCCUAUAUGAAUACAAUGACUGAAUUUGAUCUUCAAUUUCAUAUUUUUACACUAGGGGAUACCACAUAAACGUUUAAGUUACAUUUUGCAAAUGUAUGAACAAAUUUUUCGGUUUUUGGUGAAUAUAUGAUUUUGAUAGCACACGCAUUCUACGAAACAAGUUUCAGUCAUCCAGCCGUCAAAUUUGUUUUUUUAGACUUCGAGAUCAUAGACAGCAAAAAUCGGACAAAAAAAAUAUUCAGAGAUUAAGUAACGGGGCAAAACUUUUUGACGGUUGUAAAUAAAAAGUGAUGAUUGAACGGUUAUUUUAACUCCGAUGUUGAUGAUUUUUUGCAACUACAGUCCUACAGACCAUAUGAAUACAAUGAACUACUUCGAUCGCCAAUUUUAAAUAUAUAUGUGUGUAUAUAUAAUAUUAUAACGUUACCUAAUUUCAUUUUGCGCGACGAAUGGCUUCUGGUCGUCGCGCAAAAAUGUCAUACGCGACGCAUAUAUAUGCGUCGCGGAAACUAUGGGCGACGACGUGUAUUCGUCGCGCAAACGUUACGCGACGCAUAUGUAUGCGUCGCAUAUGGUAUUUUUGCGCGACGAUGAGGAGCCCUUCGUCGCGCAAGUAUUUGGCGCCAUAGAUCCUCAUUUAAUUCAAAUUGUGUAUGCUUUGUAUUUUUUGGAAAGGUUUUGUAUUCAUCAUUUUUGAUGCUUUGUAUUUUUUGGAAAGGCUUUGUAUUUCUUCAUCAAAACCAAACUAAAUUGAUAAUUAAGGUUUGACUAGAUUGAUGCCACUAAUCAUGAACCAAAGUGAAGAAAAAUAAGUUGCACACAGAUACUAUUGGAGAAAUAACUUAUAUUUUUUGUUUAAACAUUAAGAAAUAACUAUAUCUCAAAAUAACAAAAUAAUAAUUGAAGAGUUAAAGACAUGAAUAAAUAAAUAAAUAAAAACCAAUCCACAAGCACGGGGUCGUAAUAAGUACUGACUAAAGUAUUGACAUUCCAAUGAAGUUUGUGAUUAAAUAUGGAGAUGAAUACACAACUACAUAUGGACAACUACNNNNNNNNNNNNNNNNNNNNNNNNNNNNNNNNNNNNNNNNNNNNNNNNNNNNNNNNNNNNNNNNNNNNNNNNNNNNNNNNNNNNNNNNNNNNNNNNNNNNNNNNNNNNNNNNNNNNNNNNNNNNNNNNNNNNNNNNNNNNNNNNNNNNNNNNNNNNNNNNNNNNNNNNNNNNNNNNNNNNNNNNNNNNNNNNNNNNNNNNNNNNNNNNNNNNNNNNNNNNNNNNNNNNNNNNNNNNNNNNNNNNNNNNNNNNNNNNNNNNNNNNNNNNNNNNNNNNNNNNNNNNNNNNNNNNNNNNNNNNNNNNNNNNNNNNNNNNNNNNNNNNNNNNNNNNNNNNNNNNNNNNNNNNNNNNNNNNNNNNNNNNNNNNNNNNNNNNNNNNNNNNNNNNNNNNNNNNNNNNNNNNNNNNNNNNNNNNNNNNNNNNNNNNNNNNNNNNNNNNNNNNNNNNNNNNNNNNNNNNNNNNNNNNNNNNNNNNNNNNNNNNNNNNNNNNNNNNNNNNNNNNNNNNNNNNNNNNNNNNNNNNNNNNNNNNNNNNNNNNNNNNNNNNNNNNNNNNNNNNNNNNNNNNNNNNNNNNNNNNNNNNNNNNNNNNNNNNNNNNNNNNNNNNNNNNNNNNNNNNNNNNNNNNNNNNNNNNNNNNNNNNNNNNNNNNNNNNNNNNNNNNNNNNNNNNNNNNNNNNNNNNNNNNNNNNNNNNNNNNNNNNNNNNNNNNNNNNNNNNNNNNNNNNNNNNNNNNNNNNNNNNNNNNNNNNNNNNNNNNNNNNNNNNNNNNNNNNNNNNNNNNNNNNNNNNNNNNNNNNNNNNNNNNNNNNNNNNNNNNNNNNNNNNNNNNNNNNNNNNNNNNNNNNNNNNNNNNNNNNNNNNNNNNNNNNNNNNNNNNNNNNNNNNNNNNNNNNNNNNNNNNNNNNNNNNNNNNNNNNNNNNNNNNNNNNNNNNNNNNNNNNNNNNNNNNNNNNNNNNNNNNNNNNNNNNNNNNNNNNNNNNNNNNNNNNNNNNNNNNNNNNNNNNNNNNNNNNNNNNNNNNNNNNNNNNNNNNNNNNNNNNNNNNNNNNNNNNNNNNNNNNNNNNNNNNNNNNNNNNNNNNNNNNNNNNNNNNNNNNNNNNNNNNNNNNNNNNNNNNNNNNNNNNNNNNNNNNNNNNNNNNNNNNNNNNNNNNNNNNNNNNNNNNNNNNNNNNNNNNNNNNNNNNNNNNNNNNNNNNNNNNNNNNNNNNNNNNNNNNNNNNNNNNNNNNNNNNNNNNNNNNNNNNNNNNNNNNNNNNNNNNNNNNNNNNNNNNNNNNNNNNNNNNNNNNNNNNNNNNNNNNNNNNNNNNNNNNNNNNNNNNNNNNNNNNNNNNNNNNNNNNNNNNNNNNNNNNNNNNNNNNNNNNNNNNNNNNNNNNNNNNNNNNNNNNNNNNNNNNNNNNNNNNNNNNNNNNNNNNNNNNNNNNNNNNNNNNNNNNNNNNNNNNNNNNNNNNNNNNNNNNNNNNNNNNNNNNNNNNNNNNNNNNNNNNNNNNNNNNNNNNNNNNNNNNNNNNNNNNNNNNNNNNNNNNNNNNNNNNNNNNNNNNNNNNNNNNNNNNNNNNNNNNNNNNNNNNNNNNNNNNNNNNNNNNNNNNNNNNNNNNNNNNNNNNNNNNNNNNNNNNNNNNNNNNNNNNNNNNNNNNNNNNNNNNNNNNNNNNNNNNNNNNNNNNNNNNNNNNNNNNNNNNNNNNNNNNNNNNNNNNNNNNNNNNNNNNNNNNNNNNNNNNNNNNNNNNNNNNNNNNNNNNNNNNNNNNNNNNNNNNNNNNNNNNNNNNNNNNNNNNNNNNNNNNNNNNNNNNNNNNNNNNNNNNNNNNNNNNNNNNNNNNNNNNNNNNNNNNNNNNNNNNNNNNNNNNNNNNNNNNNNNNNNNNNNNNNNNNNNNNNNNNNNNNNNNNNNNNNNNNNNNNNNNNNNNNNNNNNNNNNNNNNNNNNNNNNNNNNNNNNNNNNNNNNNNNNNNNNNNNNNNNNNNNNNNNNNNNNNNNNNNNNNNNNNNNNNNNNNNNNNNNNNNNNNNNNNNNNNNNNNNNNNNNNNNNNNNNNNNNNNNNNNNNNNNNNNNNNNNNNNNNNNNNNNNNNNNNNNNNNNNNNNNNNNNNNNNNNNNNNNNNNNNNNNNNNNNNNNNNNNNNNNNNNNNNNNNNNNNNNNNNNNNNNNNNNNNNNNNNNNNNNNNNNNNNNNNNNNNNNNNNNNNNNNNNNNNNNNNNNNNNNNNNNNNNNNNNNNNNNNNNNNNNNNNNNNNNNNNNNNNNNNNNNNNNNNNNNNNNNNNNNNNNNNNNNNNNNNNNNNNNNNNNNNNNNNNNNNNNNNNNNNNNNNNNNNNNNNNNNNNNNNNNNNNNNNNNNNNNNNNNNNNNNNNNNNNNNNNNNNNNNNNNNNNNNNNNNNNNNNNNNNNNNNNNNNNNNNNNNNNNNNNNNNNNNNNNNNNNNNNNNNNNNNNNNNNNNNNNNNNNNNNNNNNNNNNNNNNNNNNNNNNNNNNNNNNNNNNNNNNNNNNNNNNNNNNNNNNNNNNNNNNNNNNNNNNNNNNNNNNNNNNNNNNNNNNNNNNNNNNNNNNNNNNNNNNNNNNNNNNNNNNNNNNNNNNNNNNNNNNNNNNNNNNNNNNNNNNNNNNNNNNNNNNNNNNNNNNNNNNNNNNNUACGGGAUUGAUCCGUCAGUGGCAAGUCCCAAUCUUACAUUUCGGGGAUCAGUAGCAAACUCGGGGAACGUUCGAUCGAACUCUUUCCAUGCCUCCCCAUCUGCAGGAUGCCGCAUCACAUCAUCGUCUACCCGUUUUUCCUUAUGCCAUCUCAUGUCUGUGGCAGUAUGCGUCGACAUAUACAAUCGCUGCAACCUAGGUUUAAGGGGUAGAUAACGCAUGACUUUUUGUGGUAUCUUAGUCGUUCUAUUCUGGGAUGUCAUUUUGAACCUCGACUCAUUGCAUAUAGGGCAUGUAUCCAACGUUUCAUGCUCUUUGUAGAAUAACAUGCAAUUGUUUUUGCAAGCGUGGAUUUUUUCAUAACCCAAUCCAAGACCGUGCAACACCUUCUGUGCAUGUUUAUGGUCUUUCGGCAAACAAUUGUCCGUCGGAAGCAUUCUCUUGAAAACCCCCAAAAAGUAAUCGAAACACAAGUUCGACAUACGAUACUUUAUUUUUCCGUGCAUUAGCUCCACAAUGACAGUGAGAACGGAAAAGCUCUCGCACCCCGGGUAUAACUCUUGGUUGGCAUUUUUUAACAGUUUUUCAUACUGUUCAAACUCCGCACUGUCUAUUGGUGUAGGCAUGUCAUCUUCCCCUUCCUGAUUGAUGUUGGUCGAUGCGAAUGGAAAAGCAUCCUGUAUAAUACCCAUGACUUGAUCAUUAGGAUCCACAUUAGGUUCAACAUUGUCCCCUCUUGGGGCAUUUGAAGACGAAGCAUGCUCUACUUGUUCGCCGUGAAGGUUCCAAAUGCAAUAUGUUUCAAUCAUUCCAUUCCUUACUAAAUGAAAUCCAACAUUUUCAAUUGUCUCCCACAACGUGUUGUUACACCUCCUACAAGGACAACGGAUUCUAGUUGCACCCGGGUUGUGUCUACGUGCAAACUCAAUAAAAUCCUCGAUUCCAUCCAAGUAUUCGUCUGCGCAUCUAUUCGGGUUCUGUAUCCACCUUCUGUCCAUAAUUCCUGAAACCACAAUCACGACACAACAAUCACAACAAUCACAACAACUUCAUACGAAGUUAUAAUGUCACCUUAUGCCUCCGGUAAGGGCCCUAUCCCAUUCGGGAAUGCAUAGUCCUGUCACGUAACCUACGGCUACAUGAGAUUAGAUUUCGACGUGGAUUAAUUUUGGCAGCAUCUCGACACAGUUCUUGAAGUGGGCAUAGGUAUAAAUACCUACGUACCACCCGAAGAACGUACCGAGAUGACACCGAAAUCUCCACAAUCGAAACCUAAUCCUGUAGCCGAAGAUUAUGUGACAACACUAUGCAUUACCAAACUGUCCAAAUAAUGGGACAAUUCAAGAAUUAAUUGGACCGCAGUCAUGCAUUACGCAUCCAUGCACGAAAUCCAACUAAUCUCGAACGGGAAACUACGUGUUACUAAACAUAAAAAUAAAAGUACGAAGUUAAUUUCAAUUAACUUCGUACAUCACAACACAUUGUGCUAUGUCACGCACAAUUUCACAACAUUAUACACAUAUGACUUCACAAAAAAAUUACAAACAAACUUUUACAAUAACAUACCUUCUCAAUCGUUCUCCACCAAUCACCAAUCACAAAUAUCCCUAACGAUAACAAAAUUAAUAGCGUUACUACGAAUUUACAUCAAUACAUUUAAACUAACGACAAAAAAUACAUACCCAAUGAACGUACUGAAUUCACAGCAGAGCAACGGCAGAGAGAAUGAGAGAGAGGCAAAAUGCAGUGGGAGAGUGAGAGAGAGGCAGAAUGCAGAAACUGCAUUCUGCCUCUGCAAUGGCAGAUAUUAAAAUGAAGAAUACGGACUUUGCGCGACGAACAAUCCAAUUCGUCGCGCAAAAUGCCGUCGCAAAAAAUCACUUUUCCGUCGCACAAAACAACAUUUCCGUCGCGCAAUUACCUGCCGACAUCUGGUUUUUUGCGCGACGAACUAAAUUAUCCGUCGCACAAACAUUCGUCGCGCAAAUAAGAUUAUUCGUCGCGCAAAUUAUUCAUUUCGUCGCGCAAGAAAGCACCGGCAUCACACUUUACGCGACGAAGGUGGUUCCGUCGCGCAAAAAAGUUUUAUCCACCCUGCAUUUUGCCGCCAAAAAUAAGUAAACCCUCGUUUUUUUUACGCGACGCUACAUAUUUCCGUCGCGCUAAGUUGUCUUUUGCGACGGAAACGUUCGUCGCGCAAAGUUUUUUACAGCAAAAAAAAUUAGCCAAUUUUCUGUCCAUCUUUACGCGACGAAAUAUAUGUAUUGUCGCGCAAUAUUGUCAUGCGCGACGUUUGUCGUCGUCGCGCAAGAUUCUGGCGCCAAAAAAAAAAACCAGGGUUUUUUCCCAGACCUUUGCUCGACGAAACUAGUUUUGGUCGCGCAUAGAUUGUUUGCGCGACGAAGAGUUUUCGUCGCGCUAGUGUUCUGCUGUUUGCGCUACUGUAUUUUUUUUUCGUCGCAAUAGUGAUUUUUGCGCGACGAAAAUAUGUUCGUCGCGCAAAUGUCCGUCGCGCAAACAGUAAAUCGUAGUAGUGAAUGAGUUGGCCGAGUCCCUUCAUGUAAGUAUUAUUUAAUUUUAAUUCUUAUGUUACGCAUUCAAUUUAUAUGCAUGUUUUAAUUUAUAUUUUAUGUUAUGUUCAACAGACGAUGAUGGUGGAGAGGAGCCAGUUGGUUCUUCAGGAGUCCGCCUCCCAGCUUCCUCCCGAGACUCCGAUCGAGUCUGUGGCUCCUCCACAGGAUGCUGGAUUUCAGAUCUUGACGGAGACGUUGGAUCAGACUCUCGGGAGGAGGCCGGGGACAUAUUGUCGAGGGAUGGGGAAUGCCCAGCGGAGGGAACCUCGACCUCGUUCAUCGGCGCAGUCAAACAGUCAGGUCACUGCUUUGACAGCACAGGUGGCCACUCUUCAGAGCCAGAUGUCGGUCAUUCUGCAGUCCCUCGCACAGUCCGGCAUUCCAGUCCCGCAUUUUGAUGCGCCGACCUCCGAGCCCGUCCAUCCCGGGCAUCCCCACCAGACCACUGCCCCAGUGAACGCCCCGACCUCCGAGCCGCAUACUGGCGACGACUCGGUUGAUUUUGAUUCAUUAUUUGAUUAGUGUAUUUAUUUUAUUUAUAAUACAUUUAUUUUAUUUUAUAACAAAAUUUUAUUCUAAUUUAUUUUUAUUGCAAUUUCAUUGUUUAAUCAAUAAAAAAAACCAAUUUUAUUUAAAAUAAAAAAUAUAAAAAAUAAAAAAAAAUUGUAAUAUUAUGUUUGCGCGACGGAAAAUAUUUCGUCGCGCAAACCCGCAUGUAACAAAAAAAAUUAAAAAAAUCAACUUUUUUAUUACUUUUAAUUCUUGCGCGACGAAUGCAUACGUCUCGCAAACACGUUUUGCGCGACGAAUUGUUUCGUCGCGCAUCUUCUCUGGCGCGACAACAGAGAUUUUCGUCGCGCAAAUAUAUGAGCAACGAAAGCUUUCUCAUCGCGCGAAUGGUUCUGCGGCGAACAUCUACGUCUCCUGAACACGUUUUGUGCGACGAAUUAGUUUUCGUCGCGCAAAGAUAUGUGCGACGAAUAAUUGAUCGUCGCGCAAAUUUUAUGCGACGAACAGUUGUUUCGUCUCCAUACCGUUGGUGCAACGAUAGUUUACCCGUCGCACAGUUUUGCGCGACGAAUUGUUAUACCUCGUCGCGCAAAGGAUUUCUUCACGAUCUUCGCGCGACGGAAAAUGCGCGACGAAUUGUUUGUCGCGCUGAAGUUAGUGCGACAAAAUGAGACUUUGCGCGACGUUUUUUUAUUCGUCGCGCAAAGAGUAAAAUGUAGUAGUGUGUGUUCAGGAUUUCAGAUUCUCCAUUCGAUUGGCUAUUCCUUAUAAUUAUGUACAUGUAUGUUGUUAUUUAGAGAGAGAGAGAGAGGGAGGGAGAGAGGUAAAGUGUACAAACUAGAAUAAGUGAUAUCUCUCUAGCAAUCCAAGCCUUGAGUGUUGGUCAUUUGAUCUGCAAAUCUUGCUCUCUGGCUCUGGUCUUUUACUAAAUCCGGCUCUUUCCUUUCUGUGUAACUUCUCAGAAACAGAGAAGAUGAUCUUCUAAGAAUUAAGUAGGACUUUCAAAGCCAAUUUUUCAAUUUGAUCCCUGCUCUACAUAAAAUAUAAAAAAUUAAUACCUCUGCUGCGAUGUUUCCUGUAUUUUUACUUGUAUGUGUAUGCAUUAUUCACGUUCGCAUUGUCACAUUAUGGAUUUAGUUUUGAAGUGAGAAUCUUACUUGGAUUUCUCGCAGACCACCUAUGUAAUUCGGCACAAACUACUACCCUCUAGUUUUCUACAAGCACAAGCUCUUGAGAUGAAAUCAAAUUUAUCAUAUGAGUUAUCCCCUAGGGUAAGUUUCAAUGUUACAUACAAUAAAUGUGAUCACUGUAGGUUAGUCGGUUGAGCUUUGAUUUUGUUUACUUCUCAUUUUGUAUCUCAAGGCUAAAAAGUUGGAAGAUUGGUUCAUCCUUUGCGUUAAAAAAAGACCUAAAGAAACCCAGCUGCUUCUAUGUAAGGCAUCCUGGUUCUAAUUAUUUAUUUAUCUUUUUGUGAUUUUUUUAAUACUGUUUGUCAACUUUGUGAGAUUCUUUCGGGGUUAACUGCAAUUUUUGUGAUUCUUUUAACCAGAGCAAGCUGAAAAAUUGUGAGUUGGAAGCACAAGGAAAGCUUGUAAAAAUUGAAAUGGUGUUGGAGCUCAUUUUGCUGUUAAGCCAUUUGUCUGUGUUAGAUGUGCGUGGGCUGCUGCAUGUUGGUGCUCUAGGCUAAAAAUUUUGGGACUUUGAUUCCAAGAAAAUAAUGAAGUUUCCCGAGAUCCUUCAUAGAAAAUAUAAGUUGCCUAAUCGCCGAAUCAAAUGAGAAAUUUGUUCUUGAUCAUUGCCAAUUAUAAGGAUGUCAUCGACAUAAAUGAGCAGAACCAAAUAGAUGCCUUGUUAAUUGUAAACAAAGAGUGUGUAGUCACAUUUGGACUCAUGAAAUCCAAGCUGCAAAAGAUAUUCAGAGAAUCAUUGAAACCAAGCUUGUGGAGCUUGUUUCAAUCCAUAUAGACUACGCUUCAAUUUACACACAUGAGAUCGAAAUUGUUGAUCCACAAAGCCAGUAGGUUGUUUCAUUAACACAUCUUCAUAGAGAUUUGCAUGUAGAAACGCAUUUUAUACAUCAAGUUUGUGAACCUGCCAUCUAUUGCUCACGGCCAGGCUAAGAACAAGACGAAUGGUGCUAUGUUUGACCACGAGAUUGAAGGUUUCACUGUAGUCGAUACCUUGUUGCUGAUGGAGACCAUUGGCAACAAGUCUGGCCUUGUAUCUCUCUAUUGAUCCAUCUGCUCUCUUCUUUACUUCGAACACCCACUUAUUUGGAAGCAAAUUCAUAUGAGGCUGAUAAAGAACUAGCUGCCAAGUACCAUUAUGUUGCAAAGCAUUAAAUUCCUGAGCCAUUGCAUGUCUCCAUUCCUCCUGUUUCGUUGACUGACUAAAACAAGUAGGUUCAAUGCAUUAGUAUCCAAAAUAACAUGUAGAGCAUAUCUGGGAUUGGGUUUUGGAAAACCCAACUGAGACUUGGUCGCCAUAGGAUGAUGAGAAAUAGCUUGAGAAACCUGCGGGACAAUAUCUUCAUUUAUUGGCUCAUUAGGAGUUGGGAAAGGAGUAAGUGUUGGAGUGGGAGAAGGAGAUUGAUUUAAUUGCACAUCGUCAGGCGUGCAAUGAGGAAGUGGAGGUGAAGUAGGAUUGUUUCUUGUAGGCAACGAAACAUAACCUGAAGGCAAAUUGAAUUAGUUGUUUCUGGAAAAGUAAACAACAUUGCAGAAUCAAAAUUGGUACCUGUGUGUUCGAGGCUCCCCUUGGAAGAUGUGAGUUCUUAAAAUGGAAAAACGUCCUUAUCGAAUAGGACAUGGCGAGAAAAAUAAAUGCGUCUCGUGGAUAAAUCCAAACACUUAUACCCUGAUGAUUAAGAGAAUAUCCUAAGAAUACACAAGUUCUUUAUUUUGGUUGUAAUGUAUGUUUAUUAUAUGGAGUGAGCUAGGGAAAACACCUACACCCAAAGAUUCGAAGCAUGUCAUAUGAAGGAGUUUUAUGAAACAAUUUUUCAAAAGGAGACAUAUGGUUUAGCACACGUGUGGGAAGGCGAUUUAUGAGAUAAGUGGCAGUUUGGCAGGCUUCUAGCCAAUAAGAGAUAGGAAUGUGAGCAUGGUUAAGCAUGACAAUAGCAGUUUCAAUGAGAUGAUGAUGUUUCCUUUCUACAAGGCCGUUAUGUUCUGGAUGUUUAGGACAGGUAAUGCGUUGAGUAAUUCCAUGUUUUGCCAAAAAUUAUUGAAAGGCUAGUUUUGUGUAUUGGCCUCCUUCUUCACUUUGAAGAGCUCUUGUUGAGGUGUUGAGCAUUUUUUCUAUUUGUUUUUUAAAUUUGAUAAAAAUAUCAAAUACUUCAUAUUUUUGUUUCAUGAGGAAUAUCCAAGUGUAUCGAGAGAAGUCAUCAACUAGAAGAAAAUAAUAACGAAAGCCAUGAAUUGAAGCAAUUGGUGAACUCUAAACAUCAGAGUGUACAAGAGCCAUUGGAGACAAAAACACAGAAUCUGAAAUUGAAAAUGGUAAUUUAGUGCUUUUACCUAAAGGACAUGAAGAACAAAAAGGUACAUGAGAAGAGCCACUAAUUGGCACUUUAUUAUUUGAAAUCAAAUUCUUUAUUAUUGCACUAGCUGGAUGGCCUAGGCGAGAAUGCCAUUUUUGAAUUGAGACACGAGUUCCUUCGAAAGCAGAAAAAGAUUGAUUGGAAAAUCCACCGCUAUUUGUGAAUGGAUAUAAUCCAUUCUCACACCUCCCUUGGAAAAAUGUCUUCUGUGUCUUGAGGUCCUUCACAAAAAAAAACCAAUCAGGACAGAUGAGAAUAUAGCAAUUAUUGUCAGAAGUGAAACGAUGAACGGGAAUCAAAUUUGUAGAAGCAAAAGGGCGAACGUGUUAUGAAAACAGAAAAUGAAAACAGGAUCUUGAAAAGUUAAAGUUACCGAAUGACCCCUAAGUUGUAAUUGACUUAGUGAGAGAGCACUCCCAUUGAUAUUUUUUAAGCAACGAUUUCUUAUUAAUAAUUGAUAAUUUCCCAUGCAUAGAGCUCAACCCACAUGGAAUCUUAUUGUUUUUCAACUUUUUCUCUUCUAUAGAUUUUGUUCAAUUUUCUUAUUUUGUAAGUGGACAAAAGAUGAGAGAAAAUGUCAAUCUCCCUUUUCCAGCUCCCUUAUUAAUUCACAUGUUAAAAUACGAGUGCAUUUUAUAUGUCAUGAACCUAGGUCAUAGUCAGUCAAUGGUUGAUCCACUUAAGGACUAGUAAAGGUUGUUGCCCCUACUCACCCUUCUUCCUAUCCAUGAAGUUCCUAGAAUCUUUAUUAAAGAUAUGCUUGAGUAUGUUGCAAUGGGGCAAGGUGUUUGAUAAAAGUCCUCUGAGAGAACAUGGAGGUGCAAAGUUGUGCGGGCAGCUAAACUUCAUAUGUUUUUUUGUUUAAAUUGACAUACCAAAACCAGGUCGUAUCUUGUUACUUGUAUAUAAUUCAUUCAUAUUUGAAGAAUAUUGAGCAUUGGAAUUUUUAGUUCUAUUUUGGAAUUCCCCAGGAUUCAUGUUACUCAGAAAAUAUUGUUGUCUUCUUUAGGUAUGAAUCUAAAAAUUCUGUUAGUGAUUUGAACUACUUUAUUUUGCCCCUCCUCAAUUUAAAAAAAUUCUGGAUUCGCCACCCAUGCAAUAUGGCACCCAACACAAACGGAAAUAUCAUCCUCCACCAACCUGUUUUGGACAAUAAACAACUAAUUAACCAUGAUGUCCUCUUUUUUCCUUCUCAAAUGCACCGACCUUUCCAAAUUAUCUACCACCAUUACUUUAUGCCAGCCAUCAUUACGUUCAAACCCAUUCCAACAUUAUUAUUUAAGAAUUAACAUUAAAUAAUUAUAUUUGACUCCAUCAUAUUUUCUAAUUAUAAUAUAGUAAUUACUCCUUUCAUGAUAACCACUCUUCUAAGAUAUACGAAUUCCUGUCAGUUUUACUUGGCUGCUUAUGUGUAAGAGCAUCUCAUUUUCAUAUAAAAUAUUGGUUAACUUAUGGUACACGUUACACCUACUUAUUAAAAGACAAGACUCGCGAUGAUAGGAACAAUGAGUCGAACCAAUACCCCAAUAUAUAAUGACUAUCAUGAGGAUUAGGUAACGUGGUUAGCUAAUAUGAUUAGAAAAUAUGAUUUAUCUAAUCGCUUCUUAUUAAGGUUUUUCUGUGUAGGGAAGGUUGGAUUUUUGUUUUUUGUUUUUCCAAAGUCGAAAGAUAACUUUAUUAAAAAUAGAUGAAAAUGUGAAUUGGAUUGUUAGACGUUGAUUUCUCUUCUUUAGACAAUUAAUAAAUUUGAUCGUAGUGCCCUUUUCGAAAGCUUGGAUAACUUGAUUUACUACAAAAACCCCUGCUCCAUCAUUAAUCUUAAAUCAUUACAUAUAGAGUGCUGAUGGAGUUCUUGUGGAGGCUGGGUAGGUCUUUUUAAAUAUUUUAUUUUUAUGAAUAAAUAUUUUAAUUAUUUCAUUUGUAAAUAUAUAAUAAGUUUUUAAAUUUAUUUAAAUAAAAUAUAUUAAAGAUAUUUUUAGUAAUUAAAUAUAAUAAAAUAGAACAAAUUAUGAAAAUAACAACACUCUUAUUUAUAUAUAUAUUUCGAAAAACCACCGACUUAUCUUAUUGCUAAUGUAAAUUGUAAUUGACUUAUUGAGAGAGCACUCCCAUUGGUCAUGCUUAGAGCUCCACUCACAUGAAAUCUUAUUGUUGUUCAAACUUUCACUUUACCGUAGAUUUUAUUGUGGCCUUCGAGGAAAUUGAUCUUAUAAUAUUCAAGAGUAGGCAAGUGGAUUCCAACAAAGAAAGAGGGAAAAUUCUGUGGUGCCUCAGUUGUACCGGUACAGUCAAUCAUCUAAAGGUUCAUAUUUUAUUUUAAAAAUUAAGGGUUGAGAUUGAAUGACCUGAUGACUUGUUCACUCCUUUCUUAUUAAAGAGUACGUGAAAUACACGUGACUGAGAAAACAAACGAAAAAGCUUUGACGAACGCGAGAAAUACGUCGCGUGCACUGAGAGCUGCUUCAUCUUUGCAAUAUCUCUCUCUCUCUCAAAUCCAAUCCUCAUCUUUGUCCUCAAGUCAGAAUCUGAGCAUCUCCUCUCUGCCGACGCCGCGAUGCGCAAGAACCAUCGGAGAGGAGACAGAGUAGGGUGAUUCAGUCGAGUUCGACGGGGGUGGUGUGAAAGGCCUUUAUUUGGGUAGAAAUUCAACGACUUAGUAUUGAAUCUGGAGUGAGGAUGUCUGUGUUGCAGAGCCUUUGAUGGGAGAAAAAAUUCAACGCCUUGGACUGAAUCUUGGUGAUUUUUUUAUGGGUAAUGAUUUCCCCACUCCAAUUUUAUCCACUUACACUCCUUUUUUAGUUAUAAAAUGGAGUGUAAGUGGAUAAAAUUGGAGUGGGGAAAUCACCACUCUUUUUUUUCCCUCUUUUAAUAAUUUUUAAUAAUUUAAUAAUUUAAUAUUUUCUCUUAAUUUCAUCACAACAUCAAACCCACUGUGAUCCUUUCUCCAUCAAACCCACUGUGAUCCUUUCUCCAUCAAACCCAUGUAAUUUUCGUUUUAUGGAGGAUUUGUUUUCUUCCAUGUAUGAGGUUAUGGAUUUGUGCUUCAAAAUAAGGUAUGAAAUUUUGAAUAAUCAGGUUGUUGAUUUUCUUUAAAGUCUUGGAUUCUUGAAUUUUCUUCCUACUUUUUUUUUUUUUUUUCAAUUUGAGAUUUGUUUUAUUACUCAAGAACUCUGGUCAUGAUGAAUCCAAUUGGAGUUUUCGGGCUUGUUAGUGGAGAACUGAGGUUGGCCUCAAAAGAGAAAGAUGAGUUCUUUAACUGAGAAACCUCAUAACUGGUUUUGAUUUUGGCUAUAUUAUUUCUUAUGUGCAAUUGCAUAUAUUUUUUUGCAAUUGCAUACAGUUUAUGCAAUUUUUGACCCCCUGUAUGCAAUUAGCGAUAGUGUGAUGUUUAAAGAAACGUUUGACUUGAAUGCUAUGUCAUUGAGUUAUUUACCCAUUAACAAUCUAGUAACAAUUGAGGUUUCGUUCGUUGAGUAUGUUGCGUUCAUUUGAUAAAUUUAAAUGUUGGUAUAUUCGGUAAGAAAAAAUAAGAGUUCACGAGAAAGAAGAAGACAUGAUAUUUUUUUUUUUUUUAGGUGAAGUGUCUUGGGUUGCCAUUACCAUUUCAAAGAUUGUAUUGCUAAAUCUAUAAGUGUAUGGUUUAAAUGUGAUGUUCAUGAUUGAUAUUGGUUGUUGUGAUUGCCGUAACUGCUAUAUAUUGGUUGCUCUGGCUAAGGAUUCAGGAAAAGAGCAGUUAAGACAAGUGCAUUUUUGUUACACUGAAAUAUGUGUUUUGAGAUACCAUCACAAUGUUUGAAUAAUCUCUCUCUACCUCCCUCUCAUUUGCAGAAAGGGGUAUGCUCACUUGGACUUUUCAUGCAUACUUGGUGAGAUUCUCACCUUCUUCUGAGAGCCUAAUAUUUAGGGGCUAACAUUUGUGUACUCUACAAGUUAUAAAUUGAGCUAAACGUAUUACAAAAUAUUUUAGGUGAAGUGUUUUCUUUGUUUAUGUUUCUUUUUUCAGAUCUUAUUUCUUAUUUAUGUGACAUGUAGUCUUGGUUAGAGAAAAUAGAUGAUAUCACAUAUAAUUUUCUAUAGCUUUUAGGUAGUAGUAGAUUAUCCGUAUUGUCAUGCAAAUGAACACACACAAAAAAGAGGCCCUCUAGCCAAAAAGAGGAAAUUUGGUGAUCUUUGCAUACGUUAUAAGAGUGUGAGCCAAUGAGCCUUCUAGUAAAAACGAAAGAAGUUAAAAACCAAAAGAAGGGCGGAAUGCAAUUGCAUAUUGUAAACUAAGAAUUGCAAACAGAUGUUACGAAAUUGCAUACAUAUAUAUGUAAUUGCUUAUUGUAAAAUGAGAAUUGCACAUAAAUGCUAUGAGAUUGCAUACAAGUAUAUGAACGAAAAAAGUUAAAAACCAAAAGAAGGGCAGAAUGCAAUUGCAUAUUGUAAGCUAAUAAUUGCAAACAGACGUUACGAAAUUGCGUAUAUAUAUACAAUUGCAUAUUGUAAAAUGAGAUUGCACAUAGAUGCUACGAGAUUGCAUACAGGCAUAUGCAUAUGGAUACUAUAAAUUGAGAAUUGCACACGUGCUAUCAAAUAUGCGAUAUAUGCCCACAAAAACCAUUAACAUGGUUAAAUUGUUGAUUUAGUCCUUGAACUUGUAUCCAAUUUUCAAUUUAUCGCAUGACAUUUUUUUUAUAAUAUUACGGAUAUGAAUUUUCUUUAUCGCCAAUGUCUCCCCUGCCGUUUAAUUCCCUAACAUUUCAUCCAAUCUGUCAUUAAAUAUGAGGGCACAUUGAUCAUUUCAUACGUUAAACAUAAUUGAAUUAUGUAAAAUAAAAUAAUAUAAAAAGAUAUUAAAUAUAUGCCUUAAAGCCAAACAUGUGAUAUUGCGUUCUUUUUUGGAUAUUUCACCAUCAUUUAUGGGCAAAAUCGUUGUUUUCAUCUAUGUUAUUUAGUCUACAAUCAUAACAGCACAACAAUCCUUGGAAUAUGAUUCGUAUGUGGGCUAAGCAAUGAGAUUGGAUAUAAGAAGACUUCUCAUAUUUCCACUUCACUUCGUGGUCAUAUAUUAUCAAUUGGGCAUUGAUCAUAAUCGAAAAAGUCCAAUUUUCUUUUUCGUCAAUUCAAUGUGACUCAAUCAAUCGACCAUUAAGUAAUAAUUUUUGUUGAAAGCUUUUAAAUUUAUAUUUGUACCAACAAUCAUAUGUUUGAUUUUAUUGAAUUUUUUUUAAUUAACAAUAUAGGAAUAAUUGGAGAUAAUCAACAAAGUUCAAUUUUAUUCUCAAUAUUUCAUUGGGUUAAAUUAUUAGUAAAUCAUGAAAGUUAUAUUCAAUAAUUUAUGCCCAACAAACCUACCUAAAGAACGCUAAGUGACUCGUUCGCCGGGUAUAUAAUGUUGUUCGUUGACCAAAUUACCCAAUGAACUCCUUGAUUUACUCAAUAAAAAAGGUAUUUUACUUCGAAGACGCAAGGGGAGCGCUCGGUGAGUAAAGCUCGUUGUUCCCCGAGAAAUUGGACUAACUAAAAUAUUUUAUCAAACAAAUGCGCUAUUUUUUCACUUGAACGCAGGGGGUGAGUUCGUUGAAUAAAGUUGGUCGUUUCCCGGGAAAUUGGACCCAACUAACUUACUUUUUCAAACAAAUGGACUAUUUGUUCAUGCGAACGCAGGGGUUGCGUUCAUUGAGUAAAGUUGAACAUUCCUCGUUCCUCAGAAAAAUGGGCCAAACUAACUUACUUUUUUAAACAAAUGGACUAUUUGUUCACGCAAACGCAGAUGUUGCGUUCAUUGAGUAAAGUUGCAUGUUCUCCGGAAAAAUAGACCCAACUAACUUACUUUUUCAAACAAACAGGCUAUUUGUUCAUACAAAUGCAAGGGUUGCGUUGGUUGAGUAAAGUUGCUCAUUCAUCGGAAAAAUGGGCCUAUUAUCGAAAUUACGUAGUAAUGGACAUUGUUAUGUAGUACAAAUAAUUUUCCAAAAGAUCCCGAAUUUCGUAAAACACAAUGUGAUUAACCUUAAUAUUGAAUAAUAGACAUAUGGUUAUAAUAAAGUAUUUGCUUGGUUUUCUUUGUCUUUGCGCUAUACAUUAAUUAGGUUUGCAUUUUUAAGGUGUGUUUAGUUUGCACACAGCCGGUUUGCAUUUGCAUUUUACACAUGCAAUUGCAUGACGAUGAUGCAAUGCAAGAGUGACUGUGCGCAAACCCCUAAUAAGGAAAAAUGGAUCAUAUUUUUUUGUACAUGCAUAAUUAGACCUAUUUUUUGAACUAUAAAUCGAAGGGCGAAAUGAACCGAAAUACAGAGCAUGAGAAACAGUAAGGGGCAAUAAGCCGAACAUAUUAAAAGAUCCUUGCAAAGUCCACGUGGACGCAAAUCAUGCGGAACAUGGUUAUAGAAGUUAGUCAUAACAUGAACUUUGGGAUCAUUUGGAUCCCAACCUUGCUGUUUUGGAUUUUUGACAACGUGAGGUUGGUUUGAAGAGGAAGCCAUGCAUUUGUAAUGGAUAGAGUCAAAGAAGCAGUCACUCAAAUGCCCCUUUAUAAUAGAAUGGAGGGUUUAAAAUGUUAACGCAAGGGUUACCCGGAAAAAUUAAUCCAGCCAACUAACGUUUUCAAACAAACGAGGGUUUUGUUCACACAAACGAAAUGAUUGCGUUCGUUGAGAAACGUUACCCGUUCGCCGAUAAAAUAUCCCCAACCACCUUACUUUUUCAAACAAACGCGGUGUUUGUUCUAGCGAACCUAAGGGUUGCGUUUGUUCAGUAAAGUUACCCGUUCCCCGAAAAAUGGGCCCAACCAACUUACUUUUGUAAACAAACGGGUAGUUUGUUCAAUCGAACGUAAAGGUUUGCUUUCGUUCAGAAAUACUCGACGUUCCGCCGAAAAAGAGGGCCAACAAUCUUACUUGUUCAAACCAACAUGGUAUUUAUUCACACGAACACAAUAUGUGCGUUACUUGAGAAAAGUAACCCGUUCGUCGAAAACAUGCCUCAACCACCUUACUUUUUCAAACAAACGGGGUAUUUUUUCACACCAACGCAACAGGUGCGUUCGUUGAGGAAAGUUUUCUAUUCGCCGAAAAAAUAUAUCCAACCAACUUACUUUUUCAAACAAACGGGGUGUUUGUUCUAGUGAACGCAAAUGGGCCCAACCAACUUACUUUUUCAAACAAAUGGGGAGUUUAUUCAAACAAACGUAAGGGUUUGCUUUCGUUCAAAAAUACUCGACGUUCCGUCGAAAAAGAAGGCCAACAUAGUUACUUUUUUAAACAAACAGGGUAUUUGUUCAAACGAACGCAAUAUGUGUGUUCCUGGAAAAAAGUUACCCGUUCGCCGAAAACAUGCCCCAACCACCUCACGUUUUUAAACAAACGGGGUAUUUUUUCACACCAACGCAACAGGUGCGUUCGUUGAGGAAAGUUUUAUGUUCGUCGAAAAAAUAUAUCCAACCAACUUACUUUUUCAAACAAACGGGCUAUUUGUUCACGUAGACGCAGGGGUUGCGUUCAUUUAGUAAAGUUGCUCGUUCUUCUAAAAAAUGGGCCAAACUAACUUACUUUUUCAAACAAACGGCCUAUUUGUUCACGUAAACGCAAGGGUUGAGUUUGUUGAGUAAAGUUGCUCGUUCCCCGAAAAAAUGGCCCAAACUAACUUACUUUUUCAAACAAACGGGCUAUUUGUUCAUGCGAACGCAGGGGUUGUGUUCGUUGCGUAAAGUUGUCCGUUCCCUAGAAAAAUGGGCCCAACUAACUUACUUUUUCAAACAAACGGGCUAUUUGUUCAUGCGAACACAGGGGUUGCGUUUGUUGAGUAAAGUUGCCCGUUCCCCGAAAAAAUGGGCCAAACUAACUUACUUUUUCAAACAAACGGGCUAUUUGUUCACAUAAACGCAGGGGUUACGUUCGUUGAGUAAAGUUGCUCGUUCCCCCGAAAAAUGGGCCAAACUAACUUACUUUUUCAAACAAAUGCGCUAUUUGUUCAUACGAACGCAAUGGGUUGCGUUCAUUGAGUAAAGUUGUCCGUUCUCCGGAAAAAUGGGCCCAACUAACCUACUUUUUCAAGAAAACAGGCUAUUUGUUCACGCGAAUGCGGGGGUUGCAUUCGUUGAGUUAAGUUCCCCGUUCCCUGAAAAAAUGGCCAAACUAACUUACUUUUUCAAACAAACAGGCUAUUUGUUCAUAUAAACGCAGGGAUUGCGUUCAUUGAGUAAAGUUGCUCGUUCUUCGGAAAAAUUGGCCCAACUAACUUACUUUUUCAAACAAACAGGCUUUUUGUUCACGCGAACGCAACGGGUUGCGUUCAUGGAGUAAAGUUGUCCGUUUCCUAAAAAAAUGGGCCCAACUAACUUACUUUUUCAAACAAAUGGGCUAUUGUUCACGCGAACGCAGCGGUUGCGUUUGUUAAGUAAAGUUUCCCGUUCCCCGGAAAAAUAGGCCAAACUAACUUAAUUUUUCAAACAAACGGGCUAUUUGUUCAUGUAAACGCAGAGGUUGCGUUUGUUGAGUAAAGUUGCCCAUUCCCCGGAAAAAUGGGUCCAACUAACUUACUUUUUCAAACAAACGGGCUAUUUGUUCACGCGAACGCUGGGGUUGCGUUCGUUGAGUAAAAUUGCCCUUUUCCCAGAAAAAUAGGCCAAAUAAACUUACUUUUUCAAACAAACGGGAUAUUUAUUCAUGCAAGGAGUGCGUUCGUAGAGUAAAGUUGCCCGUUCAUCAGGAAAAUGGACCCCACUAACUUUCUUUUUCAAACAAACGCACUAUUUUUUCACGCGAACGCAAGGGUUGCGUUCGUUGAGUAUGUUGCGUUCAUUUGAUAAAGUUAAAUGUUGGUAUGUUCGGUAAGAAAAAAUAAGAGUUCUUGAGAAAGAAGAAGACAUGAUUUUUUUAUUUUUUAUGUUGUUUUGUUUUGUUUUGAGUCAAAGAAAUUAUUAUUAUUAUUUUUUAAAGAAAAAACGUAUGGGUGUGAUAUAUACUAUUGUUAAUUUAAUUGGAUCUUUUCCCUUAUAUUUUUCACGUGCUUCUUUUUUAAAACUACUUAAAAUUUUGUUCUUAAAAUUUUUCACAUAAGCCUUGUACCAAGGGAUAUGCACUAGAAACCAACUCCACUAAAUAAAUUUUUGUGUCAAUUUGUUGCACAUUGGAGUAUAUAUACAGUUGUUAUAAUAUUAAUAUAAAUUAUGUAAAAUAAAAAAAUUUAGAGGGUCCUCAAAAAUCAGGGGCCCUGUGCAUCGGCGCCACUUGCACUAUUUCAGGGCCGCCCUUUCUUAUUAGUUGGGUUAAUCUUAACUAUCUCAUAUAUGGGAAGAUAGUAGGGAGCUCAAGAGAGACCUAUGUGCACUAUGUUCUAACAUGGCUUACAAACUGCUCGGGUUACGUGACUUCGUAUGACUAUUGUAUGAAUCUAGAUGGUUGUUCCUCAUUGUUUGAACCUCAUUGGAGCUCUUCAUUUAUGUAGAUGGACACUUAUCUAAAUUGUAAUCCAAUGUUAAAACAAACUAUGGAUUUAUGCAUAGUUUAUUCAUUCUAAUCAACAUUUUAUUUUCAAACUUUUCAUUAACACGCAUUACAUAUCACUUAUAUUUCAUCAUAUGUAUAUCUUAUUAUUAGUAAAUUUUGAGUUUUAUUUGUUCAAUACAUUCAUUGAUAAUGUACAUAACAUUUAUGAAAGUUUUAUACCAAAAUUAUGUGUUUCAAUGCCUAUAUCUGUCUUCUUCUUUUUUGAUACCUAAGACGAUAACAAUAUAUCCCCCAAAAUAUCCGUAAAUUGGAGGCCCGAUAUUAUUUACAUGGCUAACAUUUUAAUCAUUGGCCUUACCUCUGUGAGGUGAAGAAAUUGGAUUCAGGUAUCGAGUAAAUAGCUUAGAUUUACAGUAUGGCUCUCAAUUGCAAUUGGUUAUAUCCAUUUUAUUUUUUUGAUCUAAAUAUAAUAUAGAUAGUCUAAUUAUUCUUUUCUAUGGGUAUCUAUACAUUAUUGUAUAAUAUUUUAAUGAGUAUAUAGUAUAUGUAACAAUUAAAAAAGAUAACCAGUUUUUUUUGCCAAGAAAAAUGGAGAGCCAAUUAAUCGGUCACUUAUUUUGAGCUAUAAGAUUAUUAGUGAUACUUAUGGAUGGUAUGUUGAUAUUUAAUGGGGUUUUUUUAAUUAAUUUAAAUUAUAUGCUUAUUAGGCUAGAGGGUCUCCGUUAUGAAGUGUAAUAGCGAUUUCUUAUACUUAUUCGACUUUAGGAUGUAAGUUACAAAUUCAAUUACGAUAUGAGUAAUGUGUAAUGGAACGUUAUUUGUGUCGUUAGCAUUUGUAUUGACAACCAUGCAAUUUCCAAAUAGUGGAAGGAAUUUCAAAGAAACUACGCCUUUGUCGAUGUUUCAGUUGUUAAUGCAUGUCUUAGAAUUGUUGUGCAAUUGCACAUCCAUUGUAGAUAAUUGCAUAUAAAAUUUCAAAACAUACUAUGAACUUACAUGUAAUUACUCAUAAUAAUUGGAUAAUUGUAAAAAGACCAUGCAAUUGCACGUACCAUGACGGAAAAACGCAAAAAUAGCUAACCCAUCCCCUCCUUCCCUUCUCGACACCUCUCCCCCAUUCCCUCAGCUCCCUCUCUCUCUCUCUCUCUCUCUUCCCGUCUAAAAGAAACACAAACAUCAAAAAUCAAUCAAACCAAGACAUCAAGAAUCAAACACAGCUCCAUCAAACCCGAACAUGAAAAAUCAAUUAAACCCAAAAAUCAAUCAAACUCAUCCCAGCUUCUCCAUUUUUCACAUAUUUUGCAGGAGAAGGAAGUUUUCAUCAGUUCAUGACUGCAACUUUGUGUGCAUCUGCUCUAUUUGGAUUUAGGAGAAGGGCAGCAACUAGAGAUUUAGUACAAGUCAUAAUAAAUAAUAGUUGAAGUUUAAUGAAUCAAAGGUGAAUCAGAUUUGGGGAAAUAGAAGAAAUCAAAUAAAUUUGGGAUUUCUAAGAAGAGGAUCUCAAGAUUUAAGCAUGUGAAUAAGAGAAAUCAGUCAUGAUACUAUGUUAGAAUUGAGCUAAACAGAAAGAAAAUGAACUAGAGAGAAGGGUAGGUGAGGUAUUAGGAAGAAGAAGAAGGGGAAGGAGUGUCGCGAAGGAAGCGCGUCAAUUUUUCCCCUUGCUUUUACCUGUUAACCAACACAACCGUUUUCCUUUGUUUUAAAAACACCCCCAUGUGAGUGGCUGUACCGGUACAGCUGAUGUACCACAGAAGGACUUUGUUUGGAUUCCAAACAAACAAAAAAAGAGUAGGCAAGUGGUGCAUCUGGAAUUUGAUAAAAAUCCGCGGGCAAUCCUUAUCAGAAAAACUUUUAUGAAAUAAAAAUAGUAUUAUUUUAUUAUCGUGAUCAUUGUGACAUGCGUAAUAAUAUUUUCAGUAUUAUUGGUUUUGAAUAAAAUAAUUAACAAAAUAAUAUUAUCCCUUAUUGCAAGUUGCAACUGAUCCGAAUGGAAAGUAAUAGUUAAAGAAGCGGAUUCCAUUCUACCUCAAAUAAUUGGAAAUUCGUAUUGAAUUGAGAUUUAAAAAUAAUUUUUUACUUAUUAAUAUAGCUGUCAACAUUUAAUUAGUUGAAUGGAAUCCAUUGGUACUAUUGAUGGGAGUUUUAUAACUGUUAUCACUUCCACUAGAGCAAAAUAGAUACGUAGGGAUAAAGAUUAUUAAUAAAAGUAUCAUACAGAUUUUUUUCUUCCUGUUUAACCAAUAUUAUAUGUGGAGUAAUCGAUUCGGGUAACUUAUUAUAUGUUAGAAACUGGACUUACCCAUCACAGCACAUGGAGUACACAUCCUCACAUGCAUGGGAGAACGCCCAACAAUUGUUUAAUCAACGAUUGUCCCAACCAUGGUUAUGCUUAACAUCGCUUUCUAUUAUUAAUUGAUUCUCUCUCUCUCUCUCUCUCUCUCUCUCUCUCUCUCUCUCUCUCUCGUGCAUCAGAGCCCAACCAUGGCAGAAUGCUUUUUCGAAAAUGCAUAUACAAAUCAUUGCUCCCCAGAUUCAAUUUCAGAUAUGUUCUUUUGAUUAAGGUUAUACCAAAAUAAGGCCAUUAUGGCGUCUGCUGCAACAGACCUCUUCCUUGGCAAAUUUGUUGCCAUUCUAGAGAGUGAAGCAGCCUCCAUAGCGGGUGUUCGUGAUCAAGUUGAUGAAAUUAAGCAGGAGCUUGUAUUCAUGAAAUCCUUCUUAGAGGAUGCUGACGGCGGAGAGCAGGCACACACACAAGUAGAGAAAGCGUGGGUCGCAAGCGUUCGAGACUUGGCCAAUGAUGUUGAAAACACCAUUGAUGAGUUCAUGUAUCGCGUGUACGAGCAACGAAAUGGUGGUCGAUUUUCCAGGUGGUUCCACAAAACCAUUCACUUUCCAAAGCACCUUUGGUAUAAGCGUCGAAUAGCCAACAAGUUACAGAAAAUCGCGGUGGCGAUUAGAGCUAUUCCGGAGAGAAAUCAGAGAUAUCAUGGUGCUGCAGCUGUAGAAGUAAAAAGUACUUCUGAGGAUAUUCGAAGAUGGGUGCAGAACCAAGCGGAGUCUUCUCUUUAUCAGAAGGAGGAUGAACUUGUCGGGAUUGAAGGCGAUAAGAACAUGUUACUGGGAUGGCUGAUGGAUGAAGCGAAGCACCAAAUUGCUGUGUCCGUGGUCGGGAUGGGAGGAUCAGGGAAGACAACUCUAGUUGCAAGAACCUUCAAAGAUGACAUUGUAAAGAGAGAUUUCGAAUGCUAUGCAUGGAUUACUGUUUCCCAGUCUUAUGUGAUUGAAGACUUACUUAGAAGAUUGAUCAAAGAAUUCCACAAAGGAAAGAGGGAAGAGGUCCCUGCAGACAUAAAUGCCAUGAGUUAUAACGAAUUGCUGGAGAUUUUGGUGAACUACUUGGAGACUAAAAGGUACCUAAUUGUAUUGGAUGACGUGUGGGAUGUCCACCUUUGGGACAAAAUAAGGUUUUCAUUUCCAGAUAAACAACUUGGAAGUCGAGUCAUGCUUACAACUCGAAGAGAAGACAUAGCAUCCUCUUCUUUUGGAGUUGAAAGCCAUGUUCACAAGAUUCAACCGUUGGAAAGGGGUGAUGCGUGGGAGCUUUUCAGCAUGAAAGCAUUCUCAAGUUAUCAGAACAAAUCUUGUUCACCUGAACUUUUGCCUUUAGCUCGGGAACUUGUGGAAAAGUGUGAAGGCCUACCACUAGCGAUCGUAGCCUUAAGUGGUCUCAUGUCUUCUAAGAAGUCACUUACAGAGUGGAGCACAGUCUACAAUAGCUUAAAUUGGCAUCUAACAAAUAAUUCUUUGUUAGAACCUAUGAAGAUGCGCAUCUUGUUGUUUAGUUUUAAUGAUUUGCCAUACCGAUUGAAGCAAUGCUUUCUAUCUUGUUCACUUUUCCCUGAAGAUCAUGUGAUCGUAAAUAAUAGGCUCAUCACAUUGUGGAUCGCUGAAGGAUUUGUUGAACAUGUCGAAGGGCUCACGCCAGAAGAAGUUGCAAGGGGCUAUCUUAUGGAACUCAUUUUUCGUAACAUGCUACAGCAAAGGUUUCUAGGAUCCCUCCCAGCAUGUAAGAUGCACGAUCUUUUGCGGGAGAUUGCUCUGUCUAUAGCAAAAGAAGAAAAGUUUUGCGUUGUACAUGAUGGGGGUGAAACAGUAGAAGAAACUGGAGCACUCCGUUUGUCAAUUCAAACAACUAAUCGAGAAAUUGGAUCAUGCACAGGUAUAUCACGGCUUCGUUCAUUUCUCGUCUUUGCCACUGGCGUAUCCUCAUUCUCUUUCUCAAAUAAACUACCUUUUGACCUUAAAUUGUUGAAGGUUCUAGAUUUGGAGGAUGUCCCACUUGAUUAUCUGCCAGACAAUCUAACGUCCUUAUUUAAUUUAAAAUAUUUAAAUUUGAGGGGAACUCCAAUUACUGAGCUUCCAGAAUCCAUUGGACAGCUCCGCAACCUUCAGACCUUGAACAUCACGCUGACAAAAAUUGUGGCACUUCCAAGAGGGAUUUCCAAGUUGCUGAACUUACGCCAUUUACUUGUGGGCCGGUUCUUUUCCAGAAAGAUAAUUGGGGUAAGAAUACCAUCAAGUAUUAGUAAGAUGAAGAAAUUGCAACGUUUGGCAUUACAAAUGUGAAAGAAAGAGACGAGGAGGACCUAUGUGCCUCAAUUCAAGAGAUGAAGGUCCUUUCCUGCUUGCAUUUAUCUGUAGCAGAUGGAGAGGAAUUUCUUCGAGUUGACGCAUUGUCUUCACCGCCUCCCUACCUUGACAGACUUGAAUUGAGCGGAAAACUGGAAAAGGUACCACAUUGGUUUUGUUCACUCCACUCUCUCGCAUAUUUGAAUCUGUCUGGGUCCAGACUUGAAGAAGAUUUACUACCUCAUAUUGAAGCAUUGCCCUCUCUACGUUCUCUUUGGCUUGAUAAUGCCUCUGUUAGAAAGGAGUUAUGUUUCAACAGAGGCUUUGUGAAGCUUCGGCAUUUGUGGGUUUGGGAUCUCGCAUUAUUAAAUAUGAUAACUAUCGAAAAAGGGGCGAUGCCAAAUCUCGAGUUCAUAAGAAUUCAUGAUUGCUUGACAUUAGAAACAUUGCCACAGGGUAUUGAGGACCUUACUAAUCUACAAGGAUACAGAUUUGAUAAUGCUUCAGAGAAGUUUAAAGAGUCCAUAAAAGAAGGAGGUGUGGAUCAUCCAAGGAUGCUACUCGUCGACGAGAGAUGUAAGAAAUAUGCGUAAGUAUCUUUUAUCCUUUCCUAAACUUAAUGAUUUGGAAUAUUGCACUUGUGUUCAAGAAAUUGUUCUCGUUCACAUCUCUGUUAAUGGAUGUAAAGCCAUAUAGAUUUUUUGUUAAUUACAAUAUUGCUUUUGUCUUUUUAUAUAUUUUGCAGAAACAAGUCCUGGGAUUGAAGAUUUUACCCAUGAGUUUGGGGGUGGGAACUUGUUCGCCUUGUUUUGACCCCAAGAGUGAUCUAGAUUGGCUUCUUAUUUGCUCUUUUGAAAAUCAAACAAUACCCAAGUUGAUGUUCAUAAAAUUGCAGUUGAUGUUUUUGUGUGCGUUUUAAUUUGCAUGUAAUAAAAUUCGAGUUUGCAUCUGUCACUUCAGCAAUUGGCAGAUGUAUGUGGAUGAUUAGCUUUUAAGAUUUGGACCAUGGAUUCUUUUAUAUUCGGUGUGUUUGUACUUUCUUCUAUGUUAAUUGUAUUUGUACUUUCAGGUUUUUUUCUAUGGGGUCAGAUUUUGUACUUUCAGAUUGGCUAAAUAAAUAAUACAGAAUCUUAAUUGCUUUCCAUGAUAAGUUCUAUAAUACAGGAAUGUUAAUGUAGCGGUAUUUGAAGCUAAUUACGCACUAUUGUGUGAGGAAAUUAAAAUACAUUAUAUACAUGUAUGUUGUUAUUUAGAAAGAGAGAGGGAGGGAGAGAAAGGCAAAGUGUACAAGCAAUCCAAGCCUUGAGUGUUGGUCUUUUACUAAAUCCGGCUCUUUCCUUCUUCUUUUUUUGUCAAAAAAUUCGGCUCCUUCUGUUCUGUCUAUAAGGUAAAUUUUCUGUUUGUGUAACUUCAGAAACAGAGAAGAUGAUCUUCUAAGAAUUAAGUAGGAUUUUCAAGACCAAAUUUUCAAUUUGAUCCCUGCACUACAUAAAAUAUAAAAAAUUAAUACCUCUGCUGCGAUGUUUCUAAUUUUAUUUUUACUUGUAUGUGUAUGCAUUAUUCACGUUCGCAUUGUCACAUUAUGGAUUUAAUUUUGAAGUGAGAAUCUUACUUGGAUUUCUCGUAGACCACCUAUGUAAUUCAGCACUACCUAUGCUGUCCAGUUUUCUACAAGCACAAGCUCUUGAGAUGAAAUCAAAUUUAUCAUAUGAGUUAUCCCUUAUUAAUUCACAUGUUAAAAUAUGAGUGCAUUUUAUAUGUCAUGAACCUAGGUCAUAGUCAAUGGCUGAUCCACCUAAGGACUAGUAAAGGCUAUUGCCCCUGCUCACCCUUCUUCCCAUCCAUGAAGUUCCUAGAAUCUUUAUUAAAGAUAUGCUUGAGUAUGUUGCAAUGGGGCAAGUGUUUGAUAAAAGUCCUCUGAGAGAACAUGGAGGUGCAAAGUUGUGCGGGCAGCUAAACUUCAUAUGUUCUUUGUUUAAAUUGACAUACCAAAACAAGGUCGUAUCUUGUUACUUGUAUAUAAUUCAUUCAUAUUUGAAGAAUAUUGAGCAUUGGAAUUUUUAGUUCUAUUUUGGAAUUCCCCAGUAUUCAUGUUACUUAGAAAAUAUUUUGGACAAUAAACAACUAAUUAACCAUGAUGUCAUCCUUUUUCCUUCUCCAAUGCACCGACCUUUCCAAAUUAUCUACCACCAAUACUUUAUGCCGGCCAUCAUUACGUUCGGACCCAUUCCAACAUUAUUAUUAAGAAUUAACAUCAAAUAAUUAUAUUUGACUCCAUCAUAUUUUCUAAUUAUAAUAUAGUAAUUACUCCUUUCAUGAUAACCACUCUUCUAAGAUAUACGAAUUCCUGUCAGUUUUAUUUGGCUGCUUAUUUGCAAGAGUAUCUCAUGUUCAUGUAAAAUAUUGGUUAACUUAGGGUACACGUUACGCCUACCUAUUAAAAGACAAGACUCGUGAUGAUAGGAUAGGAACAAUGAGUUGAACCAAUACCCCAAUAUAUAAUGACUAUCACGAGGAUUAGGUAACGUGGUUAGCUAAUAUGAUUAGAAGAUAUGAUUUAUCUAAUCGCUUCUUAUAAAGUUUUUCUGUGUAGGGAAGGUUGGAAUUUUUUUAUUUUUUAUUCCAAAGUCGAAAGAUAACUUUAUUAAAAGUGGAUAGAAACUUGAAUUGGAUUGUUAGAUGUUGAUUUUGUUGGAAUUUUAAAAGGUUUUAAAAAUUUAACCAUUUUAUUUAUUUAAUUAUUUUGGCGGUUUUAUUUUAUUUAUUGUGGGGGUUAUAAAUAUUUAAUAUUCAGGUUUUAUUUCUAGUUGGUAAAAGCUUUAAUUUUUUGGUUGGUGAACUUUUAUGGUUGGUAAAGGUUACAUGUUUUUGGAUGCCUAUAAAAGGCCACUCCUCCUUCACAUUUGAGUAUACACAACACACACAAAAACACACAAUAACACAUGAUAUAUACAAUACCCUAUCAGAAUAUCACAUACACAUUCUAAUUCUCUCCUUUUCUACUUUUACAUAUAUUCUCUACUUUAUUAUUAUUAUUUUGGGCAAUGGUUAUGUGACUUGGAUACCUAUAUCUGUCUGUGAACGUGCUCAUAGCGGAUCUUGAGUUUGUGUACAAGGGGUCGUAUCUUGGAGUCUUGUAGACCGUCAGUACCUGCACGUAGGGAGGCUACAAAGGCUUUAGGACAGCGUCUUUGACGUGCUUCACCGUACCAAACUCACCUUCUUACUUAUUAUUUAUUUUCCUUUACUUACCUAUUAUUUUGUUUUCUUCAAUUUUAUUAUACCUUCAAAGCUUUCCAAUUUGUUUAUAUGUUAUAAAUGUUUUGUAUUUGGCUUUACGGAAAGAGGAAAACUAUUAUUUUUUAUAACAAUCUAAAGCCUUUGUAAGCUAAAGUUGUUUCCUUCCCGUAUUGCUAUUGCUUUAAUAUCUUUUAACUCUUUGACUGAAGCUUUUGCAUUUGUAUUGGAUUUUCAAAAUGAAAAUUAUGAUUUAUUUUGGGUAGAUGCAGUUUGAAGCUUUCAUAUUGUCUAUACAAUUUCAACUGCUUUAAAUAUUGUUGGUACAUUUAUAUGUUUAUAAUUUGUUGCUAACGUUUGGGAAAUUACUGUUAGUGUUUGACAAUAAAACCUACAGACUAAUUUAUGUGGUAUUAUUAUUAUAGCUCAACGUAUUAUUAUUUUAUGUGGUGUGUCCGUUUUCUACAGCACAAUUGUUUUUAAAAUACAUUUCAGAAUCUUAAAAUUGUUAAUAGCAUUCAAAAGCUAAUUAAUGACCAUUGAAAUAAUGAAAAAAUAUAUAUAUUGAAGUGAGCUAUGUUUUUCUAAACUACUGUUUGUUUUAAAUAGCUUGUAUUGUUUCAUUACCGAUUACUUAAUUAUUAUUCAUUAAUCAAUUUAUGGUGAAACAUCCAAUAUUGAAUGGUUGAAGUGUUUAAAACCGAAACAUUAAAGUGUUUCAAACCGAAACAUUGAAGUGUUUCAAAAUCUUUGGUCUGAUAAUUUCAAAGCAAGUACAUAUAUAUUUUUAGAACAAGUAUAUAUAUUUGAUUUUAUUGUUGGGCCUCUUUUACAUUUGCCUUCAUUCAUUUUGGUUGCCAUCAAUCUUCCUUUAUAUAAUGGUCCUUUCCUUUAUAUCUUUUUGGGUUGGACUUCAUAUCGUUUUAUUGUUCUUAUUUUUAGAAGUCUUUCAUACCAACGUGAGAAGCAAUUAUAAUAUAUUCUUGGCACUAAAGUUUAUUGUUUGAAAUUACUGUUUUAACGUUGGAUUUGUAUGCACUAUCUUUAUGUGGUUUAAUGAAUUAUGAAUUAAUAUUGAACAGAUAAUUUAGUUUUCCUUUUAUGAAGACAAAUAUGAUUUGAAUACUCAAUUGUUGCAUAUCUUCGCAAAUAUGUGUUGUACAAUAUUUACUUUGAUUUCAAAUCCUUGAAAGAAAAAACGGAAAAAGUGCAAACCGUUCUUUUGUAGUUUAAUUUUGAAUUCAAAAUCUAAUAUUGCGUCAGUUUUAGAUUUGGUCUAUAUGUGUAUUCAAUUUUAUAUUGAUUCUUAUUUUCAUUUAUAUCUAUUAAUUUUUGCAAAAACGUGCAAAGAAUUUAUGUGACAUUAUUGCAAGUUUUAUUGAGCUAAUUAUUCUUUAUUUUGAUGGCUGUCAUUGCUUUGAAUUUGGGAGAAAACCUACAGUUUUUUUGUAGUAUAAAUGCAUCACUUUAACACCUUGGACGUUAGCUCCUUUUGAUUCUAGAAUUAGUUAAUUGCUCUUAACUUCUUUUGGAAGCUUUUGCAUUUCACAUUCAAUUACGAGAUUUUAUUUAUUCCUUAAUUUAUGCAGCUUUAGUUUCAAAACUUUAAUGUCAAUUUCAUGACAUUUAGAGCUUUUAUUUUGGCAGUAAAAUUGUUGAUAUUGUUAGGUGAUUAUUGCAUUUAAUGUUCUGAACAUUUAUGCAAUUUAAUUACAUCUUUGUUUUAAUGCCUUGGAUUCCUUUUAAAGUUGCCAACGCCUAUAUAUUUCGAUUGUGCAAUCCUUCAUAUUAGUUUCUUGAGUUAAUCUAAUGUUCUUUUGAUUAUAAAGUCUUGACAGCUGCCACACUGAGUUAAUUGCCAUGAAAUGUACAUUGUGGAAUCCUCCUGAGAAAACUGAAAGGAAAUAAUAAAUUAUAUCACUGUAAGUGGCAUUAAUUUUGAGUUUUGGUGUAAGGCUUUCACACCCUAAAUUUUUGAGGCAUUUUUUUCUUUUGAGGCUUUCGAUGGUUUUGUUAUAUUUACAAUUACUAUCAAGAUCAUUGUGAGUACAUAUCUUAUGAAUUUAAAAUUAAAUAAAUUUUGGUACAGUCUUCAUAUAUUUUGAGAAUUCCCUAAUUUGUGGGGUUGAGUUUUUCCUUAACUAUGUGGGUAUUUGUUGGAAUUUUUGUGGGUAUUUCAAAUACAAAAUUAAUAUCAAUACUUAUUUUUUAAAAUUUAAUAUUCCAGUUUUUGAGUGAUUUGAUUACCUCUUUAAAACUGAAGUUAUUUUGUACAUUUAUUAUACAAGUUUUCAUAUCUCCUUUAUUCAGAUUUAUUCUAUUUUAAUUAACGCUCAAUGCUUAUGUUAUUUGUGUUUUGAUAAUUAUUAAUAUUUUUAUUUUAAAACGUGUGGACCAAUUUGUGGAAGUUGAAUUUUUCUAAAUGGGAACUUUAAUACUGUAAUUUAAUUUGUUAGUAACAUUAAGCAGUUUUUGCUUUUAUACUGAAAAAUAUUAUAUUCAUUUCCUUCUCUCUUUCCCAUAUUUUUGUGUGUUUUCAAUUUCCUUAUGCUCUCAUGGAAAAGAUUCAUUUAGUGACAUAAUACUUUUUAUAUUUUAUUGGCAAACAUACUGUGUCUGUAUGAAAUUUGUUUCAUUAUGCAAGUUUAUUAUGAGACUAAUUUAUCUUCAAUUUGAUAUGAAAAUAUUUGCAACUAAUGAUGAUUUUGGCAUAAAAUUUUGGUAGAGACUUCUUAUUGUCUUAUAGGUUCAUAUUGAGAAUCGACAAGAUACAAUUUCAACUUGGAUAUGUGAUCAUGAUUUCAGCCAUUUGGAGUGCACAAAAGGGAGUAAGGGUAUCCUGAAAUACUCAGUGUUUAUAGUUAAAUUUAUUUAAUGAAUUAAUUGUUAUAUUGUUGUUCAUAAGUGGUAGCAGGUGUACUCAAAGUUUCAUGGACUUGAGAGGUACUCUUGAUCAGAAGAUUUAAUGUAUGAUGUAUUUCCAUUAUACUUAACUGUAUACCAAUGCGUAUUUAAUUUCCAAUUAUACUGAGGUGAAAUCCAUUAAUUAUUUGUGUGCAAGAUUGUGUAGGAAAUAUUUUAAUAACAUGCAGGUUUAAAGCGCGCUAAAAUGGAGAACAAAGACAUGACCUACAUUAUAUAUGCCUUGUGAAGGCUAGUCUUGAUAUGCAUGCCUCGUGGAGGAGGCUAUUAAUGCAAAAUGUCGAGGGGGAUGUGCUUAAGCCCAUAAGGGAGUCACCUAGGGAGGUAACCCAACUUCUGUGAUUGGAGAUCCCAUGAAGGAAGUUCAAUGUGGUAGAAACAAUCCAUACUGCGUGACUCAUAUAGCACUCAUAAAACUAUGGAGAUAUCCUUGAGAUAUUCUUCUGCUCAUCCCUAAGGCAAAAGUGCUAUUUUAUGUGACGUUAGGAAGGGAUUUAUCCCUGAAUGAGUUUCGAGGCGGGCAAACUCCCGCAGGGUGCAGGUCACAUGUACUCUUGGAGAACUCACCUAAGUGGGAGACGUCGUGAGGCCGCGACUAUGAGAAUUGGGCUAUUCUCUAGUAACUCUCAUGAGAAUCAAGAUUAGCGCAUGGCCAUAAAUAGCGCUACCCCGCAUCCAAGUCUCAACUAAUACUAUGUGUGGGAUAUGUUGAAGUUUGGUCAAAGGUGCCGAGUUCAAUACUGUGUACACUCAGGUUCCUCAAAUGGAGACUAUCAUCACUAAGUGAAGGUUCAAGCCCGGAAGGCACCUACACCUAUUACAUAGUAUUAUAUUGCCCACACAUAUAUAUUAUAUAUUUUUCACUGUUUUUUUUUGUCACGGUAAAAUUUUGAGAACCUUGUGGGGGAUUGUUGGAAUUUUAAAAGGUUUUAAAAAUUUAACCGUUUUAUUUAUUUAAUUAUUUUAGCGGUUUUAUUUUAUUUAUUGUGGGGGUUAUAAAUAUUUAAUAUUCAGGUUUUAUUUCUAGUUGGUAAAAGCUUUAAUUUUUUGGUUGGUGAACUUUUAUGGUUGGUAAAGGUUACAUGUUUUUGGAUGCCUAUAAAAGGCCACUCCUCCUUUACAUUUGAGUAUACACAACACACACAAAAUAUUGGUCGCGCAAAGUAACUUUGCGCGACGAAAAAAUAUUGGUUGCGCAAAACUUUGCGUGACGAAACACAUUGGUCGUGCAAAGGUUUGCGCGACGAAACACAUUGGUUGCGCAAAGGUUUGCGCGACGAAAAACAUUUGUCGCGCAAAGUCUCAAAAAUUUUUAUAAAAAAUAAAAAAUUCCCGCGUCCCAUUUUUGGUACCCACCUACAUUUUUAGAGUUCUGCGCGACGAAUACUAACGUCGCUCAAAUAUUUGCGCGACGAAAUAUUUUUUGUGUUUUAAAUUUUUUUAAUUAAAAUAAACUAAUUUAAUAGUUUGCGCUACAAAAUAUUUUAUCGCGCAAGGUUUUUGACUUUUUGUUUUAUUAUUUCUUUAAUAUUAAUUUAUUCAAAUUUUUACUUUUUAAAUUUAAUUUAAUUGUAUGAUUUUAUUUUUUAAAUCACUUUAAUUUAAAGUGAUAUUAAUUUUUUCGAAUUUUUACUUUUUAAAUUUAAUUUAAUUGUAAGAUUUUUCUUAAUUACUUUAAUUUAAAUUGACAUAUUCAAAAUAAAAUUACAUAUGAAAAAUAGUGAUCAAAUUAUCCAAUAAAUAUAUAUAUAUAAUAUUCAAAAUAUACACAUAAAUUAACAAAAUACAAUAAUAAAAUUCUAAUAUAAGCGUAUUGUGGUGGUAGUGGCGGAUGAUAUGUUUUGAUAGCUUCCUAAUCCUCAACUUUAGCCAUCAAAGUCUCAAUGAUUGCCUACAAAAAAACAAAUAUGGUCAUAUAACAACAACAACAACAAAAAGAAUGCAUAAUCUCCCCUAAAAUUGUUAUACCACAAAUCCAACCCAAACUCCAAUAUCUCCCCUUUACUCAACCCCAAACCCCACACAAACUCAAAACUAACUCCAAAAACACAUAUUAAUGAAAAAAAUUUCAAAUUUGGAGAGAAUAUACCUUUUGGCAAGAUUGAGAGUGAGUGAGAAUGAGAGGGAGAAGUGAGUGUGAGAGAAUUAGAUAAGAUAGUGAUAGAGAGAUGAGAGAGUGAGAGAUAGUGAAAAGAUAGAUGAGAGAGUGAGUGAGAGUGAGAGAUAGUGAAGAGAGAUAUGAGAGAUUAAGUGAGAGGAGUGAGUGUGAGAGAAAGGGUGGAAUUUGGGGAGAGGGAAAGAGAGAGGAGAGGUAAGAGUAGAGAAAGGCAUUGAGAAAAUGGUCGAGGAGUUAUUUCGGUUUUAAAAAUCGUAUCACUUUGUUCGACGAAAAAUAUUGUUGGUCGCGCAAAGUUUUGCGCGGCGAAACAUAUUGGUCUCGCAAAGUUUUGCGCGACAAAUUAUUAUUAUUUUUUAAAAUUCCCGCAUCCCAUUUUUGGUACCCGCCAAAAUUUAACUUUGCGCGACGAAAAAUACAUAUUGGUCGCGCAAAGUCUAAAAAAAAUUAUUAUUUUUUAAAAAAAUUCCCACAUCCCAUUUUUGGUACCCGCCAAAAUUUAACUUCGCGCGACGAAUAUAGGAAAAUUGGUCGCGCGAAGUCUAAAAAAAAAAUUCCCGCAUCCCAUUUUUGGUACCCGCCAAAAUUUUUAAAUUUUUGCGCGACGAAAAGUACAUAUUGGUCACGCAAAGUCUAAAACAAUUAUAUAAAAAGUCCCGCGUCCCAUUUUUGGUACCCGCCCAAAGUUUUGAGCGACCAAAAAUAUUGGUCGCGCAAAGUCUAAAGUUUUUUUUUUUUAUUUUAAAAACCCGCGUCCCAUUUUUGGUACUCACCCAAAUUUUUUGAGUUUUGCACGACGAACUGUUGGUCGCGCAAACUUUUGAGAGACGAAAACGUAGCACAAUAUUUUUAUAAUAUAAUUGUUUUGAAUAAUAAAAAAUAAAAAAAAUUAUUUUAUGAUUUAAAAUAUAAUAAAGGUGAAAGCUAGUUAAUAAAUGUAUAUACUAUUCAAUUUCUUAAGUGUUAUACGUACAAAAUAAAUAAAUUUAAAGCUACUUAAUAAAUAUAUAUAUAUACACACACCAUUCAACGAUCCAACCGUAAGACUUGUUUGUAUAUACUUCAAGAUCGCAUACUCCAAAAAUCGCAAAAAAUAAAUAUUCAGAGAUCUAGUAACGGGAUAAAACUUUUCGAUAGUUAUAAACGAAAAAUCAUGAUUUAACGGUUAUUUUAACUUCGAUUUUGAUGAUUUUUAGAGCUACACUCCUUGACCCUAUAUGAAUACAAUGACUGAAUUUGAUCUUCAAUUUAAAACAUUUGCACUAGUGGAUACCACAAAAUCUUAUGUUAUAUUUAACGAAAGUAUAAAUAAACUCUUAAUUGUUAGUGAAUAUAUUGUUUUGAUGGCAUACACAUUCUACGAAACUAGUUUCAACGAUCCAACCGUCAAACUUGUUUGUUUAUACUUCGAGAUCAUAUACGCCAAAAAUCGGAAAAAAUAAACAUUCAUAGAUCAAGUAAAGGGACAAAACUUUUUAACAGUUAUAAAUGAAAAAUCAUGAUUUAACAGUUAUUUUAACUCCGAUUUUGAUGAUUUUUUACAACUACACUCCUUGACCCUAUAUGAAUACAAUGACUGAAUUUGAUCUUCAAUUUAAAAUAUUUACACUAGUGGAUACCACAAAAUCUUAUGUUAUAUUUAACGAAAAUAUAAAUAAACUCUUAAUUGUUAGUGAAUAUAUUGUUUUGAUGGCAUAUUCAUUCAAAAAAACUAGUUUCAACGAUCCAACCGUCAAACUUGUUUGUUUAUACUUCGAGAUCAUAUACGCCAAAAAUCAGAAAAAAUAAACAUUCAGAGAUCAAGUAAUGGGACAAAACUUUUCGACGGUUAUAAUGAAAAAUUACGAUUUGACGGUUAUUUUAACUCCGAUUUUGAUGAUUUUUUACAGCUACACUCCUUGACCCUAUAUGAAUACAAUGAACCAAUUCGAUUGUCAAUUUAAAAUGUAUAUUUUCUAACAAAAACCCAAUCCGAACAACAAUAAUAUAUUUUUCUAAUAAAAAUCUGAUCCGAUCUAAAAUAAUAAAUUUAAAGCUACUUAAUAAAUAUAUAUACCGUUUAAUUUCUUAAGUGUUAUGCAUACAAAAUAAAAAACAAAAAUAAAUUGGUUUAAGUGACAAAAUGUUUGGAUUACGUCAUGCAAAGAUUUUAAAAAAUAAUUUUUAUAUUAUUUAUUUUUAUAAGGACUUUGCGCGACGAAGUUUACUUUUCGUCGUGCAAAGUCACUUUGAGCAACGAAUUAUUUUUCGUCGUGCAAAGUUGGUCGCGCAAGACUUUGAGCGACGAUGUAUUGUCGUCGCGCAAAAGUUUGUCGCGCGAAGUGACUUUGCGCGACGAAUUAUUUUUCGUCGCGCAAGACUUUGAGUGACGAAGUUUCAAGUUUCGUCGCGCAAAAUGACUUUGAGCGACGAAUAGUUUUUCGUCGCGCAAAAUUUGGUCGCGCAAGGGGUUUUUUUUACUAGUGGUGGUUGUUUUAUGGAGGAGGCGACUUCAGCGCAGUGGAUAUGAAUAUGGUUUGCUCUAUGCAAUCAAGGGUGAGAUAUAUUUGAGGGUCGCUCUCAACGCAGUGGAUGUGAACAUGGUUUGCUCUAUGCAAUCAAGGGUGAGAUUUAUUUGAGGGUCGCUCUCUCGUUCACGCGUGGAAAGUCUUGAUGACUAGAGUUAGGGUUUCUUUAGUUUUCUUUACUCAUUCUCUGUGCUGGAGUAGUGGCAGCAGAUGACGGCUGAGCCGAGGGAGGCGAACUCUGUGCAGUCGUCACCGCCUUACGACUUCUAAUCAGGUUUGGCAUCUACACAAUUUCAUUAAUACACAUAAAAAUCAAUCCAAUUUAGCAAGAUACAAUUCUAAGCAUAGCUUGACCUAGGGUUUACGAUUUCGGAGUAUCCGGGACUCCGAUCCAUGAUCCGUCAAAUCCGAUACGAUUCUUGAAGUACAAGGUGCAACAUACGUGAGUUUGAGUUCAAUCCAACGGUCCGAACAUAUCAAACCCAGAAAUCACACGAUAGGCGAAAUCCGUUCAAGACUCAAACGGUAACCAAAUUCAAAUCCGAGCACACCUAUGUGCUCCAGACAACUAGGAGAUUGCACUGGGACCCAAUGCCCACUGCUACAGUACCCUCACGCUCCACCAUACGCGCCGGCAGCGCGUGGGUGCCCAAAGCAAUAACAUGUCACCGAAAAAUUUUAAAAAUUUAGGGCCAAGGUUCCUACCCUAGGUUCAAAACAUGAAUUGGAGCCACUUUUGUUCUCGGACUUACCCCGAAAAAUGAUCGGAAGUGGCCGGAAUUUAAAUUCAAAAAUCGGCCAAACUUAGGAUUUAAAUUCGAGAUACCAAAACUAACAAUUAAUCAAAUCCUACCCAACCAUCAGCUAGAGCAUGAAAAAUAGUCCAGAAACCAUACCUCAAGUGUCGAAAUUGGUGGCCGGAGGAGAGAGAACUAGGCCGGAGAAGAAUCUGCGAAAACAGGGCCAAUUCCGGCGGGAGGGGCGGCCCCGACGGUGGGAAAGGUUUGGGCUUCGAAGGUGGUGCCGGCCCGAUCCUUUUUCUGGUGGAGAAGUGGGCUGAGGUGAGGUGGUUCACGGCAAAGAGAGGGGGGAGGUUUAGGGAAAAAUCUGAAACUGAGGAAGAAGGAGGCAGUUGCGUUGUUUCUGAAAAUUUAUUCGAUCUUGCGCGACGAACGAAAAAAGCCGUCGUGCAAGAUAUUUUAAAUACACCUUGCGUGAAAAAAACGAAAUGAUGGCGUUGGGCAGGGUAAGUUUUGGGCCCAAAUUUUAAUUACAUUGCGCGACAAAGAAACUAAACCGUCACGCAAGGUUGUGAGUCCACCAAAAUUUAGGAUUUAGGGUUUAGUGUCUGACUUAUAUUGCGCGACGAAUAGAUAGAGGCGUCGAGCAAGGUUGUGUUUUGUAAACUUUGUGCGACGAAGAGACCACUCUUCCGUCGCGCAAGGUUGUGAUUCCGCCAAAAUUUGGGGUUUAGGGUUUAGGGGGGAGAGAGAGAAAGUGAAAAGCUCUGAUUGAUAUUGCGCGACGAAUAGAUAGAGGCAUUGUGGAAGUUGUGUUUCGUACACUUUGCUCGACGAAGAGACCACUCUUGCGUCUCGCAAGGUUGUGAUUCCACCAAAAUUUGGGGUUUAGGGUUUAGGGGGGAGAGAGAGAAAGUGAAAAGGUCUGACUGAUAUUGCGCGACGAAUAGAUAGAGGCGUUGCGCAAAGUUGUGUUUCAUACACUUUGCGCGACGAAGAGACCACUCUUGCAUCUCGCAAGGUUGUGAUUCCGCCAAAAUUUGGGGUUUAGGGUUUAGGGGGGAGAGAGAGAAAGUGAAAAGGUCUGACUGAUAUUGCGCGACGAAUAGAUAGAGGCGUCGUGCAAGGUUGUGUUUUGUACACUUUGCACGACGAAGAGACCACUCUUGCAUCUCGCAAGGUUGUGAUUCCGCCAAAAUUUGGGGUUUAGGGUUUACGGGGGAGAGAGAGAAAGUGAAAAGGUCUGACUAAUAUUGCUCGACAAAUAGAUAGAGAUGUCGCGCAAGGUUGUGUUUUGUACACUUUGCACGACAAAGAGACUACUCUUCCGUCUCACAAGUUUGUGAUUCCGCCAAAAUUUGGGGUUUAGGAUGUGGGGGGAGAGAGAGAAAAUGAAAAUGUCUGACUAAUAUUGCUCGACGAAUAGAUAAAGGCGUCGCGCAAGGCUGUGUUUUGUACACUUUGCCCGACGGCGAAACCACUCUUCCGUUGCGCAAGGUUGUGAUUCCGCCAAAAUUUGGGGUUUAAGAGGGAGAGAGAGAAAGUGAAAAGGUCUGAAUGAUAUUGUGCGACGCAUGAACCUCUUAUUCGUCGCGCAAACCCUCUCAACCUUAAACCCUGAGCCCUAAACCUUAAACCCUAAACCCUAAACUAGUUUCAAUGAUCCAACUGUCAAACUUGUCUGUUUAUACUUCGAGAUCAUAUAUGUAACGACCCGGUCCUAAAGAAAUGUUUAAUUAUUAAUUAAACAUGAUAAAAGACCAUUAUGCCCCUAGAAUAUUAUAUUAGUUUUAAAGUUGACUUUUUUAUCGGGAAGAAAUUUGGGAAUUUCGACUGUACCGUUGCGUAGAGCACGGCGAGAUGAGUUCAUAGACACAUGGUGGGCUUGAAUUGGAGUUGUAACGAGAGAGAUAUGAUCAAAAUACCAUCAGUGGCACAAUCGUAAAUAUUGCGAAAAGGAUCUGAUAAAUCUGAUUUUCUCUCUCUCUCUCUCUCUCUCUCUCUCUCUCUCUCUCUCUCUCUCUCUUUCUCUUUCUCUCCUCUGUGCGCCCUCUCUCUUCUCUCCUCGCGACGAUAGCCCCUCUUUCUUUUCGAAUCAUCGGCCACCGACCACGGCUGCGGAAUGGACCGGUGCCAAAAGGACUGGGUCAGCCCCGGCGUCACGACCCAGCCCUUGCCUGACAUCGGCGCUGCUCCAGCCGCAGGAAAAUGUGGUUUUUAGGCCGGUUUUGGCUCGAAACUUCGCCGGCUCCGAACUCUCUCCUCCGGCCUCCAUUUUUGGCGAUCAAGGUAUGGAAAUUCAUCCAUUCGUCAUAAUCUAGCUGAUGGUUGGGUAGGAUUUCAUUAAUUUUAAGUGUAGAUAGCUUGAUUUUCGAAUUGGAUUUCGGCCGGUUUCGGGAUCUUGAUUUCGGCCACUUCAGGUCAUUUUUCGGGGUAUGUCCAAGAACAAAAGUGACUCCAAAUGGGGUUUUACACCUAGGAUAGGAAGCUUGGCCGGCGGUUUGAAGUUUUUCCGGCCGCUGAAAAUUACUCAAGGCACCCACGUGCUGCCGGAGCGUGUGGUGACGCUUGGGCUAGGAAAAUGGAUUGGCUUUAGGUCCUAAUGUGAUCUCCUGGUCCUCACGAGUGCGUAGGUGUGCUCGGAUUUCAAUUUGGAUACCGUUUGAGUCUCGAACGGAUAUCACAUAUUGCGCGUUAUCCGCGUUCGCUAGGUUUAGACCGUUGGAUGGUCUUGAGUUUAUUAUAUGUUAACCUGGACAUCCUUAGGAUUGUGUAGGAUUUGACGGAUCGUAAAAUGGAGUCCUGAAUACUCCGAAAAUGCCAACCCUAGGGCUAGGGUUUCAGUAACCGUCCGAUCGUGCGAUCGUGAGCGAUCCAACCGUUCGAUCUAGAUGAAACUUGCAGGAUGUGCGUGUGUCUUAAGCCUUGUAGAAGCUAAAGGAACUUUCAGAUCAGAAUUUGGAGGUCGUGAGCCCCGUGAGCCAGUUUGACCAAAUUUAGGUAGUUUGACUUUUGGUUGACCGUGAGUCUUUCGGGGUAGUUUCACCUCCCUAAGAUGAUUAUAAUGACCCUAGUGACAGGUCCUGAUCAUUAGUUGAGUUAUGUUAAUUAGUGGGUUUAAGGUACUAGUUUAUUAUUUUAAACUAGGGGAAAUCCGGAAUAAAUAUUAUUAUUUAUUGUGGUUGAGGUUUAUGCAAUAUUGGAGAUAUAAAUAUAUAUGUGUUUGCCUUGUUUAAGGUAUUAAUUGACUUGAUAGCGUGCUUGGUGGUUUGCUUCGAGUUAUUUGAAGGCUGGAGGCCAUUUAUGUGAAUUGCAUGAAGUUAUAUUGUGCGUGCUACCUAUUGGGAUAUUCAAUUGUGAAUUUUGUGCAAGUAGAAAUUUGGGGAAUGUUCAAUUUACAAGGAAAACUCUGCCGAAAUUUCGGUAGAAAGUCUCGUGCCCUUAUUCCUUUUUGGAAAAAGGGAUAUAGUUUUAGUGACUGGGUCCUACAUCGGGAUGAUGUCGGAAUUUCCACAGAAUUCAUCUCGGGUUUGGUGAAAUUCGGGGCGGGUCCUGUCAAUAUACGCCAAAAAUCGAAAAAAACCAACAUUCCAAGACAAGUAACGGGACAAAACUUUUCGACGGUUAUAAAUGAAAGUUCACGAUUUAAUUGUUAUUUUAACUCCGAUUUUGAUGAUUUUUUUACAGCUACACUUCUUGACCCUAUAUGAAUACAAUGAUUGAAUUUGAUCUUCAAUUUAAAAUAUUUACACUAGUGGAUAUCACAUAAUCUUAUGUUAUAUUUAAUGAAAGUAUCAAAAGAGUUUGGAUAUAUUUAUUUACCAAUGUUUUAUAACUAAAUUUUUUUUCAUUUUUCAUUUUCUUGUAUAGCUCAAUUUAUUUAACAGUGUUUCAUUUCUCCACAUACAUUAGGUUUGGAUAUAACAAGUACAUAUAUUCAAACAAGCAUAUUUGUGAAAAUAUGUACACUAACAUAAUAAAAUUACAAAAAAAUUCAUUAUUCAUCAUCUAAACUAUAAUAACUUUCGUUAUCGUCGCUAUUAUCACUUUCCAUCUCCCAAUCCUCUUCCUCUAUAACUACAUCAUCAUCAUUGUUUGGGCCCACUGCAAUAUUGUAACGUGGAAGAUCACCGAGGUCAAUUGUAAUUGACUGAAUCGGUAUUUCGAUUGAAGACACCCCUUGUAUUUGAAACGGUUCUUGUAUAACAUUUGUAUUUCGAAGUGUUUCCACAUCAUUUUCCAUUGAAGAUUCUAAACGUUGGUCAGCCACGUUGUCGACGUCAUUGUCAGUUGGGUCUAGUUCUAGUAUAGCAUACACGUUCCUAUGAUCCAUCUUCUGAACAACUUUCCAACCGCUCCUGGCUUUAGGGUCAUCUAGAUACACAGUCUGUGUUGCCAUGUUUGUCAAAAUAUAAGGGUCGUCAUCAUACCAAGUUUUGUUAAUGUUUACAGAUAGUAAGCCAUGAUUGAUUUUAACACGUCCCGGUCUAUUUGGGUUGGUAUCAAACCAUUGACAUUUAAACAUGAUCACUUGGUAUCGGUCUUUGUAAAGCAAUUGCACGACAGUUGUGAGUUUGCCAUAGAAAUCAAUGUGCGUACUUUCGCCUCCACCUGGGACAUGGACACCGCUGUUUUGCGUACACAACUUGUCAUCUCGUGCAGUCCCCAAAUACUUGACGCCGUUAACAUGGCAACCCUAGAACAAUUCAGCGUGAAUCGGGCCGAACGCCAAGUUAUAUAACUCAUCACUGUAAGUGGGGAAAUUCGAUGAUUUCAACUUAGUCACCUAAUAUUAUACAAAACCAUUCACAUGUUAGUUUAACAAAAUUAAAUACUACAAUAUAUAUUUGUCAAAUACAAAACACUUAUAACUUACAUAAUCCAAAAACCAUUGUGGAAACAAUUCACGGUGUUUCUUGGCAUACAAAUGUGAUGGAUGUUCUCGCUUCAUCAUCUCUUCAUCCAGAAAGUUAUUAUUGCGCUGAGGACGAUUGUAAGCCGUCUCCACAUCUUUUAAAUACAUUCCACAGAAAGUAAGCGACUCAUAUUGAACCCAAGCCUCUAUAAUUGAUCAUUCGGGCUUCACCCUGUUGCGUACACUUUCUUUUAGCUCUCUGAGAAGCCUGCCAAAAUAAAAUGAUAUGAUACAAAUUAGCAAGCAUGUGAUAAUGAUGCAUACACAAAUGAUAAGGAUUAUAUACAUUUCUAUUGGAUACAUCCAGCGAUAGUUGACAGGACUAGCAAGCAAUGCCUCUUCUGGCAAGUUUACCACCACUUGGAUUAUACUUGUGAAGAAAGCUGAAGGGAAUAUCAUCUCAAACUUGCAUAAGACUUGGACAAUGUCAUGGCGCAAGUGAUUAAUGUCUAUCUUUCACAACAUUUUUGCCGUCAAUUGGGAAAAAAAUUUGGACAACAACAUGAUUGGCUUCACUACAUCUUCCAACAAGAGGUAUCGAAUACCCACAGGAAGUAGGCGUUGCAUAAACACAUGGCAGUCAUGGCACUUAAGUCCAGUAAAUUUACCCCCGUCAACAUGCAAGCAAUGUUCGAUAUUAGAAGCAUACCCAUCGAGAAACUUUACAGACGAUACAAACUAUAGAAACUCUUUUUUGUCAUUCGGUUUCAUAGAAAAAAAAUGCAAGAUCCCUUCUAGCUUUAUCACUGUCUCUAUUCAUCCAUAAACCCCUUCGUAUGCCCAUUUUUUUUUCCAAAUCAAGACGAGCUUUGAUCGUGUCCUUUGUCUUGCCCUCGAUAUCUAGAAUUGUGUCCACCAAUGUGUCAAAUACAUUUUUCUCAACAUGCAUCACGUCUAGAUUGUGCCUCAAUUUUAGUUUCGACCAAUAUGGGAGCUCAAAAAAUAUAGGCUUGUGCGUCCAGUUCAUAUGUGUAGAAGGUCUGGUCCGACUAACUAUUUUCCCGAACGGAGCAAAAUUCAAAUGGUUAAGCUAUUCAAAGAUCUCAUCACCGGACCAUUCUCUAGGUCUGAGGCGACGCUCUGUGUUCCCGUCGAACUCUUUAUCUUUUUCCCGCCACUCGUGGUUCCAUGGCAACCAUCUCCAAUGACCAAGGUAACAAACCUUUCCAGCGUGCCAACCAGAAGUUACAUUUUCUUUGCAUACACAUGUCAUAUAACCCUUUGUGCUCCACCCAGAAACCAUUGCAUAUGCGGGAAAAUCAUUCACAGUCCACAUAACUGCUGCCCGCAAAGUGAACAUCUUCCUAGUUGAUUUAUCAUACUUGCGCACACCGUUUGUCCAUAAAUCCUUCAACUCAUCAACCAGCAGCCUUAAGUAAACCUCGAUUGACCUGCCAGGAUCCUCAGUUAUCAAAAUAGUCAUCAUCAUGUAUUCUUUUUUCAUGCAUUUCCAAGGCGGCAAAUUAUAAGGGAAUACAAAAAUCGGCCAAGUGCUGUGGUGUUAGUUUAGAACCCCAUACGGAUUGAAUCUGUAAGUGGCAAGUCCCAAUCUAACAUUUCGGGGAUCAGCAGCAAACUCGGGGAACGUUCGAUCGAACUCUUUCCAUGCCUCCCCAUCUAUAAGAUGCCGCAUCACAUCGUUGUCUACCCGUUUUUCCUUAUGUCAUCUCAUGUAUGUGGCAGUAUGCGUCGACAUAUACAAUCGCUGCAACCUAGGUUUCAGGGGCAGAUAAUGCAUGACUUUUUGUAGGAUCUUAGUCGUUCUAUUCUGAGAUGUCAUUUUGAACCUCGACUCAUUGCAUAUAGGGCAUGUAUCCAACGUUUCAUACUCUUUGUAAAGUAACAUGCAAUUAUUUUUGCAAACGUGAAUUUUUUCUUAACUCAAUCCAAGACCAUUCAACACAUUUUGUGCGUGUUUAUGGUCUUUCGGCAAAUAAUUGUCUGUCACGCAAAACCCCUAAAAAGUAAUCGAAACACAGGUUCGACAUACGAUACUUUAUUUUUUCGUGCAUUAGCUCCACAAUGGCCUUGAGAACGGAAAAGCUCUCGCACCCCGAGUAUAACUUUUGGUUUGUAUUUUUUAACAGUUUUUCAUAUUGUUCGAACUCUGCACUGUCCAUUGGUGUAGGCACGUCAUCUUCCUCUUCCUAAUUGAUGUUGGUCGAUGCAAAUGGAAAAGCAUCGUGUAUAAUAUCCAUGACUUGAUCAUUAGGAUCCACAAUAGGUUCAACAUUGUCCACUCUUGUGGCAUUUGAAGACGAAGCAUGGUCUAAUUAUUUACCGUGAAGGUUCCAAAUGCUAUAUGUCUCAAUCAUUCCAUUCCUUACUAAAUGAAAUCCAACAUUUUCAAUUGUUUCCCACAACAGAUUCUAGUUGCACCUGGGUUGUGUGUACGUGCAAACUCAAUAAAAUCCUCGAUUCCAUCCAAAUAUUCGUUUGUGCAUCUAUUCGGGUUUUGUAUCCACCUCCUGCUUAUAAUUCCUAGAACCAUAAUCACAACACAACAAUCACAACAACUUUAUAUGAAGUCGUAAUUUCACCUUAUGCCUUCGGUAAGGGCCCUAUUCCAUUCGGGAAUGCAUAGUCAUGUCACGUAAUGUCGGCUAUAUGCAAUUAGAUUUCAAUGUGGAUGAAUUUUCGCAGCAUCUCGAUACAAUUCUUGAGGUGUACCGUAGGUAUAAAUACCUACGUACCACCCAAAGAACGUACAGAGAUAACACCGAAAUCUCCACAAUCGAAACCUAAUCUUGUAGCCGUACAUUACGUGACAUAACUAUGCAUUCCCAAACUGUCCAAAUAAUGGGACAAUUCAAGAAUUAAUUGGACUGAAGUCAUGCUUUACGCAUACAUGCACGAAAUCCAACUAAUCUCAAACGGAAAACUAAGUGUUACUAAAAAUAAAAAUAAAAGUACGAAGUUAAUUUCAAUUAACUUCAUACAUCACAACACAUUGUGCUACGUUACGCACAAUUUAACAACAUAAUAUAAAUAUAACUUCACAAAAAAAUAUAAACAGGGGAAAUUGUGAAAAUGGUCCUCAAACUUGUAUGCGAUGUACAUUUUGGUCCCUAAAUUAAAUUAUUAGUCGAAAUGAUACAUAAACUCUAUGUUAAUCGGCCAUUUGAUCCAACCGUUAGGUUCCGUCAAUGUUGUCGUGAAAUUUAAGGGUAAAACUGUCCAAACCAUGUAGAAUAGCUAAUUCUUGAAGCGACAGAGGCGUCAUUCGACGAAUCCAGCUUCUUCUUCAAUGAAGGCAGCGAUGUCUGAAAGCUCAACAAAUUCAACUCGAUCAAAUCGGUAUUGCUUUUGUGGGAUGAAGAUUAAACGGCGCAUUUCAUGGACAGAUCUGAACCCAGGAAGAAGGUUUGAGGCAUGCGACCAAAAUCGGGUUAGAUAGAGUAAGGGUUUUGUUUUGUUUAAGUGAAGAAUUGAAUGGUGUGCUGGGCUCUGAUUGAUUGUGUGUAACAAAUGAUGUGCAGAAUAGCCAAACAAGACAUCAUUUCUUUGAAUGGCUGGAUAAUGAAACAUGUCCAAGAGGAAAGGAAGUGUUUCCUGGAUUGCUUAGAAGACUCAGAGGUAUGGAGGAAGAAAUUAGAGCAAGAGAUGAGCAACUGAGAUUAGUGGAAGUAGAGAAGAAAAAAUUGGAAGAGAAAGUGUGUGUUGUUAUUGAAGGAAAAAAGGAAUUGGAAUGGAGUAGACAGAGACAAUUGAAAUUGGGGUUUGCUUUGAUCCUUUCAUGGUGUUUGUUUGUAAUUUUUGUGAUGAGUAGAAAGAUUUAGCUAUGAAUGUUAGGUCUGUAAUGGCCUUUUAGGUUUGUAAUGGGAUUAUAGGUAUGAAUGUAAUGUGGUGUUUGUUAGCUAUGAAUGUAAUGUGGUGUUUGUUAGCUAUGAAAUAGUUUGUGGAGUAACCAAAACCACACCAAUUCCAGAAAUGAAUACCAAUUCCAUAACCAAAACCACACCAAUUCCAUAAAUGAAUACCAAUUCCAUAACCAAAAACCAAUCCCAUAGCGAAAAACCAAUUUCAUAACCAAAUUGCACAGCAUAAACCAAUUCCAUUACCAAUAUGUAGAGUUAAUUCUAAUCCACAAGCUGUGAUUCCAUAAAAUUACAUCUCAAAUUACAGAACCUAAACCAAAAGGCAGAGUGUAAAUCCACAAAAUAACAUCCCUGAACAAAAAGGCAGAGUUUGUACUGUAAGCCAAAAUGCAGGGCCUUUACAUAACCACAAUGCAUAUCCUGAACAAAAUCCACAUCCCAAAUUACACAAAAUAUAUAUGAUUCCCCCUGCCUUGUGAAUGAUUAUGGUUGUGAUAGAACUUCUGUAGGCCUUUUGAAUGUUUCUCUUCUAAUAGCAGCCCUUUUGAAUGUUCCUCCUCUUGCCAAACCUCUGACCAUAGUUCUUGGCAAACCUCUUCCCACACCUCUUGCCAACUAAAAAAGAGGACCAAUAUAAGUUCUGAACUAUAUUGUAAAAAAAUAAGUGAGCAUAUUUGAAAAAUAAACCUCAAACAACAUACACUUUGUUGUGAAGAAGUAGCAACUUCAGUUGCAACAGCUGGAGCCUCGUUAGAUCUUCCUGUUCCUCUAUCCAACCUUUUUCCCAUAUCUCUUAGCAUACUUCUUGGCCAACCUCUUAUACUUCUUGCCACCUAAACAAAGAGGACCAAUAUAAGUUCACAACUAAAUUGCAGAUUUGUGAGACAACAUAUUUGAAGAAAAAUACCCCAAAAAACGUACACUUUGUGAAGAAGUAGCAACUUCUUUUGCAACAGCUAGAGCCUUAUUGGCUAUUCCUCUUCCUCGGCCUCUGCCCCUCACUCUAACUGCCCCUCCCUCAGUGUGGACCUCUUUUUGGGCAAAAGAUGCAUUUGCCUGCAAGAGCACAAAUAAUUAUUACUUCCAAAACAUGUAACAACUCUAAAUUUGCAUAUAAAUAAUUACCUGUUGCAUUUCUGAGCUAUGUCUGUCACAAGUUGCCCUAUUAUGGCCACUUUGACCACAUCUCCUACAUGUGAUCUUAAUAAAAAGUCUUCUAAGCUUGUCUCUUGGUUGAACAUAAUCUGGAGGCAUUGGAUGUGGUGGGGGUGGUGGUGGUACCAGAAUUUCAGCAGGUUCUUUGGACCUAGUUUUUUUGGGCCUUCCUGGUUGUACCCUAACAGUUGGGGGAUGUAUUGGAGGAUGCCCAGAUUUAGCCCAUUGAUCCAUUGAAGGGAUGGGAUAAAUCAUUGGUCCAUAUGACUUCAUAUAAGUUGCAGGCUUGUAACAUUCAUCCACAUAAUCAAUGGGGCUUUCAUCCCUUUGAAAAAUUGCAGAAAUUGCAUGGCCACAUGGUAUCCCACAUAAAUCCCACCUCCGGCAAGAACAUGUCCUUGCCCUAAGAUCCACAACAAAUUCUCCACCAUACAUGUGGGUCACUUGAUAUGUUUGCAAGCCUGCCAGUCGAGGAAUGCAUGUGGAGGCAUCUAACUUGUUUUUCUCAAUUAUCUUGAAGAUUCUUGGCCCAACUAGAUGUUUCCACUUCGGACAUGCAACCCUUCUAUUUGCCAUCCUAAGCAUCACAAGAACUCUUAUCCUCUCCAAGCAAGUUAAAAUGGACUGAUCUCUUGCAUCUACUAUUGCUGAAUUGAAACUUUCACAAAGAUUGUUCAACAACAGAUCACACUUAAACCGUGUAUGAAAGUGAGAUCUACUCCAAUUCUUUGCAGGUCUCUUACUGAGCCAUUCCCACGCUUCCGCAUCCUCUUGUUUCAUAUUUUCCAUUUCUGCUUCCCACCAAGGCAUAGUUGUGGCUCUUGCUGCAGUCCACAAUAUGUGUUUUAGAGCAACACCAGAGUGUGAUGAUCUAAAGUUAUUAUAUAAGUGUCUAACACACAUCAUGUGCUCUACAGUUGGAAGUAGAGUAUCAAUUGCAGGUAUGAGUCCCUUUUGCUUGUCGCUAAUGAACACAUAUGACAAACCAUUUGUAAUCUUUAGAUCUUCAAUCAGCAGCCUAAGAAACCAGAUCCACGAUUGUUUACUUUCGAUCUCAACAACUGCAUAAGCAAUUGGGAAACUGCCAUUGUUGCCAUCCACCCCAACUGCUGUCAAAAUCUGGCCAGGAUAAGGACCUUUUACAUGGCACCUAUCAAGACCAAUAACUGGUCUGCAUCCAUCUAAAAAUCCUUGCCUGCAACCAGCCAAGCAAACAUACAUCCUUAGAAAGAUAGCUUGGGCCCCCACUUGUUCAGUUUGAAUUACAACUGUACUUCCUUUGUUUGCCUUCUUCAAUUCCUCUGCAUAAUCCCUUAACCUAGCAUAUUGUUCUAUGUAACUCCCUUCAAUCAUUAGUUUGGCCCUCUUUUUGGCCCUAUACAUUUGAUGUCUUGUGACAUUCAUACAAUAAUCCUCCAAAACAUCCUCUUGCAAUGAUUUCACAUCCAAGUAUGUGUCUCUCUUCAAUUUCUUAGAAUACCUAUUGCAAAGCCACUUGGAUGAGGCAUACUUCAACUUGUCGACCCUCCCACAAGUGUGUUCCAGGCUCAUAGUCUUGAUUACAAAUGUAGAUUCACUCUUAUCUAUCUUUGAAGCAUAUAAAUAAAAUGGACAUUUCAGCCCUCCCAUACAUACUACCUGGAGCCUCACUUUGUCAUUUUUUUUGAAUUUUAUCAACUUACCAUGUAGAAUUGCAUAGUCCUCCACAGCUUCUUUCAAUACCUUUUUGUUUGCAAAUCGCAUUCCCAUCCUAAACUCUGGAUUCCUUAAAUCCACCUCUCUCCUGUACUCCUUCAACUUUGGCAAUUUCUUUUUCUUUCUUUUGCCCUUUUCCUCACCAUUACCCUGAUCCUGAUCCUCUUCAUCACUUCCUGUGUCCAAAUCCGAUGUGUUAGCACCAUCUGAUGAAACCUCUCUUGGAGCAUUAUAAGUAGGCCCAACUGUCUCAUGUCCAUAGGGCUGAACAGUAGGCUCAACAUUCUCACCUGCAUUGGCCUGAACACUAGGCCUAAUGUUCUCACCUGCAUUGGGCUCACCACUUGCGCCCCCAACUACCACAUUCUCAGCUACAAGCACCUCAUCUUCUUGUUCACUGAAUUCAUAAUCACUAUCCACAACUUGUGCAUCAUUUUCCUCAUUUUCCCCUUCAUUUCCAACCUCUCCAUUCUCAGUUGCUGCAGCCUUAUUUUCCUCUCCAUUCUCAGUUGCUGCAACCUCAUUUUCCUCUUCAUUUCCAACUUCUACAUAUGCAUCUGCAUCCCCUAGUUCAUUGAAUGCGUGCCAUGUGACACCCUUCCCAUCAUUUUCUACAUCUGCAUCAUAGUUAUAUUCUGCACUAUCCAAACUAGGCCAUGCAGCAGAUGCUUGAGUCCCAAGCCCAUUACCAUUUGAAUUUUCCAUAUCUGUAUAGUACAACACAAGAACCCUAUUACAUGGCAUGCAUCCAACCAUUUCAACUACUUUAUUAUCAGAGGUAAUAAGCUCCAAUAUGUUACCAUCCUUUUCUUCAGCCUUUCUAUACCUAAUCUCCAUAGUUUGCUCAAUUUUCGAAACAUCUAUUGUAUACCCCAACUCUUUCCCUAUCUUCCUUAAAUCCAGCAAUGAUAGAAAGUCAUCAACAACAUUAUCUAAAUAACAGACCUUACCACCUUUAUAAACCCCAUUUUCAAACAUACCCCCAUGGUGUAGUUCAAGAGUGACUCUGUCACAGAUAUUUGCAAACAUUACAUAUCAAAUUUCAGAGUUAGCUGCACACACAUCUCCUUUAUCUAAUGCUACAGGUUUAGGGUUUUAAUUUUUUUUUACCAUUUCAGUCAAUGCUAAUAGUGAAUUAAGUGUGAAGUAGACAACAAAGGGACCACACCAAAAAUAAAAACCUAUACUUUGCAGUCAAUCCCAGCAUAAAGGAAAUAAAAUGCCACGGUAUCUUUUCAACAUAAAGAAACUGACCUUGGACCACACACUUGCAAACAAAAAACAUCGAUUUGCAAAACAAGAUGAAUAUAAAAUACAGACAGAGAAUCCCUUACCGUAUUUGGGAUUCUCUCCACCCCAACGGAACUCAAACUCCAUCAGUGAUGAGCAUCCACAAUGAUCGAAAUCCAGAAAUUCCGCAAAACCCCCAAAUAGGAACCCCAACACUCUGGUUCUCUGUUGUUGCCUUCGCACCUCGAUUUCGGAUAGUCACGAACAAAAUGCGACGUUUUGGCUAAUCGGAGAAGAAGACAUUGAGGUUGAAAAAGACGCAUAUACCCUUUCAGAUUUAAAAAGACGCAUAUACCCAUCCUAGACCCCAUCACUGGCGUUGACUUGUUAAAAACUCACAGAAAAUGUAACGGUUGGAUCAAAUGGCCGACUAAUAAUUUAAUUUAGGGACCAAAAUGUACAUCGCAUACAACUUUGAGGACCAUUUUCGCAAUUUUUAUAACAAACUAAGUUUAACAUAAUGUAAUUAAUUUAACAUUUUUAAUAUAUAAAACGAAUAAAAUACAUUCUCAAUCGUUCUCCACCAAUCUCUAAUUAUAAAUAUCUCUAACGAGAAUGAAAUUAAUAGCGUUAGUACGAAUUUACAUUAAUACUUUUAAACUAACGACAAAAAAUACUUACCCAGUGAACAUACUGAAUUUCUAGCGGCAGAGAGGUGCAGAGAGAGGCAGAAUGCUUUUUUUUUUUUUUUUUUUUGCAUUCUGCCUCUGCAAUGGCAGAAUCCAGAUAUGAAGAAGAAGGACUUUGCGCGACGACCCAUAUUUUUGUCUUGCAAAAUGCCGUCGUGAAAAAAAAAUUCCGUCGCGCAAAACCACUUUUUCGUCGCAAAAGUCGUUCAUUUCGUCACACAAAAUAACUUUUUUAUCGCUCAAGCAUGUAUCGACAUCAUACUUUUGCGCAACACAAGUUUUGAUUUGUCGCACAAACUUUCGUCGCGCAAAUUCUAAAUGUUGUCAUGCAAAAGCAAGCUUCUGUCGCGCGAAAAAGAACUUCCGUCGCGCAAGAUUGUGGCGACAUCAAACUUUACGCGCUGAACUAUAUUUCAGUCACUCAAGGCUUUGGCGCGAAAAAAAAAAUAUCCCACGCACUAUUUUGGUGCCAAAAAAAUUAUUCCACGAUUUUCUUACGCAAUGAUAAAUCUUGUCGUCGCGCUAAGUUGUCUUUUGCGCAAGUUUCUGCUCCAAAUAACAAAACCCACUGUUUUCUGUCCACCUUUACGUGACGAAACUUCCAACCGUCGCGCUAGGUUUUCUUUCACGACACAAGUGUUGGGCGCAAAAAAAAAAAACCCACGUUUUUCUUCCUCACUUUGCGCGACGAAUAAGUUUGCUGUCGCGCUAAGACUUUUUGCGCGACGAAAAUUUUGGUCGCUUCAGUUUUCGGUGGUUUGCGCAAGGAAUAAUUUUUUCUAUCACUGUAAUGCAUUUUGCGCAACGAAUUCUCGUUCAUCGCGCAAAUUGUAAAACUUAAUAGUGCAAAUGGGCACUCAUUUUGGAGUUAUUAAUCAUUUUCUCACUCUAUAUUCCGGCAUUUUAUUUGUUUACAAUAAAAGGAUGCAAAAAGAUCCUUUCAAAAUUCAAAUCUGAAAAUCUAGUGGCAAAAUCAUCCAAGUAAGCAAAAAUUUCUCUAUCUAAAAGAAAUUUUGGAAAAGUUGAUAGAGGUAUAAAAAUCCAACCAAUAAUUGGGUCUAGUCCUCGAAUUAUUGUUUGUUGAUACAAGUCCUUUGGUUAGUUUGCUAUGUAGAUUACAUUCUAUUUUUGACAUGCUGACUCAAUCUUUUUUGUUUAACUGAUUUAUUUAAAUUUUUUGUUCCUAUUAUAUCCCUAUUGUCUAAAAUGGGUAUGAUGAGAAUUUAUAGGCCAUUAAUGAUUAGAUUUGAUCAUGUAAUUAAAGGAAAAAUUACAUUUUGAAUGUAAAUGCCGGACCUUCACUUUUUUCCUUGUGCUUGAUUUGUGCAAAUUCCUAUGCUCCAGGUACAAUACUCUACAAACCAUUGAACUUGAUAUACCUAUCUAAUAGGUAUAGUACAUAUUUGAUGCACCUCAGUACUAGGUAAAACACAUAUUGGAUGCAACUCAAUGCCAGGUAAAACAAAUAUGUUUUUUUUUUUUAAAAAAAAAAGUUAUACCUCCAUACUAGGUAUAUUAAAAAAAAUUAACAUUAUGACAAAAAAAAUUUCAUCAAAUAAUUUUGAAAAACUCAAUAUAUAAAUUUUAUAGGUAAAACGUAUGUAUAUGCUACCAAUUUAAUAAAGCUACGAAUAUAGAAUUCUAAAAAAUAUAGUUUCCAUAUGUAUAUAGCUGAAAUUUGAAUUAAAUAGGUUUUUAUUGUAACGACCCGGUCCUAAACUAAUAAUUAAAUAUGAAAUUAUUAAGGAAAAAGACAAUGUUAUCCCGGAAUAUUUUAAUAGGUUUACAUGUUGACCGGGAAGACUUCGGUGAAAUUGUUACCUCCUGGUUCCAAAAGGUGUUAAAAUAAUUAAAUUAAGAGAGAAUAAAUUUAAAUGAGGAAAUAAACUGAAAUAAACAUUAAAAUAAAAUGAUUUGAAUUAAUUAAGGUUUUUGAGAAAUUAAAAUAUUAUUUAAUAUUAAAAGGGGCAAAAAGGUCAUUUUAAGUUUGGGAAGGAAUUUGGAAAUUCUGAUUAGACGAUUGUGUAAAGCACGUCGAAACGAGUCCAUAGACAUGUAGUGGACUCUAAUCGGAGUUGUAACGAAGAAAUGACAAUCAAAAGAAGUUCAGUGGCAUAACCGUAAAUAUUUCAAAGUUCAGUUUUUUUUAAACCCAGAAUUUCUGCAUUUUAGGGAGCUCGACCAGCCGAAUUCAAGAGGUGAUUUCUCUCAACUCCGACCACGAAUUCAAGCAAGACCUGUCCCUUAGAACCACCACACUUCCCUCUUCCAGCCCCAGCCCUUCGCCGCCUCGAUCCGCCUUCUAGUCGCCAGAAACAGCCAAGAAAUAGGCGGUUUUGGAUAAUUUUUUUCGUAAACUUUCAACGGCUCGUUCUCCCUCCUCCGGCCACCGUUUCAUGCGAGUGAGGUAUGUUUUCUCACCUAAUUUUCAUAAUCUAGCGGAUGGUUGGAUAUGAAUUUAUCAAUUUUGAGCCUAGAUAGUUCGAUUUUCGAAUUGGAUUUCAGCCGGUUUUGGGAUCACGAUUCCGGCCACUUUUUGGGGCAGGUCCAAGAACAAAAGUCGUUCUAAAUAAGGUGUUUUACCUAGGGAAUGGCGGGAGGAAGAAGAAAGAAGAAAAAGAUGGAGAUAGAAGAGAAGAAAGAAGGAAUGACGGCUGGGAGAAAAGAAAAAGAAAAGGAGAGUUUGUGGGGCGGGAGGAACCCUAACUUUUUAAAAUAUAUAUAUUUUUAAUUCUUUAUAGUAAUAAAUAUUACAAAUAUACACACAAUUGUCCAUCAGAGUACAUAGUUUGAUUACGCAUCAGCACACCUACUCUCAAUUUUUAGGCAAUUUCUGGUUUGGCCUGUUCAAUCAGGUUUUCAAUAUAACUGACCAGCCCUAGUUCUUCUAGCGCUCGUAUCUCACUAGAAGAGUUCUUCGGAGUUCUUGGUCGCUUUCUAUAAAUUUCAUGCGAAAGGGUAAAACCAGAAUCCAAAUUUGUAUAAAAGGAAAACUGUCCAUUUUUGGGUUUUUUUUUUUUUUUUUUUGUUUAUAAAAAAUUAUUUCGUUUUGAGUUUCUUUUUGAUACACUAGGGAUGGGUAUUGUUAUAAAUUUGUGAUAAAUAUAUAUAUAGUUUGGGCUUAUAUUACCAAUUCUUCUUCAGUGUACAAAACUAUGAGAGUCCAAAUAAAAUUAAAUCAAAUUCUUAAGCGUCCAAGGAUGUUUGAUUUUUUUUUUUUUAAUUUUGUUGGCCUUUUUGUUAUUGUUUUGUUUGCCUUUUGUGGCUUUUGCGGCUGCCUCAUGUAGCUUUAUUGAGAAAAAAAAAAGGGCAUGUACAACCUUCUAUGUGUUGUAAAUAUGAUGGAGCCCAACCAAUGCCUAUAAAUAGGCUUCUUCAUUCUUGUAAUAAACAUACAAUUAGAGGAGAACAAAACAUUCAACAAGAAUUCUGUUUCUACUCUCUCUCUCUCCAUUCCAAUUAUCUCUACAAUUUCCCAUUGAUUUAUAACACGUUAUCAGCACCAUUGAUUUAUAACACGUUAUCAGCACGAUUAUCUCUAAGGGAAUUUUGAUCAAAACACUCACGCCUUCUUCCAAAACUUUCCGUGAACCAGUAGCCUUUGACUCUCUGUCUGCCUUUCUUCUUCAUCUGCAUCAAAAACACACUUUGAUGUCUAUGCCACUGGAGCAUGAUUACAUAGGCUUAACAGAGACUUCUUCAAUGGAAAGAAGCUCUGAAAAAGACCAGAUCGAUCAGGACGCUCUAUUGUCCUUGGCUCUCCAGGCACCAUUGAAUUUUGAAUUGGUCUUCUCCCACUGACUGUUGCCUUUGGGAAGGAAUAACCUGCGGCCCAGAUGAUCAACUCCAAGAUCUUGAAAAGAGCACCAAUUCCUUCACUGUCAUUCCUCUUCCCGCCCCAAUCUGAGAAAAGGGCCAGGUUGCUAUGGAUCCACAAGGGCAUAACCAACCCCAAUCUAUGGGGAUGGUAGGCAGUGGAGCUCAAUUGACAUAUGGUACUAACCCAUAUCAGCAUAAUCAAAUCCGGAACAGUCGGAGCUAUUCAAUCAACUCUCAUAUAGCAGAAUAGCAAUUAGCCAACAAAUCAAACACUUUUUCACUCACAAAUUCAGAGUGCCUCUAAUUCCAAAUUUCUUCGGCGGCCGAAGGACUAAUGUCUUCGACCCAUUCUCUCUCGACAUCUGGGAUCCAUUCCAGGACUUACCCUUGAUCAGCGGCGGUGGCGAACACGCGGAUCAACUGGAAGGAGACGCCGGAGGCGCACGUGUUCAUGGCAGACCUUCCGGGGCUGGAGGAGAAGGAGAGACGGUUCCAGAUCUUCAAGGACAACCUCAGCUACAAGCUCGGUCUGAACCGGUUCGCCGAUCUGUCCAACGACGAGUACAGGUCAACUUUCCUGGGCACCAAGACCCGCUCUCAGAAGAGGAAGCACAAGGCCGCCACGGAUGGCAGCAGCAUCAGAGUCGACUGGACCAACCUUCCACCCCAACUCUCCUCGUCGUCCUCGUCGCCCUCAUCACCUUAUGAAUCCGAUGACCAACUGGAGGGUCAGCUCUGUCAAGGACGACGUUGCAAGAAAUCCAAAACGGUGUGUCGUCGAACUUCUUCGACCCGGCGGUGCUCAAGCACGCCCUGUCCAAGGCCCUCGUCCCUCUUGCUGGUCGCUCCUCACUAUUCUGCUUCUGAUCCUCCAUCAUUCACACACCCUCAAUUGCAAAUUGUUUGGUUUUGGGUUUCAGAGAAAACACAGAGCAUCAAAGCCUCUCGCUCCCUCUCUGUCAAGGACCACUUGUGUUGCAAGCCCGUCUUGCUUCAGGUUGCCAUCACUUGGCAAAUUGUUGUUGGAGCCAUAACUGGAGUUACACCUUUUGUGGUGGCUAGGACUGAAUUCAGCAAAAGAAUAAUCCUGUGCUUUCAAAGGGCUGAAAAAAAAAAAAAAAAAUCGUUGUGAGGGAUUGGUAUGGGCUUGCGCUUGCUGUAAAAUGUCGAGCUGGAAUUGCAGAAUCCGCUUCUGCCAUCCACCUUUGCAGAGCCCAUCACCGCCGACAUCAUCACAAUUUGGGUUGAAACCACAGGUAAAUAUUUUUAUUCUUAAUUAUGGUGGGGCUGUGGAUCGUGAGCACAGUGGUCGGGGUCUGAGGCACAACUUGGGUGCUGAGAUUAUUAGCCACUGACUCAAGGAAAGUGCUGAAACAUCUUUUGAUGAGAAUAGUAAAACCCACCGAUAAAGAAAAGCAAACUCAGCAAGGGUACUGACCUUAAAAUAGCGAUAAGAUCUCUGCUCCCUGAUCUUCCCUAUUAUUUCAUAUUAUAUUUAUCUGCUUUUCUAUUACUAACUAUUAACAAAAAUGGACCCUCGGUAAUACUAAACAUAUUAUCAGUGGGAGACCGUUACUAAUACUAACAAUUUAAAUUAUGAAUUUACUUUACCGCACAUUUAUUUUAUUUACUGUAUGGUGUAGGUUUAUUACCCAUACAACAGUAUUUAUUUAAAAGGGUGGUGCGGGUUUAUCGUCCACGCCUUUACUUUCAUUUAAAUGUAUGGUGCAGAAUUAGUGCCCAUACAAGCACGUUUAAUUUACUGCAAAUUUACUUUACCGCACAUUUAUUUUAUUUACUGUAUGGUGUAGGUUUAUUACCCAUACAACAGUAUUUAUUUAAAAGGGUGGUGCGGGUUUAUCGCCCACGCCUUUAAUUUUAUUUAAAUGUAUGGAGCAGAAUUAGUGCCCAUACAAGCACGUUUAAUUUACUGGAAAUUUACUGUACCGCACAUUUAUUUUAUUUACUGUAUGGUGUAAGAUUAUUACCCAUACGACAGUAUUUAUUUAAAAGGGUGGUGCAGGUUUAUCGUCCACGCCUUUACUUUCAUUUAAAAGUAUGGAGCAGAAUUAGUGCCCAUACACGCACGUUUAAUUUAUGAAUUUAAAUUAUCGCACAUUUACAUUUAUUUAAAAGGGUUGUGCGGGUUUAUCGUCCACGCCUUUACUUUUAUUUAAAUGUAUGGUGCGGGUUUAUCGUCCAUACCAGUAAUUUAUUUACCAGCAAUUUAUUAUAUGGAUUAAAUGUGCUGUAUGAUGAGUUUUUACAGUAUGCAGAUCAUGACCAGAAGUUCCUUGAUCCUCAUCAUACAAUUACAUCAGGACUUGAAGAUCCUUGAUGAUGAUGUUAACAUGUGAUCGGACUUGAGGGUCCUUAAUCCCUGACAUGUAAAUAAGGACCUGGGGUUCCUUAAUGAUGUAACAGUACCGUGUUGGUUCAUAAUGCUGUACACAUGGAUGAUAACUGUACUGGCAAAUGUACUGUACACAUGAAUAGUGCCGUAUACAUGAAUAGUGAUGUAUGCAUAAAUAUUUACCAUUCUGGGUAAACUAUCACCAUUCAAAAGAGAACCUGCAGUUCCUUAAACUCAUGGAUGAGCAAUUAAAUGAGAUGCCAGAAGUUCCUUAAAAUAUGGACAAUUAUGUAAGGCUUGAAGUCUAGAAAUAUGUACAGAAAAUUGUAAACAUGUCCAUACCAUGAGAAUAUGUGAUUUUGGCCCGAAGUUCAAAAUCUAAGGGGAUUGAAUGUCCAUACCAUGAGAAUAUGUGAUUUUGGCCUGAAGUUCAAAAUCUAACAGUGUUGAGAACCUGAAGUUCCAACAAUUAAAUGGACAACCCUUGAGGUAUUAUUGCAAAUUGUGGUACGCCACAUAUCUCUUUGGCAUAAGAGAAUGAUGAAUUGAGGCUCCCCACAUAUUUUGUUAUAUCUGGGCCGGAAACUCAUGAACCCAAAUAUAUGAGAUAUUAGCGUGGCUUUUACUCAAUUCAUAUUUCAUGCCCAUUUUGAAAAGGGCAAAUAAAUUCUGAGUUUUGUGUUUAGCCCAUGCCUAAAGUUCCGGGCUCCCAUACGUUUAAAUAUGAAAUUUGGGAGAGUCGAUGUGGUUAUUUGAACCUAUAAGGCACAAGGUUCAAAACCGUCAUUUUGAAAAGACGUAAAAACCACAGGUGCGAAUUUUAAAUGUGCGCAAUUAUUAUAACAGGAAAGGAGCAAGUUGCAACGCAGUUGCUCCAAUCAAGUUUUGCGAAGGCCAUAUCUAUAGGAGGAAAUAUGGCUACAGUUUCCAGGAUCCCAAUAUUACCUCAGAUCCCUAUAUUAUCUUUUUCUUUCUCAGAUUCCAAAACUUCACGUGGCCUCCAUUAAAUGUUUGUCGGCACUCUCGGCGUUUUCAAUGUUUUAUUUUCAUCAAAAGCCGAUCUUGCUUUACGGAUUUCACGGAGCUACUUUUUCAAAAGUACCCCGAGAAUCUCGCAAUUUUCUUAUGGUUAAUUUGAAAUUCACCGGUUCUACCUAUUCAUCUUAUUUGUGUAUAAAUGUGUUACUAAUGAAAUUUUCUUUGCAGAAGACAUCCAGUUUUCUCCAUAACUAGUGAUGCGAUAUCUACUUGUUUUUCUUAUCAGUGAGCACUUAAUAUGCCCGAGAAGUAAGACUAUCUCUGAUCAUCCAUUCAGGAAGCGAGACUAUCCCUGAUCACGUUUCCGCUGCAUUAGGGAACUGUGAAGGCGAUCUUAUGCUCUAAUCUCCGGAAGUCCUUCUAGACUAGGAGAUAUGAGAGCUUAUUGUCUGCUCCCACCAACUUCCUUUCCUGAUUGCUUACCUUCUAUUUUUGCAUUUUCUCUCUUUCUGUAACUCUCUGAGGAUUAUUUGUUUUUGACAGAGAAAAGAGUUGUGAUUUUACUCUUGCAGAAUAUAACUAGAUCAUCAAGCGCUACAUUUACUGGGCCGAUACAAGCUUGAAUGAUACUUGAGAAAAGUUUCUCACACCUAAGGAUAUUGCAAGUUGGAUACAUUGAUAAUACACUGCCACAGAUUAAAGUCCCACAAGAACAGAAUAUGGGUAUAGCAGUGAUCAAUAUGAUGCACGCCUGUUGCGUAGCAAAUAAUAUGGAUUGAAGUCCCGAAAGGACAAUCCUUUAACAUGUCAAUAUUGAUAUUAUGCACGCCUAAUGCGUAGCAAAUUAUAUGGGUUAAAGUCCCAUAAUAUGGGUUAAUGUCCCAGAAAUUAAUUGACAUGUAUGUAUUAAUCUGUGGCAUACCUGCAGCAUGACAGAUAUAUGGGUGCACGCCUGUUGCGUAGCAAAUGAUAUGGAUUGAAGUCCCGAAAGGACAAUCCUUUGACAUGUCAAUAUUGAUAUUAUGCAUGCCUAAUGCGUAGCAAAUUAUAUGGGUUAAAGUCCCAUAAUAUGGGUUAAAGUCCCAGAAAUUAAUUGACAUGUAUGUAUUAAUCUGUGGCAUACCUGCAGCAUGACAGAUAUAUGGGUGCACGCCUGUUGCGUAGCAAAUGAUAUGGAUUGAAGUCCCGAAAGGACAAUCCUUUGACAUGUCAAUAUUGAUAUUAUGCACGCCUAAUGCGUAGCAAAUUAUAUGGGUUAAAGUCCCAUAAUAUGGGUUAAAGUCCCAGAAAUUAAUUGACAUGUAUGUAUUAAUCUGUGGCAUGUCUGCGGCAUGACAGAUAUAUGGGUUCUAAAUGUUCCAACUCCCUAAAUGGAGAUUUUCCACGCCCUAUGUAAAAUAACGCUCCAUUGGAGGUUAUAAUCCACAUUCUCACAUAAUAAAAGCCCCAUGAAGUGGCUUGGGUACCCAAAAGCAAAGAAAUGCUUAUAAUUGAUGCAUGCGCAUGCACAUGAGAAUGGUGGGAUCAUGAAUUGAUGAAUGACAAUUUUUGAUCAUGAAUUGAUGAAUGACAAUUUUUUGUUUUUGGAGUAGCUACUCAAAUCAUCAAUGGGCUGUGUUGAUUGGAACCACGUUCAAUUAUUAAAUGUCGACAAUAUUAUUGGCCAAAAUGGAACGAGGUAAUUCCAUUAUAAAUGAGAAUGAACGUGAAAGAACAAACCCACAAUACGAACCCCAAAAUUUGUUAAUACUGAAUUUAUACUUGGGUGUUCGGAAUAAAAGGGAAUAUACGUACUUGGUAUGACACACUGUUUCUGGCAGAAACAAGGAAUGUUGGGUUUUCUCCAUAUUUACAGAUUCAAUUGUGCCCCCCCUCCCCUUAUUACACAAUUACGGAGACCAACAUAUUAUCUUUAAGGGUUAUUAAAUGCACAGAGCAUAUCGCCAGAAGCGAUUCCCUAAAGAUGUAUAAAUAGCUGGGUUAAAGCUAUAUAAUGUGUCAUAAAGUUUAAUCCCUUUUAGACAAAAUCCGUUGAGAGGAUUGACAUUGCAUAAAGCAAGUCCCUAAAGGACAUGUGCUUGAAGCACAAAAUUUGUACUCAAUAUUAAUAUGCAUAAAUUACCUCAGUGAGUACAUUGAUGUGAUUGCAACACAUUAAAGAUUCUGCAGAAUUCACAAAAUAUUUGUCUCGACUUAAGGAUCGAGCAUUGUGCCAACGAGAUUCUUGCUUAUACUAAGAAAGUAUUGAAGCAUUUUUAUGAGGAUUAUCCGUUGGUCCUUAAAUGUUUUUCCGGAAGUAUACUAGACCAGAUAGAGCUCAGCUCCACACUGUACUCUUUUUCCUUCACCCAGGUUUUUAUCCCAUUGGGUUUUUCCUGGUAAGGUUUUAACGAGGCAGUGUUGCUCAAGGGUUUAGGGUAUACUAUGAAAAUUUUUAUGGUCGCUUACUGGACAAAAGCUAGUCCUAAAUUUUUCAGGGGGAGAUAUUCAUCAGGGGGAGCAUGGUUUUAAUAAAGACCUUCAUACACUGUACUCUUUUUCCUUCAUCCAGGUUUUUAUCCCAAUGAAUUUUUCCUGGUAAGAUUUUAACGAGGCAGUGUCGCUCAAGAUUGACUCACAGAAGCAGUGUCAACUACGAUAUUCAGAAAGCUGAUCAACAGUAUGACUUAAAGAUAUUUUGCCAAGUAUCAGGGGGAGCACACCAUCAAUAAAGAUCUUCAAACACCGUACUCUUUUUCCUUCGUCCGGGUUUUUAUCCCACUGGGUUUUUCCUGGCAAGGUUUUAACGAGGCAGUGUCGCACGCGCGUCAAUAUACUUAGAAUUUUAUGUUACACAUAGUUAUGUACUCUUUUUCCCUUCGACCAGUUUUUGUCCCACUGGGUUUUUACUGGUAAGGUUUUUAACGAGACAUAUUCUAUAUCAUUUGUGGUCUCCAAGGGGGAGUGUUGUAAAUAUGAUGGAGCCCAACCAAAUGCCUAUAAAUAGGCUUCUUCAUUCUUGUAAUAAACAUACAAUUAGAGGAGAACAAAACAUUCAACAAGAAUUCUGUUUCUACUCUCUCUCUCUCUCCAUUCCAAUUCUCUCUACAAUUUCCCAUUGAUUUAUAACACUAUGUUAUUAAUUGCAGCCAGGGUGUGAUCAAUAUAUGUAUAUUUGAAUUGCAUGUGACAGUGGCGAUUCCAAGAUUCGAAAUUUGUUAGGCAAAAUUUACAUACUAAACUUGAUUGUACAAGUGAAUUUCAUUAAUAAACAUAAAAAGAUACACAUAAUCAGAGGGACGUUUUGAGCCUUAAUCUCAAAUGUAUCUCUAUGAAUAAAAAACUAAAACUAGACGACAUGAUCAUAGAUCACACUUAAGAUAAUUGAUAUUAAAAUCUUGAUCAUCAUCGACUCUUUGAUUCUCAACUUGAUGCUUAACAAUGAAAGAUUCGGGAAGAUUUUGCCAAGAAGAGAAAUAAACAUCUCAACAAAAACAAUCCAAUUAACAACCUAAUAAAUACCUUAAAAGCGAAAAAUGUAUAUAUCAAAUAAUAAGAAAAGAAGAAAUAAUAAAUGGAGGAGUUGAUGAAGGAGGUGAUCACUUACCUACAUCUGAGAUGCUAUUGUGGCAGUAUACCAAAUCAAUCAAGCAUUGCAAUGUUUUAAUUUUUUCACGUGGUAAUGCGUAAUUAGCUUAAAAUACUGACACAGUGACAUUUCCGUUGUACGAAAGUUUUCUCAUAGGUGGGAGGUUUCUCAUUUUCUUUAAUAGAUGAUGGAAAGCAGUUAAUAAUACAUAGCCAACCUGAAAGUACAAACACAAUUAACAUAUAUAGGAGAAAGAACAAACACACCGAACAUAAAAGAUCCCAUUGCCCAAAUGUUAAAAGCUAAUUAUCCAUAUACAUCUGCCAAUUGCUGAAGUGACAGAUGCAAACUCGAAUAUUAUUACAUGUAAAUUAAAACACACGAAAAACAUCAACUUGGUAUUACUUGAUUUUCAAAACAGGCAAAUAAGAAGCCAAUCUAGAUCAGUCUUGGGGUCAAAACAAGGCGAACAAGUUCUUCCCACCAGCAAACUCAUGGGUAAAAUCUUCAGUCGCUGCAUAUGCUUCUGCAAAAUAUAUGAAAAGACAAAAGCAAUAUUGUAAUUAACAAACAAAACGUCAAUAUAUGUAUGGCUCAGGAAUCUGAGUUGGAAUGAUUAAUAUGGCUUUACAUACAUUAACAGAGCACAAGUACAAUAUUCCAAAUCAUUAAGUUUAGGAAAGUCACUAAAAGGAUAAAAGAUACUUACGUAUAUUUCUUACAUCUCUCGUCGACGAGUAGCAUCCUUGCAUGAUCCACACCUCCUUCUUUUAUGGACUCCAUAAACUCCUCUGAAGCAUUAUCAAAAGUGUAUCGUUGUAGUUUAGUAAGGUGCUCAAUACCCUGUGGCAAUGUUUCUAACGUCAUGCAACUAUGAAUCUCUAGGAACUCGAAAUUUGGCAUGGCCCCUUUUUCUAUAGUUAUCUUAUUUAAUAAUGCGAGAUUCCUAACAGAGGCAUUAUCUUCAAGUUUAGACCCAUAGCUUUUUCUAUAGUUAUCUUAUUUAAUAAUUCGAAAUUUGGCAUGGCCUCUGAAACAUAACUCUUUCCUAACAGAGGCAUUAUCUUCAAGGGAAAGAGAAUGUAGAGAGGGCAAUGCUUCAAUAUGACAUAGUAAAUCCUAUUCAAGUUUAGACCCACUCAGAUACAAAUUUCUGAGAGAGUGGAGUGAACAAAACCAAUGUGGUACCUUUUCCAGUUUUCCGGUCAAGUAAAUUCUAUCAAGGUAGGGAGGCGGUGAAGACAAUGCGUCAACUCGAAGAAAUUCCUCUCCAUCAGCUACAAAUAAAAACAAGCGGGAAAGGACCUUCAUCUCUUGAAUUAAGGCACAUAGGUCCUCCUCGUCUCUUUCUUUCACAUUUGUAAUGCCAAGGAACGUAAGCUGGGUCAUACUUCCAAUAAGUCUAAUAAUGUUUCCUUCUGAUUCAAUAAAUGCCAAAGAUUGCAAUUUCUUCAUCUUACCAAUACUUGAUGGUAUUUUUACCCAAAAACCAUCAUAGUAUGGACCCAUAAGUAAAUGGCGUAAGCUUAGCAACUUGGAAAUCCCUCUUGGAAGUGCCUUUAUUUUUGUUGCCAUGAUGUUCAAGGUCUGAAGAUUGCGGAGCUUUCCAAUGGAUUCUGGAAGCUCUGUAAUUGGAGUUCCACACAAAUUUAAAUAUUUUAAAUUAAAUAAGGAUGUUAGAUUGUCUGGCAGAUAAUCAAGUGGGACAUCCUCCAAAUCUAGAACCUUAACAAUUUAAGGUCAAAAGGUAAUUUAUUUGAGAAAGAAAAUGAGGAUACGCCAGUGGCAAAGAUGAGAAACGAACGAAGCCGUGAUAUACCUGUGCAUGAUCCAAUUUCUCUAUUAGUUGUUUGAAUUGACAAACGGAGUGCCCCAGUUUCUUCUACUGUUUCACUCCCAUCAAGUACAGCAAGAAACUUUUCUUUUUUUGCUAUAGACAGAGCAAUCUCCCUCAAAAGAUCAUGCAUCUUACAUGCUGGGAGGGAUCCAUAAAACCUUUCCUGUAGCAUGUUACGAAAAAUGAGUUCCAUAAGAUAGCUAUUUGCAACUUCUUCUGGCGUGAGCCCUUCGACAUGUUCAACAAAUCCUUCAGCGAUCCACAAUCUAAUGACCCUAUUAUUUAUGAUCACUGUAUCUUCGGGGAAAAGGGAACAAUAUAGAAAGCAUUGCUUCAGUCGGUAUGGCAAAUCAUUAAAACUAAACAACAAGAUGCUCUUCAUAGGUUCUAGCAAAGGAUUGUUAGUCAAAUGCCAAUUUAAGCUGUUGUAGGCUGUGCUCCACUCUGUAAGUGACUUCUUCGAAGACAUAAGACCACUCAAGGCUACGAUCGCAAGUGGUAGGCCUUCACACUUUUCCACAAGUUCCCGAGCUAAUGGCAGAAGUUCAGGUGAACAAGAUUUGUUAGGGUAACUUGAGAAUGCUUUCAUGCUGAAGAGCACCCAAGCAUCACUCCUUUCCAGCGGUCGAAUCUUGUGAACAUGGCUUUCAACUCCAAAAGAAGAGGAUGCUAUGUCUUCUCUUCGAGUUGUAAGCAUGACUCGACUUCCAAGUUGUUUAUCUGGAAAUGAAAACCUUAUUUUGUCCCAAAGAUGGACAUCCCACACGUCAUCCAAUACAAUUAGGUACCUUUUAGUCUCCAAGUAGUUCACCAACAUCUCCAGCAAUUCGUUAUAACUCAUGGCAUUCAUGGCUGCAGGGACCUCUUCCUUCUUCGCUUUGUGGAAUUCUUUGAUCAAUCUUCUAAAUAAGUCUUCAAUCACGUAAGACUGGGAAACAGUAAUCCACGCAUAGCAUUCGAAAUGUCUCUUUACAAUGUCAUCUUUGAAGGUCCUUACAACUAGAGUUGUCUUCCCUGAUCCUCCCAUCCCGACCACGGACACAACAGUUUGGUGCUUCGCUUCAUCCAUCAGCCAUCCCAGUAACAUGUUCUUAUCGCCUUCAAUCCCGACAAGUUCAUCCUCCUUCUGAUAAAGAGAAGACUCCGCUUGGUUCUGCACCCAUCUCCGAAUAUCCUCAGAAGUACUUUUUCCUUCUACAGCUGCAGCACCACGAUAUCUCUGAUUUCUCUCUGGAAUAGCUCGAAUCGCCACCGCGAUUUUCUGUAACUUGUUGGCUAUUUGACGCUUAUACCACAGGUGCUUUGGAAAGUGAAUGGUUUUGUGGAUCCACCUGGAAAAUCGACCACCAUUUCGCUGCUCGUACACGCGAUACAUGAACUCAUCAAUGGUGUUUUCAACAUGGGCGGCCCGGAGGGUGUGCAAGUGGUGCCACCGCACAGGGCCUCUGAUUUUUGAGGGCCCCCAAAUUUAAUAUAUAUAUAUAUAUAUUAAUAAAUGUUAUACAUAUACUGGGCAAGCAAAUUUUUGACACAAAGACAUUUCAAUUGUGUUGGUUUGCAGGACCUCAACUUCCAUUCAAGGCACAACUUCAAAGUCCGCUUGUGUAGAUCAUAGUUUUAGUUCUUUUUUUGUUUUUGUUUUUUUGUAACAACAAUUAAUAAUCAUAAUAAUUAAAAAGGCAAACACGUUAUAAUAUAAGGGAAGCUUGAAGAGCUUUCUUCGCAUGCUUGAGCGCAUCUUUCCCCUUUCUUUCUGUAAGUAAUAAUCAUCACCAAUAUCUCUCCUUGGCUCUCUUUUUUAAUCCUUUGACAAUUUAUUUUUUUCAAUUUCAAGGAUUUCAACACAAAAAAUCGAACAAAAAAAUUGAUAAAUGUCACUCAAAAGCAAAUGGUCAAAUUUAAAUCUGAAUUCAAAUUCAAGUAUGUAUCUAAAUUAUAUAUACUAAAUGACUUCAUUAUCAAUUUUUUUUUUUCCAGAUACUUCAUUAUCAUGUUGAUUGGUUAUAUAAUGAAAGAUGAUUUAAUUUGUAAUUUGCAUGCUAAUUAAUGAUGAGUUUUGCUUUAAGAAAAAAAAAGACAUUUAUUGUAUGGCAUUACGUAAUGGUGUAAGUUUGUAUUAGCUUAUUUGAAGCUCCAGUUUAAGGUUAGCACAGGGCCCCCAAAAUCUCAAGACCGGCUCUGGUUUUCAACAUCAUUGGCCAAGUCUCGAACGCUUGCGACCCACGCUUUCUCUACUUGUGUGUGUGCCUGCUCUCCACCGUCAGCAUCCUCUAAGAAGGAUUUCAUGAAUACCAGCUCCUGCUUAAUCUCAUCAACUUGAUCACGAACACCCGCUAUGGAGGCUGCUUCACUCUCUAGAAUGGCUACAAAUUUGCCAAUGAAGAGGUCUGUUGCAGCAGACGCCAUGAUGGCCUUAUUUUGGUAUAACCUUAAUCAAAAAAUCCUAUCUGAAAUUGAUUCUGGGGAGAAAUCAAUGGUAUAUGCAUUUUCGAAAAAGCAUUCUGCCAUGGUUGGGCUCAGAUGCACUAGAGAGAAAAAGAGAGAGAGAUUAUCAAUUAAUAAUUAGAAAUCGAUGUUACGCAUGACCAUGGCUGGGACAAUCGUUGAUUAAACAAUUGUUGGGAGUUCUCCCAUGCACGUGAGGAUGUGUACCCCAUGUGCUGUGAUGGGUAAGUCCACUUUCUAACAUAUAAUAAGUUACCCGAAUCGAUUACUACACAUAUAAUAUUGGUUAAACAGGUAAUGCCAACAAAAGAAAAAAACAAAUUAACAGCUAACAUAUGCUCACUAAUUAUUAAUGGGUUUUCAAUUGAAUGUUUAUUAAUAAUCUUUAGGCUUAAUUGCACCGAUAUUUCUUGAAAUUUCGGUCAAAUCUCAUUUUAUUUUCUCAAAUUUAAAAGGGAGAUUCACUAUUAUACUCAAUAUGGGAGCCUAAAUUAUAAAAAUAUCCCGUAUGAAAUGGAUUUUAGAAACAUACCCAAAGCCCAUUUACAACAUAACAAAAAAACUUUUAACUUCUUAUAAAUUACAAAACUGCCAUCAAUUUCUUAAAACAAGCCCAACUCCAAAAUCUCAUAAAAAUACACAAAACACUUAAUAGGGCAUCAAAGUAAUUUAAUAAUUAAUAUUAAAUUCAAUAAGGCAAAUUGUGUUGUAAAGUCAAGGAUGGAUCCCACAAUGGUAGUGCCCACUACCUAAUGGAUUGAAGGACAUCAUGAUGAAAGCACUAUGGGAAGGCAUCAUUACCCACCUCCAAUGGAAGAUGCUUGCCUACCACCCACCUCCAUUAAGAGAUGCUUGCCUAUAAAUAAAGCUUCCUUCUACUUGUAAUAUACAUACAUGAAUGUAGAACAAACAUUCAAUGAGAAGAUCAGAUUUCUAUUCUUUCUCUAUACCCCAAUUCUCUCUACAAUUUCAUCUAGAUUUAUAACACGUUAUCAGCACGAAUUCGCUUUAACAAUACCAGCUGAAUUCUCUGAUGAAACCCAACCAAACAAACACUUCUCUCUCUGUUUCUUCUUUGUUUUGUGACCCUCCUGGCAUAUCCGAACAAACUCCGGUGUAGUCCUUGUUUCUUCUUCUCUGCACUCUUCUCAGCCAUUUUAACAAGCAUCUGGUGUGCAUGGCUGUGCAUGAAAAAAAAAAUAAUAAUACCGUAACCAAACCAAGACACAACUGUCUGUCUGUCUGUCUGUCUCUGUACAAUGGAGCCGUGGCUCGACGACUUAGCCGACGACCUCCAGAGCCUGAGCUUCACCUCCACCACAACUGUGUUGGUAACAGGUAAGCCCGAAGGCUGUUCCCGUCCCUCGUCUCCAAGCUUCCACCACACCCUCUCGCCAACUCCUCGGACCCUCUCUGGUCCGCCAUCCACAAAACCCUCUAGCCUUCGCCUUCGCCUUCGCCAUCGCCAUCACCGUCGUCGACGGCGUCGGCACCAGCCUUGGUCCUGUCCAACUCCGGCAAGCGCAUGGACCAGGCGGGGAAAGAAGAAGCUUCCUCUGUGGUUGCCUCUGGUCAAGAACUCUGGCUUCUACUUCCAGGACAUAUCAGGCUUCGUGGUUAGCCCUCGCUUCGUGUUCGUAGUUGGAAAUAUAAUUGUCAUCAUUCUCCUUGUCAAGUCCGGCAAGUUUUCAGGUAAAGACUCCAGCACAGGAGCUGAUCUUUACGAUGAGUUUGUUCACAACAGCGAAAAGAACCAUGAAAUGGUCAUGACCCAUUUUCCGAUUCCACGACUCGGGCGAGUCGGUGGUCAUGAACUCGAUCUCAUCCCCUGAUGAUUCCUUGCCCAUGAAAACAAUAGCCGGGGGCAGUGUAGCAAAUACUAUCAAAGGGCUGUGUGCUGGGUUCGGAAUCUCCUGUGGAAUAAUUGGUGCUUGAGGGGAUGAUGAGCAAGGCCAGUUAUUUGUAGGUAACAUGAGCUCUCAUGCUGUGAGCCUCUCAAGAUUGAGGAUGAAUAAGGGACCCACAGCUCAGCAGAGAUGCCCAUGGAAAUGAUAACUUAGAUCUAAUGGCGGGCCACGCGAUAAAAACAGGUUGGCUGGACAGCACAUGUUGUCGAGUGCGCAUGAUUACAGCCCCACCCACGUAUUCUGCUGCACAUGUAAAACCACCCACCGAAAAAAAAAAAUUAUUAAAAAAUGCUAAAGUGCUGAAGCAUCUUUUAAUAAAAAACAGCAAAACCCAUCGACCCACCGAAAGACUAAGCGAUAAGAUCUCUGCUCCCUUAUCUUCUCUAUUAUUUCCUAUUAUAUUUACCUGCUUUUCUAUUACUAACCAUUAACAAAAAUGGACCCUUGGUAAUACUAAACAUAUUAUCAGUGGGAGACCGUUACUAAUACUAACACUUUCCUUAUCUUGUUCAGUGGUGGUUUUUAACCCCACAUUUAUUUUAUUUACUGUAUGGUGUAGGUUUAUUACCCAUACAACAGUAUUUAUUUAAAAGGGUGGUGCGGGUUUAUCGUCCACGCCUUUACUUUUAUUUAAAUGUAUGGAGCAGAAUUAGUGCCCAUACAAGCACAAUUUACUUUACCUCACAUUUAAUUUUAUUUAAAGUAUGGUGCGGGAUUAACGUCCAUACAGCAAGCAAUUUAAUUUAUGAAUUUAAUUUACCGCACAUUUACAUUUAUUUAAAGUGUGGUGCGGGUUUAUCGUCCAUACCGGUAAUUUAUUUACCAGCAAUUUAUUAUAUGGAUUAAAUGUGCUGUAUGAUGAGUUUUUACAGUAUGCAGAUCAGGACCAUAAGUUCCUUGAUCCUCAUCAUACAAUUACAUCAGGACUUGAAGAUCCUUGAUGAUGAUGUUAAUAUGAGAGCUGGCAGUCUCUCCGGUACUAUAUUUGUAAACAUGUGAUCGGACUUGAGGGUCCUUGAUCCCUGACAUGUAAAUAAGGACCUGGGGUUCCUUAAUGAUGUAACAGUACCGUAUUGGUUCAUAAUGCCGUACACAUGGAUGAUAACUGUACUGGCAAAUGUACUGUAUACAUGAAUAGUGCCGUAUACAUGAAUAGUGAUGUAUGCAUAAAUAUUUACCAUUUUGGGUAAACUAUCACCAUUCAAAAGGGAACCUGCAGUUCCUUAAACUCAUGGAUAAGCAAUUAAAUGAGAUGCUAGAAGUUCCUCAAAAUAUGGACAAUUAUGUAAGGACUUGAAGUCCAGAAAUAUGUACAGAAAAUUGUAAAAAUGUCCAUACCAUGAGAAUAUGUGAUUUUGGCCCGAAGUUCAAAAUCUAAGGGGAUUGAAUGUCCAUACCAUGAGAAUAUGUGAUUUUGGCCAAAAGUUCAAAAUCUAACAGUGUUGAGAACCUGAAGUUCCAACAAUUAAAUGGACAACCCUUGAGGUAUUAUUGCAAAUUGUGGUACGCCACAUAUCUCUUUGGCAUAAGAGAAUGAUGAAUUGAGGCUCCCCACAUAUUUUGUUAUAUAUGGGCCGGAAGCUCAUGAACCCAAAUAUAUGAGAUAUUAGCGUGACUUUUACUCAAUUCAUAUUUCAUGUCCAUUUUGAAAAUGGCAAAUAAAUUCUGAGUUUAUGUUUAGCCCAGGCCAAAAGUUCCGGGCUCCCAUACGUUGAAAUAUGAAAUUUGGGAGAGUCGAUGUGGUUAUUUGAACCUAUAAGGCACAAGGUUCCAAACCGUCAUUUUGAAAAGACGUAAAAACCACAGGUGCAAAUUUUAAGAAUGUGCGCAAUUAUUAUAACAGGAAAGGAGCAAGUUGAAACGCAGUUGCUCCAAUCAAGUUUUGCAAAGGCCAUAUCUAUAGGAGGAAAUAUGGCUACAGUUUGCAGGAUCCCAAUAUUAUCUCAGAUCCCCAUAUUAUCUUUUUCUUUCCCAGAUUCCAAAACUUCACGUGGCCUCCAUUAAAUGUUUGUCGACACUUUCGGCGUUUUCAAAGUAUUAUUUUCAUCAAAAGCCGAUCUUGCUUUGCGGAUUUCACGGAACUACUUUUUCAAAAGUAUCCCGAGAAUCUCGUAAUUUUCCUAUGGUUAAUUUGAAAUUCACCGGUUCUACCUAUUCAUUGUAUUUGUGUAUAAAUGUGUUACUAACGAAAUUUUCUUUGCAGAAGACAUCCAGUUUUCUCCAUACCUAGUGAUGCGAUAUCUACUUGUUUUUCUUAUCAGUGAGCACUUAAUAUGCCCGAGAAGCAAGACUAUCUCUGAUCAUCCAUUCAGGAAGCGAGACUAUCCCUGAUCACGUUUCCGCUACAUCAGGAAACUGUGAAGGCGAUCUUAUGCUCUAAUCUCCGGAAGUCCUUCUAGACUAGGAGAUAUGAGAGCUUAUUGUCUGCUCCCACCAGCUUCCUUCCCUGAUUGCUUACCUUCUCUUUUUGCAUUUUCUUCUCUUUCUGUAACUCUCUGAGGAUUAUUUGUUUUUGACAGAGAAAAGAGUUGUGAUUUUACUAUUGCAGGAUAUAACUAGAUCAUCAAGCGCAACAUUUACUGGGCCGAUACAAGCUUGACUGAUACUUGAGAAAAGUUUCUCCCACCUAAGGAUGUAAGCAAUACUUGUGUUAUUUUUUGCUUAUAUACUUAUUUGAUAUUUUAUCUUGAAAGGUAACCAAAUGGGAAGAUAAGUCCGUUCCAAAAGAAUGGCUUGUAUGUAUCCAUGAAUUAUUAAUGCAAAUUUUACAGAUUGCAAGUUGGAUACAUUGAUAAUACACUGCACAAAUUAAUGUACCAGAAGAACAUAAUAUGGGUAUAGCAGUGAUCAAUAUGGGUGCACGCCUGUUGCGUAGCAAAUGAUAUGGAUUGAAGUCCCGAAAAGACAAUCCUUUGACAUGUCAAUAUUGAUAUUAUGCACGCCUAAUGCUAGCAAAUUAUAUGGGUUAAAGUCCCAUAAUAUGGGUUAAAGUCCCAGAAAUUAAUUGACAUGUAUGUAUUAAUCUGUGGCAUGCCUGCAGCAUGACAGAUAUAUGGGUGCACGCAUGUUGCGUAGCAAAUGAUAUGGAUUGAAGUCCCGAAAGGACAAUCCUUUGACAUGUCAAUAUUGAUAUUAUGCACGCCUAAUGCGUAGCAAAUUAUAUGGGUUAAAGUCCCAUAAAUUAAUUGACAUGUAUGUAUUAAUCUGUGGCAUACCUGCAGCAUGACAGAUAUAUGGGUUCUAAAUGUUCAAACUCUCUAAAUAGAGAUUAUCCACGCCCUACUGUAAAAUAACGCUCCAUUGGAGGUUAUAAUCCACAUUCUCACAUAAUAAAAGCCCCAUGAAGUGGCUUGGGUACCCAAAAGUAAAGGAAUGCUUAUAAUUGAUGCAUGCGCAUGCACAUGAGAAUUGUGAGAUUAUGAAUUGAUGAAUGACAAUUUUUGGUUUUGGAGUAGCUACUCAAAUCAUCAAUGGGCUGUGUUGAUUGGAACCACGUUCAAUUAUUAAAUGUCGACAAUAUCAUUGGCCAAAAUGGAACGAGGUAAUUCCAUUAUAGAUGAGAAUGAACGUGAAAGAACAAACCCACAGUACGAACCCCAAAAUAUGUUAAUACUGAAAUUUAUACUUGGGUGUUCGGAAUAAAAGGGAAUAUACCUACUUUGUAUGAUACACUGUUUCUAGCAGAAACAAGGAAUGUUGGGUUUUCUCCAUAUUUACAGAUUCAAUUGUGCCCCCCCCUUAUUACACAAUUACGGAGACCAACAUAUUAUCUUUAAGGGUUAUUAAAUGCACGGAGCAUAUCGCCAGAAGCGAUUCCCUAAAGAUGUAUAAAUAGCUGGGUUAAAGCUAUAUAAUGUGUCAUAAAGCUUAAUCCCUUUUAGACAAAAUCCGUUGAGAGGAUUGAUAUUGCAUAAAGCAAGUCCCUAAAGGACAUGUGCUUGAAGUACAAAAUUUGUACUCAAUAUUAAUAUGCAUAAAUUACCUCAGUGAGUACAUUGAUUAUAAUGUGAUUGCAACACAUUAAAGCUUCUGCAGAAUUCAUGAAAUAUUUGUCUCGAUCGAGCAUUAUACCAACGAGAUUCUUGCUUAUACUAAGAGAGUCUUAUCCGUUGGUCCUUAAAUGUUUUUCCGGAAGUAUACUAGACCAGAUAGAGCUCAGCUCCACACUGUACUCUUUUUCCUUCAUCCAGGUUUUUAUCCCAUUGGGUUUUUCCUGGUAAGGUUUUAACGAGGCAGUGUCGCUCAAGGGUUUAGGAUAUACUAUGAAAAUUUUUAUGGUCGCUUACUGGACAAAAGCUAGUCCUAAAUUUUUCAGGGGGAGAUAUUCAUCAGGGGGAGCAUGGUUUUAAUAAAGACCUUCAUACAUUGUACUCUUUUUCCUUCAUCCAGAUUUUUUUUAUCCCACUGGGUUUUUCCUGGUAAGGUUUUAACGAGGCAGUGUCGCUCAAGAUUGACUCACAGAAGCAGUGUCAACUACGAUAUUCAGAAAGGUGAUCAACAGUAUGACUUAAAGAUAUUUUGCCAAGCAUCAGGGGGAGCGUGCUAUCAAUAAAGAUCUUCAAACACUGUACUCUUUUUCCUUCGUCCAGGUUUUUAUCCCACUGGGUUUUUCCUGGCAAGGUUUUAAAGAGGCAGUGUCGCACGCGCGUCAAUAUACACAGAAUUUUAUGUUACACAUAAUUAUGUACUCUUUUUCCCUUUGACCAGUUUUUGUCCCACUGGGUUUUUACUGGCAAGGUUUUUAACGAGGCAUAUUCCAUACUAUUUGUGGUCUUCAAGGGGGAGUGUUGUAAAGUCAAGGAUGGAUCCCACAAUGGUAGUGCCCACUACCUAAUGGAUUGAAGGACAUCAUGAUGAAAGCACUAUGGGAAGGCAUCAUUACCCACCUCCAAUGGAAGAUGCUUGCCUACCACCCACCUCCAUUAGGAUAUGCUUGCCUAUAAAUAAAGCUUCCUUCUACUUGUAAUAUACAUACAUGAAUGUAGAACAAACAUUCAAUGAGAAGAUCAGAUUUCUAUUCUUUCUCUAUACCCCAAUUCUCUCUACAAUUUCAUCUAGAUUUAUAACAAAUUGUUAUUUUUUGGAUUUUUUAUGGGUUUGUUUAUAGAAAUUCAAUUGUGUAGGGUUUAUUUAUAAUAUUAGUAUUAGAAAUGGGUAUAUCACUAAAUAUCUCAACUUAAAAUGAUCCAUUUUAAUCCCUUAACUGAGAUUUGAUUACCCACUUUGCCUCCCGCCGUCAACUCCAUCCAAAAUUGUAUUAACUUUAAUGAUGUGGUAUGGGUGUUUUUGUAAUUCUGUACAUGUGGAUCAUUACUCACCAAUUAAGUAAGUGACAUGGCAAGUGGAGCCCAUCUCCACAUAAAUUAAAAUAUUUAAAAAUAUUUAAAAAAAAAAAAAUCAUAAAAUCAUAAAAAUUAUCUUUAAAAAAAAAGGGAGACUUUGGAAAAGCCCAAAGGAGAGAGAAAAUUUUUAAAAGAAGCCAAAAUGGACAAAAUUGCCCUUAUUUAUUUUUUGAUUUCCUAAGGAAUCCUUUACAUUUGCAUGUCUUUUGUUUGAAAGUUGAGAGGUUUUUCUGUCUUUUUUUAAAAAGCUUUGGCUUUUUCCAAAAGUGAAAGUUUUUUUAUGGGUAAAACCUAAAUUUACUAAAAAAAAAAGAACUAAAUAUUCUAAUAAUUAAAAACACUACCCAGCAGCUCCAAUCCCUCCCACCCAGAUCCCACCCGAAAAAUCCUUAUUGCCGCCCAAAAAAUCCUUCACGAAUGGCUCCACAAUCACCGUCGGAUUCGCCAUCACCACCACCUUCCUCUUGAACUUGUCAUGGAAUUUGAGGCCGAGAAGGAGAUGAAGAUGAGGAUUUGGAUGACAAGGGCUUCGGAGAAGAGGAAGUAGGCGAUGAUGACGAGGGCGAGGGAGAGGAGGACGAGGUUGCCGGCUUCAAUGGCGACGAGCAUGAAGUAAGGGAAAGAGUUCAGGGAGAUGAGGAGCGUGUCGCCGAGGUCGGCAGCGAUCGACUCGUACGAUGCCGUUUCGCUCGCCCGUUUCGCUCGCGUUGCAGGACGUGAUCGACGGGAGGGUCUUGAUUUAGUUCGUUCUCUUUGAGGAUUUUUGUGCGCUUCUUAAUUUCAAAAGACAAAAACCAAAAUACAUUUUUGUAACCAUUUCAAUUUUUACUGCAACUUAUUUGAAGAAUAUAGAAAUGCAUUAAACAAUAAAUAAACAAACAGUUCCUAAUUGAUUGAUUAACGAGUUGCUUAUCUUGCAUUGUUGAAUUUGGUGAAUACCAAGUUGGAUCUCAGAUUGCAAAGCCGCCGCCACCGUGGCUAUGGAACUAGGAGAAAGUUAGUGAGAUUUUGAGGGGUUGGCUUGAUUCCGAAACAGAAACUGAUGGAGAGAGAGAAUGAUGGAGAGAGUUGGAGAGAAGGAGAGGUCGGGAUGGGGAUGGGGAUGGGGAUGGGGAUGGGGAUGGGACGGCUGGGGAUGAGCUCAGGGAAGGCUGCAAUGGGGUGGGGGUGUACGAUGCUCUGGAUUUGUUUGUUUUUUAAUUUUAUUUUGUUUAUAUGUAGUUUUUAAAUGUGGUUUUUUAUGUUUUUAUUUUUAUUUUUAAUUAUUAUAAUAUUUAAUUAUGUUUUUAUCUAUGUGGAGAUAGGCUCCACUUGCCACGUCACCCACUUAAUUGGUGAGUAAUGAUCCACAUAUACGAAAUUACAAAAACACCACUGCCACGUCAUCAAAGUUAACAGAGUUUUGAAUAGAGUUGACAACAGGGAGAAAUUAUAGAGUGAUACUGUAUCACCACAUCAGCUGGUGAUACUCCCAUUCAAAAUCUGCCACAUGUAUUUUUUUAAAAAAAUUAAAAUAUAUUUUACAACUCAACUUUGGCUUACAACUUUACCCUUCAACUUUAAUGACCCUAACCCUUCCCCACUCCGGCUUCCCUGUGCUAUGCCCCUGCUAUCGACGCUACACAACCCUCUUCCCUUCCCCCUCUCAGCCAACCACCCCGGCCUUCCCUACCCCUCCAAUAUUCCCACCUCCUCUCUCUUCCUCUCAUUUUCGGUUAAUAAAAAAAGCCAAAAAUCUUAAAAAUAUGUGUAUGUUAUAAAAUGAACUGGGAUAUGUGCGAAUAUUGAGCUGCACGUAAAGUAGAUGAGACACAGUAUUUAACGAGGUUCGGCUAUGCCUACGUCCUCGGAGAGCAGCAGCAGUAACUUUUCACUAUAUCAAAUAAUAGGGCUACAACUUUGUGUUUACAAUAUGUAUGACUCACUCAAUUUUCUCUCUUGGAGAAUUUCUCUCUUGCUCUCUUUCUUCUCAACUCACUCACCCUCAUUCUUCCUUCUCUUCCUCUUCUAUAUGUGUAAACUUCUCUUGAUGGAGGUAUCUAUUUAUAUGCCUAAGACAUUGGUUGUUCACCUCACAAUAUAAUUGGUAGACAACAUCAUUAAUAUUCUUCAAUCAACAACAUCAUUAAUAUUCUUCAAUCAACAACAUCAUUAAUAUUCUUCAAUCAACAACAUCAUUAAUAUUCUUCAAUCAACAACAUCAUUAAUAUUCUUCAAUCAAUUGGGUAGUGGUUUGGUUUGGUGGGUGUGUGGUUAGGUUUAGUGGAUGUUAGUUGGCUAUGUGGGCUUCACCUAUUCUUCUUUACUUAUUCUUCUUUACAACACUCCCCCUUGGAGACCACAUGUCCCUAGAUUGGUUGCCUCAUUAAAACCUUGCUUGGAGAAAAACCCAGUGAGGUAGAAAACUGAUGGAAAGAAGAAAAAAAGAGUACAGCAAUCUGUAUAGCAUACUUCUGGAUGCUCCCCCUGAUUAAUAUCUCCCCCUGAUGUCUUCAUGACUAUCUUUUGGAGUGAGAAUCUUUCGGAGUGAGUGGAGGAUAUAGCCAUUAAUAAUUCUCGUAGUUGAGUAAGUAAAUAUAUUUCCAGUGAGCUAUCUCUAUGUAAAUCAUAGAAAUUUUCAGAGUCCGCGUUUCUAACAAAACUUGGGCUAUUUGUAAGUUCACUUGAAAGAAUAUGCCUGUACAUGGUGUUAUGCGGAGAUAGCAUCAAAUAUACCUCACAUCAUCCCAAAAUGAUGGUGAUGGAGUUGAGCCCUAUCUCAAAAAUAUGAUGUCCGGUCCAAUAUACUUCCGGAAAAUCAUUAAAGUGUCCAACAGAUAAUCCUCAUAAAAAUGCUUCAAUACUUUCUUAGUAUAAGCAAGAAUCUCGUUGGCAUAAUGCUCGAUCCUUAAGUCGAGACAAAUAUUUCGUGAAUUCUGCAGAAGCUUUAAUGUGUUGCAAUCACAUUAUAAUCAAUGUACUCACUGAGGUAAUUUAUGCAUAUUAAUAUUGAGUACAAAUUUUGUGCUUCAAGCACAUGUCCUUUAGGGACUUGUUUUAUGCAAUGUCAAUCCUCUCAACGGAUUUUGUUUAAAAGGGAUUAAACUUUAUGACACAUUAUAUAGCUUUAACCCAGCUAUUUAUACAUCUUUAGGGAAUCGCUUCUGGCGAUAUGCUCUGUGCAUUUAAUAACCCUUAAAGAUAAUAUGUUGGUCUCCGUAAUUGUGUAAUAAGGGGGGGCACAAUUGAAUCUGUAAAUAUGGAGAAAACCCAACAUUCCUUGUUUCUGCCAGAAACAGUGUGUCAUACAAAGUAGGUAUAUUCCCUUUUAUUCCGAACACCCAAGUAUAAAUUCAGUAUUAACAAAUUUUGGGGUUCGUAUUGUGGGUUUGUUCUUUCACGUUCAUUCUCAUCUAUAAUGGAAUUACCUCAUUCCAUUUUGGCCAAUAAUAUUGUCGACAUUUAAUAAUUGAACGUGGUUCCAAUCAACACAGCCCAUUGAUGAUUUGAGUAGCUACUCCAAAACUAAAAAUUGUCAUUCAUCAAUUCAUGAUCCCACCAUUCUCAUUUGCAUGCGCAUGCAUCAAUUAUAAGCAUUUCUUUGCUUUUGGAUACCCAAGCCACUUCAUGGGGCUUUUAUUAUGUGAGAAUGUGGAUUAUAACCUCCAUUGGAGCGUUAUUUAGCAGUAGGGCGUGGAUAAUCUCCAUUUAGGGAGUUGGAACAUUUAGAACCCAUAUAUCUGUCAUGCUGAAGGCAUGCCACAGAUUAAUACAUUCAUGUCAAUUAAUUGCUGGGACCUUAACCCAUAUUAUGGGACUUUAACCCAUAUAAUUUGCUACGCAUUAGGCGUGCACAAUAUCAAUAUUGAUAUGUCAAAGGAUUGUCCUUUCGGGACUUCAAUCCACAUCAUUUGCUACGCAACAGGCGUGCAUCAUAUUGAUCACUGCUAUACCCAUAUUCUGUUCUUAUGGGACUUUAAUCUGUGCAGUGUAUUAUCAAUGUAUCCAACUUGCAAUCUGAAAAAUUUGCAUUAAUAAUUCAUGGAUACAUACAAGCCAUUCUUUUGGAACAGACUUAUCUCCCCAUUUGGUUACCUUUGAAGAUAAAAUAUCAAAUAAGUAUAUAAGCAUAAAAUAACACAAGUAUUGCUUACAUCCUUAGGUGGGAGAAACUUUUCUAAAGUAUCAUUCAAGCUCGUAUCGGCCCAGUAAAUAUAAUGUAGCGCUUGAUGAUCUAGUUAUAUCCUGCAAGAGCAAAAAUCACAACUCUUUUGCCUCUGUUAAAACAAAUAAACCUCAUAGUUAGGAUCACUUCAUGGAUUCAUUCUUCAGAUGUUCAUUCUAAAGAAAUAAAAUCUCUUAUGAACAGAGAGUUAUAAAAAAGAGAAAAAAUCCAAAAAUAAUGUGAUAUUGAUUGCAUGAGAAUGUAAGCAAUCAAGGAAGGAAGCUGGUGGGAGCAGACAACAAGCUCAGCAAUCAAGGAAGGAAGCUGGUGGGAGCAAACGACAAGCUCUCAUUUCUUCUAGUUUAGAAGAACUUCCGGAGAUUAGAGCAUAAGGUUGCCUUCACAGUUCCCUGAUGUGGUGGAAACGUGAUCAGGGAUAGUCUCGCUUCCUGAAUGGAUGAUCAGAGAUAGUCUUGCUUCUCGGGCAUAUUGAGUGCUCACUGAUAAGAAAAAUAAGUAGAUAUCGCAUCACUAGGUAUGGAGUAAACUGGAUGUCUUCUGCAAAGAAAAUUUCGUUAGUAACACAUUUAUACACAAAUACAAUGAAUAGGUAGAACCGGUGAAUUUCAAAUUAACCAUAGGAAAAUUGCGAGAUUCUAGGGAUACUUUUGAAAAAGUAGCUCCGUGAAAUCCGUAAAGCAAGAUCGGCUUUUAAAGAAAAUAAUACUUUGAAAACGCCGAAAGUGCCGACAAACAUUAAUGGAGGCCACGUGAAGUUUUGGAAUCUGGGAAAGAAAAAGAUAAUAUGGGGAUCUGAGAUAAUAUUGGGAUCCUGCAAACUGUUGCCAUAUUUCCUCCUAUAGAUAUGGCCUUUGCAAAACUUGAUUGGAGCAACUGCGUUUCAACUUGCUCCUUUCCUGUUAUAAUAAUUGCGCACAUUCUUAAAAUUUGCACCUGUGGUUUUUUUUUACGUCUUUUCAAAAUGACGGUUUGGAACCUUGUGCCUUAUAGGUUCAAAUAACCACAUCGACUCUCCCAAAUUUCAUAUUUCAACGUAUGGGAGCCCGGAACUUUUGGCCUGGGAUAAACACAAAACUUAGAAUUUAUUUGCCCUUUUCAAAAUGGACAUGAAAUAUGAAUUGAGUAAAAGCCACGCUAAUAUCUCAUAUAUUUGAAUCCAUGUGCUUCCGGCCCAGAUAUAACAAAAUAUGUGGGAAGCCUCAAUUCAUCGUUUUCUUAUGCCAAAGAAAUAUGUGGUGUACCACAAUUUGCAAUAAUACCUCAAGGAUUGUCCAUUUAACUGUUGGAACUUUAGGUUCUCAACACUGUUAGAUUUUGAACUUCAGGCCAAAAUCACAUAUUCUCAUGGUAUGGACAUUCAAUCCCCUUAGAUUUUGAACUUCGGGCCAAAAUCACAUAUUCUCAUGGUAAGGACAUUUUUACAAUUUUCUGUAUAUAUUUAUGGACUUCAAGUCCUUACAUAAUUGUCCAUAUUUUGAGGAACUUAUGGCAUCUCAUUUAAUUGCUCAUCCAUGAGUUUAAGGAACUGCAGGUUCCCUUUUGAAUGGUGAUAGUUUACCCAAAAUGGUAAAUAUUUAUGCAUACAUCACUAUUCAUGUAUACGGCACUAUUCAUGUGUACAGUACAUUUGCCAGUACAGUUAUCGUCCAUGUGUACGGCAUUAUGAACCAAUACGGUACUGUUACAUCAUUAAGGAACCCCAGGUCCUUAUUUACAUGUCAGGGAUCAAGGACCCUCAAGUCCAAUCACAUGUUUACAAAAAUAGUACCGGAGAGACUGCCAGCUCUCAUAUUAAUAUCAUCAUCAAGGAUCUUCAAGUCCUGAUGUAAUUGUAUGGUGAGGAUCAAGGAACUUCUGGUCCUGAUCUGCAUACUGUAAAAACUCAUCAUACAACACAUUUAAUCCAUAUAAUAAAUUGCUGGUAAAUAAAUUACUGGUAUGGACGAUAAACCCGCACCAUACAUUUAAAUAAAAGUAAAGACGUGGACGAUAAACCCGCACCACCCUUUUAAAUAAAUGUAAAUGUGCGGUAAAUUAAUUUCAUAAAUUAAAUUGCUUGCUGUAUGGACGUUAAUCCCGCACCAUACCUUAAAUAAAAUUAAAUGUGCGGUAAAUUAAAUUCAUAAAGUAAACGUGCGUGUAUGGGCACUAAUUCUGCUCCAUACUUUUAAAUGAAAGUAAAUGCGUGGAUGAUAAACCCGCACCACCCUUUAAAUAAAUGUAACUGUGCGGUAAAUUAAAUUCAUAAAUUAAAUUUCUUGCUGUAUGGACGUUAAUCCCGCACCAUACUUUAAAUUAAAUUAAAUGUGCGGUAAAGUAAAUUGUGCUUGUAUGGGCACUAAUUCUGCUCCAUACAUUUAAAUAAAAGUAAAGGCGUGGACGAUAAACCCGCACCACCCUUUUAAAUAAAUACUGUUGUAUGGGUAAUAAACCUACACCAUACAGUAAAUAUAAUAUAUUAUAUUACUUUAAGUAAAAGUAAAUUUGCGGUAAAGUAAAGGUAAUUAUUGGUGGGUUCUUAUCAACACCACGAUCAAAUAACAUAGUAGAUAAUAUUAUUAUCGUUUGUGGAAGGCAUCAUGCUUGUCUCUCAAAUCAAAUGCUUUCCACCUGUAAUCUGCACACAGUUGGUUUGCUCGUAUAUCUCUCUUGCAGACCACAGCUCCUCCACUACUUUUCUUCCUUACAUCAACAUAAGGGUUAGUAGUAUAGAUAAUAGUGCAACACAAAAAUUAUACCUGAGAGCUUCUCGUGCUGAUAACGUGUUGUAAAAUAACUGAGAUAUGUGCGAAUAUUGAGCUGCAUGUAAAGUAGAUGAGACACAGUAUUUAACGAGGUUCGGCUAUGCCUACGUCCUCGGAGAGCAGCAGCAGUAACUUUUCACUAUAUGAAAUAAUAGGGCUACAACUUUGUGUUUACAAUAUGUAUGACUCACUCAAUUUUCUCUCUUGGAGAAUUUCUCUCUUGCUCUCUUUCUUCUCAACUCACUCACCCUCAUUCUUCCUUCUCUUCCUCUUCUAUAUGUGUAAACUUCUCUUGAUGGAGGUAUCUAUUUAUAGGCCUAAGACAUUGAUUGUUCACCUCACAAUAUAAUUGGUAGACAACAUCAUUAAUAUUCUUCAAUCAACAACAUCAUUAAUAUUCUUCAAUCAACAACAUCAUUAAUAUUCUUCAAUCAACAACAUCAUUAAUAUUCUUCAAUCAAUUGAGUAGUGGUUUGGUUUGGUGGGUGUGUGGUUAGGUUUAGUGGAUGUUAGUUGGCUAUGUGGGCUUCACCUAUUCUUCUUUACUUAUUCUUCUUUACAACAGUGCAAACCCAUUAAACAUGAAACCAUAAAUCUUAUAUAAAUAAAAACCACUAGUGAAAGAAGGGAAGAUUGACGUUAUUGGCAACCAAGAAUUAAUUGUGUUAUAGAGCAAGUCAUUGGGGCGGGGCUUGAUGAAGGAAAUCCGCCAAAAAUCUCCCCAUUCUACAUCAGAUUCUUCUUCUUCCUCACCAUCUUCAUUAUCAGCUUUCAUUCAAGGUCUUUUUAAACGAGUAAGAAGUGAAAUUUUCAGAGAUUACCCAUCUUCUUUAGCUUGAAGGGUAUCUCCAAAGAUAAAAUGGUAGAGUUUGACUAGAUUUUGUUUAUGGGUUUUGAGUCAUUUGACAAUAGAAGUUCUCUAGAUUCAUUAACUAUGAAGACAGUGAAGGCUGGGGUAGGUGGUGAGAGAGAAGGGAAGACGUGUGGUGUUGCAGAUAGCAAGCAUAGCGUAGGGAAGAAGACGGUGGAUAGGGAAGACGGUGGGGAGGGGUUUGGGUGAUUAAAGUUGAAGGGUAAAGUUGGAAGUCAAAGUCCAGUUGUAAAAUAUAUUUUAUUUAUUUUUAAAAAAAUACGCGUGGCAGAUUUUGAGUGGGAGUAUCACCAGCUGACGUGGUGAUACAGUAUCACUCUAUAAUUUCUCGACAACAGGGGGUAAAAUGGAUCACCAACCCCAGGUUAAGAAAUGAAAGUGAGUCUUUUUAAGUUUUAGGGGGCAUUAAUGUAAUUAAGCCUAAUCUUUAUCCCUAUUUAUAUCCCCAUCUGUAUACCCCAAAGCCAGGAAGAAAAAAAUAUAUAUAUCUAUUUUGCUCUAGUGGAAGUGAUAACAAAUAUCAAGCUCCCAGCAAUAGAACCAAAUUAGGGGUGUGAGACAAUCUUCUAUGAUACAGUCACUAAUGGAUCCCAUUCAACUAAUUAAACGUUGACAUGUAUAUUAAUAAGUAAAAAAUUAUUUUUAAAUCUCAAUUCGGUACAAAUUUCUAAUGAUUUGAGGUAGAAUAGAAUCCGUUUCUUUAAUAGGGAAUAAAAUUAUUUUGUUAAUUAUUUUAUUCAUAUCCAAUAAUAUUGAAAAUAUUAUUAUGCAUGUCACAAUGAUCAUGAUAAUAAAAUAAUGGGUAAUUUUAUUGGCACUCCAUUAUUUGCUCUUUACACUUCAUACUAAUUUUAAACAUGAAUAACCUAUUUUACCUUUAUACAUAAUACCGUUAAGGACAAAAAAAUUUAAAAUUAAAAUUAAAAUGGCUCACUACACUCCACAUAUAUAUUCCUGCAACCCUAGUUUAACUUUUUUCUCAAACUAUCAUGUUCCUAAACCCUAAACCCUAGAUUUAUACGUUUAUAUUGGUGAAAAAAUAUCUUGUAUUUAUUCAUGAAGGGUGAGAUUGAAGUUAGAGAGGCUUUGAAUGAGGUACGAGUUUAUUUUUUGGCGUUUUGCAAGUUUAAUAUUUCAUAAUGGUCGCUGGUUGCGUCCAGCACUUCAGUCCCGAAUGUGAUAGGUAAAUUCGGUGGAUGCCACCGAAAUGUUGCACAUUUUUCGAUUGGGUUUGACCGGUCAUGAACUUAAUAUUCGGUGGAGAUCCACUGUAACAUGGAACGUAGUUCAGUGGUUCACUACCAAACGUUUACCAGCGUUUCAGUGGCAUCGAACCAAAAUUUAUUUAUUUUUCAGUAAUUUAUUGCCGGCCACAAAUUUAAUGCAAGCUAUUUUGAUCUUACUCCCAUUGAAGGAACAAAAACAAGGUGACGCCCCUAUUGAAGGCAACAAUGUUGGAACAGAAUGUGUAAUGGACUAUAGUGAUCAAUUCACAACUUAUUCGGUAAUUAUUUGUCUGAAAUCCCUUUUAGUAUCAUUAAUGUGGCAUUAAUGUUUCAAAGUUUAUCUUUAAAUAAUAUAAGUUUUAUGUGUAAAUAUUCAAUGGUAGAUGUGCAUGACUUAGAUGGGCUCGUGCACAAGGAAAAAUGAAUAAUAUUGUCAUUGUAAUUAAAAGGUCUAAUUAUGGAGGUGUGGGAAAGAGGAGACCUCGUGUAAUACUUGCUUGUGAGAGGUAAAUUCAGUGUAAUUGUGUGCGAGUCAGAAAGGUAAAUUCAGUUUACUUAUUGCAUGUACAUAUAUGGUUUACAUAGUUAACAUUGUAAUUUUUUUGCAAACAGGUUAGAGACAGAUGGGGUGGAUGCUUUAUUAUGUGGUUGUGCCAUUCGUCGAACCCACCAAUUACCAUGUGCACAUGAAAUUGCGGAGUAUAGAGAUCGUGGUAUACCAAUACCAUUUGAUGCCUUGCAUUCACAUUGGAGGAAAUUAGAUCUCAUCAAUUAGGAAACAGUAGUCAUGGCACAACUUCACCAGGAAGGUCACAAUUACAAAGAUUCAAUAUGUGGUAUGAACAACAAUAUGAUUAAAAGAAGAGGCAAGUACUGGUAGAGCUAAUGAACCCUGGUUCUACUGCGCUUACUGAACCAAAAGAAAAGUUGAAGACCAAAGGGAGACCGCGAAAAGUCGACACUUCUACUCGUCAUUUGCCAUAUGCAUUUGACAUUGCUGAGGCCUCCAUUGCUCCACCUAAAAAUAAACCAAAGCAAAGCCUCACUGCCUCGCUAAAAAUAAAACCGAAGAAAAGUACCACUGCAGUGCCAAAAGAAAAGAAACCUGGUUGCUUCUAAUUCCAUGUUGUCUAAUCCAAAAAACAUUAAGGUAAGUACUACAAAUGUUGUAUUUUACAAUGUGUUAUUACCAUAUAACUAACAUAUUGUUUUAUUUUCAGCUCUAUAAGCCUCACUAAAACCAUUCAGCGUUCGAUACAUAUAUGCAUAUAGAUAAAUUUCUUGAGGGUAUUAGGAAAUGUAUUACUCACCAGAUUGAAGUUCUUUCGAAUGGUAACUGUGGAUAUAGAACCAUAGCUAUGGCAAUGAGAUUUGGUCAUAAUAAAUGGCAUAGAGUAUGCAAGGAUUUGUUGUAGCAACUACAUGAUAUGUCUUAUGUUUUUAAGAAAGCAUUCCGAUAAGAACACCUAAUAAGUUGCUCUAAUCCAGACCUCUGAAUGUACCUUUUGAAUAUACUAUUAUUUGGAUUACCCCACCAAUUCCACUCACGAAGAGUAGAUGUCUUCGAUAUGCACCUAAGGGGCUCACGUUCCUAGUUAAAAAUAAAAAUACAAAUUAAGGUUAAUUAUUAUGAACUAGACUUAUAUUUUACCUUUUAUUGUCAUAGCAAAAUGAAUUACUUGGUUAUUCCAAAUUGCAGCUGCUAUGUGAGUUUUAAAACUCGUAAGUAAAGAUGGAUCAAUGGGACCUACUCGAGAUAGCGAAGUAGGCUCGGCAUGUACCUCAACAUUACUAUCCUGAGUAGUAGCUACAUCUUCAACCUCUGCGUCAACAUUACUAUCAUGAGCAGGAGCUACAUCUUCAACCCCUGUAGUAUCCUCAAAGUGAUCUUGGGGAGUCGCUCUCUGUCUCCUCAUUGAGGCCGUGGAACGCCGUCUAUUAGGUCGGGAUAAUGAAGCCUCAGUAAUACCUCUGUGAGUUCUCUUCAUAUAUAAAAACAAACAAUAUUAAGUACACACUCAGUAAUGUAUUCGGUAGAUGAUCACUGAAAAACGAAAAUAAAUUCGAUGGAACGUCACUGAAAAAAUAACACAUAUUCGGUGGAGUACCACUGAAAAACACAUUUGGUGGGAAUCUCCUGAAACAUAGAAACAAAUUUGAUGGACUGCCACCGAAACAAGGUAACAAUUUUGGUGGUAACCUACCGAAAGUAAAAUCAAUUUUAGUACAACUCAGGUUCAAAUUCAGUGGACUGCCACUGAAGCAAUGUAACCAUUUUGGUGGUAAUCUACCGAAACUAAAAUCCAAUUUCAUAAAACCAGGGUCGAACCAUACACCCUCAACGUUGAAAUCAAAAAUCAAAAUCAGACUUUGGCUUUUCAAAAGUGAAAUCAAACGUAGGCUUAAUCAACACUUAUAAACAUAAAUAUUGAAAUCAAACUGUGGCUCUUCAAAGGAUUUGUGAAAACUUGAAGAUAUGGGUCCGGGUUUGCAGAGAUAGGAUGUGCGAUUGGGUUUGGUGGUUUGCAGAGAUGGGUUCGGUGGUGAGCAGAGAUGGGUGUGAUGGCUCUGUUUCAGAGAUGGGUUCAGGUUUGCAGAGAUGGGUUAUGCGAUGGGGGUCGGUGGUUUGCAGAGAUGGGGGUUUGGUGGUAUGGAAAAGGGAUGGGGUGUGUGGUGGAGGUUGUUGCAAAUCUGAUGGGGUGUGCAAUGGGGUGUGUCUACAAGAGGAGAGAAUUUUUGAUGGGAUGGGGCUUGAUAUCAAAUGGGGUGGGGUUUAAUAUCAGAGUUUCGUCGGCAAUCUCGGCUGGUUUGAACCGAUUUGUCACCGUCGUAGCGCUGCCGCCUCCCCCGCCCAAACCCGAUGAAACAGGUGAGGUUCCUUCCUCUUUUUACUUGCUCUAGCUGUCUAUGAGAUAUGAUUGAAUCAAUUUUGCAUCUAGGAAAUCGAUUUUGAAACCUAGGUUUUGGCCGGAUUUCAAAGUGAAAUUCCAGUAGGUUGCUGUCCGAAUUGGACCUCCCCGUAGUUGAAUAAAGUGAUCCUCACCUCAAGUAGUAGCUAAGGUAGGAAAGGUGAAUUGCGGUGUGGAGUUUUUCCGUUGCCAGAAAUUACUCUAUACACCUACUCGCUACCGGCGCGUGUGAUGGCACGUGGGCAAGGAUGGUGAAGCCACAUUUUGUUCUGUUGUAAUCCUCACGUUGUCACGAGUGUGUAGGCGUUCUCGGAUUUCAAUUCAGAUGUCGUCUGGCUAUCGAACGGAUUUGGCAUAUUGUGCGUUAUCCGGGUUCGAUAUGUUCGGACCGUUGGAUCGCUUCCAAAGUUUUAUGUGUUAAUCUAGGCACUCCUAGGAUCGUGUAGGAAUUCACGGAUUAUGAAUCAGAGUGCCUGGCAUGUCGGAUGGUGACCAUGCAAAUACGUCUUUGUUGUUCUGGAGGAAUGUUGCAAGCUCUACUUUUUCCUCCUGGAUUAGGCGCGAGCCAAUCUGCGCUUUUCUCUCUGGCUUGUCAAGAUCAAGGGGUACUAGCUCGACGUCUUCCUCGGGCUUCCAUCCUUCUUCAGGAGAGACCUCCGGACGGAUUCCCUCCACUUGGUUCUGACUCUUUGAUUGCUAUUAAAGAGUAGUUAUUCCAUUUCCUUCCUGGUCUGCUCUGCCAUUAGGAAUGAGAUCUCCUUUCUUCUUUGCUUGUUCUACUCCCUUUAGAUCUGCCUGAUUCAUAGGGAGGAAUUGUGUUUGCUUGCCUUUCUUAGCCCUUGAGCUGAGCAUUUCCUCGCUAUUGCCUGAUUGCUGUUGAUCUGGUCGAUAUCGCCCCCAAGGAUUGGGUAGCAGAUCUUUUGGUGUGUGGUAGAGGUGAUGGCGUUGAUUUUUCCGAUCCAUGGUCUGCCUAGAAUGCCAUUGUAGGGUGAGACUUCAUCAAUGACCAUGAAUGUUUGCGAGUUGAUUACAGGUGGGGAGUAAACAUUGAGAUCUGUUGUGCCCACGGUAACCGUUGUUGUGCCAUUGAAGCCAGUCAGCGACCUGGCUGAUUUAUUGAUCUUUGUCUCUAAGCCUAUCUGUUGGAUGACUGCUAAUUGUAGGAUGUUGGCUGCACUGCCCUCAUCUGCAUGGAUUCGGUCGACCAUGGCCUGAGCGAUUUGAAUGCUGAUGACAAGGGCGUCGUUGUGUGUAGAUCAAGGUCAAUUAAGUCUUUCUUUUAGAAUCCGAGCACGGGAUCGUCUUCUGCUAAUGAGAGGCUAGUUGAGACUUGGAAGAUCAUAGUAGCCUGUUUGAUCUUCCUCUUCUUUUCUUUAUUGGUCAAUCCAGACUCCUCGGAGUCGGCUAGAAUUGUGUUAAUCCUUAUGACCUUCUGGGGUGGCUCCUUGGCGGUAUCGCAGUCCUCAAUCUGCUGGAUGGCUUGCUUCGCAAUGAACUCCGUACAGUGACUUUCUCUCACGAGUUCUUUGAGAUACGCUUUCCAAGCAAAGCAAUUAUUCGUAUUGUGCCCAUGUGCCGCAUGAAAGGCACAAUAUUUUCUGGUAUCCCUCUUGUCCGGAUCUCCUUUCAAGGGUGGCGGUCUUUUUACCCAAGGUUAUCCUUCACUUGGGCUAAAAUUUGAUGUAUGAGGAUGGAGAACUUGGUGUAGUUCUCUUUCGAUGUGGCAUCUCUUUGUAGGUGUGACCUGCGUUUGUCUUUGUCCAUGUUGCCAAGCCUGUCGCCUCUUUGUUUUGCUCGCUUGGUCGGCUGAUCUUCCUGCUCAGUGGACUUCUUCGUGGCGAUUCGAUCGUCAUCCCAGAGUGUGUAGCGUUCUGCGGUAGCGAAGACCUCUGCCAGAUUCUAGCUAGGAAUGAUAGUCAGCUCGCAGUAUAAGUCAUGUUCUGUUGGAAGACCUUUCUUGAAUGCAAAGGAUGCGAUUUGGUCAUCGCACCCUAUAAUGUUAGCCUUUUCUGCUUUGAACCUCUUGCUGUAAUCUUGAAUGGAUUUAUCGGGCUUCUUGCAUAGGUUGAACAGAUGGUCAGAGUUCUUCUUGAUCGUCUGAUAAGAAGUGUAUUUUUUAGUGAAGACGUAAGUAAGCUCCUUGAAACUGUUGAUUGACCCGGAUGACAGGGUAUGUAACCAAUCCUGAGCUGCUCCUUGUAAAGUCAUUGCAAACAACUUGCACAUUAGCGCGUCUUCGGCUUCGUUGAGGAUCAUAAGGCUCUUGAAAUGCUUCAGAUGGCUUUCGGGGUCGGAAUCGCCUUUGAAGCAUGUGAAAGAGGGCGUUGAGAAUCGUUUCGGGGAAGCAGCCUGCUCGAUUUUGGCGGUAAAAGGUGAGGAGUUUGCUCGGUCUACCUCAAUGCAUAGUGCAUCUUCGAAAUUUCAGCCAAUCUUUAAGUCUCGAAGUCGAUUAUUCACAUGCUUUUCAACGUCUUCUGCACACAUGGCUCGUCAGUCACGUUGAUGACCUUCGCGAUUUAGACUAUGCUGAUUCACUUCCUCAUUGGUUUGCGAGGGUCGACCUUCUUGGUUGCACUGCCUAGGCGGCGUGUUGGUGGACUGCACUUGCGAGGGAUUUUCUGUAACUUGGCGACGAGAGUUGGUUCUUCGAGAGCGAGUAGCGGAGCGCCUUUCUUCACGGUCCUCAUUAUGAUGAUUGUCGAGUUGACCUCCCUGGGGGCCUAGCCUUUCGUGAAUAUUUCUGUGAGCGGGCAGCGGAGCGCCUUUUUUCCCAAUCCUCGUCUCGAUGGCCGUCAAGUUGACCUCCUUAGAAGCCUAGCCUUUCAUGAACGUCUUCGUGCGGGCCUAGGCUAGCGUGGAUGUCAGGUCUUAGGCCUAGCCUCUCGCGCACAUUAGUCCUUAAAUUCAAUCUAGACGGGAGACUUCGUCUGGUCUGAGUGUGGCUUGCGGAUGCUUGCGACAUGUCGGCGAGCUGAUCGUGUUGUUGUGCAUUUUCUUGUCUGCUUACUCUUGCUCGACCUGCUUGAUUCCCGCUGAACUGCCUAUUGGCGCGUUCAUUCAUCCUUCUCUCUUCGCCCUGUUGUCCAAGGCCAAGGUUUUGAGCCAAGUUUAUUUGGUUGAGGAGCUGUCUCAUCAAAUUGUUUUGGUCUUCCAUUCUCUGAGUUAGCUGGUCAACUCUCAGAUUAAGGUCUACUUGACUUCGUGGAUCGGGAGGAUAGAAAUGUGUGGAGUCCAAUUGCACACGGGCUAGGGUUUCAUUGGAUGUGUACGUGGGAGUGUGCUUCGAGCAUGGAGGCAAUAGAGGGAAUGCUUGAAGUUGCUCCAAGAUUGGGCCAAAGUCAGUGAUGAUAGUGAGCCCACCUUGAUGCGAGGUUCCACCAUGCUCAAUGGCGGUGCUAUGAAGGUGGCUAGAUCCGACCACGGGGCCUUGAGAUGGUACGAAGGCAACAAAGGCCGUUGCGGUGGUCCUCGUUGCGAGUCCGGCAUGUGGCACAGUGGUUCCAGUCACACGGAGUGGCUGCUGAGGGUUCAUGGUGGCGAGAGGUGGUGGAGCCGCCAUGUCGAUCGUGGGAUCGUGGGAGGAGUAGCUUUGGGCCGUCACUGCUCCUCGUGUGCUUGCUUCCAACCAUGGUUGUUUGGAAGGCUUCGGUGGAUUGGAAAAUAGGAGGAACAGAUUCCUUGAGUACGCAUUUUCCAAGCGCAUGUUUGUGCAAAUGUUUGUGCAAAUAAUCUCGUGGGAGAAUAUUCGCUUCUAGAUCCCUCAACCUUCGACCUUCCUUCUCUCUCUUUCUCGUUUCAUGUAAAAAAAGAUUAGAGUAAAUAGACCACACUCGGGGGGUGUUGGCCAAAGGCCCUCCGAUGCCUAAGUUAGUUUGAGUGUUUGUGGGAAAACAAUAGCUAAGCAAAGGGUACGGAGUUGUAUAUAUGGUGUGAACCGGGCGGCCAGAGCCGUUUGGAGAAAAUAUGGAGAGUGGAGAGGAAAAGAGAGCUUCAGGUAUUUUUCUUGAGUAUUAGGAGUAGGUUUAGACGUGGGUUUUUUUGAAGUACCUUGAAUGAUGAAUGAAGUCGUCUAUUUAUAAGAGCCUCUGGGCUAAGGUUUCGUAGAGAAUAUGCUGAAUUUAUUCUCUACCCAAGUUCGUAAGGAUUGAGUCGGACUUGAUAAUAUAUGAAUUAAUGAUAUUAUUUCUUUUCAAGAAGAUAAUAUCUGAAUUAAAUGAUAUUAUCUUCUCUUUAUUAUGAUAAAUCUGAAUUAAUGAUAUUAUCUUAUUAAAUAAAGAUAAUAUCAUAUUAAUUAAGAUAUUUAUUCUAAUUAAUUAAUUAGCCAGAUAAACUGGUUUAAUUAAUUAAUUUAAGAGAUAAUCUUCUUUUCCACGUGGCGUGCUGUGAUUGGAGACGAAAAUAUUUUCUCCCACAAGUGUUAUGCAGGUUGAAUUUUGUUGGGAUUGUUCAAUUUACAGGGGAGACUCUGUCAAAUUUUGAUAGAAAGUCUCACUUUCUAGUAAGUGAGCCCGGCAUCGGGGUGAUGUCAGUAAAUAGACGAGAUUCGUCCCGAUUUUCGAGGAAUUUCGGGGCGGGUCCUGUCAUUGGAAGUCGAGUCAUGCUUACAACUCGAAGAGAAGACAUAGAAUCCUUUUCUUUUGGAGUUCAAAGCCAUGUUCACAAGAUUCAACCGUUGGAAGGGGGUGAUGCAUGGGAGCUUUUCAGCAUGAAAGCAUUCUCAAGUGAUCUGAAAAAAUCUUGUUCACCUGAACUUCUGCCUUCAGCUCGGGAACUUGUGGAAAAGUGUGAAGGCCUACCACUCGCGAUCGUAGCCUUAAGUGGUCUCAUGUCUUCUAAGAAGUCACUUAAAGAGUGGAGCAUAGUCUACAACAGCUUAAAUUGGCAUCUAACAAACAAUUCUUUGUUACAACCUAUGAAGAUGCACAUCUUGUUGUUUAGUUUUAAUGAUUUUCCAUACCGAUUGAGGCAAUGCUUUCUGUAUUGUUCCCUUUUUCCAGAAGGUCAUGUGAUCAUAAUGUCAAACAAAGUAGGGUAAAUAUUCAGUUAUACUAAGAUACGCUCAUAUUAUUAUUCUUCCUCAAUAUGGAGGUAUUUAUACAAGUACAAAGAUGUGUUAACCCUAAAUAAAAUAUGAAAUAUAUCUAAAUUAUAAUAGGAAGUAAAUCUCUAUUACAAUAGGACUAAAUAAUAAUUGGUAAGUAACCAAAAUCCUAACUAAGUAAGGACUAGCCAACACUUCCCCUCAAGUUGGGCAAACAUAUUUCGCACACCCAACUUGACAAGCGAGUCAUAGAACACCAUACUUGAGAAGCAACAAUUGUAGACAAGGUCUUUUCAUCAACCACAAGAGCAAACCCUAAAAAAUUAGGGCACAUAGCAGAACAUAGAAACCCUGUGAGCACGGCAAUAGGUAAGGCAAAACACAGAAACCUUGUAAGCACAGCAAUAGAUAAGGCAGAACACAUAAACCCUGUGAGCACGACAGUAGAUAAGGCAGAAUACAGAAAUUCUGUGAGCACGGCAAUAGGUAAGGCAGAACACAGAAACCCUAUGAGCACGGUAGCAGAUAAGGCAGAACACAGAAACCCUGUGAGCACGGCAGUAGAUAAGGCAGAACACAGAAGCCCUGUGAGCACGACAAUAGAUAAGGCAGAACACAGAAGCCCUGUGAGCACGGUAGUAGAUAAGGCAGAACACGGGCAAGGCCACAGCAACAACAACGACAAUGACCACAUCAACGGAAAACGAAGCAAGCAAUGGCAACAUCAACGGUGACAACAUCGACCACAAAAAAAAACACACCAGCAAAGGCAUGAGCAACAAUACUGGCACCAUAACAGGCAGAAGCAACAAUACUGGUAACUAACAACAGUAGUACAAGGCACUGGCACCAGCAAUAGCAAUAAGGCAGAGACAUAACAGGCAUCAUCAACAAUAAUCAACACUAUUCCCAGCAAGAGUCAUAAUAGGCAAGAGCAAUAACAUUGUCCCUAACAAGAGACAUAAUAGAGAUGAGCAACGGUACUGGCACCAGCAAAGAACAUUGUAGUUAGUAACAAUAACAAUGACAAAUACUUCCAUUAUUACACAGACAACUUAUCUUCACUCCCCCUCUUCCCCUGAAGAGAAUGGGCCGUUGGAACCAUAAGAAAAGUGGCACUUAAGAAACAGAAGCUGACUGACGCUCAGAUGUAGAAGAAUCAGCCAUGGCAAAUAGGUAGCUGAAUUGCAGCGGAAUAGAUGAGCAGCGGUGUCACUCCCCCUCAAAUCCGACGAUGUAUGAGAGUUGAGAUUUGGAGAAAGCAACACCAAAAAAUAAAGUUACAGCACCCAAAUAAAGUUGCAUCUAUUCCCCAUCAAAUCCGACACUGGUAAAGGGUCGAGAUUUGAAAGAAGAGAAAUUGAAAUAAUAGUAAAGAUACUCAAACAUGCCAGUCUCGUGGCAGAAACAAAUGCAAGAGGGGAAGGUGGUAGCGUACGGUUGUCCCAUGAAGAAAAAACUUCAAAAAAGGAGAAUAGUAAGGGAGGAAACCCAGCAAAUCAUGAACAGAGACAAAGACAAAGAUAAGGUGCUCAAACUGAGAAGCGGAAAGGCAACUCAAGAGAGCAGUCGAAGAAGACAAAGAUCGGCAGAACAGUCAAAGGAAAGGCUCGAUGAGCAGUGACGAGGCUCGCGGAGGAAAACAAUGGCUUGGUGAGUGGUGACGAGGCUCAUGGAGUAAAGAGACUUGUUAUGAAGUUUCAAAGAUAAAAAAGCUGAGACAUGAAGAAAGACAAUCUGGCACAUAAAGAUGAAAAAAUAAAAAUUGUGGAACAAUAGCAAAGAAGCAUGUGAAGGCUAAGUGCGGUGAAAACACAUAUGAGAGGAUGAACAAAAUAUGGGGACUAUACAACAUGAAGACCCAUGAUGGGUUAGGAAUGAGAAGUGCCAACGACUCUCAAUUUGGCAGAGGUUAUCACAGGUUAGGAACCUGGCUCUGAUACCAUGUCAAACAAAGUAGGGUACAUAUUCAGUUAUGCUAAGAUACGCUCAUAUUAUUAUUCUUCUCCAAUAUGGAGGUAUUUAUACAAGUACAAAGAUGAGUUAACCCUAAAUAAAAUAUGAAAUAUAUCUAAAUUAUAAUAGGAAGUAAAUCUCUAUUACAAUAGGACUAAAUAAUAAUUGGUAAGUAACCAAAAUCCUAAGUAAGUAAGGACUCGCCAACACAUAAAUAAUAGGCUUAUCGCAUUGUGGAUCGCUGAAGGAUUUGUUGAACAUGUCGAAGGGCUCACGCCAGAAGAAGUUGCAAAUAGCUAUCUUAUGGAACUCAUUUUUCAUAACAUGCUACAAGAAAGGUUUCGAGGAUCCCUCCCAGCAUGUAAGAAGAAAAGUUUUGCGGGAGAUUGCUCUGUCUAUAGCAAAAGAAGAAAAGUUUUGCGUUGUACAUGAUGGGGGUGAAACAGUAGAAGAAACUGGGGCACUCCGUUUGUCAAUUCAAACAACUAAUGGAGAAAUUGGAACAUCACGCUGACAAAAAUAGAGGCACUUCCAAGAGGGAUUUCCAAGUUGCUAAACUUACGCCAUCUACUUGUGCAGGGGUUAAUUUCCAGAAAGGCAAUUGGGGUAAGAAUACCAUCAAGUAUUAGUAAGAUGAAGAAAUUGCAAACUUUGGCAUAUAUUGAAUCAGAAGGAAACAUUAUUAGACUUAUUGGAAAUAUGACCCAGCUUACGUUUCUUGGCAUUUUAAAUGUGAAAGAAAUAGACGAGGAGAACCUAUGUCCUUUCCCGCUUGUUUUUAUCUGUAGCUGAUGGAGAGGAAUUUCUUCGAGUUGACGCAUUGCCUACACCGCCUCCCUACCUUGAUAGAUUUGAAUUGAUCGGCAAAAUGGAAAAGGUACCACAUUGGUUUUGUUCUCUCCAGUCUCUCACAAAUUUGAAUCUGCACGAGUCCAGACUUGAAGAAGAUUUACUAAGUCAUAUUGAAGCAUUGCCCUCUCUACAUUCUCUUUGCCUCGAUAAUGCCUCGGUUAGGAAAGAGUUAUGUUUCAACAGAGGCUUUGUGAAGCUUCGGCAUUUGUGGUUUUGGGAUCUCGCAUUAUUAAAUAAGAUAACUAUAGAAAAAGGGGCGAUGCCAAAUCUCGAGUUCUUAGGCAUUCGUAGUUGCUUGACAUUAGAAACAUUGCCAUAGGGUAUUGAGAACCUUACUAAACUACAACUACGUAGAUUUCGUAAUGUUUCAGAGAGUCCAUAAAAGAAGGAGGUGUGGAUCAUCCAAGGAUGCUACUCGUCCACGAGAGAUGUAAGAAAUAUACGUAAGUAUCUUUUAUAUCCUUUCAUUGACUUUCCUAAACUUAAUGAUUUGGAAUAUUGCACUUGUGUUCAAGAAAUUGCUCUCGUUCACAUCUCUGUUAAUGGAUGUAAAGCCAUAUACAUUGUUAAUUACAAUAUUGCUUUUGUCUUUUUAUAUAUUUUGCAGAAACAACUACUGGGAUUGAAGAUUUUACCCAUGAGUUUGGGGGUGGGAACUUUGGAACUUGUUCGUCUUGUUGUGACCCCAAGAGUGAUCUAGAUUGGCUUCUUAUUUGCUCUUUUGAAAAUCAAAUAAUACCCAAGUUGAUGUUCAUAAAAUUGCAGUUGAUGUUUUUGUGUGUGUUUUAAUUUGCAUGCAAUAAAAUUCGAGUUUGCAUAUGUCACUUCAGCAAUUGGCAGAUGUAUGUCGAUGAUUAGCUUUUAAGAUUUGGACCAUGGAUUCUUUUAUAUUUGGCGUGUUUGUACUUUCUUCUAUGUUAAUUGUGUUUGUAUUUUCAGGUUUUUUCUUUGGGGUCAGAUUUUGUACUUUCAGAUUGGCUAAAUAAAUAAUACAGAAUCUUAAUUGCUUUUCAUGAGAAGUAUUAUAACACAUGAAUGUCAAUGUAGCGGUAUCUCAAGCCAAUUACGCAUUAUUAUAUAAGGGAAUUAAAACACAUUACAAUGCGUGAUUGAUUUGAAAUACAGCCAUAAUGACAUCCAUGGUGUAGGCAUAUUUUUCAUCACCCUUAUCAAUCCUAUUGAGUAACCUGUUAGAAUCUUCUCCCCAAAGCUGUGUCUUCUGCCGCGGUUGACCUCCCCUCCCCUCUUUCUCCCCCAAUUGUGACAAGGAUGCGCUCAAAUAUUUGAUCUUAUCUAAGGAAUGAAAUGUAGUUAUUAUUAUUAUUUUUAAUCAAAGAAAACUAUAUACAUUUAAAACAUGUUUGACAAAGAAAAUAAAAAGACAUUCGUUUUAGGCAGUAGAAGCUUCCACGUGGAACGUACGUGGGGGGCUGAUAACGGUUUUAACAGACAAAAACACAAACACAAAACAAACACUCUGUUCCCUUCUGAUCUCUCUGCCUCUCAGAGCCAUUGAUGAAGAAUACGAGGUCAUAGUGCUCGGAACGGGCCUCAAAGAACGCAUUCUCAGCUGCCUCCUGACCUCUCAGUGGAUGGUCUCAAGGUAAAGCUUAUGGAACUUUUUUCUUUUUCAAUCACAAUAAAAUUGGCUUUAGCUAGAUCAUUCAUUGAUAAGAAUGUUUAGGCUACUAGCUGAUGUUAAUAUGGUAUUUACCUGAAAUAGGUACUCUGCAUAUGGAUAGGAAUGACUACUAUGGAGGAGAGUCCACCUCUCUUAAUCUCAACCAGAUAUAAUUAUAUACAUGUAUGUUGUUAUUCAGAGAGAGAGGGAGGGAGAGAAAGGCAAAGUGUACAAACUAGAAGAAGUGAUAUCUCUCUAUCCAUCCAAGCCUUGAGUGUCGGUCAUUUAAGCUGCUUAUAUCUUGCUGUCUGGCUCUGGUCUUUUACUAAAUCCGGCUCUUUCCUUUUUGUGUAACUUCAGAAACAGAGAAGAUGAUCUUCUAAGAAUUAAGUAGGAUUUUCAAAACCAAUUUUUCAAUUUGAUCCCCGCGCUACAUAAAAUAUAAAAAAUUAAUACCUCUGCUGCGAUGUUUCUUGUAUUUUUACUUGUAUGUGUAUACGCAUGUCUGUGUACUUCAUCUUCGUAGUUAGAUAGCAGUCAAAAUUUGAUCAAAUUGGUAUAAUGCUUGUUUGUACCAUAACUGACCGAGCAACUAGCUAGGCUAGAUCAUUCGAGUGCCAUGCUUUGAGAGGUCAUCACCUUAGCCAAAGAAGCAUCACCACAAAUCACAACUCUAAGCAAAGCAAGAGGAGUCCCACAUCGGAAAACUACAAGAGAUGGAGACUCCCCCUCACCUAUAAAAGAAGACUGCUCUUUCCUUAGAAGAGGAUCCGAGUCUUGGAUCUAGACCCUUGGGCCUUGGACUCUCUCUUCUGGAUCCAUCUCUGGGCUGGGCUUCUCACUUGUUAUCUUUAUAUUUGGGUCUAAUCCCCUUGUACAAAGGAAAACAAACAUUAUCAUAAUGAGAACACCCUUCUCCGUGGACGUAGCCCAUCAUUCGGGUGAACCACGUAUAUCUUGUCUUCUAUAUGUUUAUCGUUUGCCCAAAUCCUCACACACUUGGUGAAGGUCCUCACCUUCAUCCAUCAUCCAUCACACCUCAUCACUAAGUUGGACUCAAUCUUGGCCUAACCAUUUUGAGCAUCAACAAUGCUCAUCUGAUUUCGUUGACUUAUGACAGGUCAGCUGCCACUUGUAGACAUUGUUUUUACUCUUUGUAGAUCGAUUGAAAUUCUAAGCGAGCAGUUGUUACGGGAAAUCUCAAGAGCCUUGAAUCCUCUGGUUCUUCCAGAGGGAAAAGGCAUAAGGUAAUUCAUUAUUCACGUUCGCAUUGUCACAUUAUGGAUUUAGUUUUGAUGUGAGAAUCUUACCUUGGAUUUCUGGCAGACCACCUAUGUAAUUCAGCACAACCUACUACUGUCUAGUUUUCUACAAGCACAAGCCCUUCAGAUGAAAUCAAAUUUUUCAUAUGAAUUGACCUUUAGGGUAAGUUUCAAUGUGACCGCUGUAGGUUAGUCGGUUGAGCUUUGAUUUUGUUUACUUCUCAUUUUGUAUGUCAAGGCUAAAAAGUUUGAAGAUUGGUUCAUCCUUUGCGUUAAAAAAGACCACGAGAAGUUUACCAAAAGUUCAGAUCAAUGAUGAUAUUUGGUUGAUGAAGAUAGUCUGUUGACACAGAAGAGGACCUAAAGAAACCCAGCUGCUUCUAUGUAAGGCAUCCUGGCUGGUUCUAAUUAUUUAUUUAGGUUUUUGUGACUUGUUUAUAGUGUUUGUCAACUUUGUGAGAUUCUUUAACCAUAAACUGAGCAAGCUGCAAAAUUGUGAGUUGGAAGCACAAGGAAAGCUUGUAAAAAUUGAAAUGGUGUUGGAGCUCAUGUUGCGGUAAAGCCUUUUGUAUGUGCUAGAUGUAUGUGUGCAGCAUGUUGAUCAUGUUGGUGCUCUGGCCUCUUUAUUUAUUUAUAAUUAUUUUCAGUAUUUUUUUAAGAUAGAGCUAAAUCAACUAAUCUAGGGUGGCGGUGCCAUGGGGUUUUGCAAAUAAACACCUCUACCACUGAGGUAAUCACACCCUGGCUGGCUGGUGCUCUGGCUUUUUUCUGUAACUCUUGCUCUGUUUUAGCUUUUAGUGUCGGAUGAUGAAAUAUUUACCACUUGUAGUUAUUAGGACUAUUUAUGAGGUUAGGACUCAUACUCAAGUGUUGUGUGAUGUUUUAUGACGUUAAUUCGUAUAUGACUACCGAGUUUAUUGCUUUCAGUUUGGAAUUUUGUAUGUACAGUGCAUAAAUAAGAUUGUUUUGUGUUAAAAUAGUUGGUUGUACGAGUGUCAAUAUUUUUUUUGGGAUUUUUUGUAGAAAUGUCACCUUAAUUUUUUUAAAUUCAUGAUUUAUCAUCUGACUUUAACAUUAUCGAAUUUUUCAUCAAUUUUUAAGGCUAUUUUAGUCUUUCUAUUUUUAAGGAUAUUUAAAAAAAUGGAAAAAUCAAUAUAAAAACAAUUGUAUAUCUUUUAAACAAUUACAAUUUAAAAAGAAAAAGAAAAUCUCACCUUCCCCCAUCCCAUGUGCGCAACUAACGGCUCCAACCAACCCAGCCCACUUUGAAAUUCAUUCCCCCUUCCCUCUUCCCCUUCCUCCUCCUCUCUCUACCAUGAAACACCUACCCUCCAUUCACAAAUUCCCUCAGCCCACCUUUUUCUUCUUAUUUUUUCUUUUUGGAAUUUUUCCACUUGGAUAUUGAAAAUUUGUGGAUGGACAACUACCAAACAAAUAAUUAGGUAGUCUAUGUAACAAAUGGUGACCAAGCAAACUUUAGAUCCUUCAACAUAAACAUAGUGGCUUAAAUGAAACUAGGAAGACAUGAAAGGAGUUGGAUAUUGGGUUAUACAUGCUCAAAGAGAGAGAGAAGAGAGGUGAGAGAAGGGGGAAGGGGGGUGGUGUUUGUUGUCCUGUGCAAUGUGUUUUGGGGGGUGGGUUGGGUGGGGUUGGGGUUGGGGAGAAAGGGAGGGAGAGGUCUCUUUUUUUUCUCUUUUUUUUUUCCUUGAAAAUGGAAAGACUCAAAUAUCCUUAAAAAUGGAUGGAAAAUUGGAUGGUGUUAAAGUUAAAUGACAAAUCAUGGAUUUUGAAAAAUUAAGAGUGACAUUUCUCUUAAAAUUUUCUUUAAGAUGACAAAUUGAAAGUGAAACUAGGGUAUAAGUUCACAUGACAUUCUGUACAUAACGUGGUAUAUAAAUGUGGUAUGACUAGUAUUUUUUAUUUAUAUAUAUGAUGAAUGACUCUUUUUUAUGAAUUAAAUUAUGAGAAGUAGUACGGAUGAUACUAGGUGUGUUGCAGGACUUUGAACAUGCUUUUUUUAGGGUUCUAAGGGAGCUGAAUCUCAGAAACAAAAACUACAUAAUCAAACUCCUGGUCUAGCAAAUCCACUCAAAUCUUCCAGUAGAGAAUGUCCGAAUCCUUCAGGCACACCCUCCCAAAUUAUACACCCCAAUUCUAAUUUUGAGCCCAAACAUGGCAAGUUAUUCGCAUGGCAAUUGCCUUCCUGACAUUUAUGAGUAAUACUGCAGUCUUUGUACAAAAGCAUCUUCUCGCAGUUAGUCACCAAAUUAUAAAAGGGACGCUCCUCCUCCAAAUCUGAAAAUAGCAUUUGCACAGCAAUUUGAGAAUCAUAUUCAAUAUCAAGUGGGAACCAUCCCUUCUAGCAUGCCAAAACAAUUACAUGGUUUCAGUAGGAUUUGAAUUUUUUGUUAAUAUCAACAAACUAAGAUUUGAUAACACUUAUAUUCAAGUUUUGGAUAACAUCAUGACAACGUUGAAAGCGUAUUGUCAAAACCUAGUCUACAAAGCUCAUAGUUGUCAAAGAAUAAGAGGGUGAUAAUUUCUACUGCAUCUUGGACCAUUGUCAAAUGAGUUUUCGAAGGUUGUCAAAUAAAUUUGAACAAAUUUACAUAUACGACAACAUCAAAGACACGCCAUUAAAUGUAUAAGACUUUUAACAACAUCAAGAUACACAACACCUGCAAUCGCAUUGUCAAAAGACAUACACAACGGUCAUGGCGCCGUUGUUGAAUACAUAUAUUGUUGUAGUGUCUAUAACCUUUUAUAAUAAUAAAAAAGAAUGAUACUUUAGUGUGAAAACCUAAUCUUCAAAGCUCAUAAUAAUUAAGGGAUUGUCAAAGAAUAAGAGAGUUAGUUUUGCAUUCCGUUUUCUUCAAGGCAAUACACAUUGGGUCUAUAUGUUAGGUUAGGAAGUGGACCUAUACAUCGCAUCAUAUGGAGUACUUCAUCAUUAAUAUUAUAUUAAUUCGAGAAAUUGUUUAAUCAGUGACUUGUCUUACUGCAAAAUGUGAUCCAAGAGGAGAAAUUAUAGAGUUAUACAGAUCUGGUAACUUCGCCACUCAAAAACUGCCACGUGCCCUGUCACUCUAUUUCUCGUCCUAUGGCAUUCAUUCACAUUGGUCAUGCUUAACAACAUUUUCUAAGCCCCAACCAACCACACAAUGGAACUUUAUUGUUGUUCAAUCUUCUCCUCAAACCAUGUAUUUUAAUCUUCACUCAAAUCAAUCAUUUAUCAGUAAAUCUUUCACUAAAUUUUGUGUUACUGAAAUGCUUUUUCGAAUAUGCAUAUGAUUGUGUUAGAUUUUGUGAAGGGGUUAAGAAGUGCUCGGAUUACUAUUUAGGCCAAGAGUUUAGAGUCAGAAGAACUGAGAGGGUUUUAAAAUAGAGACAAAGAGAUUUGAUUAGAAAAGAGAGAAUGAUUACGGGGCUUGGUUAUAUAUAUAGGACUGUAGGCUAUGUUGCCUUCUAGUGGUUUAGCUCUUGGCUUCACAAUUUGUGCUUGAUUUGAUUACGUGGUGGGAGAGAUCAAGUGUAUGUAUAGUAUAGAAUGUUGCCUGGUUCCCGUGUUGUCCCGGCAACUUGGGAUAUCUCCACCAUUCUUAGCCACGUACGUGUGUUUGUGGCUUGCAAUCUUCAUUUGUGUUUGUCAUUUGUAUUCUACCAAGUUAAUAUUUUGCUACUUGGGACAUCUCCACCACCAUUCUUAGCCACAUGUAGAGUGUAGCAGGUAGGGAUUAAUAUCUCCGAUAUUUGCUACUAAGCCGACCCGAAAGACAUCCGUCAUCAGUAUUUGACUUUUAAUUUUCCUGGAAUUAUGUAGAUUAUUAUAGACAAAUGAACAGUUUUUAACAGAGUGAUUGCUCCCUAGAUAUGUUCUUUUAAUCAUUUGUUGUAGUGUCGGCAACCGUUUAUACGUGAAGGUUAGGAAGUGGAGACUUUUAUAUACAUCACAUCAUAUGGAGUACUCAUCAUUAAUAUUACAUUAAUUGGACUGACUUGUCUUAUUGUGAAAUGUGAUUGACUAGUCGUUAUAGAGUGAUACAAUAUCACUACGUUGGCUAGUGAUACUGUCACUCUAUAAUUGUCACGUGUCCUAUGAUUAUAAUUUCUCUGUUAUAAAAUGAACUGAGAUAUGUGCGAAUAUUGAGCUGCACGUAAAGUAGAUGAGACACAGUAUUUAACGAGGUUCGGCUAUGCCUACGUCCUCGGAGAGCAGCAACAGUAACUUUUCACUAUGUAGAAUAAUAGGGCUACAACUUUAGUGUUUACAAUAUGUAUGGCUCACUCAAUUUUCUCUCUUGGAGAAUUUCUCUCUUGCUCUCUUUCUUCUCAACUCACUCACCCUCAUUCUUCCUUCUCUUCCUCUUCUAUAUGUGUGAACUUCUCUUGAUGGAGGUAUCUAUUUAUAGGCCUAAGACAUUGGUUGUUCACCUCACAAUAUAAUUGGUAGACAACAUCAUUAAUAUUCUUCUAUCAACAACAUCAUUAAUAUUCUUCAAUCAACAACAUCAUUAAUAUUCUUCAAUCAAUUGGGUAGUGGUUUGGUUUGGUGGGUGUGUGGUUAGGUUUAGUGGGUGUUAGUUGGCUAUGUGGGCUUCACCUAUUCUUCUUUACUUAUUCUUCUUUACAACACUCCCCCUUGGAGACCACAUGUCCCUAGAUUGGUUGCCUCAUUAAAACCUUGCUUGGAGAAAAACCCAGUGAGGUAGAAAACUGAUGGAAGGAAGAAAAAAGAGUACAGCAAUCUGUAUAGCAUACUUCUGGAUGCUCCCCCUGAUUAAUAUCUCCCCCUGAUGUCUUCAUGACUAUCUUUUAGAGUGAGAAUCUUUCGGAGUGAGUGGAGGAUAUAGCAAUUAAUAAUUCUCGUAGUUGAGUAAGUAAAUAUAUUUUCAGUGAGCUAUCUCUAUGUAAAUCAUAGAAAUUUUCAGAGUCCGCGUUUCUAACAAAACUUGGGCUAUUUGUAAGUUCACUUGAAAGAAUAGGCCCGUACAUGGUGUUAUGCGGAGAUAGCAUCAAAUAUACCUCACAUCAUCUCAAAAUGAUGGUGAUGGAGUUGAGCCCUAUCUGGAAAAUAUGAUGUCCGGUCCAAUAUACUUCCGGAAAAUCAUUAAAGUGUCCAACGGAUAAUCCUCAUAAAAAUGCUUCAAUAUUUUCUUAGUAUAAGCAAGAAUCUCGUUGGCAUAAUGCUCGAUCCUUAAGUCGAGACAAAUAUUUCGCGAAUUCUGCAGAAGCUUUAAUGUGUUGCAAUCACAUUAUAAUCAAUGUACUCACUGAGGUAAUUUAUGCAUAUUAAUAUUGAGUACAAAUUUUGUGCUUCAAGCACAUGUCCUUUAGGGACUUGUUUUAUGCAAUGUCAAUCCUCUCAACGGAUUUUGUUUAAAAGGGAUUAAACUUUAUGACACAUUAUAUAGCUUUAACCCAGCUAUUUAUACAUCUUUAGGGAAUCGCUUCUGGCGAUAUGCUCUGUGCAUUUAAUAACCCUUAAAGAUAAUAUGUUGGUCUCCGUAAUUGUGUAAUAAGGGGGGGCACAAUUGAAUCUGUAAAUAUGGAGAAAACCCAACAUUCCUUGUUUCUGCCAGAAACAGUGUGUCAUACAAAGUAGGUAUAUUCCCUUUUAUUCCGAACACCCAAGUAUAAAUUCAGUAUUAACAAAUUUUGGGGUUCGUAUUGUGGGUUUGUUCUUUCACGUUCAUUCUCAUUUAUAAUGGAAUUACCUCGUUCCAUUUUGGCCAAUGAUAUUGUCGACAUUUAAUAAUUGAACGUGGUUCCAAUCAACACAGCCCAUUGAUGAUUUGAGUAGCUACUCCAAAACCAAAAAUUGUCAUUCAUCAAUUCAUGAUCUCACAAUUCUCAUGUGCAUGCGCAUGCAUCAAUUAGAAGCAUUUCUUUUGCUUUUAGGUACCCAAGCCACUUCAUGGGGCUUUUAUUAUGUGAAAAUGUGGAUUAUAACCUCCAAUGGCGCGUUAUUUUACAGUAGGGCGUGGAUAAUCUCUAUUUAGAGAGUUGGAACAUUUAGAACCCAUAUAUCUGUCAUGCUGCAGGCAUGCCACAGAUUAAUACAUACAUGUCAAUUAAUUUCUGGGACUUUAACCCAUAUUAUGGGACUUUAACCCAUAUAAUUUGCUACGCAUUAGGCGUGCAUAAUAUCAAUAUUGACAUGUCAAAGGAUUGUCCUUUCGGGACUUCAAUCCAUAUCAUUUGCUACGCAACAGGCGUGCACCCAUAUAUCUGUCAUGCCGCAGGUAUGCGACAGAUUAAUACAUACAUGUCAAUUAAUUUCUGGGACUUUAACCCAUAUAAUUUGCUACGCAUUAGGCGUGCAUAAUAUCAAUAUUGACAUGUCAAAGGAUUGUCCUUUCGGGACUUCAAUCCAUAUCAUUUGCUACGCAACAGGCGUGCAUCAUAUUGAUCACUGCUAUACCCAUAUUCUGUUCUUAUGGUACAUUAAUCUGUGCAAUGUAUUAUCAAUGUAUCCAACUUGCAAUCUGUAAAAUUUGCAUUAAUAAUUCAUGGAUACAUACAAGCCAUUUUUUUGGAACGGACUUAUCUUCCCAUUUGGUUACCUUUCAAGAUAAAAUAUCAAAUAAGUAUAUAAGCAGAAAAUAACACAAGUAUUGCUUACAUCCUUAGGUGGGAGAAACUUUUCUCAAGUAUCAUUCAAGCUUGUAUCGGCCCAGUAAAUGUAGCGCUUGAUGAUCUAGUUAUAUCCUGCAAUAGUAAAAUCACAACUCUUUUCUCUGUCAAAAACAAAUAAUCCUCAGAGAGUUACAGAAAGAGAAAAAAUGCAAAAAGAGAAGGUAAGCAAUCAGGGAAGGAAGCUGGUGGGAGCAGACAAUAAGCUCUCAUAUCUCCUAGUCUAGAAGGACUUCCGGAGAUUAGAGCAUAAGAUUGCCUUCACAGUUUCUUGAUGAAGCGGAAACGUGAUCAGGGAUAGUCUCGCUUCCUGAAUGGAUGAUCAGAGAUAGUCUUGCUUCUCGGGCAUAUUAAGUGCCCACUGAUAAGAAAAACAAGUAGAUAUCGCAUCACUAGGUAUGGAGAAAACUGGAUGUCUUCUGCAAAGAAAAUUUCGUUAGUAACACAUUUAUACACAAAUACAAUGAAUAGGUAGAACCGGUGAAUUUCAAAUUAACCAUAGGAAAAUUGCGAGAUUCUCGGGGUACUUUUGAAAAAGUAGCUCCGUGACACUACUACAAAAAAGCAAAAAGACGACGGUAAAUCACCGUCGUGUAUUUGGUUUUUCAAUGGUCGUGGAAUCCACCGUCAUCUUUUCCCUCAUAAACCACGACGCUAAAUAACCGUCGUUGUUAAACAAUACAACGUCAUCAAAAAAUACAAAACGACGUCUUUGUACUGCAAAAAGAUCUAAAAAAAGCAAUCGAUGAUGAUAAUAGACGACCAAUUCUCUAAAAACACCGUCGUUAAAAAGGGAAAAUAUGACACAUAUUAAGAGAACAAAGCCGCAAGAUAGACAUACAACGACGACAAUAAAAAUACGCCGACGUUAAAUAUAAUUUUCACGACAAUAAAAAAUAUGACGUCUUUAAAUACAUUAGAAGACGACGUUAUUGAUACCUACUACGUCGCACAUAUAAACACAACCGUCGUACAAUUAAUUUUCCACUUCGAUUUUUCGAUAAAAGAUGACGUGGAAAUAGUUGUCAGUGUCAUUAUUUACGACGUAUGUGUUUCUAUAGUAGACGUUGAAAAACUAAACAACGUCAGUUACAAAUAUAUGAGAGUCGUAUUAAAAAAUUUAUACGUCCUAUUUUCAGAAACAAACAACGACCAUAAAUAUUAGACGUUGUUAAAUACAACAACGUCGGAAAACAAUAAAAACAGACGUGUUUAGUCUGCUAAAGUUCUACAACGUCUCUUAUUUACAAAAAACCGUCGUGAAAUAAAUUUUCCACUUCGAUUUUUCUAAAAAAGAUGACGUGGAAAUAGUUGUCAGUGUCAUUAUUUACGACGUAUACAUUUAUAUAGUCGACGUUGUAUUUAUAUGUAUUCAUUACUCACGACGCACUUAAUAAUAUAGACGACGUUGAACGUCUAAACAACGUCGGUUCCAAAUAAAUGAGAGCCGUAUUACAGAACAUAUAGACGGCGUAGAUUAUGAUGGGAGCCGUAUUACAAAUAACGUCGUUUAAUUGUUAUUAGACGGCGGUUAUAAUGAAUUUCCGUCGGAAUUAAUUUCGUUCCUCUUCGUUUAUAAAAGAACUUGCGACGUGGAAAAUGUAUGAUGACGUCGUAUUUUUUAACGUUCAGAUUACAUAUCUCGUUUUUUAGACGUCGGUAUUAUGGGAUUGGAGUCGUGUUAUUUUGAAUUACAUGGCGGUUCUUUAUCCUUCACCGACGUGAUAUCCUGAAUAAUUGCUUCACAAUAGCGUCGUGGUUCUUCAUUGUUACGUUGCUUUAAGACGUCGGUAAAUAUGCUGAAUAACUGAUUCACAAUAACGUCGUGUUUUAUUUGAACGUAGAAAGUGAAGAAAUCACAUUACAAUAUAUUACAAAAUUAAUGUCAUACACUGCCAAUUACAUAAGCAUCAUUCAAUCCAUAUAUCUUCACACCCAUCUCGAAUAUUUUGACCGCCUAACUCACCUACCAGUUCAUCAAAUGUGUCAACAUUUGGCAUCCCUCUAGUAAAUGGCUCACACUCAAUUAUCACAUCACCUAAUACUUCAUCACCAAUAACAUCAUUAUAUUCUCUACUAGGCAUUGAUAACACUACCGACCAACCACGAUGCAUCGGGUCGUCAACAAAAAAUAUUUGUUUGACUUGAGAAGCCAAAACAAAUUGGUCAUUCCUAUGUCCAAUUUUACUCAAAUCUACAAGGGUAAAUCCAAGUUCGUCGACUACAAGACCAGAACUAUCUAUCCAAUCACACCUAAAGACUGGGAUUGUAAACUUUUGGUAGUCAAGGUCCCAAAUUUCUUGAAUGACACCAUAGAAACCCAUAUUUGAGAGAAUUGGGUUUUUAUCCUUGGCACUAGCAACUUGCAUGGUAUGUGCAAGUAAAUAAACUCCACUAUUUUGAGUUGUCCGCACAUCAUCUUGUGCCUUGAUAUUGAAUUUAAUACCUUUAAUAAGAUAGCUCCUAUAUAAUGGCACUGACAUGUUUGGACCAGCUGCUAGCCACCUUAAAUUUUCUGAUACGCCAUGAUUGUCUUCCUCAAGUUCACUUUGAACCUGCAAAUUAAUCAUAUCUUAAUUCAUCCUAACAUAUAAAUAAGAAGAAAAUUAAAAGAGAAAUACGUUAUUCAACAACAUAUACCUUGAAGCGUAGCCAUUGAAUGAAAGUGCUAUUGUGCUUAUCCUGCAGCCACUUUGUUCUCUUUCUAAAUUUUGGAUAAGCAGUCUUGAUGUGGAUCAUAUGUUGCCUACAUGACACGAAAAAUUCAAGCAUUACGGUCCCAAAUAUAUAAGAUAAACAUAAGAAAUAAUUUUAAAUGGAAACUUAAAGAAUAAAACUCAUACGUACUCGAUAUAAGGUAGGACUUCCUUCGUAUUCUCCAAGACAUAUAGAUGUGCUUGAUUCAACAGGUCCUGAUCAACUACGCUCACUGUGCAACCUGAUAAUGGCUUUGAAACUCCCAUCUUUUGGCUUGAAGGCACUCCAACUGUACUAACAUCAGAUAAAUGCUGAGUACAAAACUCUACCGCUUCUUCAGCUAUAUACCGCUCAGCAAUGCAACCUUCGGGACGAGUACGAUUCUGAACAUACCCCUUCAGCACUUUCAUAUAUCUUUCAAACGGAUACAUCCACCUAAAAUAUACUGGCCCACAUAGACGAACUUCUCUGACAAGAUGUACUACUAGAUGAACCAUGAUAUCAAAGAAUGAAGGGGGAAAGUACUUCUCAAGCAAACACAGAGUAACUACUACAUCUUCUUCCAACUUAUCUAGCUUGGAAACAUCAACAGUCUUUGCACAUAUAGCAUUGAAGAAGAAGCACAAACGAGUUAUUGCAUACCUUGCAGGCUUCUCCAAAACAGAACGAAUUGCCACAGGGAGCAAUUGUUGCAUUAAGGUAUGACAAUCAUGUGAUUUAAGGCCAAGAAGUCUUGAAUCUUGUACAGAUACAAGAUUUUUAAUAUUUGAAGAAUAACCUUCAGGGACCUUCAUACCAUAGAAAGAAUUGCAAACCUCUCUCUUCUCUGCUCUUGACAAAUUCCAAGGCCCAGGAGGCAAACGAGUACGUCUUUCUCCAUACUCGGGUUGCAAAUCAGUUUUGACCCCCAUGUUCAAUAAAUCUAAUCGAGCAGCAAUCCCAUCUUUAUUUUUUCCAGGGAUCUCCAGCAAUGUACCAAUGAUACUAUCGCAAACAUUCUUCUCAAUGUGCAUAACAUCUAGGGCAUGCCUCACAGGAAGGUAUUUCCAAUACUCGAGAUCAAAGAAUAUUGAUUCUCUCCAACNNNNNNNNNNNNNNNNNNNNNNNNNNNNNNNNNNNNNNNNNNNNNNNNNNNNNNNNNNNNNNNNNNNNNNNNNNNNNNNNNNNNNNNNNNNNNNNNNNNNNNNNNNNNNNNNNNNNNNNNNNNNNNNNNNNNNNNNNNNNNNNNNNNNNNNNNNNNNNNNNNNNNNNNNNNNNNNNNNNNNNNNNNNNNNNNNNNNNNNNNNNNNNNNNNNNNNNNNNNNNNNNNNNNNNNNNNNNNNNNNNNNNNNNNNNNNNNNNNNNNNNNNNNNNNNNNNNNNNNNNNNNNNNNNNNNNNNNNNNNNNNNNNNNNNNNNNNNNNNNNNNNNNNNNNNNNNNNNNNNNNNNNNNNNNNNNNNNNNNNNNNNNNNNNNNNNNNNNNNNNNNNNNNNNNNNNNNNNNNNNNNNNNNNNNNNNNNNNNNNNNNNNNNNNNNNNNNNNNNNNNNNNNNNNNNNNNNNNNNNNNNNNNNNNNNNNNNNNNNNNNNNNNNNNNNNNNNNNNNNNNNNNNNNNNNNNNNNNNNNNNNNNNNNNNNNNNNNNNNNNNNNNNNNNNNNNNNNNNNNNNNNNNNNNNNNNNNNNNNNNNNNNNNNNNNNNNNNNNNNNNNNNNNNNNNNNNNNNNNNNNNNNNNNNNNNNNNNNNNNNNNNNNNNNNNNNNNNNNNNNNNNNNNNNNNNNNNNNNNNNNNNNNNNNNNNNNNNNNNNNNNNNNNNNNNNNNNNNNNNNNNNNNNNNNNNNNNNNNNNNNNNNNNNNNNNNNNNNNNNNNNNNNNNNNNNNNNNNNNNNNNNNNNNNNNNNNNNNNNNNNNNNNNNNNNNNNNNNNNNNNNNNNNNNNNNNNNNNNNNNNNNNNNNNNNNNNNNNNNNNNNNNNNNNNNNNNNNNNNNNNNNNNNNNNNNNNNNNNNNNNNNNNNNNNNNNNNNNNNNNNNNNNNNNNNNNNNNNNNNNNNNNNNNNNNNNNNNNNNNNNNNNNNNNNNNNNNNNNNNNNNNNNNNNNNNNNNNNNNNNNNNNNNNNNNNNNNNNNNNNNNNNNNNNNNNNNNNNNNNNNNNNNNNNNNNNNNNNNNNNNNNNNNNNNNNNNNNNNNNNNNNNNNNNNNNNNNNNNNNNNNNNNNNNNNNNNNNNNNNNNNNNNNNNNNNNNNNNNNNNNNNNNNNNNNNNNNNNNNNNNNNNNNNNNNNNNNNNNNNNNNNNNNNNNNNNNNNNNNNNNNNNNNNNNNNNNNNNNNNNNNNNNNNNNNNNNNNNNNNNNNNNNNNNNNNNNNNNNNNNNNNNNNNNNNNNNNNNNNNNNNNNNNNNNNNNNNNNNNNNNNNNNNNNNNNNNNNNNNNNNNNNNNNNNNNNNNNNNNNNNNNNNNNNNNNNNNNNNNNNNNNNNNNNNNNNNNNNNNNNNNNNNNNNNNNNNNNNNNNNNNNNNNNNNNNNNNNNNNNNNNNNNNNNNNNNNNNNNNNNNNNNNNNNNNNNNNNNNNNNNNNNNNNNNNNNNNNNNNNNNNNNNNNNNNNNNNNNNNNNNNNNNNNNNNNNNNNNNNNNNNNNNNNNNNNNNNNNNNNNNNNNNNNNNNNNNNNNNNNNNNNNNNNNNNNNNNNNNNNNNNNNNNNNNNNNNNNNNNNNNNNNNNNNNNNNNNNNNNNNNNNNNNNNNNNNNNNNNNNNNNNNNNNNNNNNNNNNNNNNNNNNNNNNNNNNNNNNNNNNNNNNNNNNNNNNNNNNNNNNNNNNNNNNNNNNNNNNNNNNNNNNNNNNNNNNNNNNNNNNNNNNNNNNNNNNNNNNNNNNNNNNNNNNNNNNNNNNNNNNNNNNNNNNNNNNNNNNNNNNNNNNNNNNNNNNNNNNNNNNNNNNNNNNNNNNNNNNNNNNNNNNNNNNNNNNNNNNNNNNNNNNNNNNNNNNNNNNNNNNNNNNNNNNNNNNNNNNNNNNNNNNNNNNNNNNNNNNNNNNNNNNNNNNNNNNNNNNNNNNNNNNNNNNNNNNNNNNNNNNNNNNNNNNNNNNNNNNNNNNNNNNNNNNNNNNNNNNNNNNNNNNNNNNNNNNNNNNNNNNNNNNNNNNNNNNNNNNNNNNNNNNNNNNNNNNNNNNNNNNNNNNNNNNNNNNNNNNNNNNNNNNNNNNNNNNNNNNNNNNNNNNNNNNNNNNNNNNNNNNNNNNNNNNNNNNNNNNNNNNNNNNNNNNNNNNNNNNNNNNNNNNNNNNNNNNNNNNNNNNNNNNNNNNNNNNNNNNNNNNNNNNNNNNNNNNNNNNNNNNNNNNNNNNNNNNNNNNNNNNNNNNNNNNNNNNNNNNNNNNNNNNNNNNNNNNNNNNNNNNNNNNNNNNNNNNNNNNNNNNNNNNNNNNNNNNNNNNNNNNNNNNNNNNNNNNNNNNNNNNNNNNNNNNNNNNNNNNNNNNNNNNNNNNNNNNNNNNNNNNNNNNNNNNNNNNNNNNNNNNNNNNNNNNNNNNNNNNNNNNNNNNNNNNNNNNNNNNNNNNNNNNNNNNNNNNNNNNNNNNNNNNNNNNNNNNNNNNNNNNNNNNNNNNNNNNNNNNNNNNNNNNNNNNNNNNNNNNNNNNNNNNNNNNNNNNNNNNNNNNNNNNNNNNNNNNNNNNNNNNNNNNNNNNNNNNNNNNNNNNNNNNNNNNNNNNNNNNNNNNNNNNNNNNNNNNNNNNNNNNNNNNNNNNNNNNNNNNNNNNNNNNNNNNNNNNNNNNNNNNNNNNNNNNNNNNNNNNNNNNNNNNNNNNNNNNNNNNNNNNNNNNNNNNNNNNNNNNNNNNNNNNNNNNNNNNNNNNNNNNNNNNNNNNNNNNNNNNNNNNNNNNNNNNNNNNNNNNNNNNNNNNNNNNNNNNNNNNNNNNNNNNNNNNNNNNNNNNNNNNNNNNNNNNNNNNNNNNNNNNNNNNNNNNNNNNNNNNNNNNNNNNNNNNNNNNNNNNNNNNNNNNNNNNNNNNNNNNNNNNNNNNNNNNNNNNNNNNNNNNNNNNNNNNNNNNNNNNNNNNNNNNNNNNNNNNNNNNNNNNNNNNNNNNNNNNNNNNNNNNNNNNNNNNNNNNNNNNNNNNNNNNNNNNNNNNNNNNNNNNNNNNNNNNNNNNNNNNNNNNNNNNNNNNNNNNNNNNNNNNNNNNNNNNNNNNNNNNNNNNNNNNNNNNNNNNNNNNNNNNNNNNNNNNNNNNNNNNNNNNNNNNNNNNNNNNNNNNNNNNNNNNNNNNNNNNNNNNNNNNNNNNNNNNNNNNNNNNNNNNNNNNNNNNNNNNNNNNNNNNNNNNNNNNNNNNNNNNNNNNNNNNNNNNNNNNNNNNNNNNNNNNNNNNNNNNNNNNNNNNNNNNNNNNNNNNNNNNNNNNNNNNNNNNNNNNNNNNNNNNNNNNNNNNNNNNNNNNNNNNNNNNNNNNNNNNNNNNNNNNNNNNNNNNNNNNNNNNNNNNNNNNNNNNNNNNNNNNNNNNNNNNNNNNNNNNNNNNNNNNNNNNNNNNNNNNNNNNNNNNNNNNNNNNNNNNNNNNNNNNNNNNNNNNNNNNNNNNNNNNNNNNNNNNNNNNNNNNNNNNNNNNNNNNNNNNNNNNNNNNNNNNNNNNNNNNNNNNNNNNNNNNNNNNNNNNNNNNNNNNNNNNNNNNNNNNNNNNNNNNNNNNNNNNNNNNNNNNNNNNNNNNNNNNNNNNNNNNNNNNNNNNNNNNNNNNNNNNNNNNNNNNNNNNNNNNNNNNNNNNNNNNNNNNNNNNNNNNNNNNNNNNNNNNNNNNNNNNNNNNNNNNNNNNNNNNNNNNNNNNNNNNNNNNNNNNNNNNNNNNNNNNNNNNNNNNNNNNNNNNNNNNNNNNNNNNNNNNNNNNNNNNNNNNNNNNNNNNNNNNNNNNNNNNNNNNNNNNNNNNNNNNNNNNNNNNNNNNNNNNNNNNNNNNNNNNNNNNNNNNNNNNNNNNNNNNNNNNNNNNNNNNNNNNNNNNNNNNNNNNNNNNNNNNNNNNNNNNNNNNNNNNNNNNNNNNNNNNNNNNNNNNNNNNNNNNNNNNNNNNNNNNNNNNNNNNNNNNNNNNNNNNNNNNNNNNNNNNNNNNNNNNNNNNNNNNNNNNNNNNNNNNNNNNNNNNNNNNNNNNNNNNNNNNNNNNNNNNNNNNNNNNNNNNNNNNNNNNNNNNNNNNNNNNNNNNNNNNNNNNNNNNNNNNNNNNNNNNNNNNNNNNNNNNNNNNNNNNNNNNNNNNNNNNNNNNNNNNNNNNNNNNNNNNNNNNNNNNNNNNNNNNNNNNNNNNNNNNNNNNNNNNNNNNNNNNNNNNNNNNNNNNNNNNNNNNNNNNNNNNNNNNNNNNNNNNNNNNNNNNNNNNNNNNNNNNNNNNNNNNNNNNNNNNNNNNNNNNNNNNNNNNNNNNNNNNNNNNNNNNNNNNNNNNNNNNNNNNNNNNNNNNNNNNNNNNNNNNNNNNNNNNNNNNNNNNNNNNNNNNNNNNNNNNNNNNNNNNNNNNNNNNNNNNNNNNNNNNNNNNNNNNNNNNNNNNNNNNNNNNNNNNNNNNNNNNNNNNNNNNNNNNNNNNNNNNNNNNNNNNNNNNNNNNNNNNNNNNNNNNNNNNNNNNNNNNNNNNNNNNNNNNNNNNNNNNNNNNNNNNNNNNNNNNNNNNNNNNNNNNNNNNNNNNNNNNNNNNNNNNNNNNNNNNNNNNNNNNNNNNNNNNNNNNNNNNNNNNNNNNNNNNNNNNNNNNNNNNNNNNNNNNNNNNNNNNNNNNNNNNNNNNNNNNNNNNNNNNNNNNNNNNNNNNNNNNNNNNNNNNNNNNNNNNNNNNNNNNNNNNNNNNNNNNNNNNNNNNNNNNNNNNNNNNNNNNNNNNNNNNNNNNNNNNNNNNNNNNNNNNNNNNNNNNNNNNNNNNNNNNNNNNNNNNNNNNNNNNNNNNNNNNNNNNNNNNNNNNNNNNNNNNNNNNNNNNNNNNNNNNNNNNNNNNNNNNNNNNNNNNNNNNNNNNNNNNNNNNNNNNNNNNNNNNNNNNNNNNNNNNNNNNNNNNNNNNNNNNNNNNNNNNNNNNNNNNNNNNNNNNNNNNNNNNNNNNNNNNNNNNNNNNNNNNNNNNNNNNNNNNNNNNNNNNNNNNNNNNNNNNNNNNNNNNNNNNNNNNNNNNNNNNNNNNNNNNNNNNNNNNNNNNNNNNNNNNNNNNNNNNNNNNNNNNNNNNNNNNNNNNNNNNNNNNNNNNNNNNNNNNNNNNNNNNNNNNNNNNNNNNNNNNNUUUCCCCCUUUUAUUGUACUCACAUGGCUCAGUUUCUGAAGCUUCUCUUCACAACACGAGGCAUGUGCUCAUACCUCGACAGUCUUUGAAUCAUCUGAGAUUGUUGUCUGGCUGGUUUGUUCUGUCUCAGCAGAUGAUGAAGCAAACUUCAUCUUCUUCGAAGACUUCAUCUCCUUCGAAGACUUAUCUUGAGGAGCUACCAUUCCAAGCUUCUUGGAGCCAGAAUCCUUAGUUUGUUGUUGAGAAACCAUUUUAACAGACAAAACUGCAAGUGAAAAUAUUUCAGGAAAACAUUAAGAACACAAACGACGGUAUUAAAAAAAUACGACGUAUGAUAUGAUUUUAGACGACGCAAUGAAAUAAUCUCAGACGUAAUAAAUGUUUAAAACCAUUAUUUAUAUAACGUCGUGGUAUAUAUGUUCACACGACGUCAAUAGUAAUACACCGUCGUGGUAAACUAUUAUUUAUAUAACGUCGUGGUAUUUAUGUUCAUACGACGUCAAUAGUAAUACACCGUCGUGGUAUUAACAUUCACACGACGUAAAACAAUAAGAUAUUUUGUCGUCUAUAUUAGAUACCAACCCUAGUUUCUUUUUCUUUAUAUUUUAUCAAAUAAGGGAAAAACAAAAACCAUUGUUCAGCGAAAUCAAACCUGCAAUUAAACAAGCAUAUAAAAAAAGACUAUUAUUUUAAAAACAACUUUGUCAAUUUUCAGACGACGCUAGAACAACUGACGAACCGUCGUGGUCUACCGUCGUCUUAUUUAGUUGAUGUAGUUGUCUUCAAAGUUGGAAACUUUCUCUCUUUGUCUGUAUAUUUUAUCAAACUUGGAAAGAAGUAAAAUGAUUUUGGCCAGAAAAAAGGUAAAAAGAUUUUUCAAACAAAAAACGUAUGAGCAUGCAAAACAGUAACCAAAAUAGUGAAAAUGAAAGCUUACCUUUUGCGUGCAAUGAAAGCAAGAGGAAGAUGAUCGAUGUUUAAGUUCAGAGACGACGAAGAAGACGAGAGGAAGACGAUGAGAAACUCUGACAAUGCUCUGACAAGGAAAAAAGACGAAAAGGUUUCUCUGGGAGAUUGAAAUUUUUAAUCGGGUUUGGAAACAGUGCAUGUGUAAGUCGAAAAGUUGCUUACAUAUAAAACCAUUUCAAAAAAAUAAUACGGCGGUUACAUUUAACUACGUCGUUUUUAACUAAAACGACGCAAUAUUUUUCAUUCGACGUGGAAUCAUUUCAUUUAACGUCGUUAUGUUUAAUAUAACCGACGUGGAUUUUAAUUUUUAAAUUAUGAAUAGAAUUUUUUUUCCCGUGACCUUUCAGUUUAUUUUUCAAUUACAGUGCGUUAUAAAUAGAGUUUUUUUUCCGGAGGAAAUUUAAAACGAAGGAAAUUAAUAUUCUGCAAUAUGUAAAGUUUCUUUUUUGGAUGACAGAUUUAAAUAAAAUAAGAAUAUAAAAACAACAAAUGUGUAAGUCAAGUAGACGAAAAGUUGCUUACAUAUAAAACCAUUUCAAAAAAAUAAUAUGGCGGUUACAUAUAACUACGACGUAUAAAUUACAAAAUACGACGGUACAUUUAACUUCGGACGUGGUAAAUAAAUACGACAGUAGUUUGUAGGUACCGUCGUAGUAAACUCAAAAAUUAAAGUACAUAAGUAAUAACUCGCGUCAUGGUAUAUUAUUUAACACGUCGUUUUUAUUAAUUUACCGACGUGGAUUUCUGUAAUAUACGUCGAUCAUACCGACGUUGAUUUUACAAUUUAAACGGCGGUUUGUUUGUAAGGACCGCCGUUGGUUUUAAAAAUUUAUUCUAUAAAUUUGUCGCUUUCAUUCAUUUUCGGUUUACAUUUAAGGUUCCAAGUUCUUCCUCUCUCAGUCUCUCAUGUCUCAAAGAUAAUAAUUUGGAUGUUUUCUCAAAGAGAAAUUGAGCUUACUCGCAUCAAAUAUAUGUCCACAAGAAGAAGCUUGUCAACUAGCCUUCUCACUUCCUUGAUCAAGCCUGAUAGGACACUUAGUGCUUCUGAAUACUCCUUGCUUUCCAUCAAAAGAGAUGCAAGCCUGGCCUCCACUCGCUGUCGAAGGAAAGUUCGCUUCUCAGGGAAAUCUGAAGAUCAGAUGUGCCUGAUCCUCUGCUUGAUUUUCUUGCCUAAGAAGAUCCGUCGGAUUUAUUGUGAUAGCCUCUUCCUUUAUCCGUAGAGCUUCAGAAGAAGAAGAUGGGUUUCAAGAAUGCGAUAAAGAAUAGAAAUGGCUUCAGAUGGCCUCUAAAGCAUGAGCAAUUGAAUCAGUAGUUUCUGGGAGAUAUGAUGAAGACAUUGUCAAUGCUUUGAACUACACAAGUCCUGCAGAAAGAUAUGUUAAAGAAACUGAAACAACGGCGGUUUUCUGUUCUACCGUCGUCUUUUCUCGUCGUCUAUAUUAAGUUACGAUGGCGGUAGAUUUAUAAUUACCGACGUAGAUUAUUUUGUUAAACGUCGUUAAGUGUACUACAACCGACGUGGAUUUUAAUUUUAAAUUAUAAAUGGAGUUUUUUUUCCCGUAUUCUUUCAGUUUUAGUUUUCAAUUCCAAAGCGUGAUAAAUAGAUUUUUCUUUCCCGAGGAAAUUUAAAAUGAGGGAAAUUAAUGUUCUAGAAUUUGUAAACUAACACGACGCAAUAUUUGCAAAUCUGUGUCAUCUGUUAAGAUUAUGAUGUGGAACAGAGUUCCAUCUGGUAAGAUUUCGUAACCCUUGGGAUCUCAGACAAAACUGAUUAUGUCGGCGGUGUUCUAUAUAAACCGUCGUGGUUAUUUCAAUUCUUGUCAUUAAGUAGAUCUACCGACGUAGGAUAAGAAAAUCAAAGAAAAAAAUUGUUAACAAAAAUUCUUAUUAAGACGACCGUUAAAAUUAAAGGUACGACGUAUAAAAUGAAUAAAUACGACGAUAAAUUUUAUUGUACGAUUUAAAGAUAACGUAGUAGAACUAUACGAGAAUGACGUCGAUAUAUUUAUAUUUUCCGUCGUUGUAAAUUAAUUUAAUACGGCGAUAUUUUGUAUUUUAAAGCCGUGGAUUUGUUUGUAAUUAUACGGCGUCUUAUACGAAAACCUCGUCGUCUUAUUUUAUGAGUAAAAACGGCAGUUUUUAUUGAAAUCGUCGUCUUUACUUUCUACGUCGGUCGAUUCAUAACUUCUGCCGUUCUUUGUUGGCAUUGAUUUUACACUGCGGAAAUCUGUUUCAAAUAGACGUCGGUUGUUUAAUUAUGUACGUCGUUGUUUUUGAACAGCCAUUUGAAACUCCAUUUUUUAGUUGUCUAAGGUUGUAUUACACGACGGUGUUUUUAGAACCGUCGUCUUUUUAUAAACCACGACGGUUUUCACUUAGACCGUCGUUGUUUUCUGGUCGUCUUUUUCACUUUUUGUAGUAGUGUGAAAUCCGUAAAGCAAGAUCGGCUUUUGAUGAAAAUAAUACUUUGAAAACGCCGAAAGUGCCGACAAACAUUUAAUGGAGGCCACGUGAAGUUUUGGAAUCUGGGAAAGAAAAAGAUAAUAUGGGGAUCUGAGAUAAUAUUGGGAUCCUGGAAACUGUAGCCAUAUUUCCUCCUAUAGAUAUGGCCUUUGCAAAACUUGAUUGGAGCAACUGCGUUUCAACUUGCUCCUUUCCUGUUAUAAUAAUUGCGCACAUUCUUAAAAUUUGCACCUGUGGUUUUUACGUCUUUUCAAAAUGAUGGUUUGGAACCUUGUGCCUUAUAGGUUCAAAUAACCACAUCGACUCUCCCAAAUUUCAUAUUUCAACGUAUGGGAGCCCGGAACUUUUGGCCUGGGCUAAACACAAACUCAGAAUUUAUUUGCCCCUUUUAAAUGGACAUGAAAUAUGAAUUGAGUAAAAGCUACGAUAAUAUCGUAAUAUAGUAGUGAAGAGCAUUAACUACUAUAUACCCACAAUCUCAAAUUCGGGAUUUCUCAUAGAUAUAUCAAAAUGUGUGGGGAGCCUCAAUUCAUCAUUUGAGGUUUAUAUUGAUAUUAUCCAUUUCACGGUGUAUUCUUAACAACCGGAAUUCACAAAAUAUAUUUCUUCCUUGAGGUGUCGAUUAUAACAGAAUCGAACUUUAUUAAAUUCAUCAUUCUCUUAUGCCAAAGAAAUAUGUGGCGUACCACAAUUUGCAAUAAUACCUCAAGAGUUGUCCAUUUAAUUUGUUGGAACUUCAGGUUCUCAACACUGUUAGAUUUUGAACUUCAGGCCAAAAUCACAUAUUCUCAUGGUAUGGACAUUCAAUCCCCUUAGAUUUUGAACUUUGGGCCAAAAUCACAUAUUCUCAUGGUAUGGACAUUUUUACAAUUUUCUGUACAUAUUUGUGGACUUCAAGCCCUUACAUAAUUGUCCAUAUUUUGAGGAACUUCUGGCAUCUCAUUUAAUUGCUCAUCCAUGAGUUUAAGGAACUACAGGUUCCCUUUUGAAUGGUGAUAGUUUACCCAAAAUGGUAAAUAUUUAUGCAUACAUCACUAUUCAUGUAUACGGCACUAUUCAUUUGUACAGUACAUUUGCCAGUACAGUUAUCAUCCAUGUGUACGGCAUUAUGAACCAAUACGGUACUGUUACAUCAUUAAGGAACCCCAGGUCCUUAUUUACAUGUCAAGGAUCAAGGACCCUCAAGUCCAAUCACAUGUUUACAAAUAUAGUACCGGAGAGACUGCCAGCUCUCAUAUUAACAUCAUCAUCAAGGAUCUUCAAGUCCUGAUGUAAUUGUGUGAUGAGAAUUAAGGAACUUCUGGUCCUGAUCUGCAUACUGUAAAAACUCAUCAUACAGCACAAUUAAUCCAUAAAAUAAAUUACUGGUAAAUAAAUUACUGGUAUGGACGAUAAACUCGCACCAUACUUUAAAUAAAUGUAAAUGUGCGGUAAAGUAAAUUCAUAAAUUAAAUUGCUUGUUGUAUGGACGUUAAUCCCGCACCAUACCUUAAAUAAAAUUAAAUGUGCGGUAAAGUAAAUUCAUAAAUUAAAUUGCUUGCUGUAUGGACGUUAAUCCCGCACCAUACUUUAAAUAAAAUUAAAUGUGCGGUAAAGUAAAUGGUGCUUGUAUGGGCACUAAUUCUGCUCCAUACAUUUAAAUAGAAGUAAAGGCGUGGACGAUAAACCCGCACCACCCUUUUAAAUAAAUACUGUUGUAUGGGUAAUAAACCUACACCAUACAGUAAAUAUAAUAUAUUAUAUUACUUUAAGUAAAAGUAAAUUUGCGGUAAAGUAAAGGCAAUUAUUGGUGGGUUCUCAUCAACACCACGAUCAAAUAGUAUAGCAGAUAAUAUUAUUAUCGUUUGUGGAAGGCAUCAUGCUUGUCUCUUAAAUCAAAUGCUUUCCACCUGUAAUCUGCACACAGUUGGUUUGCUCGUAUAUCUCUCUUGCAGACCACAGCUCCUCCACUACUUUUCUUCCUUACAUCAACAUAAGGGUUAGUAGUAUAGAUAAUAGUGCAACACAAAAAUUAUACCUGAGAGCUUUUCGUGCUGAUAACGUGUUAUAAAAUGAACUGAGAUAUGUGCGAAUAUUGAGCUGCACGUAAAGUAGAUGAGACACAGUAUUUAACGAGGUUCGGCUAUGCCUACGUCCUCGGAGAGCAGCAACAGUAACUUUUCACUAUGUAGAAUAAUAUGGCUACAACUUUAGUGUUUACAAUAUGUAUGGCUCACUCAAUUUUCUCUCUUGGAGAAUUUCUCUCUUGCUCUCUUUCUUCUCAACUCACUCACCCUCAUUCUUCCUUCUCUUCCUCUUCUAUAUGUGUGAACUUCUCUUGAUGGAGGUAUCUAUUUAUAGGCCUAAGACAUUGGUUGUUCACCUCACAAUAUAAUUGGUAGACAACAUCAUUAAUAUUCUUCUAUCAACAACAUCAUUAAUAUUCUUCAAUCAACAACAUCAUUAAUAUUCUUCAAUCAACAACAUCAUUAAUAUUCUUCAAUCAACAACAUCAUUAAUAUUCUUCAAUCAAUUGGGUAGUGGUUUGGUUUGGUGGGUGUGUGGUUAGGUUUAGUGGGUGUUAGUUGGCUAUGUGGGCUUCACCUAUUCUUCUUUACUUAUUCUUCUUUACAACAUUCUCUUCAUAUUUCAUAUUCGCAUUGGUCAUGCUUAACAACUUUCUAAGCAAUAAUUGAUAAUGUCUCUAUUUGGUUCAUCUGGGGUAAUUUUUGGCUAUUCCGAGUACACCACGUGGUUGGUGUACCAUCCAAUAGAUGUAGGACACAUCUUUGUACUUGUAUAAAUACCUUUUUAUUGAAGAAGAAUAAUAAUAUGAGCAUAAUUGAAUAUUUGCCGUAUUUUGUUCGACUUGGUGUCAGAGCCAGAUUUUUUUUGUGACAUGUGCUUGCAUUCUUGUUAAUGUAUGCAUUUUGAGUUUUUCUUUUGGCUUCCCUUGACAACUUUGUAAUAGGACUUCUGUUGUUAUUUAUCAAGCUCAAGUUUAGAUUGAGAAUAGCUUCUCUAGGUGUUCUUAACUAACAACUAUCCUAUGGAGGUUCAAGCAAAUUGGCAAAGGUAAAUUGUGCAUUGCAUAACAUUGCAUUAAACUGUUUUCAUAAAAUGAUGACUAGUCAUCUGUUUCUUGUAUGACUAGUCAUCCUUGCUCUGUAGGAUUUCCAGCUGAAUAACCAACUUUUUUGUCCUAUUCUGUUUUCUCUCUCUAUUGCCACAUGUGAUUCUGACCUAAGGGAAUUUUUGUUUGUAAAGACUAAGGAAUUCCUCUUUGGGAAGCCGUCUCUUUGGUGUGGAUUUUUAGGAAAGGUUGGCUUGCCAUCUUUCCGUUCUUCUUCCUUAAGAGAGAAUAAUAUUUUUCAUCUAUGAGUUUUUCCAAAUUGAUUUCUUUUUGAAAUACUAAUCUGCAUCUAGCUACUUGGUUUUGUCUGCGAUAGAUAUGAUAAAUGCAAUAGGAAUGCAUCUUCCAAAGCUUUGUAUUUCAGGUGGGUAACAAGAGAGUGACAGACACUUUGGUUUCUGUUUGAGUUAGAGCUUGCAAGCUGGUGCCAUGGGAUGAAUGAGCUGGAGAAGGAGCUGUCAUUGCCAUGAAGAACCGAGCUUCAAUCUUUGCUAAGUUGGAGAAGAAGAUUGCACAAAGGAGGUAUAGCUCAUCUUCCUAAAUAGAUCUAGGUUUUUCUUGAGUUUGCUUGUGUUCUUUUGUAAGAAUCUUUUUCUACUUAGUGGAUUGCCUGGUCAGUUGAUGACCCCCAGUUUUUCCCAAUGGUGGGUUUCUGGGUGAACAAUUUCUAUUUGCAUCUCUGUAAUUUUUCUGGGUUUGUGUUCUUGGCGGUUGACUAGUCAUCAUAUGAAUUCUGGGUUUGUGUUCUUGGUGGUUGACUAGUCAUCGUAUGAAUUGUGGUUGAGUAGUCAUCGUAUGAAUUCUGGGUUUGUAUCCUUGUAGUUGACUAGUCAUCAUUAUUUGGUGUUUGGUGUUUGCUUGAUUAUGUUGUCUUCACACACUUUCACCAUAGUUGUUGCUAGCACAGGGGAUGCCUAGAUUGACGGGUCCUUCUGAGUAUCUAGGUUGUCACUAGUAAUUCUCUAGGCUUGCAGGUAUAUCUUGGUAUGCUCUGUGAUGUUAUUAUUUGGUAUAAUUCAUAUCUGACAGUUGACUAGUCAUAAGAGUAUUUGGUUAAGGUCUAGAGUGUGUGAAGUUUGUUGCGUUCUUGGUUGAAUAUCUUUUAAGUUUACCCUUCGUCACCUAAGUACCCAUUUCAGUUCUCCUUGAAAUUAAAGUACUCUCCUCCCCUCCUCUUCAAGGGGGGGAGAGGUAGUGAAAAAGAUAUGUUUCUUUUUCUCAUGGAGAUAUUGCCUCUUUCUUGACUUCGGCAACCCAUUCUCUUCAAGGAGAGAGGAGGAUUGAAGAGAAUUUAUGUCUGUGUGAAUGAGCUAAAGUUGAUAUGGAAGAAUUUGUCGUUGUUAUUUUCUACUGUUGUUGCUAUUACAAUUGCCGCUACGCUUUCAGUUGAUGUGGUCAUUAUCGUUGCUAUUGAUGUGGUUGUGCCCUUUGCCUUUGCCUUGCCUUUAUUUGCCCUUACUUAAAGAGAAAGUGUCGUUGGUGGGAUUGCCUCAGCAGCAGUUCACGAUCUUCUAUUCCCUUCUCUCUUUUUGUCUUUCUUUUUUUCUUUUUCUUUUUCUGUUUAAUUUUUAUUUUAUUCAUUUUUACCUACACAAACCCUUUUAACAAGUUACGAACAUUCAAUGAUGUGGAUUUAACCCUCAUCUCCACUUACUCAUCCAAUAAUUGAUAUUUUGGGCGCAUGAAUACACCAUGCCCAUUGUAGAAUUUUCCUGAUUUGAUUACGUGGUGGGAGUCCCCCACUGGGAGAGAUCAAAUGUAUGUAUAGAAUGUUGCCUGGUUCUCGUGUUGUCCCAGCAACUUGGGAUAUAUCCACCAUUCUUAGCCACGUGUGUUUGUUGCUUGCACUAUCAUCUUCAUUUGUGUUUGUCGCUAUUCUACCACGUUAAUAUUUGGGAUAUUUUGUUACUUGGGACAUCUCCACCACCUUUCUUAGCCACGUGUAGUGUAGUAGGUAGGGAUUAAUAUCUCGGAUAUUCGCUACUCGAAGCCCAUCCGAAAGACAUUCCUCAUCAGUAUUUGACUUUUAAUUUUCCUAGAAUUUUGUAGAUUAUUAUAGGCAAAUGAACACUUUUUAACAGAGUGAUUGCUCCCUAGAUAUGUUCUUUUGAUCAUUAUUCUAGCAUAUACCAAGUUUAUUAACACUUAUGUGUCUGUCAGGUGGUGGUGAUUGACUGUCUAUAGUGUUUGGUGUGGGAGAGGCAUCAAGAGAUUGCAUAGGUAUCGGGUGAAGUGGUGAGCGAGUGGACUGGUUUGAAACAGUGGGCCGAAUAUGAGCAAGUCCAUUAGGUGUAGAAGUAGUGGGUGUGUUGGUAGUUUCCAGCAGUUCGACGAAAACUCUGUCAAACUUUGGAAAAGUUUACCAAAAGGGAAAAUGGGAAGAGAUUGAAGGAUGAGGCUCGAAAUUGCAGAGUUUCAAGGAUGAGAGAUGAAGCUUGCUCUCUAGAUGUGGGUUGUUUUAGCUAGUGAUGAAGUAAUGGGUGUGCUGGGUAGUUUCCGACAGCUUAACGAAAAAUCUAUCAAGCUCUGGAACUUUUUAACAUAAGAAAAAAGGGGAGGAGAUGGAGGAAUAGGGCAUGAAAUUGCAAAGGUUUCAGAUUAUGAGAGAUUAAGCUUGCUCUCCGAAUGUGUGUUGAGAUGAUGGGUAGGAAAUGCCUUUUUUAUAGGCGAUGGAAGCUAUCAUUUUCUAAGAAACCCUAAUGGUUUCUAUCCAAUUUAGCCAAGCUUUUUCCUUUCUUUUUCCUCUCUUUCUUUGACUUAUCUUACUCUGGUAAAAUUCUCUCUGCCCAAUCUCACAAAAUCAGGGCUUUUUGAGAGCUUAAUGCUCUUCCCACAGCUGCCUCGGUGGAGAACUCCUAUUCCCAGCCAUCUCCUUCCUUUCUUUUCCUCCUUUUUCCAUGGCCAAGUAUGAUGAGGGAAAGAAAUGGGUAUACAUGCUGGUUCGAAAGGUGACUCCCUUCCUAAUAGUCUGCGCGCCAAUAUCCCCCGGUCCUUUGGAUGUUUUUGCUUGAAACUUGUUCCCUCCCAUGUGUUGGAGCCUCCCAACAGCUCACACACAUGGAUAUUUUGGCUUUCAUCGUGGCUUUUGUUUUCAGCUAGGUGCUGGAGAUUUGCAGAUAUUUUCUUAGGUUGCUUGGGCCUUCUGGGACAAUAAGUUGGUUUAUCAAGUACAUAGGCUAACUUGAUCAAUUGUUGGGCUAUUUUGGUUGAAAUGAUGGCCUACUUUCUCUUUUAUACUCACCCACAUAUUUGGGCCUAAGAAAUGGGUUUCAGUUCCUGGGCUCCCAAGCAACCCUGGACUUCCAUUUCUUGACCCAUCAAUGGGUCUCAUGACAAUUCAUUACCAUUCAUACCACAACCCACUCAAGCAAGCCCCUGGCAUUUGAGUGGCUUGGGCCCACUUAGGCUUUUAGCAUGGUUGGGGUGGGAAAUAAUGAUUUCCCGCUUGGCAUGUCAUGCUUUUCUAUCAUGAUGCUUGACGGGAUAAUUAGCAUGGGCUCAUAGAGCUAGUGUAUUUUAUGAUAUUUAUCUCAAUCCUUAGCAUGAUGGAUUAUUUAUUUGGCAUGACACAUGGACUGUGACUUAUGCAUGGUGGACUUUCGUGUGCUCCAAAUUGAGUCUUUUCUUAAUAAUGUGUCGUAUUAGGCCGGGAAUUUAUUCGGACCCAACCGUGGAUUUUUUGAGCCUCAACACUAGGCUCAUCAACAUAACUAGGUGGGUUAGACGAAUUGGGCUCAACACCUUGGUGGUUGACGAGAGCCUUGAGUUCAUUAGCAGGUGGUGUUAAAUUGGGCUCAGUUUGUGUUGACGAUGGGCUUGGUGCAGGUAGUGGUGGAAAUUGAUUAAUGUGGUGGAUCCAACGGAGUUGGGCCGUGGACUGUGUUGGUCCUAGUAUGGAAAAUUAGUCUCAUCAAAGGUCACAUGGCGAGAAAUAAAGACCUGAUCUGAAAUCAAAUCUAAACAACACUAACCUUUGUAGUGAUUGUUAUAUCUAAUAAAUACACAUUUAAUUGAUUUAAAUGAUAAUUUGUUGGUGUUGUAAGGAACUAUAUGAGAGAAACAGACAUCCAAAACUUUUAAGAAAUCAAUAAUCAGGUGGACAUUGAAAAAGCUUCUCAUACGGUGAUAUGCGUCCAAGUGUAGAGGAGGGCAAGAAAAACUGCCAUAGAGAAAGCUUCUAACCAAAGAAGGAAGCUGGGCAAGAAGAUCACAGGAAUUUGUUCUUGAGUGUUGCAUUGUAUCCCUCCAUGAUAGACUGGAAAAAUAAGUUCAUUUCCUUCAUUAGUCUGAGUGUUCUCCUCAGGCCCAGAAAAACAAACCUUAAAAAAAAAAAAAAAUUAACCAAUCUAAAAAUUUGUCACAAAAAGAAACAUGAAUUGGUAACUGUUAAUUAAAAAGUUCUUCUUAACCUUUGGUCUUCACUCAAUUUGCAAAUAACACAAUAAUCCCUGCCUUUCAAACCCACAAGGGGCCUAAGCCUCUCAGUCAGAUUUUGCAUAAUGAUGACAUAUCUAUAGAGAAUUUAUUCAAUAAUGGAUAUUUCUUUAAAGAAUAAUCUAUCGAAUCUCAUAACAUGGAGAGAUAAUUAUUUUCCAAAAGCCACAAGAGACCUCAAUUUCUGAAAUUCUUGUUACAGUAAUUCCUCAAAAGCUCCUUCACCCAGCCAAUCAUGGCCAAAAGCUCCUCAAUAGCCAGUCAUCGCCAAAACCAAAAGUUCCAGCCAUCUGUAUAAAUAGAAACCAAAGGGCAUAAAAGUAAGACAAUUUGUAACAGAUAUAAGUGAAAACAAUAACCUAUUACAGCUAGCCAACAUGCUAAUCUAAUGCACAACAAGAAGAAAGACAGAUUCAGAUCAAACACUUUCCUCAAAUUACACCAAUCAGUAGUGACACCAAAAAAAAAAAAAAAAAAAAAAAAAAAAAAAAAAAAAACCAAGGUUAUAAUGCAACUGCAAGCCCAUUCCCAGAUCUUUAAUAUUGACUGACAUGAAAUCCACAGUAAUUAAGUGUCAAAAUGGUAGUCAUUAACGAUAUGGCAUGAAAAUUAGAAAACACUAUCAAGUAAAUGAGCCAAGUUUCGACCCCGCAUUCAUAAUAUUGUAGCAAAUUCACAAUCAGACCAUUCAAACCAACAGGAAGAGAAACUAAAAAGAAAAUCAUUCCAAUUAUGGUAGCAAUGUUAGUUCUAUUUCACAUGUAAUCUAUAAGCACUAACCUUGAGAAGCCAUUAGAGCAAGCACAGCAACAGCAGCAAAUACCACACGAACUGGCCUUGGUCUUCCUCUCUCUAUGCACUCUAAAUCUCUCCUAUAUGGGUAGGAAUAUGAGUCUGUUUUCUGUGUAUGAGAGUGGGGACCGAAGCCUUAGUUUUAUAGGUGAGAGCCUUGAGGUUCCUAGCCCAUAAAGGAAUCCUUAAAGCUUAUCCUUAUCACCUCCCGAAUACAUAGCCUAAUAUGAUAGAUAUUCCACAAGUGAGACAGAGCUUCAACUCUAUCAUACUUAUCCGUGUAUACCCAGUUUAUCUCUCCCUUGUAUCCCUGAUCAGAUUGGAUUCCUAAAUGGAUGUGAACUCAAAUAGAGUUCUUACAAGCAAAACUCACAAGACAGAAAAUAAUCCCCAAGUUGCUGAUCCUCUAGGCAAUCAUGUAGCUAACCAAUUCAAAUUGCAAUGCCAAACCCACAUCUAAUACUAGCAAAGCUACUUCUGCUUUGCAUUUCGUAACAAAAAUAAAAAUAACCAAAUCAACUUAAAUGUCUAAGCAUGCGUGCAUAACACAAUUAUUGGAUUAGUACAAGGUGAAUUUAGCAAAAUUAAAAAAACUCAAAUAAAUCAGGCAAAAAGAUUUGAGCUUUUCUCGUUCUUUUUCUCUUUUCAGAAAAUUUUCUCAAUAACCAAAUAAGGGAACUAGAUGAAAAAAAAAAAAAAAAAAGGGAUGCCAAAGGCCGUACCCCACUCAUCUUCUUCAUCAAGAGGUUGAGAGAUUGCACUGGAGAGGGGUCCAUGGGACGCAAAUGAUCAUGGAUUUGACCAGCCAUAGGACGUAAAAGCCCAGAUCAAGAUCAAUCUAAUAGCUCAAAUCCAAACACAGCAAGUGAAGGGCUAGGGGGCGAGAGGGCGAGAAAGAGAGAGGAAGAGGAGAAAGAGAUCUGUUACCUUGAACGAGUAGGUCAGAGAGAGCAACACAAAGAGGGAGACAGCGCUGAUGGAGGAAGAGAGAACUGCCAGAAAGCGUUGAGAGAGAGAGAGAGAGAGAGAGAGAGAGAGAGAGAGAGAGGGAGAGCGCAGAGGAAGCUGCGAGAGAGACAAGAAAAAGUGAGAAAAAGUGUUGGGGCAAUAAGUAUGUAUUUAUAGGUUGUAUUUAUAAAAUGUGCGGGUAAAGAUGGUAUUUGUAGAUGAAGUUUGGAUUACAGGGGCUUUGAGUGGUAUUUCCCAAUACUCAUCGCAUGCAUUGAUCCUAGGACUCCCAACAACUGACUUGUCUUUUAUUUAUGAAUGCUGCUAUUUUCACUUUUGAUUGUUGUAAAAGUUUGAAGGUGGAGUCCACAGUUUUGGUAUCACAUGCAUGGAGGAAGUUUCCUUGCAUCUUCCAGGAACUUUCUCUUCCCUGUAUUUAUCAAUUCAGGAAGUUUCCUUGCAUCUUCCAGGAACUUUCCUUCCCUGUAUUUAUCAAUUCAGGAAGUUUCCUUGCAUCUUCCAGGAACCUUCCCUUCCCUGUAUUUUGCCUAAACAUUAGCCUAUAAAUAGGCAUACCAAUUGUAAAGGGGAGGGUGACCAACGGAGAAAAGAAAGAAAGGGGAGAAGAGAAAAAGAAGAGAGAAGAAGAAGAGAAAAGAAGAAAGAAAAGAAGAGAAAAAGAAGAGAAAAGAAGAAGAGAAAAGAAGAAAGAAAAGAAGAGAAAAGAAGAAAGAAAAGAGAGAAGAAGAAAGAGAAAGAAAAUUCAGUGAGCCUCACAUAUUGUAAACUCUAAAGUUGUAGCCCUAUUAUUUUAUAUAGUGAAAAAGUUACUGCUGCUGCUCUUCGAGGACGUAGGCAUAGCCGAACCUCGUUAAAUGCUGUGUCUCAUCUACUUUACGUGCAGCUCAAUAUUCAUACAUAUUCCAGGUUAUUUUUAUAACACGUUAUCAGCACGAGAAGCUCUCAGGUAUAAUUUUUGUGCUGCACUAUUAUCUAUACUACUAACCACUAACAAAAAUGGACCCUUGGUAAUACUAAACAUAUUAUCAGUGGGAGACCGUUACUAAUACUAACUUUUUUCUUAUUUUAUUCGGUGGUGGUUUUAACCCCACAUUUAUUUACUAUAUGGUGUAGGUCUAUUACCCAUACAUGCACCUUUACUUUAUCGCAAAUUUAUUUUACCGCAUUUUUAUUUUAUUUACUGUAUGGUGUAGGUUUAUUACCCAUACAACAGUAUUUAUUUAAAAGGGUGGUGCGGGUUUAUCGUCCACGCCUUUACUUUUAUUUAAAUGUAUGGAGCAGAAUUAGUGCCCAUACAAGCACAAUUUACUUUACCGCACAUUUAAUUUUAUUUAAAGUAUGGUGCGGGAUUAACGUCCAUACAGCAAGCAAUUUAAUUUAUGAAUUUAAUUUACCGCACAUUUACAUUUAUUUAAAAGGGUGGUGCGGGUUUAUCGUCCAUACCAGUAAUUUAUUUACCAGCAAUUUAUUUUAUGGAUUAAAUGUGCUGUAUGAUGAGUUUUUACAGUAUGCAGAUCAGGACCAGAAGUUCCUUGAUCCUCAUCAUACAAUUACAUCAGGACUUGAAGAUCCUUGAUGAUGAUAUUAAUAUGAGAGCUGGCAGUCUCUCCGGUACUGUAUUUGUAAACAUGUGGACUUAAGGGUCCUUGAUCCCUGACAUGUAAAUAAGGACCUAGAGUUCCUUAAUGAUGUAACAGUACCAUAUUGGUUCAUGGUGCCGUACACAUUGAUGAUAACUGUACUGGCAGAUGAAUAGAUACGUAUUCAUGACUUGAUGAAUAGUACUAUUCACAUGAAUAGUGACGUAUGCAUAAAUAUUAACCAUUUUGGGUAAACCGUCACUAUAUACAAAAGGGAACCUGCAGUUUCAUGGUGCCGUACACAUGGAUGAUAACUGUACUGGCAGAUGAAUAGAUACGUAUUCAUGACUUGAUGAAUAGUACUAUUCGCAUGAAUAGUGACGUAUGCAUAAAUAUUAACCAUUUUGGGUAAACCGUCACUAUAUACAAAAGGGAACCUGCAGUUCCUUAAACUCAUGGAUGAGCAAUUAAAUGAGAUGCCAGAAGUUCCUCAAGAUAUGGACAAUUAUGUAAGGACUUGAAGUCCAGAAAUAUGUACAGAAAAUUGUAAAAAUGUCCAUACCAUGAGAAUAUGUGGCUUUGGCCUGAAGUUCAAAAUUUACAGUGUUGAGAACCUGAAGUUCCAACAAUUAAAUGGACAACCCUUGAGGUAUUAUUGCAAAUUGUGGUAUGCCACAUAUUUCUUUGGCAUAAGAAGAUGAUGAAUUUAAUAAAGUUCGAUUUUGUUAUAAUCGACACCUCAAGGAAGAAAUAUAUUUUGUGUGUUGAAAUAAAAAAUUCGUUGAUAGCAAAUUAAAUUUUGGCCCAAGUUUAAAGAAGUUGGGCCCAUAGCUAAAAUGGUUUUGUGGACUUGUUGCUAAAUUGGCUUAGGCCCAAAUGAAUUAAUAUUAAUAUUUUUACAAGAAAAUAUUAAGCAUUAACAGAACAUGUACGUUGAGUUGAGUAGUGACUGAAAAUGGGAAGUUACUCCCACCCACAUACGUGAGGCAACAACUGGCUCCACUAUGUCAGUUCCUCUUGGUCUAUAAAAAGGGACCAAAGGAUGCAAAAAAAGAGAGGAGAAAAAGCACCAAAUUGCUGCAGAAAUACACAGAAAGAAAAAAAAACUGCUACAGAAAUCCAAAGAAGAGAAGCAAGCAAAAGAGAUACGAAGCUCUGUCAUAAUACCAUUCAGAAGGUAUAAACAAAUUCAUUUGAGUAUCCUUUUAUGUACAACUGACUUGCAAGCAAAAAGAUAUGUAUGUGAGGCCAUCGUACAGAAGUUUGAACUUCCUCCAUGUUUGAUAUCAAGAAAUGUAUCAUAUCAACAGAGACUUCAGCAGUGGAAAAAAAUGCAAACAAAUCCUCCCAAAUUGGCAAUAGCUGUGCUACUUACACAAAGAGAGCUCUCACAAGGACCUCUCUGUUGUGAAUUACAGAUGGGCUUCUGCAAGAACUCCACUGUACAAGUGCUGUGAACACCUUGUGAGUGUCCAUAGGCACAUUGUGGUACUCAGAGAAGACCUUGCGAGUGUUCUUGAGUACCAAAAAAAAAUAGAAGACAUCAACAGACCAGACGCUUUGUUACUUGCCCAACCCACCUUCAGCAGAGCAAAAAUUCUGCAAACAGAAAUUAAUGAUUGCCAGAAAGCUUACAGAGACUGAUGAUUCACACCCACGAAGGUCACCAAAGCAGCAUUCCUCUGCAACAAGUUGCAGAAACCACAAAGGGUUCUCACUCUGUCACUGGCACUAUGAUAGCCCUUCCCAAAAGAUCUCAGUCUGCAAUCAAAUGAAGAAAAAAUGCACCGAAGCAUCAUACCAUUGUUACCAAGAGACCGGAAGGAAGCAGAGAACUCAAAAUUGUCUUUGGACCCAAAAAAAUGCAGUCAAGUCUUCAAGGAAAUGAUGAAAACGAAAUCACAAGCAAGAUUCAAAAAGAGAUGAUUUUUCUUUUCUCUCGACACCAAAGGCCAGACCCCAAAUUAGUGUCUCAGGCAAAAAGUAAAAGGAAAAUGGCUCACUAAUUUCAGGCUAAGAAGCCUCCUGUGUUGCGGCUGUUGAAGAACCCAAAAGCAAACUUAAGCCAAAAACAAAGAAGCUGAAAGAGAAACAAAAUUCAAAAGAGAAGAAGAAAGACUUGCCAAAGCUAAAUGGAUGCACAGCUUGCUGCCAGCAGUUUUUCUUCAGACCAAAAUUCGGUCUUUAGACCAAAAAAAUGAAGAAACUUGUUGCUCAAAGAAAGCCCUCCUGCCAUGCCCAAGAUUGAAGAAGAAAAGCAACCAAAAAAAAGAGAGUUUCGUAUUACUGAAAGAAACCAAAACAAAACAAGGAAGAAAAAGCCAAAAAGGGACAAAGCAAAGGAAAAGUACCUUUGUACUUUGACAAACUGACGUGUUGCCUUUAAACUCCCAUAUUUCCAAUGGGUUAUGUAGUCCAAGUCUGCCUUCAAGUUCCCAAGACCUCAUAUUAAUAUUUUAAUGAUUUAUGUAGUCUAAACAGAUAUGAGCAAAGCAAAGGUCUUGCUUUGGUUUUGGCGUCUAAGACUCUAGGCUCCAUAUUGAUUGUGGCAGAUGAGUGGCUGAAGAGAUAUAUAAUUGGGUCCAGUUUGAAUUGAUCCAGAUAAGGAUGGGAGUGGCUCAGUUUGGAUCGAUCUCUACUACUCCAAAUAGAUAUCGAUUUCAAAUGCAACUAGCUCUCAAAGUUUUUCUGACAUGGACCUUUUGUUUAUGGGCCAACUAAAAGACCCGAAAAACAAAUUGAUGGGUCGACAAAACAAAUUACCCAUUAACUCUCAAAAGCCCAAAAUAUUUUAUGGGUUGGUCCAAAUAAAUUAUGUGGUUAAUGGAUUAAUCCUUAAUGGGCUCAUUAAAAUGCCUUUUAAUUUUCUUUGGACAUUAACAAUAAAAAUGGUACAAAACCAUUCCAAAUUUUCCCAUGGGUCAUCUACCCUGCAAAUUUCAAUGGAUCAAAUUCAAAUUUCUCAAAUAUACAAAUUCUUUCAAGGGAUCAUUCAUUCUUUGAAAGUCCGAUCAAAUUAUCAAGGAACUACGUCCGGUUUGAUUCCGCCAAGGAUACGUAGGCAAUUUGGAAAUUCAACCCAGAUACAACCGCAAGUCCAAACAGAAUCCCUGGUGUACCUUAACCAAAUUCGCCCCAAACACUUUUCCAACCAUAAAAUCAAAUUGAAUCCCUGGUCCAACCACAUUCAUCCAAAUUCCAUAAAAUAUUUCUCAUACCAAAAAUUCUUUCAAGGGGUCAUUCAUUCCUUGAAAGUCCAAUCAAAUUCUCUUGAGAACUACAAAAGGCUUGAUCCCCAAAAUGGGGUAUGUAGGCAGUCUAGGGUUCCCUGGAUGCAGCUGUAACAUCAAAUCAAAUUCCAUUAUUUAUUUCAUUUUUCAUAUUGGAAUCAAAGGGUUUUCUCUUUAUAAAGAGAUUAUAAUUAAGAGAUAUUUUUUAUCUUGAGUGGGUCAUAUUCAAUUAAAAAUAAAAACUCCUAUUUGUAAAUAAGAGUGAGAUUAUGUUGGGUGAAUUUUUAAUUUCUUUAUUACACUUUUUAUCUAACAUUGUGAAUUCCGGUUGUUAAGAAUACACCGCAAAAUGGAUAAUAUUAAUAUAAACCUCAAAUAAUGAAUUGAGGCUCCCCACAUAUUUUGUUUUAUCUGGGCCGGAAGCCCAUGGAUCCAAAUAUAUGAGAGAUCCUGAACUUGAAGUUGUGGGUAUAUAGUAGUUAAUGCUCUUCACUACUAUAUUGCGAUAUUAUCAUGGCUUUUACUCAAUUCAUAUUUCAUGUCCAUUUGAAAAGGGCAAAUAAAUUCUGAGUUUGUGCCCAGGCCAAAAGUUCCGGGCUACUAUGCGAUAAAAUAUGAAAUUUGGGAGAGACAAUGUGGUUAUUUAAACCUAUAAGGCACAAGGUUCCAAAUCAUCAUUUUGAAAAGACGUAAAAACCACAGGUGCAAGUUUAAGAAUAUGCGCAAUUAUUAUAACAGAAAAGGGGCAUACAACAGAUAGAUUUUUUCCUGCAAUGAAGGUGCAGGCCCUGUAAAAUCUAUAAAAAUUACAUUAUGUCCUGGAAGCCUCUGAAGGAAGAUGAUGGCGCCUCUUAAGCUUAGCCAUGAGCUUCUCAUGGUCUCCCAAAAUUCUUUCAUUCGAGACCUGCAGCAUGUCUAGCCUUCUCAGUGUAUCAACAGAGUACGAACUCACCAGUUUCAACAAGGCAUUAUUCUCUCCUUUAAGUUUCUCAACCUCCUGUUGAGACUCAUGAAGCAUUCUUUGGAGAGACGAAUUUUCAGUUGUUAAAUUCUCAACCUCGUUUGCUCUGGCACGCAAACGAUCAGCCAUGUUAGAAACAGAAACAGCACUCUGAAUGCUAAAAGCCAUUGAGUCAUCAAUAGCCUCUUCCUCUGAUCUCCCCGUCAACAACAUUUCAUCCAUUGGAGUAAUGAAAUUCCUAGCUACUAUGACAGCAGUAGCAUCAUUCAUCAUCACAGAAUCAUUAACUGUGAGAUGACGAUUUUUGGAUACAAAGGAUGGACGCCAAACUUGGGCGUCACUGGUUGUUGUGGGAGCAUCAUUUAAAUUGAAAUAAUUUGGGCAGGAAGAAGAGGAAGCCAUUUUUUUUUUAAGAAGGUUUCGAAGAAAGUCUUAGGAAAACUAAAGUUUCAGAAAAUGAAGAAAUUUGAGUUGAAACGCAGUUGCUCCAAUCAAGUUUUGCAAAGACCAUAUCUAUAGGAGGAAAUAUGGCUACUGUUUUUCAGGACCCCAAUAUCUUCUCGAAUCCCCAUAUUAUCUUUUUCUUUCCCAGAGUCCAAAACUUCACGUGGCCUCUAAUAAUGCCUGUCGGCACUUUCGGCGUUUUUCAAAGUAUUAUUUUCAAAGCCGAUCUUGCUUUACGGAUUUCACGGAACUACUUUUUCAAAAGUAUCCCGAGAAUCUCGCAAUUUUCCUAUGGUUAAUUUGAAAUUCACCGGUUCUACCUAUUCAUUGUAUUUGUGUAUAAAUGUGUUACUAACGAAAUUUUCUUUGCAAAAGACAUCCAGUUUUCUCCAUACCUAGUGAUGCGAUAUCUACUUGUUUUUCUUAUCAGUGAGCACUUAAUAUGCCUGAGAAGCAAGACUAUCUCUGAUCAUCCAUUCAAGAAGCAAGACUAUCCCUGAUCACGUUUCUACUACAUCAGGAAACUGUGAAGGCGAUCUUAUGCUCUAAUCUCCGGAAGUCCUUCUAGACUAGGAGAUAUGAGAGCUUAUUGUCUGCUCCCACCAGCUUCCUUCCCUGAUUGCUUACCUUCUCUUGCAAUCAAUAUCACAUUAUUUUUGCAUUUUUUCUCUUUUUAUAACUCUCUGUUCAUAAGAGAUUUUAUUUCUUUAGAAUGAACAUCUGAAGAAUGAAUCCAUGAAGUAAUCCUAACUAUGAGGGUUAUCUGUUUUGACAGAGGCAAAAGAGUUGUGAUUUUUGCUCUUGCAGGAUAUAACUAGAUCAUCAAGCGCUACAUUAUAUUUACUGGGCUGAUAUGAGCUUGAAUGAUACUUGAGAAAAGUUUCUCCCACCUAAGGAUGUAAGCAAUACUUGUGUUAUUUUAUGCUUAUAUACCUAUUUGAUAUUUUAUCUUGAAAGGUAACCAAAUUGGGAGAUAAGUCCGUUCCAAAAGAAUGGCUUGUAUGUAUCCAUGAAUUAUUAAUGCAAAUUUUACAGAUUGUAAGAUGGAUACAUUGAUAAUACACUGCACAGAUUAAAGUCCCAUAAGAACAGAAUAUGGGUAUAACAGUGAUCAAUAUGGGUGCACGCCUGUUGCGUAGCAAAUGAUAUGGAUUGAAGUCCCGAAAGGACAAUCCUUUGACAUGUCAAUAUUGAUAUUAUGCACGCCUAAUGCGUAGCAAAUUAUAUGGGUUAAAGUCCCAUAAUAUGGGAUAAAGUCCCAGAAAUUAAUUGACAUGUAUGUAUUAAUCUGUGGCAUGCCUGCAGCAUGACAGAUAUAUGGGUUCUCAAUGUUCCAACUCCCUAAAUGAAGAUUAUCCACGCCCUACUACUAAAUAACGCUCCGAUGGAGGUUAUAAUCCACAUUCUCACAUAAUAAAAGCCCCCUGAAGUGGCUUGGGUACCCAAAAGCAAAGAAAUGCUUAUAAUUGAUGCAUGCGCAUGCACAUGAGAAUGGUGGGAUCAUGAAUUGAUGAAUGACAAUUUUUGGUUUUGGAGUAGCUACUCAAAUCAUCAAUGGGCUGUGUUGAUUGGAACCACGUUCAAUUAUUAAAUGUCGACAAUAUCACUGGCCAAAAUGGAACGAGGUAAUUCCAUUAUAAAUGAGAAUGAACGUGAAAGAACAAACCACAAUACGAACCCCAAAAUUUGUUAAUACUGAAAGUUAUACUUGGGUGUUCGGAAUAAAAGGGAAUAUACCUACUUUGUAUGACACACUGUUUCUGGCAGAAAUAAGGAAUGUUGGGUUUUCUCCAUAUUUACAGAUUCAAUUGUGCCCCCCCUUAUUACACAAUUACGGAGACCAACAUAUUAUCUUUAAGGGUUAUUGAAUGCACGGAGCAUAUCGCCAGAAGCGAUUUCCUAAAGAUGUAUAAAUAGCUGGGUAAAAACUAUAUAAUGUGUCAUAAAGCUUAAUCCCUUUUAGACAAAAUCCGUUGAGAGGAUUGAUAUUGCAUAAAGCAAGUCCCUAAAGGACAUGUGCUUGAAGCACACAAUUUGUACUCAAUAUUAAUAUGCAUAAAUUACCUCAAUGAGUACAUUGAUUAUAAUGUGAUUGCAACACAUUAAAGUUUCUGCAGAAUUCAUGAAAUAUUUGUCUCGAUCGAGCAUUAUGCCAACGAGAUUCUUGCUUAUACUAAGAAAGUAUUAAAGUAUUUUUAUGAGGAUUAUCCGUUGGACACUUUAAUGAUUUUCCGGAAGUAUAUUGGACCGAACAUCAUAUUUUCCAGAUAGGGCUCAACUCCAUCACCAUCAUUUUGGGAUGAUGUGAGGUAUAUUUGAUGCUAUCUAAGCAUAACACCAUAUACGGGCAUAUUUUUUUAGUGAACUUAUAAAUAGCCCAAGUGUUCUAAGAUAUGCGGACUCAGGAAAUCUCUAUGGUCGCUUACUGGAAAAAGCUAGUCAUGAAGUUUUCAGGGGGAGAUAUUCAUCAGGGGGAGCAUGGUAUUAAUAAAGACCUUCAUACACUAUUGACUCACAGCAGCAGUGUCAACUAUGAUAUUCAGACAGAUGAUCAACAGUAUGGCUUAAAGAUAUUUUGCCAAGCAUCAGGGGGAGCGUGCUGUCAAUACAGACUCUUACACACUGUACUCUUUUUCCUUCGUCCAGGUUUUUAUCCCACUGGAUUUUUCCUGGCAAGGUUUUAACGAGGCAGUGUCGCACGCGCGUCAAUAUACACAGAAUUUUAUGUUACACGUGAUUAUGUACUCUUUUUCCCUUCGACCAGUUUUUGUCCCACUGGGUUUUUACUGGCAAGGUUUUUAACGAGGCAUAUUCCAUACCAUUUGUGGUCUCCAAGGGGGAGUGUUGUAAAAGUUUGAAGGUGGAGUCCACAGCUUUGGUAUCACAUGCAUGGAGGAAGUUUCCUUGCAUCUUCUAGGAACUUUCCCUUCCCUGUAUUUAUCAAUUCAGGAAGUUCCUUGCAUCUUCCAGGAACUUUCCUUCCCUGUAUUUAUCAAUUCAGGAAGUUUCCUUGCAUCUUCCAGGAACCUUCCCUUUCCUGUAUUUUCCCUAAAAAUUAGCCUAUAAAUAGGCAUACCAAUUGUAAAGGGGAGGGUGACCAACGGAGAAAAGAAAGAAAGGGGAGAAGAGAAAAAGAAGAGAGAAGAAGAAGAGAAAAGAAGAAAGAAAAGAAGAGAAAAAGAAGAGAGAAGAAGAAGAGAAAAGAAGAAAGAAAAGAAGAGAAAAGAAGAAAGAAAAGAGAGAAGAAGAAAGAGAGAGAAAAUUCAGUGAGCCUCACAUAUUGUAAACUCUAAAGUUGUAGCCCUAUUAUUUUAUAUAGUGAAAAAGUUACUGCUGCUGCUCUCCGAGGACGUAGGCAUAGCCGAACCUCGUUAAAUGCUGUGUCUCAUCUACUUUACGUGCAGCUCAAUAUUCAUACAUAUUCCAGGUUAUUUUUAUAACAUUGAUCUAUUUUUCUACUUAUUUUAUUUUUAAAAUUUGAAAAAUAAAUUUAUUUCUUUGUAAAAUGACUUGAGGCUCUAGAUUCUUCAAUAGAAAAAGGAGCUUGUGAAUAUGGUAUUUUAUAUAGGAUGUUGAGAGAUUAAGGGCUAGUUUGGUAUUACUGUAAUGUAAAGAUAAUCAUUGUUAGAUUUGUUAUGAGAUAAAUCAGCUGUGAAAGAAAGCAGUUUGGUGUUUGUUAAACUUUUUGUCAAAAAUAAUGUUGGUAUAAUAAUCAGUUUCUGAGUGUUUGGUAAAUUUUUGUGUGUAAGUACUGUAAGCUUUGUAUAAUGAUUAAAAAGGAUUCGAUGUUGAAAUUAUUUUUGUUAUUUAAGUGUUUGGUGAUAUUAAAACAAAAAACAAAAAAAAGAACCUGCCUCACUUUUACUUUUGCCAAAACAUUCUCACUUUCAAUUAUACAAAUCUUUUAUUAAAUAUUUUUGUUGAGAGAUACCGUAAAACAAUAACAUUUUUUAAAAAAAAAAAGUAAAACAAGACCCUCUAUACACCCCUCUCCCUCCCCCAGCCCCACCCCGACCCACCUUCCCACAGAUCCACCUUGAUCUUAAUGAUCAACACCCUGAAAAGCUCCCACACAGUCUACAAUGUCAAAUCCAAGAUCCAAUAAAAGGAGAGUAUUCUGCCAGACCAACAGAGGUUGAUCUUUGCUUGCAAGACACUCCAGGAUGGAUGCACCUUGGCCGACUACAACAUCCAAAAAUAAUCCACUCUCCAUCAAGUGCUUUGACUUCGUGGCAGAUAAAGAGAGUUGUGCCUCUCUUUGGUUGAUUGAAGUUUAGGGACGAAAAACCCUCUAUUGCACUAUCAAAUCAUUCAAAGAUUUCAAUUUGUUGUGUGCAAUAAUGCUUUGUCAAUGAAAAUGGGAGGAGUUGGAAUGAGUUGCUUUAUCAAAAUGUUUUGGAGGAUUUAAGGAACUUAAGAAAGUAAGGUCUGAGAGGUUUUCACUUUUGAAAUGUUGUGAGAAGAAUGAGAUGGUCUCUGUGGAAAGAAGAUGAGGAAUAGUGGGAAUGUGCUGGUCUAGAAGAAGAUGAGGUAUAGAUUAUGUAAAUUAGAAAAGUUAUCAAGAAUAUUAUAGGCAUUUCAUUAGAAUUCAUUAAAGACCACCUGUUCUGUGUUUUUGCUUUCCGCAAAAGUUGAAAUAAAAUCAGCCCUUGAGGUGCUUUCCAAAAUCACGUUGAUCGGUAGCUAUUUUCUCCCAAAAGUGAUUAUUUCGUCUUUUAACAAACGGAAUAAACUUCAAAAACUUUAUCAGAAAUCACCUUUUAGCUAUUGCUUUUGGAUUUUUUAGGACCCGAGAGAACAAUUUCCAGCAAUUUAUAGGUUUGUUGUGUUGUAUCUAUUAAGUAAUUUGUUUCUUUCUUUGGUAAAAUAUAUAGUUUCAUUUUUGAGUUAUUUCAAUUCCUAUUCAAUUGAGUAUAUUUGUAUAUGGUGGAAUUUGACAAUUUUUUUUUUUUUGGUUGCCGAAAUCAAGUUUCAUUAAUAGAAAGGCAAUGCGAUUUACAUGAUAGUGGAACUCACAAAAAUGAGUCCAAACAAAUGCAACAGUAAAAGCCCGUUAGAAAUAAAACUCAAACUGUUAGCGAGUCCUUAUUUAGUUAGGAUUUUGAUUCCUUACUAUGUUAGGAUUUUAGUUACUUACCCAUUUAUCUAGUCUUGUUAUAAUUGAGAUUUAUUUCUUAUUAUAAUUUAUAUUUAUUUUAUAUUAUAAUUUAAAUUUAUUUAUUAUUUUAUUUAAAAUUCACACAUUUUUGUACUUAUAUAAAUACCUCCUUAUUGAGAGAGCACUCCCAUUGGUCAUGCUUAGAGCUCCACUCUCAUGGAAUCUUAUUGUUGUUCAAACUCUCUUUUCGGUAGAUUUUGUUAUUUGGUAACUGGUUCAGGUUGUGGCCUUCGAGGAAAUUGAUCUUAUAAUAUUCAAGAGUAGGCAAGCGGAUUCCAACAAAAAAAAGAGACUAGGCAGGUGGAUUCCAAACAAACAAAAAAAGAGUAGGCCAGUGGAGCAUCUGGAAUUUGAUCCGAAAAAUCCGCGGGCAAUCCUUGUCAGAAAGACUUUUAUGAAAUGGAAGUAGUGUUAUUUUAUUAUUGUGAUUAUUGUGACAUGCGUAAUAAUAUUUUAGAAGAAAAGUAUCAUACAGAUUUUGAACAUCUAAUUGAAAACCAAUUAAUAAUGAGUGAACAGCUCGGGAACUUGUGGCAUUACCUGUUUAACCAAUAUUAUAUGUUGGAAAGUUGACUUACCGAUCACAGCACAUGGAGUACACAUCCUCACAUGCAUGGGAGAAUGCCCAACAAUUGUUUAAUCAACGAUUGUCCCAACCAUGCUCAUGCGUAACAUCGAUUUCUAAUUAUUAGUUGAUAAUCUCUCUCUCUCUCUCUCUCUCUAGUGCAUCUGAGCCCAACCAUGGCAGAAUGCUUUUUCAUUUGAAAUGCAUAUACCAUUGAUUGCUCCCCAGAAUCAAUUUCAGAUAUGUUCUUUUGAUUAGGGAGACUUUGGAAAAACCCAAAGGAGAGAGAAAAUUUUUAAAAGAAGCAAAAAUGGACAAAAUUACCCUUAUUUAUUUUUUAAUUUCCUAAGAAAUCCUUUACAUUUGCAUGUCUUUGGUUUGAAAGUUGAGAGGUUAUUCUGUCUUUUUUGAAAAAGCUUUGGCUUUUUCUAAAAGUGAAAAAAAUUUUAUGGGUAAAACCUAAAUUUACUUUUUGAUUAAGGUUAUACCAAAAUAAGGCCAUUAUGGCGUCUGCUGCAACAGACCUCUUCAUUGGAAAAUUUGUAGCCAUUCUAGAGAGUGAAGCAGCCUCCAUAGCGGGUGUUCGUGAUCAAGUUGAUGAGAUUAAGCAGGAGCUGGUAUUCAUGAAAUCCUUCUUAGAUGAUGCUGACGGCGGAGAGCAGGCACACACACAAGUACAGAAAGCGUGGGUCGCAAGCGUUCGAGACUUGGCCAAUGAUGUUGAAAACACCAUUGAUGAGUUCAUGUAUCACGUGUACGAGCAGCGAAAUGGCGGUCGAUUUGCCAGGUGGAUCCACAAAACCAUUCACUUUCCAAAGCACCUUUGGUAUAAGCGUAAAAUAGCCAACAAGUUACAGAAAAUCGCGACUGCAAUUAGAGCUAUUACAGAGAGAAAUCAGAGAUAUGGUGGUGGUGCAGCUGUAGAAGGAAAAAGUACUUCUUCUGAGGAUAUUCGCAGAUGGGUGCAGAAUCAAGGGGAGUCUUCUAUUUAUCAUAAGGAGGAUGAACUCGUCGGGAUUGAAGGUGAUAAGAACUUGUUAAUGGGAUGGCUGAUGAACGAAGAGCAACGCCAAACUGUUGUGUCUGUGGUCGGGAUGGGAGGAUCGGGGAAGACAACUCUAGUUGCAAGGACUUUCAAAGAUGAAAUUGUACAGAGACAUUUCGAAUGCUAUGCGUGGAUUACUGUUUCCCAAUCUUAUGUGAUUGAAGACUUACUUAGAAGAUUGAUCAAAGAAUUCCACAAAGCAAAGAAGGAAGAGGUCCCUGCAGACAUGAAUGCCAUGAGUUAUAACGAAUUGCUGGAGAUUUUGAUGAACUGCUUGGGAACUAAAAGGUACCUAGUUGUAUUGGAUGACGUGUGGGAUGUCCACCUUUGGGAGAAAAUAAGGUUUUCAUUUCCAGAUAAACAACUUGAAAGUCGAGUCAUGCUUACAACUCGAAGAGAAGACAUAGCAUCCUCUUCUUUUGGAGUUGAAAGCCAUGUUCACAAGAUUCAACCGCUGGAAAGGAGUGAUGCUUGGGAGCUCUUCAGCAUGAAAGCAUUCUCAAGUUAUCAGAACAAAUCUUGUUCACCUGAACUUCUGCCUUUAGCUCGGGAACUUGUGGAAAAGUGUGAAGGCUUACCACUCGCGAUCGUAGCCUUGAGUGGUCUCAUGUCUUCUAAGAAGUCACUUGCAGAGUGGAGCACAGUCUACAACAGCUUAAAUUGGCAUCUAACAAACAAUUCUUUGUUAGAACCUAUGAAGAUGCGCAUCUUGUUGUUUAGUUUUAAUGAUUUGCCAUACCGACUGAAGCAAUGCUUUCUAUAUUGUUCCCUUUUCCCUGAAGAUCAUGUGAUCAUAAAUAUUAAGCUCAUCAAAUUGUGGAUUGCUGAAGGAUUUGUUGAACAUGUCGAAGGCGUCACACCAGAAGAAGUUGCAAAGAGCUAUCUUAUGGAACUCAUUUUUCGUAACAUGCUACAGGAAAGGUUUGUAGCAUCCAGGCCAGCAUGUAAGAUGCAUGAUGUUAUGCGGGAGAUUGCUUUGUCAAAAGCAAAAAAAGAAAAGUUUUGCACUGUACAUGAUGGGAGUGAAACAGUAGAAGAAACUGGAGCACUCCGUUUGUCAAUUCAAACAACUAAUGGAGAAAUUGGAUCAUGCACAGGUAUAUCACGGCUCCGUUCGUUUCUCGUCUUUGCCACUGGCGUAUCCUCAUUCUCUUUCUCAAAUGAAUUACCUUUUGACCUUAAAUUGUUGAAGGCUCUAGAUUUGGAGGAUGUCCCAAUAGAUAAUUUGCCAGACAGAGUAACGUGCUUAUUCAAUUUAAAAUAUUUAAAUUUGGAUGGAACUCUAAUUAAGGAGCUUCCAGAAUCCAUUGGACAGCUCCGCAACCUUCAGGCCUUGAACGUCAUGGACACAAAUAUAGAGGCACUUCCAAGAGGGAUUUCCAAGUUGCUAAACUUACGCCAUUUAGUUGCGGGCAGAUUCAUUUCCAGAAAGAUAAUUGGGGUAAGAAUACCAUCAAGUAUUGGUAAGAUGAAGAAAUUGCAAUCUUUGGCGUAUAUUGAAUCAGAAGGAAACAUUAUUAGACUUAUUGGAAGUAUGACCCAGCUUACGUUCCUUGGCAUUACAAAUGUGAAAGAAAGAGACGAGGAGGACCUAUGUGCCUCAAUUCAAGAGAUGAAGGUCCUUUCCCGCUUGCUUUUAUUUGGAGCCGAUGGAGAGGAAUUUCUUCGAGUCGACGCAUUGUCUUCACCGCCUCCCUACCUUGAUAGACUUGACUUGAUCGGCAAACUGGGAAAGGUACCACAUUGGUUUUGUUCACUCCACUCUCUCACAAUUAUGAAUCUGACUCAGUCUGCACUUGAAGAAGAUUUACUACCUCAUAUUGAAGCAUUGCCCUCUCUACGUUCUCUUUCGCUUGAUAAUGCCUCUGUUAGGAAAGAGUUAUGUUUCAACAGAGGCUUUGUGAAGCUUCGGCAAUUGUGGUUUUGGAAUCUCGCAUUAUUAAAUAAGAUAACUAUAGAAAAAGGGGCGAUGCCAAAUCUCGAGCUCUUAAGCAUUGAUGGUUGCUUGACAUUAGAAACAUUGCCACAGGGUAUUGAGCACCUUGCUAAACUACAAGGAUACAGAUUUUAUAAUGUUUCAGAGAAGUUUAGAGAGUCCAUAAACGAAGGAGGUGUGGAUCAUCCAAGGAUGCUACUUGUCGUCGAGAGAUGUAAGAAAUAUACGUAAGUAUCUUUUAUCCUUUCAUUGACUUUCCUAAACUUAAUGAUUUGGAAUAUUGCACUUGUGUUCAAGAAAUUGUUCUCGUUCACAUCUCUGUUAAUGGAUGUAAAGCCAUAUACAUUGUUUGUUAAUUACAAUAUUGUUUUUGUCUUUUUAUAUAUUUUGCAGAAACAAGUCCUAGGAUUGAAGAUUUUGUUGAGAGUGUUUGUCCCACAUUGAAAUGUUAAGGGACCUAGUCUGGGUUUAUAAGGAGUUGUGCAACUCCCCCCAUUGCCAAUUGGUUUUGGAGUGGAACCUCAACUUCCUUCAGAUUUUACCCAUGAGUUUGGGGGUGGGAACUUGUUCGUCUUAUUUUGACCCCAAGAGUGAUCUAGAUUGGCUUCUUAUUUGCUCCUUUGAAAAUCAAACAAUACCCAAGUUGAUGUUCAUAAAAUUGCGGUUGAUGUUUUUGUGUGUGUUUUAAUUUGCAUUUAAUAAAAUUCGAGUUUGCAUCUGUCAAUUCGACAAUUGGCAGAUGUAUGUCGAUGAUUAGCUUUCACUACUACAAAAAGUGAAAAAGACGACCAGAAAACAACGACGGUCUAAGUGAAAACCGUCGUGGUUUAUAAAAAGACGACGGUUCUAAAAACACCGUCGUGUAAUACAACCUUAGACAACUAAAAAAUGGAGUUUCAAAUGGCUGUUCAAAAACAACGACGUACAUAAUUAAACAACCGACGUCUAUUUGAAACAGAUUUCCUCAGUGUAAAAUCAAUGCCAACAAAGAACGGCAGAAGUUAUGAAUCGACCGACGUAGAAAGUAAAGACGACGAUUUCAAUAAAAACUGCCGUUUUUACUCAUAAAAUAACACGACGAGGUUUUCGUAUAAGACGCCGUAUAAUUACAAACAAAUCCACGGCUUUAAAAUACAAAAUAUCGCCGUAUUAAAUUAAUUUACAACGACGGAAAAUAUAAAUAUAUCGACGUCAUUCUCGUAUAGUUCUACUACGUUAUCUUUAAAUCGUACAAUAAAAUUUAUCGUCGUAUUUAUUCAUUUUAUACGUCGUACCUUUAAUUUUAACGGUCGUCUUAAUAAGAAUUUUUGUUAACAAUUUUUUUCUUUGAUUUUCUUAUCCUACGUCGGUAGAUCUACUUAAUGACAAGAAUUGAAAUAACCACGACGGUUUAUAUAGAACACCGCCGACAUAAUCAGUUUUGUCUGAGAUCCCAAGGGUUACGAAAUCUUACCAGAUGGAACUCUGUUCCACAUCAUAAUCUUAACAGAUGACACAGAUUUGCAAAUAUUGCGUCGUGUUAGUUUACAAAUUCUAGAACAUUAAUUUUCCUCAUUUUAAAUUUCCUCGGGAAAGAAAAAUCUAUUUAUCACGCUUUGGAAUUGAAAACUAAAACUGAAAGAAUACGGGAAAAAAAACUCUAUUUAUAAUUUAAAAUUAAAAUCCACGUCGGUUGUAGUACACUUAACGACGUUUAACAAAAUAAUCUACGUCGGUAAUUAUAAAUCUACCGCCAUCUUAACUUAAUAUAGACGACGAGAAAAGACGACGGUAGAACAGAAAACCGCCGUUGUUUCAGUUUCUUUAACAUAUCUUUCUGCAGGACUUGUGUAGUUCAAAGCAUUGACAAUGUCUUCAUCAUAUCUCCCAGAAACUACUGAUUCAAUUGCUCAUGCUUUAGAGGCCAUCUGAAGCCAUUUCUAUUCUUUAUCGCAUUCUUGAAACCCAUCUUCUUCUUCUGAAGCUCUACGGAUAAAGGAAGAGGCUAUCACAAUAAAUCCGACGAUCUUCUUAGGCAAGAAAAUCAAGCAGAGGAUCAGGCACAUCUGAUCUUCAGAUUUCCCUGAGAAGCGAACUUUCCUUCGACAGCGAGUGGAGGCCAGGCUUGCAUCUCUUUUGAUGGAAAGCAAGGAGUAUUCAGAAGCACUAAGUGUCCUAUCAGGCUUGAUCAAGGAAGUGAGAAGGCUAGUUGACAAGCUUCUUCUUGUGGACAUAUAUUUGAUGCGAGUAAGCUCAAUUUCUCUUUGAGAAAACAUCCAAAUUAUUGUCUUUGAGACAUGAGAGACUGAGAGAGGAAGAACUUGGAACCUUAAAUGUAAACCGAAAAUGAAUGAAAGCGACAAAUUUAUAGAAUAAAUUUUUAAAACCAACGGCGGUCCUUACAAAAAAACCGCCGUUUAAAUUGUAAAAUCAACGUCGGUAUGAUCGACGUAUAUUACAGAAAUCCACGUCGGUAAAUUAAUAAAAACGACGUGUUAAAUAAUAUACCAUGACGCGAGUUAUUACUUAUGUACUUUAAUUUUUGAGUUUACUACGACGGUACCUACAAACUACUGUCGUAUUUAUUUACCACGUCCGAAGUUAAAUGUACCGUCGUAUUUUGUAAUUUAUACGUCGUAGUUAUAUGUAACCGCCAUAUUAUUUUUUUGAAAUGGUUUUAUAUGUAAGCAACUUUUCGUCUACUUGACUUACACAUUUGUUGUUUUUAUAUUCUUAUUUUAUUUAAAUCUGUCAUCCAAAAAAGAAACUUUACAUAUUGCAGAAUAUUAAUUUCCUUCGUUUUAAAUUUCCUCCGGAAAAAAAACUCUAUUUAUAACGCACUGUAAUUGAAAAAUAAACUGAAAGGUCACGGGAAAAAAAAUUCUAUUCAUAAUUUAAAAAUUAAAAUCCACGUCGGUUAUAUUAAACCUAACGACGUUAAAUGAAAUGAUUCCACGUCGAAUGAAAAAUAUUGCGUCGUUUUAGUUAAAAACGACGUAGUUAAAUGUAACCGCCGUAUUAUUUUUUUGAAAUGGUUUUAUAUGUAAGCAACUUUUCGACUUACACAUGCACUGUUUCCAAACCCGAUUAAAAAUUUCAAUCUCCCAGAGAAACCUUUUCGUCUUUUUUCCUUGUCAGAGCAUUGUCAGAGUUUCUCAUCGUCUUCCUCUCGUCUUCUUCGUCGUCUCUGAACUUAAACAUCGAUCAUCUUCCUCUUGCUUUCAUUGCACGCAAAAGGUAAGCUUUCAUUUUCACUAUUUUGGUUACUGUUUUGCAUGCUCAUACGUUUUUUGUUUGAAAAAUCUUUUUACCUUUUUUCUGGCCAAAAUCAUUUUACUUCUUUCCAAGUUUGAUAAAAUAUACAGACAAAGAGAGAAAGUUUCCAACUUUGAAGACAACUACAUCAACUAAAUAAGACGACGGUAGACCACGACGGUUCGUCAGUUGUUCUAGCGUCGUCUGAAAAUUGACAAAGUUGUUUUUAAAAUAAUAGUCUUUUUUUAUAUGCUUGUUUAAUUGCAGGUUUGAUUUCGCUGAACAAUGGUUUUUGUUUUUCCCUUAUUUGAUAAAAUAUAAAGAAAAAGAAACUAGGGUUGGUAUCUAAUAUAGACGAUAAAAUAUAAAUAAUAGUUUACCACGACGGUGUAUUACUAUUGACGUCGUGUGAACAUAUAUACCACGACGUUAUAUAAAUAAUGGUUUUAAACAUUUAUUACGUCUGAGAUUAUUUCAUUGCGUCGUCUAAAAUCAUAUCAUACGUCGUAUUUUUUUAAUACCGUCGUUUGUGUUCUUAAUGUUUUCCUGAAAUAUUUUCACUUGCAGUUUUGUCUGUUAAAAUGGUUUCUCAACAACAAACUAAGGAUUCUGGCUCCAAGAAGCUUGGAAUGGUAGCUCCUCAAGAUAAGUCUUCGAAGGAGAUGAAGUCUUCGAAGAAGAUGAAGUUUGCUUCAUCAUCUGCUGAGACAGAACAAACCAGCCAGACAACAAUCUCAGAUGAUUCAAAGACUGGUCGAGGUAUGAGCACAAUGCCUCGUGUUGUGAAGAGAAAGCUUCAGAAACUGAGGCCAAUUGUUGAGUACAAUAAAAGGGGGAAAGGUGUUGGCCAAGCACAUAUUGAGAUGCAGUCGUAUAUUGGUGUGUUGGCACGCUCCAGGAUCCCACUUGUGGACAAGAAAUGGUCCCAAAUCCCCAAGGAUAUAAAGGAGCAGAUUUGGGAAGCAGUUGACAUGGCUUUUGUCGUAGGCCAAGGGGGCAAGACCUCUGUUUUAGCUUUUGCUUCCAAGAAAUGGAAGGAUUUCAAGUCUACACUAACGAGGCAUUAUAUCCUUCCAUACACCAAUGACAGGGAGAAAUUAAGCCAACCCCCUGAAACAUAUAAAUUCAUAGAGAAAGCACAAUGGGAUGCCUUUGUAGCUUCAAGGCUAUCCAAAGAUUUUGAGUCUGUGCAUUCUCAACAUACACAGAUUAGGGAGAAACUCGAGUACAAUCAUCGAUUGUCUCGAAAAGGAUAUGCUGGAUUGGAGGAUCAAUUGGAGGAAACCAUGCCUGGGGUAGAAAUUGAUCGAUCUACCUUAUGGAAGAGAGCUAGACAGGACAAACAUGGUAACAUCCCUGAUCCAAAGGUGGCAGAGAAAGCAAAAUUAAUUGUAAGCCUACUAUCACUCUGUUUUAAAUUUUUAUUAAACUGUGAAUUAUUCUUAUUACGUCGUAUGUUAUAUUUUUCGUCGUGUGAAUGAUAUUACCACGUCGAAAAGUUUUUAAAAACGUCGUUAAAGGUCUAAAUAGGAAUCACUACUAUGUUUUCUGUAAUUACAGCAUAAGACGUCGGUGGUUCAUUUUCGCGUCGUGUGAAUGAUAUUACCACGUCGAAAAUUUUUUAAAAACGUCGUUAACGGUCUAAAUAGGAAUCACUACUCUGUAUCUUUAAUUAUAGCAUAAGACGUCGGUUGUUUAUUCAUUUCGUCGUUUUAAAUAAAUAACCACGUCGGUAUAACUACCGUCGUGAUAAGUUAUAAUAACGUCGGUUUAUACGUUAUUGCGUCGUGUGAAAUUAUAUAAUACGUCGUUUGUACAUAAAUAACCGUCGUGUGUUUUUUUGUUUAUCUUUUUUUAGGAUGAAUUGCAGAAACAAGUCUCGGAAGGCAAAGUCAGAGUAGAUGGCAGCAAUGAUGUGCUGACCAUGGCUUUGGGCCCCGAGCAUCCAGGCAGACUGAGGGGAGUUGGUGCUGGUGUUUCCCCAAGGCAAUAUUUCAAUUUGCCCAAACCACAGAGGGUGAGCUUUGACGACCGUUUGAAGGACAGUUUAAGAGUUCUCCUUCAAGAAGAGACUAAAAAGAUGGAGGCUAAGGCAAGGGAAGAGGCCUUAAGGAUGGAGGCUAGGACAAAACAAUUGGUAGAGGCUGAGAGGGAGCAUUUCCUGAGUCAGCUUUCCCAAUUAAUUCCCAAUUUUGAUCCAAGCAUGCUUAAACCAAGAAUUAGCCAAAGCCCCAAAAAUCCAAUGUCUGACAAAGCUAGCUGCUCUGGAGGUGAUGUGAGAUCCCUACAUUUGGAGGAUGAUACUGCCAAAAUGGGGAAACAUCAGCCAGAUGAAGAGAAGGAAGAAGAAAAAAGAGAUGAAGAGAAGGAAGAAGAAAAGGAGAAAGAAGAUGAAGAAAAGCAUGACGACAAGGUAUGUUCACAUAACUUUGCCUUUUUUAUUUGUUUUUCAAAAUUUCAGACGUCGAUAUUUUUAUUUAAUCCGUCGUUUGUUUAAAACUUAGACGGCGGAAUUUUUUUAAGACGUAAUAAAAUAUUUAAACGACGGUUUUUGCACCGUCGUUUAAAUGGUUUCAGACGACGCUUUAUUCAUAAAACCGUCGUCUUUAUUGAAUUACCACGACAGUUUUUUCACCGUCGUUUAAAUACUUUUAAGACGACGUUUUAUUACUUAAACCGUCGUCUUUAUUGAAUUACCACGUCAUUUUUUUUAUUUCUUUAAACAGGUUAUUGAAGUUGGUGCUUAUUCAAAAAUGGAGGCGCCAUCUUCUUUAAAAACCCUUUGUCGUUUUGUGGAAACGACACUCCUGCCUGAGGAUAAGACAGUCCAAUUUACAAUUGAUAAGGAGGUGUUUGGUGGUGAGCGCGAUACCUUCCUCCUGCCUGAAGAUAUUACACAAUUUGCAGGCAUGGAAGAAAUUGGAGCUACUGUAUUGGCUGUAUAUAUGAGGUUUGUACUUCUAAAAUAAUAACUCGUUGGUUUAUAUAUUGCGUCGUCUUAACUAACUAACCACGUCGUCUUAACUAACAACCGUCGUGAUAAAUAUAUUAUAACGUCCUCAUCUAUUUCAGUACGUCGUGUGAAAUAUUAUAAUACGUCGUUUUUUUAUACAUAACCGUCGUGUUUUGUGUGCUGACUUGUUUAUAUUAUUUUAUUUGUUUAGGUACUUACACGAUGUUUUGAAAAAAGCCAAUAUGUGCAGUAUGGUUGGCUUUAUCGACCCUGCUACAGUUAGUGCCAACUCUGGCACAAUAACUGAAAGAUCACGACUCGUAGCAGCUCGACUUCAGAAGACAGACGGUGAACAGAUUUUCAUGAUGCCUUACAAUCCAGGGUUAGUCUCCUUAGGAUUUUGUUUUUAUGAUUUUCAAUAAAUGACAGCUUAUAAACUAACCACGUCGGUGUUUUAUUUUAUUUAGUCGUUUGAAACUACUAACCACGUCGGUAUUUAUUUAUCGUCGUGAUAAAUAUAUAAUGUCGUCGUUAGCUACUUUACUUCGUCGUGUGAAAUACUAUAAUACGUCGUUUUUGUAAAUAACCGUCGUUUUUAUAUUAAUUUUGUGCAGCCGUCAUUGGAUUUUGCUGAUUGUAAGAGCAAAGAGAGAAACCGUCUAUUUUCUGGAUCCUCUGCCAGGAAAUCGUGUGGUCGAUGAAGAGGCCAAAAACAUCGUGAACAGUGCUUUAAAAAUAUAUAAUACCCACAUAGCCCGAGCAGGACGUAAAAAUGUAAUUUGGAAAACUCUCUCAGGCACACCAAAGCAACCCAGCAAUGUCGAAUGCGGGUAUUAUGUAAUGCGCUUCAUGAGGGACAUCAUCAUGGAUCCUUCCUUGGGGUUUGAGAAUAAGGUAAGAAGAAAUUACCUUCAUACAUUUCACGUCGUUUUUUGUAUUAUCAACGACGGUCGUGUAAAAUUAACGUCGUUGAAUGGAUAUACUACGUCGGUUAUGAAAAAUAUCGUCGUCUGUGAUUGAAUUUCUUUUUAUUUAUAAACCCUAAUAGUCAUUGUUUAUGCAGUAUGCCAAGGGAAACCAGGAAGCUUCAUACCCCCAAGAAGCCAUUGAUGAAGUCCGGAAUGAAUGGGCAGAGUUUGUUUUCCAAAUUAUUAAACAGGGCAAUUAUUGAACACUUGAUAUUUAUGUAUAAUGUACCAAUUUUCUCUAUAAUAUGUAAUGUAAAAAUUUGUUGAGGUUUUCUUAAAUUAAAAAAAAAACAAACAUACAAAUUGCUUAACCGACGUGUAAUACUUUUCCAACGACCUAAUAAAGUCAAUAACCGUCGUAUUUUGUUGUUGCGUGUUUUAAACAAAUACGACGUAAAAAAAUAGUUAGACGACGUUCUUUGAACAAUUGAGUCGUUAAUGGUUUACAAUAUCUUCAAUUUCUUAAGGGUUCAGGGUAUAAUCGACGACGUUUAUGUAACGACUGCGGUUAAGUCGUAAAAUAUAUAUUUUACGUCGUAUAGUUAAAUAGCCGCCAUGGUUUCUCAUUUUAACGACGUCAUUUUAACGACUUAGUAGUCUAUUACAAUUUACAACGUCUACAAUUUAUUUAACACCGACGUGGUUUGUUGUAUGGUAAGAAUAUUUUAUUAUUUUUAUAUCAAAAUAUUCAAAAUAAAUAUAAAAUAAAUCAGAAAAUUGAAAAGUCAACUCCUAUGAAGUCAUUGAUAUAUUUUCUUCCACAUAAACCUUGAAAAAAUUCAUUUUGAAUAACAAAAAUUUAAAAUGACCAUCCAAAACAAAAUUGUUUUGAUGAGUCAUAAAAUCACUUCUAGUUUUAUGGUUUAGGGUUUAGAGUCUAGGGUUUAGAGAUUAGGGUUGUUAUUUAUUGGGGUUUAUUUUUAAAGUAUAAUUUUUGGGUAGUCUAUGUUAUAUGUUAGGCUUUAAAACCAUAAAACCUUUUAUAAACUUAAUUUUUUAAAUUGUAUAAUUUAAUUUUAUGGGUUUAGUGUAUUAAUUUUUAACGACGGUGGUUGGGUCGUGGAAUACAUAUUUUACGUCGUACAGUAAAACAUACGACAUGGUUUACGCUUUAAACGACGUCAUUUUAAUAUGUAAGUCGGUUUAUAUAAUUUACAACGUUUUUAAUUUCUUAACACCGACGUGGUUUCUCAUUUUAACGACGUCAUUUUAACGACUUAGUAGUCUAUUACAAUUUACAACGUCUACAAUUUAUUUAACACCGACGUGGUUUGUUGUAUGGUAAGAAUAUUUUAUUAUUUUUAUAUCAAAAUAUUCAAAAUAAAUAUAAAAUAAAUCAGAAAAUUGAAAAGUCAACUCCUAUGAAGUCAUUGAUAUAUUUUCUUCCACAUAAACCUUGAAAAAAUUCAUUUUGAAUAACAAAAAUUUAAAAUGACCAUCCAAAACAAAAUUGUUUUGAUGAGUCAUAAAAUCACUUCUAGUUUAAUGGUUUAGGGUUUAGAGUCUAGGGUUUAGAGAUUAGUGUUGUUAUUUAUUGGGGUUUAUUUUUAAAGUAUAAUUUUUGGGUAGUCUAUGUUAUAUGUUAGGCUUUAAAACCAUAAAACCUUUUAUAAACUUAAUUUUUUAAAUUGUAUAAUUUAAUUUUAUGGGUUUAGUGUAUUAAUUUUUAACGACGGUGGUUGGGUCGUGGAAUACAUAUUUUACGUCGUACAGUAAAACAUACGACAUGGUUUACGCUUUAAACGACGUUAUUUUAAUAUGUAAGUCGGUUUAUAUAAUUUACAACGUCUUUAAUUUCUUAACACCGACGUGGUUUUUCAGUCGUCGUUAUAUAAAAAAUUCAAAAUAAAUUUAAAAUUAAUCCGAAAAAUGAACGGCCUUACGUUCUUAAUCCGAAAAAUGAAGUUUCCGUCGUGGAAUAUUAAAUUUACGUCGGUACUUGUAGAACUUUCGCCUUGGUUUUUCUUUCGACGUUUUAUAACGCGCGCGCUCUAAAAAUUUUCGCGCGACCUAAAUUUUUUUAGAUUUGGCUCUUAGUCUUAUACUUUGAUCCCUGAAACCUAAAAUUUCAGAUUUCACGCGACAUAACAUUUCGCUCUCUCACUUCUGCUCUAAUUAAAAGUUGCACUCUCCAGGCUCGUCGAAUCUGUGAGCUCGUCCAACCUGUAAGUAUAAACCCUAUCUUCCCCUUGUAAAUUCAUUGAAUGAUAUUAGGUUGUUUUGUUAAAGGGUUUUAUGUGUAUGCUUUGCGAUCUGUUAAUAAUGUGCUUAUAGGUAUGGGUUCAUGGAUUUUCUGUUUAAUGGGUUCAUGACAAGAUCAAAUAAAGGUGUACUUUUGCUGGAAAUCAACACAAAAAGACACAUCACCAACUUCCAAAUGAUUUCCAGCAAAAGGACACCUUUAUUUGAUCUUGUCAUUUUCCGCUCUGGAGAAGGUGCAAAGUGCACCAAUGCUUAUAGGUAUGGGUUCAUGGAUUUUCUGUUUAAUGGGUUCAUGGAUUACAUUAUCUGUUAUGUUGAAUUGGGAAUGGAUUUAAUUUUGUCGUAUCUUUUAAUCACCCUAUGUUAUGUUGAAUUGGGAAUGGAUUUAUUGUUUUCAUGCUUGGUUUCAUGUAUAUGUUGGUUUCUUGCUUGGUUUCAUAUAUAUGUUGUGUUCUUAAUGGGUUUUGUGUUCUUGAAAAUAAACUGAGACACGACGAAUUUUAAGGCUUACGACGACGAUUACACGACGGUUUUUUUAAACUACCGUCGUUGUAUUACUUAUACACGACGGUUUUUUCAUAAACCGUCGUUUGUAUUACUUAUAAUAGACGACGUCUGUUGAAAAUCCGUCGUCUAUAUAUGCCAAAUACGUCUGUUUUUGUUUAAAACCCGUCGUCUCUGUUGUGUAUUACUUGCGAUUAGAUCAUUGUAUAAUCUGCUAUAGUGAUGGUCAUUGCCUGUAUUUUCACUUUAUUAUAGAUAAUAGGUUAUAGUGUCGGAGAUGGAUAAGUCAUGGAUGCACUCGGAUAGAAGAUCGAAGGCAUAUGAGUUUGGGGUGGAAGCAUUUUUGAACUUUGCUGUAGAAAAUCUUCUAACUACAACACAUAUCCGUUGUCCAUGUGUUAAAUGUGUUAAUUUGAAGUUGUUUGGGGUUGGAAUUAUAAGGGAUCACUUAUACUUUAAUGGAAUUGACCAAAGCUAUAAGAAUUGGACAUUUCACGGAGAACCUUGGGAAGCAACUACUAAUGCUAGCAGAAAUGUUGAAGAAGAUGAUGGCCAUAGUAGGUACAGUUUUGUGUCUGAAGAAAUUGAUAUGGAUGAUAAUGAUUUUGGUGAUUUUGGUUCGGAUCCGUAUGAGUUUGCCAAUGUGAUUGGGGAUGGAGAUCAACCAGUGUACCCUGGUUGUAGAAAGUACACGAAGUUAUCGGCAUUAGUGAAGUUGUAUAAUUUGAAGGCAAAACAUGGGAUGAGUGAUGUCUGUUUUACAGAAUUAUUGAUACUUCAAGGCGAUUUGCUUCCAGAAGGAAAUACAAUACCAACCUCCAUGUAUGAGGCUAAAAAGACUUUGUGUGCAUUGGGGCUGAGUUAUGAGAAAAUGCACGCAUGCCCCAAUGAUUGCAUCUUGUAUUGGAAGGAGUAUGAGGAUUCAACUAAUUGUCCUACUUGUGGUAUCUCAAGGUGGAAGGAAGGCAAAGAUGCAAUCUUGAAAGAGGGUGUGCCAGCGAAGGUGGUGUGGUAUUUUCCCCCAAUUCCAAGGUUUAAAAGGAUGUUUCAAUCACAUGAGACAGCUAAGAGUUUGACUUGGUGGCAUGUUGCUAGAAAAUCAAUUGACGGUCAGAUGUCUCAUCCGGCGGAUUCCCCGUCUUGGAAACUUCUUGAUGAUAAAUGGCCUGAGUUUGGUAAUGAGCCGAGAAACUUGAGAUUGGCUCUUUCAUCUGAUGGAUUCAAUCCCCACAGUUCUCUAAGUAGCAGAUAUAGUUGUUGGCCGGUUAUCUUAGUUACAUAUAAUCUCCCUCCAUGGCUGUGCAUGAAACGAAAGUUCAUGAUGUUAACCUUAUUGAUUUCCGGUCCUAAACAACCCGGAAAUGAUAUAGACGUCUACUUGGAGCCUUUGAUUGAUGAUUUAAAAUCCUUGUGGGUUGGGAUUAGAGGAGUGUAUGAUGCACAUAAUGGAGAAUACUUUACACUCAGAGCUGCAUUAAUGUGGACAAUUAAUGAUUUCCCCGCCUAUGGAAACUUAUCUGGUUGUGUUGUUAAAGGAUAUAAAGCUUGUCCAAUAUGCGGCGAUGAUACACCUAGUCACAGGUUGAAAAAUGGCCACAAAAUUUGUUACAUUGGGCAUAGAAAAUGGUUACCAAUCAAUCAUCCAUAUAGGAGGCAACGAGAUGGGUGUGAAGAUAUAUGGAUUGAAUGAUGCUUAUGUAAUUGGCAGUGUAUGACAUUAAUUUUGUAAUAUAUUGUAAUGUGAUUUCUUCACUUUCUACGUUCAAAUAAAACACGACGUUAUUGUGAAUCAGUUAUUCAGCAUAUUUACCGACGUCUUAAAGCAACGUAACAAUGAAGAACCACGACGCUAUUGUGAAGCAAUUAUUCAGGAUAUCACGUCGGUGAAGGAUAAAGAACCGCCAUGUAAUUCAAAAUAACACGACUCCAAUCCCAUAAUACCGACGUCUAAAAAACGAGAUAUGUAAUCUGAACGUUAAAAAAUACGACGUCAUCAUACAUUUUCCACGUCGCAAGUUCUUUUAUAAACGAAGAGGAACGAAAUUAAUUCCGACGGAAAUUCAUUAUAACCGCCGUCUAAUAACAAUUAAACGACGUUAUUUGUAAUACGGCUCCCAUCAUAAUCUACGCCGUCUAUAUGUUCUGUAAUACGGCUCUCAUUUAUUUGGAACCGACGUUGUUUAGACGUUCAACGUCGUCUAUAUUAUUAAGUGCGUCGUGAGUAAUGAAUACAUAUAAAUACAACGUCGACUAUAUAAAUGUAUACGUCGUAAAUAAUGACACUGACAACUAUUUCCACGUCAUCUUUUUUAGAUAAAAUCGAAGUGGAAAAUUUAUUUCACGACGGUUUUUUGUAAAUAAGAGACGUUGUAGAACUUUAGCAGACUAAACACGUCUGUUUUUAUUGUUUUCCGACGUUGUUGUAUUUAACAACGUCUAAUAUUUAUGGUCGUUGUUUGUUUCUGAAAAUAGGACGUAUAAAUUUUUUAAUACGACUCUCAUAUAUUUGUAACUGACGUUGUUUAGUUUUUCAACGUCUACUAUAGAAACACAUACGUCGUAAAUAAUGACACUGACAACUAUUUCCACGUCAUCUUUUAUCAAAAAAUCGAAGUGGAAAAUUAAUUGUACGACGGUUGUGUUUAUAUGUGCGACGUAGUAGGUAUCAAUAACGUCGUCUUCUAAUGUAUUUAAAGACGUCAUAUUUUUUAUUGUCGUGAAAAUUAUAUUUAACGUCGGCGUAUUUUUAUUGUCGUCGUUGUAUGUCUAUCUUGCGGCCUUGUUCUCUUAAUAUGUGUCAUAUUUUCCCUUUUUAACGACGGUCUUUUUAGAGAAUUGGUCGUCUAUUAUCAUCAUCGAUUGCUUUUUUUAGAUCUUUUGCAGUACAAAGACGUCGUUUUGUAUUUUUUGAUGACGUUGUAUUGUUUAACAACGACGGUUAUUUAGCGUCGUGGUUUAUGAGGGAAAAGAUGACGGUGGAUUCCACGACCAUUGAAAAACCAAAUACACGACGGUGAUUUACCGUCGUCUUUUUGCUUUUUUGUAGUAGUGUUUUAAGAUUUAGACCAUGGAUUCUUUUAUAUUCGGCGUGUUUGUACUUUCUUCUAUGUUAAUUGUGUUUGUAUUUUCAGAUUUUUUUCUUUGGGGUCAGAUUUUGUACUUUCAUAUUGGCUAAUUAAAUAAUACAGAAUCAUAAUUGCUUUCCAUGAGAAAUUCUAUAACACAGGAAUGUCAAUGUUGUGGUAUCUCAAGUUAAUUACGCACUAUUAUGUGAGGAUACUAAAACACAU